GAUGCGAUCAUACCAGCACUAAUGCACCAGAUCCCAUCAGAACUCCGCAGUUAAGCGUGCUUGGGCGAGAGUAGUACUAGGAUAGGGGACCAACCAGAAAGUCCUCGUGGUGCAUCCCACUUUUUCUUUCGGUUUUUCUCUAUUUUGUUUUGUUAAAAAUGUAUGACUCUAUAACGUUUAGACCGUGAGGCAAAACUUGGAAUGUGAUACCUUUUCGGAAAGCCCAAAGAGAGCUCUCCGAUAAAUGAGGAAGGAAAAUGGAAUUCUUCUAUUGGUUUUUUAUUCUACUCCAAAUUUUGACCUUAAUGUACUUUUUUGGUCUUUUUGGUGAUCUUUGCUAUAUGACAGGGCGAAAAUUAUAUGAUCGGACAUUGUUUUCGAAUAUUUUGCAUGUAUCAAAGCUCUUAUAAACAAGAUAGGGUAUUCCUACAUAGCUGGUGGGAGCCACGGCAAAUGGAUCUUAAAGUCUUCAAAAAAAGAAUAGAUACGAUUGCAUUGGAUGUAGUAAACGGAUGCGAUCAUACCAGCACUAAUGCAACGGAUCCCAUCAAAACUCCGCAGUUAAGCGUGCUUGGGCGAGAGUAGUACUAGGCUGGGUGACCUCCCGGACAGUCCUCGUGUUGCAUCCCUCUUUUCUUUUUCGGUUUUUCUCUAUUUUGUUUUGUUAAAAUUGUAUGACUCUAUAACUUUUAGACCGUGACGCCAAACUUCGCAUGUGAUACCUUUUCGGAAAGCCCAAAGAGAGCUCUCCGAUGAAUGAGGAAGGAAAAUGGAAUUCUUCUAUUGGUUUUUUUGCUAUUCCAAAUUUUGACCUUAAUGUACUUUUUUGGUCCUUUUCGUGAUAUUUGCUAUAUUACAGGGCAAAAAUUAUAUGAUCGGACAUUGUUUUCGAAUAUUUUGCAUGUAUCAAAGCUCUUAUAAACAAGAUAUGGUAUUCCUACAUGGCUGGUGUGACCCACGACAAAUGGAUCAUAAAGUCUUAAAAAAAAAGAUAGAUACGAUUGCAUUGCAUGUAGUAAACGGAUGCGAUCAUACCAGCACUAAUGCACCGGAUCCCAUCAAAACUACGCAGUUAAGCGUGCUUGGGCGAGAGUAGUACUAGGCUGGGUGACCUCCCGGAUAGUCCUCGUGUUGCAUCCCUCUUUUCUUUUUCGGUUUUUCUCUAUUUUGUUUUGUUAAAAUUGUAUGACUCUAUAACUUUUAGACCGUGAGGCCAAACUUUGCAUGUGAUACCUUUUCGGAAAGCCCAAAGAGAGCUCUCCGAUGAAUGAGGAAGGAAAAUGGAAUUCUUCUAUUGUUUGUUUUUUCUAUUCCAAAUUUUGACCUUAAUGUACUUUUUCGGGCUUUUUCGUGAUCUUUGCCAUAUUACGGGGCGAAAUUAUAUGUUCGGACAUUGGUUUUGAAUAUUUUGUAUGUAUCAAAGCUCUUAUAAACAAGAUAUGGUAUUCCUACAUGGCUGGCGUGACCCACAGCAAAUGGAUCAUAAAGUCUUCAAAAAAAGAAUAUAUACGAUUGCAUUGCAUGUAGUAACGGAUGCGAUCACACCAGCACUAAUGCACCAGAUCCAAUUAAAACUCCGCAGUUGAGCAUACUUGGGCGAGAGUAGUACUAGGAUGGGUGACCUCCCGGAAAGUCCUCGUGUUGCAUCCCUCUUUUCUUUUUUUUGUUAAAAAUGUACGACUUUAUAACUUUUAGACCAUGAGGCCAAACUUGGAAUGUGAUACCUUUUCGGAAAGCCCAAAGAGAGCUCUCCUAUGAAUGAGGAAAGAAAAUGGAAUUCUUCUAUUGGUUUUUUAUUCUACUCCAAAUUUUGACCUUAAUGUACUUUUUUGGUCUUUUUCGUGAUCUUUGCUAUAUGACAGGGCGAAAAUUAUAUGAUCGGACAUUGUUUUCGAAUAUGUUGCAUGUAUCAAAGCUCUUAUAAACAAGAUAGGGUAUUCCUACAUAGCUGGUGGGAGCCACGGCAAAUGGAUCUUAAAGUCUUCCAAAAAAGAAUAGAUACGAUUGCAUUGCAUGUAGUUAACGGAUGCGAUCAUACCAGCACUAAUGCAACGGAUCCCAUCAAAACUCCGCAGUUAAGCGUACUUGGGCAAGAGUAGUACUAGGAUGGGGGACCUACCAGAAAGUCCCCGUGGUGCAUCCGACUUUUUCUUUCGGUUUUUCUCUAUUUUGUUUUGCUAAAAAUGUAUGAUUCUAUAACGUUUAGACCGUCAGGCCAAACUUGGCAUGUGAUACCUUUUCGGAAGCCCAAAGAGAGCUCUCCGAUGAAUGAGGAAGCAAAAUGGAAUUCUUCUAUUGUUUUUUUUUUCUAUUCCAAAUUUUGAGCUUAAUGUACUUUUUCGGGCCUUUUCGUGAUCUUUGCUAUAUUACGGGGCGAAAAUUAUAUGUUUGGACAUUGUUUUCGAAUAUUUUGCAUGUAUCAAAGCUCAGAUAAACAAGAUAGGGUAUUCCUACAUACCUGGUGGGACCCACGGCAAAUGGAUAGUAAAAUCUUCAAAAAAGAAUAGAUACUAUUGCAUUGCAUGUAGUAAUGGAUGCGAUCAUAUCAGCACUAACGCACCGGAUCCCAUCAAAACUCCACAGUUAAGCGUGUUUGGGCGAGAGUAGUACUAGGAUGGGGGACCUACCAAAAAGUCCUCGUGGUGCAUCCCACUUUUUCUUUCGGUUUUUCUCUAUUUUGUUUUGUUAAAAAUGUAUGACUCUAUAACGUUUAGACCGUCAGGCCAAACUUGGCAUGUGAUACCUUUUCGGAAAGCCCAAAGAGAGCUCUCCGAUGAAUGAGGAAGCAAAAUGAAAUUCUUCUAUUGUUUUUUUUUCUAUUCCAAAUUUUGACCUUAAUGUAGUUUUUCGGGCCUUUUCGUGAUCUUUGCUAUGUUCGGACAUUGUUUUCGAAUAUUUUUCAUGUAUCAAAGCUCUUAUAAACAAGAUAUCGUAUUCCUACAUGGCUGGUGUGACCCACGACAAAUGGAUCAUAAAGUUUUCAAAAAAGAAUAGAUACGAUUGCAUUGCAUGUAGUAAACGGAUGCGAUCAUACCAGCACUAAUGCACCGGAUCCCAUCAAAACUCUACACUUAAGCGUGCUUGGGAGAGAGUAGUACUAGGAUGGGUGACCUCCAAGAAAGUCCUCGUGUUGCAUCCCUCUUUUCUUUUUUCGGUUUUUCUCUAUGUUUUUUUGUUAAAAUUGUAUGACUCUUUAACUUUUAGACCGUGAGGCCAAACUUCGCAUGUGAUACCUUUUCAGAAAGCCCAAAGAGAGCUCUCCGGUGAAUGAGGAAGGAAAAUUGAAUUUUUCUAUUGGUUUUUUUUUCUACUCCAAAUUUUGACGUUAAUGUACUUUUUGGGGCCUUUUCGUGAUCUUUGCUAUAUUACGGAGCGAAAAUUAUAUGUUUGGACAUUGUUUUCGAAUAUUUUGCAUGUAUCAAAGCUCUGAUAAACAAGAUAGGGUAUUCCUACAUAGCUGGUGGGACCCACGGCAAAUGGAUCGUAAAGUCUUCGAAAAAGAAUAGAUACGAUUGCAUUGCAUGUAGUAACGGAUGCGAUCAUACCAGCACUAACGCACCGGAUCCCAUCAAAACUGUGCAGUUAAGCGUGUUUGGGCGAGACUAGUACUAGGAUGGGUGACCUCACGGAAAGUCCUCGUGUUGGAUCCCUCUUUUCUUUUUUCGAUUUUUGUCCUCUUUUUUUUGUUAAGAAUGUAUGACUCUAUUACUUUUAGACAGUGAGGCCAAACUUCGCAUGUGAUACCUUUUCGGAAAGCCCAAAAAGAGCUCUCUGAUGAAUGAGGAAGGAAAAUUGAAUUCUUCUAUUCUUUUUUUUUCUACUCCAAAUUUUGACGUUAAGGUACUUUUUAAGGCCUUUUCGUGAUCUUUGCUAUAUUACGGAGCGAAAAUUAUAUGUUUGGACAUUGUUUUCGAAUAUUUUGCAUGUAUCAAAGCUCUCAUAAACAAGAUAGGGUAUUCCUACAUAGCUGGUGGGACCCACGACAAAUGGAUAGUAAAGUCUUCAUAAAAGAAUAGAUACUAUUGCAUUGCAUGUAGUAACGGAUGCGAUCAUAUCAGCACUAACGCACCGGAUCUCAUCAAAACUCCGCAGUUAAGCGUGUUUGGGCGAGAGUAGUACUAGGAUGGGUGACCUCCCGGAAAGUCCUCCUGUUGCAUCCCUCUUUUCUUUUUUCGGUGUUUCUCUAUUUUUUUUUGUUAGAAAUGUAUGACUCUAUAAGGUUUAGACAGUGACGCCAAACUUCGCAUGUGAUACCUUUUCAGAAAGCCCAAAGAGAGCUCUCCGAUGAAUGAGGAAGGAAAAUUGAAUUUUUCUAUUGGUUUUUUUUCUACUCCAAAUUUUGACGUUAAUGUACUUUUUUGGGCCUUUUCGUGAUCUUUACUAUAUUACGGAGCGAAAAUUAUAUGUUCGGACAUUGUUUUCGAAUAUUUUGCAUGUAUCAAAGGUCUUAUAAACAAGAUAGGAUAUUCCUACAUAGUUGGUGGGACCCAUGGCAAAUGGAUCGUAAAGUCUUCAAAAAAGAAUAGAUACGAUUGCAUUGCAUGUAGUAACGGAUGCGAUCAUACCAGCACUAAUGCACCUGAUCCCAUCAAAACUCCGUAGUUAAGCGUGCUUGGGGCGACAGUAGUACUAGGAUGGGUGACCUCCCGGAAAGUCCUCGUGUUGCAUCCCUCUUUUCUUUUUUCGGUUUUUCUUUUUCUUUUUUUGUUAAAAAUGUAUGACUCUAUAACUUUUAGACAGUGAGGCAAAACUUCGCAUGUGAUACCAUUUUGGAAAGCCCAAAGAGAGCUCUCCGAUGAAUGAGGAAGGAAAACUGAAUUCUUCUAUUGUUUUUUUUUCCAACUCCAAAUUUUGACGUUAAUGUACUUUUUUGGGCCUUUUCGUGAUCUUUGCUAUAUUGCGGAGCAAAAGUUAUAUAUUCGGACAUUGUUUUCGAAUAAUUUGCAUGUAUCAAAGCUCUUAUAAACAAGAUAGGGUAUUCCUACAUAGCUGGUGGGACCCACGGCAAAUGGAUCGUAAAGUCUUCAAAAAAGAAUAGAUACGAUUGCAUUGCAUGUAGUAACAGAUGCGAUCAUACCAGCACUAACGCACCAGAUCCCAUCAAAACUGUGCAGUUAAGCGUGCUUGGACGAGAGUAGUACUAGGAUGGGUGACCUCCCGGAAAGUCCUCGUGUUGGAUCCCUCUUUUCUUUUUUCGGUUUUUGUCCUCUUUUUUUUGUUAAGAAUGUAUGACUCUAUUACUUUUAGACAGUGAGGCCAAACUUCGGAUGUGAUACCUUUUCGGAAAGCCCAAAAAGAGCUCUCUGAUGAAUAAGGAAGGAAAAUGGAAUUCUUCUAUUGGUUUUUUUUUCUACUCCAAAUUUUGACGUUAAUGUACUUUUUUGGGCCUUUUCGUGAUCUUUGCUAUAUACGGAGCGAAAAUUAUAUGUUCGGACAGUGUUUUCGAAUAUUUUGCAUGUAUCAAAGCUCUUAUAAACAAGAUAGGGUAUUCCUACAUAGCUGGUGGGACCCAUGGCAAAUGGAUCGUAAAGUCUUCAAAAAAGAAUAGAUACGAUUGCAUUGCAUGUAGUAGCGGAUGCGAUCAUACCAGCACUAACGCACCGGAUCCCAUCAAAACUGUGCAGUUAAGCGUGUUUGGGCGAGAGUAGUACUAGGAUGGGUGACCUCCCGGAAAGUCCUCGUGUUGGAUCCCUCUUUUCUUUUUUCGGUUUUUGUCCUCUUUUUUUUGUUAAGAAUGUAUGACUCUAUUACUUUUAGACAGUGAGGCCAAACUUCGGAUGUGAUACCUUUUCGGAAAGCCCAAAAAGAGCUCUCUGAUGAAUAAGGAAGGAAAAUGGAAUUCUUCUAUUGGUUUUUUUUUCUACUCCAAAUUUUGACGUUAAUGUACUUUUUUGGGCCUUUUCGUGAUCUUUGCUAUAUACGGAGCGAAAAUUAUAUGUUCGGACAGUGUUUUCGAAUAUUUUGCAUGUAUCAAAGCUCUUAUAAACAAGAUAGGGUAUUCCUACAUAGCUGGUGGGACCCAYGGCAAAUGGAUCGUAAAGUCUUCAAAAAAGAAUAGAUACGAUUGCAUUGCAUGUAGUARCRGAUGCGAUCAUACCAGCACUAACGCACCRGAUCCCAUCAAAACUGUGCAGUUAAGCGUGUUUGGGCGAGAGUAGUACUAGGAUGGGUGACCUCCCGGAAAGUCCUCGUGUUGGAUCCCUCUUUUCUUUUUUCGGUUUUUGUCCUCUUUUUUUUGUUAAGAAUGUAUGACUCUAUUACUUUUAGACAGUGAGGCCAAACUUCGGAUGUGAUACCUUUUCGGAAAGCCCAAAAAGAGCUCUCUGAUGAAUAAGGAAGGAAAAUGGAAUUCUUCUAUUGGUUUUUUUUUCUACUCCAAAUUUUGACGUUAAUGUACUUUUUUGGGCCUUUUCGUGAUCUUUGCUAUAUACGGAGCGAAAAUUAUAUGUUCGGACAGUGUUUUCGAAUAUUUUGCAUGUAUCAAAGCUCUUAUAAACAAGAUAGGGUAUUCCUACAUAGCUGGUGGGACCCAUGGCAAAUGGAUCGUAAAGUCUUCAAAAAAGAAUAGAUACGAUUGCAUUGCAUGUAGUAGCGGAUGCGAUCAUACCAGCACUAAUGCACCGGAUCCCAUUAAAACUCCGCAGUUAAGCGUGCUUGGGCGAUAAUAGUACUAGGAUGGGUGACCUCCCGGAAAGUCCUCGUGUUGAAUCCCUCUUUUCUUUUUCGGUUUUUCUCUUCUUUUUUUUGUUAAAAAUGUAUGACUCCAUAACUUUUAGAUAGUGAGGCAAAACUUCGCAUGUGAUACCAUUUCGGAAAUCCUAAAGAGAGCUCUCCGAUGAAUGAGGAAGGAAAAUGUAAUUCUUCUAUUGGGUUUUUAUUCUACUCCUAAUUUUGACCUUAAUGUACUUUUUCGGGCCUUUUCGUGAUAUUUGCUAUAUUACAGGGCGAAAAUUAUAUGAUCGGACAUUGUUUUCGAAUAUUUUGCAUGUAUCAAAGCUCUUAUAAACAAGAUAUGGUAUUCCUACAUGGCUGGUAUGACCCACAGCAAAUGGAUCUUAAUUCUAGACUUUUUGUAAUCCCGAUUUCUCUUUAUCUAUUCAGUAUUCAGUAUUCAGCUUUUGUUCUUGAUUUCGUUUACUGUUGUUCAUUCUGUUAUCAUCAUGUUGUUACACUGUUGUUAUCAUGUCUUCCACCUGUUCAACGUUUAUGCUUUCUGUUAUGAUGUCUGAGUAGUGAAUAGGUUUUUGAGGAUGGCUUAGAGUAGUGUAGGAUUCUCAGUAUGCUAGGUGAUUGAGUAUUGAUUGAUAGAUCCCUUCUGGAUUAGUUGUUCUUAAUGCCUAUUGCUUUCUGAUCAACUGGAAUUUGAGCCCAGACAUUUCCGUGCCCAAAAGGUGUUCGAUGAAAUGUUUGAACCACUAAUUCCAGAGAUUCGUGACCCUGUACCAAGGUAUUGGUUGCAAGGAGCGUUUUGGCUUUAACUUGUUGAUUCGUAAUGCCUGUUAGGUUAGCUCUCGUCAAUGGUGAUUGAGUCUGGGACUAGGUUAACUUGAGGGUCUCAGUUGCGGUGGCACUUAGAUUUGGUUAAUGAACUUGUUAUCUAAGGUUAAUUUACUGAGCAUGUCAAUCACCUGUAAACUGAGAAAACGAAACUACUCAAUUACCCCAUCCUCAGGAAUUCUUUAUCUGAUUGAAUUCUUUGUUUACUCUACUGUUGUUUACUGCAUCUUGUUAUCUGUUGCUUAAUUUCUUCAGUUCUUUCUUGUUACUCGACCUCAUACUCGACCACCUAGUUGUUUGGCAACAGACUGUACAGUCGAGUAUCUGUGUUUCAUUUUCUGUCUGUUACUCGACCUGUCACUUGACCUCACCCAGUGUUCUGCAAAGAGCUGUGUUGGUCGAGUGUUUUACUGUUUCUGUUUGAUUUUCUGUUUUCUGCAUGUUCACUUAGAACUGCUAGAACACACCAAAACCUGUUAUUGCUUGGCUUGACUUAGUGACUUCUGAUCACAUCUUGAUUGUUAGCAUCACACCCAUUUGGAUUGACAACCUAAAAUACUACAACGAUAUGAUUGGUGUUUUAGGAUAAUUGACUAAAAAACCUAUUAUCAAUUUGGCGCCGUUGCCAAUUGGGUGUUUGUUUGUUACAUUUGAGAUUUCAGACUUGCUUAGAUCAAGUUCUUUUUCAAUUUUCUUUUCGGUUACUAACUGUGUGUUUUUCUUGUUGUCUUCUUGAUCCAGGUACACCUCUGCUGUAUGCGAAUUCGAUCAACAGGCAAUCAGAACCUCCUUUUCGACGACAACAUCAACCGCAUAGCUCGCGAACUCAGAAAAAGGAGAACCACAGUCACCCCUGUAUCUCAGCAACCACUCGAAAUGGCUGAAGAACAGAAUCAACAAAAUGGCCCUGCCAACAUUGGUGCUGGAGAUGCACCACGUGAUCACCGCCAGAGGAAAGGAAUUGCACCUCCUGCGAUCCAGAACAACAACUUCGAGAUUAAGAGUGGUCUCAUCUCGAUGAUUCAGGGGAACAAAUUCCAUGGUCUGCCAAUGGAGGAUCCACUCGACCACCUUGAUGAAUUCGAUAGGCUCUGCAACCUAACAAAGAUCAAUGGUGUCAGUGAAGACGGAUUCAAGCUCCGUUUGUUCCCAUUCUCCUUGGGCGACAAAGCACACAUCUGGGAGAAGAAUCUGCCCCAUGACUCAAUCACCACCUAGGAUGAUUGCAAGAAGGCUUUUCUAUCAAAGUUCUUCUCCAAUGCCAGAACUGCAAGACUCAGAAAUGAGAUUUCUGGUUUCUCACAGAAGACUGGUGAAAGCUUCUGUGAAGCAUGGGAGCGUUUCAAGGGGUACACCAACCAAUGCCCUCAUCAUGGCUUUACUAAAGCCUCUCUGCUCAGCACUCUUUACAGAGGAGUCCUACCACGCAUCAGAAUGCUUCUGGAUACAGCUAGCAAUGGGAAUUUCCAGAACAAGGAUGUUGAAGAAGGCUGGGAAUUGGUUGAGAACCUCGCUCAAUCAGAUGGCAAUUACAACGUGGACUGUGAUACGUCAGAGGAACAGCUGAUUCUGAUGACAAACACAGGAAGGAGAUCAAAGCGCUGAAUGACAAGCUGGACAUGAUUCUUCUUAGCCAGCAGAAGCAUGUGCACUUCCUUGUUGAUGACGAGCAAUUUCAAGUCCAAGAUGGGGAGGGUAACCAGUUGGAAGAAGUCAGCUACAUAAAACAACCAGGGUGGCUACAAAAGAUACAACAACUAUCGCUUGAAACUCUUUCCAAGAAAACUUAAAUCCAGAUGUUCUGGCCCAUUCUGUAUCACUGAGGUCCGUCCUUAUGGAGCAGUCACUCUAGCUGGUAAGAGUAGAGAUUUUACAGUAAAUGUUCAAAGGCUCAAGAAAUACUUAGCAGACCAAAUCCUUCCAGAGGUGACAUCGGUUCAUCUCCAAGAACCUCUUGAUGAUUAAAGGAGUAAAGGAGUCAAGCUAAUGACUUUAAACAAGCUCACUUGGGAGGAAGUCCCAUGAUUAUCUCUGUAAAUAAAAAAUUUCUUGUCUUGUUAUUUUUGAUUUGUUUUAAUUGUGUUUGUGGUUUUCAGAGAAAAGGGAACAACGUGGAGAUAGAGUAAAAAUUCAAAACUUUUACUCUACAGAAGACCUGGAGAUUGAGUGUAUAACCUGGUGGAGUACAAAAUUUAUAAAGUUUUCUGCUGCGUCUGGAGACACGGAAUUCGAGUACAUCAGUCGAGUAUACGUGAUGUUUAAAAUCCAAAAUUUUAAAAAAACAUCAUUGUACUCGACCAACAGGAGCUACAGAGACUUGCAAGGAUUUCUUGCAGUUUACAGUAGAUCUUCUGCAUAUUUUUUCAGUCAACAGAGUGUGGACCACGCGCUGAGGAUAAGCUGGAGAGAGAAUCUAAAACUCAACCUAGACCACUCAUUUAAAAACAUCACUCGACUUCACAAAAUCCACUCGACCUACCUCUUUUCAUUUCACCACCGACACUCUAAUCUCUCUACACCACGAAUCGCCGUCCAAAGAGAUACUCGAUCCUGACAAUAUCACUCGGCCUCCGAGAGUUACUCGACAUCCGCGCCGCCGUCACCAGAUCAUAUCUUCCGUCACUCGACCUCCGGGAACCACUCGACCUCUGCGCUUCCGUAAUCGAGUACUCCUCCUCGUUCACCGUCGAAGUCUCCGUGACCACUUGAUUACGACCAAGCUACUAGACCACAAACUAUCACUCGACCUCGAGUAUUCACUCGACCUCUGCAGCAGCAACUCGACCUCUUGUUCUUGAAAGCAACAGAGCCCUGAAGAACUGUCAGAGUGUUUACUCGACCUCUAGGCUUCACCGGCUGAACUCAACCUCCACAACUUACUCGAUCUCCUGAAGCAUACCCACUCGAAUCCGGAGACGAUACUCGAUCCAAAUCGUCUAAAGGGAACUCAAGAACAGCUCAGUCUACUCGAGUACAGAAUUGUACUCGACCAAUAGGGUUUAUUUCAUUGCCUAUUGAUAACAAUUUUGGUUUCAUUGCUAUCUUUGAGACUAACCUAUUGACUUUGAGCUUUGAGUUCUAAAUUUUUACAGGAGAAUCAUGAGCAAUUACAGUGGCAGUUCUUCUGUUGAUCCUGACUACAACAUGGAUGAGACAGAGUCAACAUCUUCAAGGCCAGAGAGAGAACAAAGAGAAUAUGAAAGCUUCAGAAGGAAAGCUGAGAUAGCCCGAGGGAAGAGAGCGAUCACUGAGAGGUAUGAGCUUAUAGACGAAGAUCAGGAAGACGAGUACAUGCCUGAACAGACUCGUAGAGCUACCAAACUUCUGCACAAGCCCGACGUAUUGCCUGCUGAGGAAUAUGUUAGGCUUUUCAAGCUGAACGAGUUCUGUAGCACGAGGUAUCCUUACUCGACCUCACUUGCACAACUCGGAUUGUUGGAAGAUGUUCAACACCUGUACCAGAGUUGUCAUCUGGACACUCUGAUGGCUUAUCCGUAUGUAGCGUAUGAAGAUGAGACAAUACAAUUUCUUUCCACGCUGCAAGUAGAGCUCUACCAAGGUAUGACCUCUGAUGAGUUGGAUUGUGAAGGAUUGGGAUUCUUGCAAUUUUCUGUGUAUGGCCAUGAGUAUAGGUUAUCAAUCAAGCGCUUGGAAGGAUUGUUUGGCUUCCCCAGUGGAACGGGAUCUAAGCCCAAGUAUGACAGAGAAGAGUUGAAAGACUUGUGGAUCACCAUUUGCAGCUCUGUACCGCUGAAUGCUUCUAGGUCAAAGAGCAAUCAGAUACGCAGCCCUGUCAUCAGGUACUUCCAGCGUUCUAUAGCCAAUGUACUCUACUCCCGAGAGAUCACAGGGACUGUUACUAACUCUGAUAUGGAGAUGAUCGCAAUGGCCCUCAAGGGAACUCUUCGCCAAACGAAGAAUGGUAUGUCUCUCCAAGGUGAAAUCAAUGACACACCUCUCUCUGUACUUCUUCUGAUCCAUCUGUGUGGAUACAAGAGUUGGGCUGUCAGCAAUAACCGCAAGAGAGCACGAGGCGCUCUGUGCAUAGGUGGUGUUGUGACACCGAUUCUGAUAGCUUGUGGAGUCCCAAUCAUAUCUGCCGGACUCGAGCCGCGAGCAAUGGAUAUCGAGCACCUACGUCACUGCGAAUUCCUAGAGUUUGCAAUGGUUGACGACUUCCACAGGUUCAGGUUUGAGCACUCUACAGACAGGAGAGCUAACAUCCUUCUCCCUAGCCCUGAGGUUACACGGAUAAUAGAGGGAGAUAAUAUUGAUUUUUGGCCUGAGGUUGGACGCCUCUACUAUGAGAACGCUCCGCCAUUCAAUGAGGAGGAUCUUCUAGAAGAAGCUGUUUCGGAUGGGAUGGAUGACGAUUGCGCAGUGGAGUUCGACACUAGCAUGUAUCACUUUGGUGAAGAUGUACCUCCAGCGAGGCAGAGCAAGAGCUUGACCGAAGCUCAUAAGAACAAAAGUAAAUUGCAGAAGUGGUGCAAGAAGCAGGACAAGUUGCUCGCCAAGUGUUUCAAGGCUAUCAAGCUUCUGACAGAUAAGCUGAGUUGUUCCUCCUCCACCACAGCUAUUCCACAGGUAUUGCCUCCUCUGGAGAUGCCAUCGAGGAGAUUUGAUAAGCCUGCGCACAAGCCUGAGCUUAGCGAGCAGAGAGUCUCUCAUGCCCCGGUUAGGCAUUUGUCAUUCGAGUCCCGGGAGCACAAGAGAAGAAGGAAGGCUACACUCACUUGAUCUAGGAGCAGAUCACACCUCAUUCACUCGAGGAGAUCACUUGACCGCGGUGCCGGCCGUAGCAGAAGGAGAGAGGUCGAGUAUCCUCAGAGCGGUGCUGGCCGCCACAGAGCUAAUGAGGUCGAGUACCCACCUGCUGGAGCUGAUACAGAACAAGGUGGUUCGUCUAUGGCCUGGGAGCAAUCACAGGCAGCCAUUGACGAGCAACUACGUUCAUUCUUCGAUUGAGGUACGCGCCUCACUUCACCAUUGUAUUAUAUCAUCUGUUGUGAUUUGUUUCUUCAUUUCGUUUCUGUGAUUGGAUUUGUCCUGAGUACUCUCUUCCAAGUUUAUUCGCAUAGUGGACUGUGUGAUUUAAGUUUGGGGGAGGGCUCAGGAAGUGUGUGUUAUAUUUUUGAGUCUGCAUUCAUCUAAGGGAUAGAAAAACCAAAAAAAAUUGAAAAAUUUUAGAAAAUGAUUUGACAAAAAAAGAGUGUUCAUGUAGUUGCAUUACAUUUAGGAUCGAGUCUAGAGUGUUUCAUUUAGGAUUGUUGCAUAUGCAUAGGGGAUGAUGAUGAGAUAGCCUUGUAAGCAUUUUGAUUCACAGGAUAAACUCAGUGCCCUCGUUGCUAGUUGUCUGUUGCGUAGUCAAUGAAUUUGAAAUAAAACUGAACCAUGCCUAGAUUGCUCUAUUCGACCACACUAUCAUGAUCUGAUACCAUUCCCUAUCAAUUUGAACCUGAAUCUGAUCUUUAAUUAUCAUGUCUGCAUCAAAUUUGAACUCAUGGAUACCCUAAAAUACUUGGAUUUUCUUAUUCAUUUUGAUCACUCUUGUUAAUCCAAGUAGCUGACUCUCCUUAUUAGAGCAGUUAACCCAAACCCAAACCUAGACUUUCUUUCAAGCCCUAUAUCACUUGUGAGUGUUUGUGAGGUCUUAUUCCGAUUAAGCUUGGUAGAAAGUGUUAGGUUCGUAACGACAGAGAUAGUGUCUCAUGUAGUUCUAGUUCGCAUUUUUUGGACUAGAUAGGACUAGGUGGGCGCUUAUACUUUGGGUUGGGAUGUGUUUAAAAGAAAAAAAAAAGGUUGAUUUAUUGAUAAGAAAAGGUAAAAGACUCUAGGUGAAGUAAGCUAAAGAAGCAGAAAAAGUCUACUAAAGGUUUUGGGAUUUGUAAAGAAAAGAAAGAGUUCUUGUUAGCUAUUGAAGAUGGGCAAAAGCCCUUGGUUUUAAAAUGUUAAAAACAGGAACCUUAGUUGUUAAAGAAAUCCAAAUCCGCUAGAUGUAUCAAAGUGUUGAGAAAGCUUCUCCUAGAGUUAAGAGAAAAGAAAAGAAUGAUUAGAAAAAGGGCUUAAAAGAUUCAUGAAUGCAAAGGGUAGAGUUUAGUUCUUGUAUUGGGAUUGGAGAUGGGAUUACCAUUAGAGCUUCAUUUGAUGUACUCUGGGUAGAUGGGAUCUUAUCUCUGUAUGCAUAGCUUGGGACUUACCUUUAGCAUUCUACUAAAGCUUAAUCAUUUUUUGAGAGAUCCCCUGUUAUUGAAGCCUAUUCUGUAAGGGACCAUCUUUGUCUCUUGACCUUUUACCUUAGCCAAAUGAGUUCUUUGAUGAUGCAUUGCUUGAUUCACGUUCCAGAACUAAUGAAUGUUAAAGGGAUUGGUAGAUUUGAAAACUUGUGUAGGUCGAGCAUAUGAGUCGGAUUGAUUGAUUGAUGAGGCAUAACUAACUUUUUUAAGUAGAAUUCGAUCUUGCAGCUUAGAACUUUCAACUUGGACAUUGAUUUCAUCUGGUCUAUCUGGUGCUUUGGCUCUGAGUCCCCGCUUUCAAACCUCACCUCCAGCUUGUUCUUGAUUGUUUGCUUGAGGCAAGCAAAGACUAAGUUUGGGGGAGUUGAUAAGUUUGUAUUUUGCAUGUUUUGAGCAUCCAUUUGUCAUCAUUUUAGCAUCAUAUCAUCACUGUUUUAUACCAUUUCACAUCAUUUGUCAUCACUUUGCAUGUUUAGGAUAGUUUUGCAUGCAUGUUGCAUAUUUGUGUUGUUUUCAGGUGAUUUGGAGCUGUCGACGAUCUAACUGGAAGAAGCGGACCUGAUCAUGACAAACCACUCGACCAAGAGGUCGAGUAGGAGCUUCAAGAUCUCAAGAGACCACUCGACCCCCAGGUCGAGUAGAAGACACCACCACUCUAUCACAUCACUCGACCCCCAGGUCGAGUGUCUUCAUCUCCAUCUCUUGACCACCACUCGAUCACAUCACUCGACCCCCAGAUGUAGUGACUUCAUCCCAUUGCUAGACCUCUACUCGACCUCAUCACUCUACAUGGAAGUCGAGUAUCACCAUCACACCACUCGAUUGCAUACUCGAUGACAAGCUUCAGAGCCUUCUUCAUUCCGCACUCAACCAGACACUCGAGCACAAGAAAGAAAAGAAGACUCCAGCUAUUCACUCGACCUCCCACUCGACCACAUGGGUCGAGUACAGUUCUUAAUCCGUCCCAAUACUUUGUCGUUUUGAGUAUUAGGGUUUCGGAAUAUUUGGCUAUAAGUAGCAUGUACUUCUCAUUUUCGCAGACAAGAAAUUUUUAUCUAGUUUUAUUCUGCAGACCUUGUGUUCUAGACUUUUUGUAAUCCGGAUUUCUCUUUAUCUAUUCAGUGUUCAGUAUUCAGCUUUUGUUCUUGAUUUCGUUUACUGUUGUUCAUUCUGUUAUCAUCCUACUGUUACACUGUUGUUGUCAUGUCUUCAACCUGUUCAACGUUUCUGCUUUCUAUUAUGAUGUCUGAGUAGUGAAUAGGUUUCUGAGGAUGGGUUAGAGUAGUGUAGAAUUCUCAGUAUGCUAGGUGAUUGAGUAUUGGUUGAUAGAUCCCUUCUGGAUUAGUUGUUCUUAAUGCCUAUUGCUUUCUGAUCAACUAGAAUUUGAGCCCAGACAUUUCCGCGCCCAAAAGGUGUUCGAUGAAAUGUCUGAACCACUAAUUCAAGAGAUUCGUGACCCAGUACCAAGGUAUUGGUUGCAGGGAGCGUUUUGGCUUUAACUUGUUGAUUCGUAAUGCCUGUUAGGUUAGCUCUCGUCAAUGGUGAUUGAAUCUGGAACUAGGUUAACUUGAGGGUCUCUGUUGCGGUGGCACUUAGAUUUGGUUAAUGAACUUGUUGUCUAGGGUUAAUUUACUGAGCAUGUCAAUCACCUGUAAACUGAGAAAACGAAACUACUCAAUUUCCCCAUCCUCGGGAAUUCUUUAUCUGAUUGAAUUCUUUGUUUACUAUAUUGUUGUUUACUGCAUCUUGUUAUCUGUUGCUUAAUUUCUGCAGUUCUUUCUUGUUACUCGACCUCAUACUCGACCACCUAGUUGUAUGGCAACAGACUGUGCAGUCGAGUAUCUGUGUUUCAUUUUUUGUCUGUUACUCGACCUCACCCAGUGCUCUGCAAAGAGCUGUGUUGGUCGAGUGUUUUUUACUGUUUCUGUUUCAUUUUCUGUUUUCUGCAUAUUCACUUAGGACUGCUAGAACACACCAAAACCUGUUAUUGCUUGGCUUGACUUAGUGACUUCUGAUCACAUCUUGAUUGUUAGCAUCACACCCAUUUGGAUUGACAACCUUCAGUACUACAACGAUAUGAUUGGUGUUUUAGGAUAAUUGACUAAAAAAACUAUUAUCAAUGCCCUUUGUGCUGACUAAUGCACCAGCCACCUUCCAAUCAGUGAUGAAUGAGCUGUUUAGACCAUAUAUGCGCCGGUUUGUUUUAGUGUUCUUUGACGACAUUCUGGUAUACAAUCUUGAUGUAGAGACACAUCUCAAACACUUAGAGGUUUUUCUUCAGAUUCGGUUACAGAACAGGUUCUACGCCAAUGAGAAGAAAUGCCACUUUGGUUGCACAAGGAUAUCAUAUUUGGGCCAUAUGAUCACUAGCGAAGGAGAUUCUACAGAUCCCACAAAGAUAGAAGCUAUGGUAAAGUGGCCACAGCCCAAGAAUAUAACAGAGCUGCGCGGGUUUUUAGGCCUUACUGGUUACUACAGAAGGUUUGUGGCAGGUUAUGGGAAGAUAGCAAAGCCACUGACAGAAUUACUCAAGAAAGGGAAAUUUGAAUGGUCUGUUGAAGGUACAAGUACUUUUGAGGCUUUAAAAGAGGCGGUUAUCUGUCUUCCAACGUUAGCAUUACCAGAUUUUGAGAAGCCAUUUGUGAUAGAGACUGAUGCUUUAGGCACGGGUAUAGGAGCAGUUCUAUCUCAGGAUAAGCGUCCCAUUGCGUUCAUUAGCCAAGGAUUCUCCAGUAAAGGCAGAGUUAAAUCAAUAUAUGAGAGGAAACUUUUGGCGAUUGUUUUUGUAGUGGAUAAGUGGAAGCACUACCUCACGGGAGAAAAGUCAUUAUCAGGACUGAUUAGAGAAGCCUGAAACACUUACUCAACCAGAAGGCAGUGUCAGCCAUACAACAAAGGUGGGCUUCGAAAUUAGUUAGCCUGGACUAUGAGAUUGAGUAUAAGCAUGACUCAGAAAAUAGAGUAGCAGACGCGCUAUCUAGACGUCCAGUAACCGAGCAAAUAAUGAACAUGCUGUUUCUAGCUUCGGCGACAGUGAACAAGGAAGAACUGUAGGCACAGGUACAAAAUGAUCCCAGCCUCAAACUCAUACAGGAACAACUGCUUAGAGGAGAGGAAGGGGAGAAAGGAUACAGUCUGGUAGCUAACACCUUAUAUAAGGAUGGCAGAAUUGUUAUGCCAGAAAGCUCUCCUUUUAUCCCAAAAUUGCUGGAACAGUUUCAUACUAGUCCCAUUGGAGGACAUGAAGGAGCGUUUAAGACAUUUAAAAGGUUAUCUAGUGAAGUUUACUGGAAAGGCAUGCGCAAGGACGUGGUGGAGUUCCUCAAGGGUUGUCAAGUUUGUCAACAAAACAAGUAUUCUACAUUGUCUCCAGCCGGCCUCUUGCAACCAUUACCCAUUCCGACUAAGGUAUGGUCCAAUAUCAGCCUUGAUUUCAUUGAAGGGCUUCCAGUUUCAAGUGGAUAUGAUGCGGUACUCGUCGUGGUAGAUCGGCUCAGCAAGUAUGGUCAUUUUAUUCCCCUUAAGCAUCCUUACACAGCUAAAUCAGUAGUAGAAGUGUUUAUUAAAGAGAUUGUUAGACUUCAUGGAUUUCUAGAGAGUAUGGUUUCAGAUCGGGACAAGAUUUUUGUCAGUCACUUUUGGUCUGCUCUUUUCAAGUCCCAAGGAACACAUCUGGCUAAGAGCACAGCAUACCACCCACAGUCGGAUGGCCAAACCGAGGUCCUAAACAGAUGCUUAGAGACUUACCUUCGCUGUUUUGUUAAUGGAAAGCCAAAAUCUUGGGCUCAAUUGUUUUCCUGGGCAGAAUACUGGUCUAACACUUCGUUUCAUUCUGCCAUCAAGAUGACUCCAUUUCAGGCCUUGUACGGAAGAGAACCACCGAAACUGUUACGAUUUGGUGACAUCCCAAAAGCUAACGCGGUGGUAGAGGAGAUGCUACAAGAAAGGGACAGAGUGGUCACGAUGCUGAGAGAAAAUCUGCAGGCAGCUCAAGCCCGAAUGCAAAAAUCAGCUAACAAGCAUAGAAGGGAGCUGGAAUUCAUAGUUGGCGAUUGGGUUUAUCUAAAGUUAAGACCUUACAGGCAGGUAACCGUGGCACAGCGUCGCAAUGAGAAGCUAUCUCCCAGAUUUUUUGGUCCUUAUCAGAUUCUUCAAAAAAUAGGUGCAGUAGCCUACAAACUUCAGUUACCAAGCAGCAUCUCCAUACACCCGGUCUUCCAUAUAUCACAGCUGAAGCAUGCGCAACCAAGUUCAGCCCAAGCUCAACCUCUCCCAGCGAUUAUGACUUCUAACUUGGAGUGGGAACCUGAACCUGAAGAUGUACUAGAGAUAAGGGAAAGCAGCACGGGCGCAGAUACUGAGUUAUUGAUUAAAUGGAGAGGUCUGCCAGAGUGUGAGAAUACAUGGGAGCCAAUGAAAGUCAUCAGGCAGCAGUUCCCAGCAUUUCACCUUGAGGACAAGGUGGCUUCGUUACGGGGGAGUAAUGAUAAGGUGGAGACUAUGGAAGGAGAAGCAAGGAAAGGAGAUAGAGCAACAAGGAAGAGGAUUCAAAGAAGAUCUUUGACCCAAGUGGCUAAAGAGAGUUUAAGAAAGUGCAAGGAAACACUCUGUCGCAUCCAGAGGCUUUGAAGUGUCAAAGAAAUAAGUAUGCUAUAGUUCAUAUUAACUGUAUGUUGUUUAAGUAAGAGUCUGAGAGAGUGUGUGUAGUUUUCCAUAGGGAAACUACUAUAAAUGUUGAACUCUACUUUAGGGUUAAGGUAUCAAAGUAUUAAUCAAACUUCCUAUUAUUACUCUCCUCUAUCCUUUAUCCACUCUAUCUUCUUCUUCUUCUUCAUCCGAUUCUAUCUCUUUCUGUUCUUAAUCUUCUUGAUAGGUUCACCACUUAUCACUCGACUUCCUUGUAGAGUGGUGUGAUCGAGUGAUGGUCAAGUGUGGAGGUGAUGAUACUCGACCAGGUGGUAGAGUGAUCGAGUGAAGGUGAUGAAGGUAGUCGACCAUGUGGUAGAGUAGUGUGAUCGAGUGAUGGUCAGGUGGUGGAGGUUAUGAGACUCGACCAGGGGGUCGAGUGGUGAGGUGAAGUGGUGAAGUCCUCUACUCGACCAGGGGGUCGAGUGGUCUGUUGAGGUCGUGAAGCAUCUACUCGACCUGGGGGUCGAGUGGUUUGACAUGAUCAGGAACGCUUCUUCCAAUUAGCUCGUCAACAGCUCCAAAUCACCUGAAAACAACACAAAUAUGCAACAUGCAUGCAAAACUAUCCUAAACAUGCAAAGUGAUGACAAAUGAUAUAAAACAAUGAUGAUAUGAUGAUAAAGUGAUGACAAAUGGAUGCUCAAAACAGGCAAAAUGCACACUUAUCAACUCCCCCAAACUUAGUCUUUGCUUGCCCUCAAGCAAACAAUUAAGAACAAGUAGGAGGUGAGAGUUGAAGGCGGGGACUUUGAGCCAAAGCACCAGAUAAAUCAGAUGAAAUCAAUGUCCAAGUUGAUAGUUCUAAGCUGCGAUAUGAUUGAAUUCUACUCAAAAACGUUAGCUAUGCCUUGUUAUCAAUCAAUCCGACUCUUAUGCUCAGCCUACACAUGUUUUCAAAUCUACCAAUCCCUUUAACAUUCAUUAGUUAUGGAACGUGAAUCAAGCAAUGCAUCUAUCAAUGAACUCAUUUGGCUAAGGUAAAGGUCAAGUGACAAAGAUGGCCCCUUACAGAAUAGGCUUCAGCAAAAGGGGAUCUCUCAAAAAAUGAUUAAGCUUUAGUAGAAUGCUAAAGGUAAGUCCCAAGCUAUGCAUACAGAGAUAAGAUCCCAUCUACCAAGAGUAUAACCAAUGAAGCUCUAAUGGUAAUCCCAUCUCCAAUCCCAAUAUAAGAACUUAACUCUACCCUUUGCAUUCAUGAAUCUUUUAACCCCUUUUUCUAAUCAUUCUUUUCUUUUCUCUUAACUCUAGGAGAAGCUUUCUCAACACUCUGAUACAUCUAGCGGAUUUGUAUUUCUUUAACAACUAAGGAUCCUCUUUUCAAUUUUUAAAACCGAGGACUUUUGCCCUUCUUCAUUAGCUGACAAGAACCCUUUUCUUUUCUUUACAAAUCCCAAAACCUUUACUAGACUUUUUCUACUUCUUUAGCUUACUUCACCUAGAGCCUUUUACCUUUUCUCAUCAAUGAAUCAACUCUUUUGUUUUUUCUUUUUCUUUUAGACACAUCCCAACCCAAAGUAUAAGCACCCACCUAGUCCUAUCUAGUCCGAAAAAUGCGAACUAGAACUACAUGAGACAUUAUCUCUGUCGUUACAAACCUAACACUUUCUACCAAGCUUAAUCGAAAUAAGACCUCAGAAACACUCACAAGUGAUAUAAGGCUUGAAAGAAAGUCUAGAUUUUGGUUCGGGUUAACUGCUCUAAUAAGGAGAGUCAACUACUUGGAUUAACAAGAGUGAUCAAAAUGAAUAAGAAAAUCCAAGUAUUUUAGGGUAUCCAUGAGUUCAAAUUUGAUGCAGACAUGAUAAUUAAAGAUCAGAUUCAGGUUCAAAUUGAUAGGGAAUGGUAUCAGAUCAUGACAGUGUGGUCGAGUAGAGGAAUCUAGGCAUGGUUCGGUUUUACUUCAAUUUCAUUGACUACGCAAAAGACAACUAGCAACGAGGGCACUGAGUUUAUCCAGUGAACCAAAAUGCUUACAAGGCUAUCUCAUCAUUAUUCCCUAUGCAUAUGCAACAAUCCUAAAUGAAACACUCUAUACUCGAUCCUAAAUGUAAUGCAACUACAUGAACACUCUUUUUUUUUGUGAAAUCAUUUUCUGAAAUUUUUCAAUUUUUUUUUGGUUUUUUUAUGCCUUAGAUGAAUGCAGACUCAAGAGUAUAAACAAUGCAACACACACUUCAUGAGCACUCCCCCAAACUAAUCUUGGAAGAGAGUAACUCAGGACAAAUCCAAUCACAGAAACAAAAUAAAGAACAAAUCACAAAAGAUGAUAUAAUACAAUGGUGAAGUGAGGCGCUUACCUCAAUCAAAGAAUGAACGAAGUUGGUCGUCAAUGGCUGCCUGUGAUUGCUCCCAAGCCAUAGACGAGCCACCCUGUUCUGUAUCAGCUCCAGCAGGUGGGUACUCGACCUCAUCAGCUCUGUGGAUACUCGACCUCUCUUCCUCUGCUGCGGCCAGCACCGUGGUCGAGUGAUCUCCUCGAGUGAAUUAGGCAUGAUCUACUGCUAGAGCGAACGAGUGUAGCCUUCCUUCUUCACUUGUGCUCCCGGGACUCGAAUGACGAAUGCCUAGCAGGGACAUGUGAGACUCUCUGCUCACUAAGCUCAGGUCUGUGCUCAGGCUCAUCAAAUCUCCUCAAUGGCAUAUCUAGAGGAGGCUGUCCCUGUGGAAUAGCUGUAGUAGAAGAGGAACAGCUCAGUUAAUCUAUCAGAAACUUGAUAGUCUUAAAGCACUUGGCGAGCCGCUUGUCCUGCUUCUUGCAACACUUCUGCAGCUUAUUGUUGUUCCUAUGAGCUUCACUCAAGCUCUUGCUCUCCCUCGCCAGAGGUACAUGUUCAUCAAAAUGAUACAUGCUAGUGUCGAACUCCACUGCUCUGUCUUCAUCCAUCCCAUCCUAAGCAGCUUCUUCUAUAAGAUCAUCCUCAUCCAAUGGCGGAGCGUUCUCAUAGUAGAGGUUUCCAAGCUCAGGCCGAAAAUCAAUGUUAUCUCCCUCUAUUAUCCGUGUAACCUUAGGGCUGGGGAGAAGGAUGCUAGCUCUCUUAUCCGUAGAGUGCUUAAACCUAAAACAGUGCAUGUCGCCAACCAUUCCGAACUUCAGGACGUAGGAUGCUAACUCCAGGACUUCGCAGUGACGUAGAUGCUUGAUAUCAAUUGCCCGUGGCUCGAGUCCAUCAGAUGUGAUUGGGACUCCACAAGCAAUCAGAAUCGGUGUCACAACACCGACUAUGCAAAGAGCGCCUCGUGCUCUCUUGUGAUUAUUGCUGACAGCCCAGCUCUUGUAUCCACACAGGUGGAUUAGAAGAAGUACAGAGAAAGGUGUGUCAUUGAUUUCACAGAUAUGUUGUUCUUAGUUUGGUAGAGAGUGCCUUUGAGAGCAUAUAGCGAUCAUCUCCAUAUCAGAAUUGGUAACAGUCCCUGUGAUCUCUCUGGAGUAGAGGACAUUGGCUAUAGAACGCUGGAAGUACCUGAUGACAGGGCUGCGUAUCUGAUUGCUCUUUAACCUGGAAGAAUUUAGCGGUACAGAGCUGCCAAUGGUGAUCCAUAAGUCUUUCAACUCUUCUCUGUCAUACUUGGGCUUAGUACCCGUUCCACUGGGGAAACCAAAAAGUCCUUCCAAGCGUUUGAUUGAUAACCUAUACUCAUGACCAUACACAGAGAAUCUCAAGAAUCCCAAUCCUUCGCAAUCCAACUCAUCAGAGGUCAUACCUUGGUAAAGCUCCACUUGCCGUGUGGAGAGGAAUUGAAUUGUCUCUUCUUCAUAUGCUACAUACGGAUAAGCCAUCAGAGUGUCCACAUGACUACUCUGGUACAGGUGUUGAACAUCUUCCAACAAUCCAAGUUAUGCAAGUGUGGUCGAGCAUGGAUACCUUGUGCUACAGAACUCAUUUAGUUUGAAGAGUCUGAUAUACUCCUCAGCAGGUAAUACAUCUGGUUUGUGAAGAAGCUUUGUGGCUCUACUAGUAUGCUCAAGCAUGUACUCGUCUUCUAGAUCCUCAUCUAUAAGCUCGUACCUCUCUGUCAUUGCUCUCUUCCCUCGAGCUAUCUCAGCUUUUCUUCUGAAGCUAUCAAAUUCUAUCUUUUCUCUCUCUGGCCUUGAAGAUGACGACUAUGUCUCAUCCAUGUUGUAGUCAGGAUCAACUGAAGAAUUGCCACUGUAAUUACUCAUGAUUCUCUUGUAGAAGAUUUAGAACUCAAAACUCCAAUAUCAAUAGGAUAGUCUCAAAGAGAACAAUCAAACCAAAAUUGUUAACAACAGACAAUAUAGACCCAAACGGUCAAGUACAAUCAAAUACUCAAGUAAGCUUAACUUUUUCCAAGUUUCUCUUUCACGGGUUGAAUCGAGUGGCUCAGAUAUAAGAGGUCGAGUAAUGUUGAGGAAGUAGUGUGCAGAUGGUGAAUCAGGUUGGUCGAGUAUACCAUAGGUGAGCCAAAAUUGGCAGGGACGAAACCUCAAAUCGACGAUCGAGUACAGUGGAUGUAAUCGAGUAGCUCUUGAGACGACGACGGUAAACGAGGUGGAGACUCGACUUAGACGGGAAGUGACGGUUAACGGCGAAGUGAAGUGGUUGAGUGAUUCAAGGUGAAACGUAAUCGGUGGUCGAGUGGGACUUUGAACUCGACUGCGGCGGCUGUAAUUCUUUCCAGCUGCGGUCGAGUGGUUUCGGCGAGGUCGAGCGUGGCUUGGUUUCAGAGGUCAAGUUGAUUCUUGCGAUCGAGUGGUGGAAAACUGAAUAGAGGUUGGUCGAGUGAAAUUUCAAAAGCAGUGGUGGAGAUUGAGUUUGAGAUUCUCUCUCCAUCUUAUCCUCAGCGCGUGGUCCACACUCUGUUGAUUGGGAAAACUGCAGGAAAUCUACAGUAAACUUGAUUAACUCCCUGUAAGGCUCUGUAGCUUCUGUUGGUCGAGUAAUAUGAUGAUUUAAAAUUUUUUGGUUUUAAACAUCACUCAUACUCGACCAAUGUACUCGAGUGCAAGGUCUCCAUGUGCAACAGAAAAUUUACAAAAUUUUGCACUCCAACGGGCUAUACACUCGAUCUCCAGGUCUUUUGUAAAGUAAAAGUUUUGAAUUUUUACUCUAUCUCCACCUUGUUCCUUUGUUCCUGAGAACCACAAACACAACUAAGACAAAUCAAAAAUAACAACAAAAGAAAAAUUUAUUUACAGAGAUAGUCAUGGGACCUUCCUCCCAAGUGAGCUUGUUUAAAGUCUCUAGCUUGACUGCUCACACUUAUCAAGAAGAAAAUGAAUGAUAGAGAGGGUCUGCAUAGUCCUCUCGGAUAUCAUCAUCAUACUCAGCGUCCUCCCUGGAGAGGUCUGCAGCAGAACACUCAAUUCCCCUUUCUUCAAAACAGGCUUCUUUCUCUUCUAGAGGGUAAUCUAUCUCUUCAGACCAUCUUGAAGUGAACCUUUUUCUCGGGAUAAUGUCAAUUCCGCCUUUAGGUUGAGCUUUCUUCUGCAUCUGAUUCAGCUUACUCUUAAGCUCCUCAAUAGUGUGGGCUAGCUUCCCUAUAGUUUCAUCUUGCUUAUCAGACCUCUUUUUAAGCUCCCUUACUUUUUCAGUCUCAUACGCUUCUCUUGGGAUCACUCUAUCGUCUCCAGAGGGUUUUUCAUAUUCUUUUGACUCUUCUGGAGUUUUGUUGAUGUCAAAUUGCAACUUGAUGUGCUUUCCAAGGUUGAGACUUAUUUUUUCUUCCCUGACAUCUAUCACUGCUCCCACUGAGGCUAAGAAGGGUCUUCCCAGGAUUAAGGGAUCCUUAUGCUCUUCUUCCAUAUCCAGCACCACGAAGUUUGUAGGCACUUCCACUCCAUUAAUCAUGACUGGUAGAUCUUUCAACAUGUCGGAGGGUUUUCUUGAAGACCUAUCUGCAAGGAUCAAAGUCAGGUCACAAGGCCUGUACUAAAUAAAUUCCAACCUUCUUGCCACAGAGAGUGACAUUAAGGUGACAGAGGCUCCGAGAUCGCACAGGCAAUCGCUGAAAGCUAAUUCCCCAAUUGAACAUGGUAGAGUAGAAUAUCCAGGAUCUUCUAACUUUUCUUGAACAAUCCUCUUAUCAGCAACUCGAGAUGGAGUAGCGUCACUAUCAUCAUCUGAAUCGUGAUACAUCUUAAUCCUUUCCAGUAUCAGAUUUCUCACAUCUUUGUGAGGAUCAGGAAUCAGGUUGAGAACUUCCAUCAGUGGCAUCACUGUUUCAUUCUCGUCUAGCUGUUUCGCUGCAACAGACUUGUAUCUCUCCAUCCAUGCUUUCCUGAAUUUCAUGGAAGAGCAUGUGAGGGUAAUGGAGUAGGUUUGAAUCGUUUUACCAUUCUCUCGAUUAUGGCUGCUUUCUCUUCCGAGGUGGAUUAAAUGAGAUGGUGAGAACCAGCAGAAUGGUUGAAUUCUACAACAGAGACCUCAAUCUUGGUUGAAGGCUCCCCUUCUUGAACAUCACUGUCCCCAGUGAUUAAGUCAGGGACAGGUCGAGUUGGCUGCUCUCGAUCCUGGCAGAUAGUGAUGGCGUGAGCAGUUGCAUACUCCUUUGGAUUUUGUAUUGACUUCCCAGGAAGUCCUGUAACUUUAGGACCAGAGGUAGAUGUUGAUUGUCCUUCCAAGUAUCUGACUUUGGUAUUCAAUGUCUCCACUUUGGCAUUCAGGUCAUUGUAGCUAUAGUCCAGCUUAUGGUGCAAUUCAAAUAACUUCUUAGCAAUUUUCAUGGAGCUAGAUGCUUGUCCCUGUAGCAGCUGUUGUACCAUCUGUUUCAUUUCGGGAUCAGGAGCUGCAAGACCUUGGUUUUGCUGAGGUGCAAACCCAGGUGGUGGUUGCGGCUGGUAGUUCCCCUGAAAUUGUUGGGAACAAAUCCUUGAUUGUAAGGAACAAAAGGUUUGUUCUGACCUUGUUGUUGAUGUGGAGGAUACACCUGAUCCUGAGGAUUCGCAACGUUGGUGCUCCGGUAGGAGAGGUUGGGGUUGUUGGUUUUGAAGUUGUUAUACCCUUUGUAGCCACCCUGGUUGUUGUUGAUGUAGCUGACCUCUUCCAACUGGUUACCCUCCCCAUCUUGGACUUGAUACUGCUCGUCAUCAACAAGGAAGUGCACAUGCUUCUACUGGCUAAGAAGAAUCCUUUCCAGCUUGUCGUUCAGCGCUUUGAUCUCCUUCUUGUGUUUGUCAUCAGAGUCAGCUGUGCUUCUGAUGGUCCUAUCGUAGUCCUCAUUGUAAUUACCAUCUAAUUGAGCUAGGUUCUCAACCAAUUCCCAGCCUUCUUCAACAUCCUUGUUCUGGAAAUUCCCAUUGUUGGCGGUAUCCAGAAGCAUUCUGAUGCGUGGUAAAACGCCUAUCUAUGGAGUGCUUAGCAGAGAGGCUUUCGUGAAGCAAUGAUGAGGGCAUUGGUUGAUGUAACCUCUGAAACGCUCCCAUGCUUCAUAGAAGCUUUCACCCGUCUUCUGUGAAAAAUCAGAAAUCUUAUUUCUGAGUUUUGCAGUUCUGGCGUUGGAGAAGAACUUUGAUAGAAAGUCCUGUGGAGUAAACAAUAAAAUCAAUCAGAUAAAGAAUUCCCGAGGAUGGGGUAAUUGAGUAGUUUCGUUUCCUCAGUUAACAGGUGACUGACAUGCUCAAUAAAUUAUCCCUAGACAACAAGUUCAUUAACCAAAUCUAAGUGCCACCGCAACAAAGACCCUCAAGUUAACCUAGUCCCAGACUCAAUCACCAUUGACGAGAGCUAACCUAACAGGCAUUACGAAUCAACAAGUUAAAGCCAAAACGCUCCCUACAACCAAUACCUUGGUACAGAGCCACAAAUCUCUGGAAUUAGUGGUUCAGACAUUUCAUCGAACACCUUUUGGGCGCAGAAAUGUCUGGGCUCAAAUUCUAGUUGAUUAGAAAGCAAUAGGGAUUAAGAACAACUAAUCCAGAAGGGAUCUAUCAAUCAAUACUCAACCACCUAGCAAACUGAGAAUUCUACACUACUCUAAUCCAUCCUCAGAAACCUAUUCACUACUCAGACAUCAUUAUAGAGAACAUAAACGUUGAACAGGAUGAAAACAUGAUAACAAUAAUAUAAUAGCAAAACGAUAACAGGAUGAACAACAAUAAACGAAAUCAAGAACAAAUACUGAAUACUGAGUAGAUAAAGAGAAAUCCGGAUUACAAAAGGUCUAGAACACAGUGUCUGCGGAAUAAAACUAGAUAAAAACCUCUUCUCGAAAAUGUAAAGUACAUGCUUAUUAUAGCAAAAUAUUCUGAAACUCUAAUACUCAAAAUGACGCAGUAUUGGGACGGAUUAAGAACUGUACUCGACCCUGAUGGUCGAGUGAGAGGUCGAGUGAUAUGCUGGAGUCUUCUAUUCUUCCUUGUGCUCGAGUGUCUAGUUGAGUGCAGAAAUGAAGAAGACUCUGAAGCUCGCCAUAGAGUAUGUAGUCGAGUGGUGGUGGUGAAGACACUCGACCUGGGGGUCGAGUGAUGUGAUCGAGUGACUGGUCAGGUUGUGGAGGUGAAUACACUCGACCAGGUGGUCGAGUGAGGUGAUCAAGUAUCUCUCGUGGUGGUACUCGGCCAGGGGGUCGAGUGAUGAGAUGAAAUUGUGAAGUCCCCUACUCAGCCAGGGGGUCGAGUGGUCUGUUGAGGUCUUGAAGCUUCUACUCGACCUCGGGGUCUAGUGGUUUGACAUGAUCAGGUCCGCUUCUUCCAGUUAGCUCGUCAACAGCUCCAAAUCACCUGAAAUCAACACAAAUAUGCAACAUGCAUGCAAACCUAUCCUAAACAUGCAAAGUGAUGACAAAUGAUGAGAAAUGGUAUUAUACAGUGAUGAUAUGGUGCUUAAGUGAUGACAAAUGGAUGCUCAAAACAUGCAAAAUACACACUUAUUAACUCCCUAAUAAUAUGUUUUUAGUCAAUUAUCCUUAAACACCAAUCAUGUCUUUGUAGUAUUUUAGGUGUCAAUCCAAAUGGGUGUGAUGCAAACAGAUGAGAUGUGAUCAGAAGUCACUAAGUCAAGCCAAGCAAUAACAGUAUUGGGGUUUCUUACAGUCCUAAGUGAACAUGCAGAAAACAGAAACAAUAAUAGAAUUACUAAAAUCACCCGACCACAACAGGCUGAUGCAAGAAGUAGGAUGUGAUCGAGUAAGAGGCAGGAUAUGAAACAAAUAUACUCGAUUGCACAGUCUAUUGCCAGACACUGGGUCUGGUCGAGUAUACAUGUCGAGUAACAGACAGGAAAUGAGACAGCUGUACUCGAUUGCACAGUCUGUUGCCAGACACUGGGUGUGGUCAAGUAAGUUGGUCGAGUAAUUGCAAAAACUAAGAAACAGGCAAUGAAAACGAUUAAGUGAUAACAAUAAAACGGAGAAAUCAGAUAGACGAGAAAUUCCUAAGGAUGGGGUAAUCAAGUAGAGUUGUAUCCUAGCCUAUUCGAAUGGUUAACAAGCGCAAUCAAGCUAUCCCUAGACUGAUCAAUUAACUCCCGUGAUAGAAAUCCUCAAGCAAAGCUAGCCCAGACUAAUUUCUAUUAACGGAAUCUAACUAUGCAGGCAAUAAGAACAGACUGAUAAAGUCAAUAAACGCUCUAAUCGGCCAAUCCCUUGGGAUAGAGACGAAUAUCUCAGGAACUAGUCGAUCGAACAUUCCAUCGAACACCUUCUGGGUGCGGGAAUGCUUUGCUUGAAUUCCAGUUGAUCAGAAAGAAAUAAGCAGUAAACGCAACUAGUCCUGAAGGGAUUCAAUCAAUUCUAAAAUUUAACCAUUCUACAGACUACGGAUUCCACAAAUACUCUAUCCCAUCCCUAAGAAUUCUAAGUCACUACUCAGACAACAUGCUCAAAGACAUAAACGCAGAUAAAUGAUAAUAUUGCAUAAGUAAAGAGAUAAAGAGUAGAGAAACAAGAUGACAGAUGAAAUCAAAUGCGGAAUCUGAAUAACUUGGAAAAAUCUCGAAUUACUGGUUGCAGAAGCAAAAGCGGCACAGCAGAGUAAAACAGAAAAUAAAACUGAAGCAAAAACUCAAUGUCGACUAGAUGUCUCAGGACAGAACCCUAAGACAUCUAUUUAUACAAAACGAAAUAAAAUGAUAGUAGACGGGCCAAUAACCUAAUCGCCCGGCCCAUAGAAUGAUAAUGGGCCGAGAUGGGCUUCGUGAUCCGAUGGAGGUCUAGGCCGCUUCUAAACACUUUGUCUUCUCCUCUUCUCUUCCUUGUGCUCAGCUUGUCUGGUUGAGUGCGGAUUUGAUUAGACUAUAAAGACGUGAUCGAGUGUCCGGUCGAGUGAUGGUGAUGGUGGUGAGUGAUGAUACUCGACCAGGGGGUCGAGUAACUUGGUAGAGUGAAUGGCUGAGUGUGGUCAGGUUGUGUGGCGAAGUGAUAUUCGACCAGGGGGUCGAGUGGCGUCAUCGAGUGGCCUGAGCUGAGGAUACUCGACCAGGGGGUUGAGUAGGUGGGAAGAAUAGCUCCAAAGUUACUCGACUUGGGGGUAGAGUAUAGUGCUGGAUGCACACGACCUGGUGGUCGAGUAUGUCUUCUGGUUCUGGCUCGUUUCUUCAAAUUUGCUCGCAAACAGCUCCAAAUCAUCUGAAAACAACUCAGAAAUGCAAUAUGUAUGCAAAGCUAUCCUAAUCAUGCAAAGUAUGCAAGAAUGAUGAGAAAUGAUAUAAAACAGUGAUGAAUGAUACAAAACUGGACUCAAAACGAUGAUGAAUGGACACUGAAAACAUGCAAAUUAUAGACAUAUCAACUCCCCCAAACUUAGUCUUUGCUUGCCCUCAAGCUAAUAAGAAGACAUAGUUGAAGGAGAGGUUUGAAGGCGGGGACUCAGAACCAAAGCAUAUGAUAGAGCGAAUAAAAUCAAUGUCCAAGUUGGUAGUUCUAAGAUGCGAUAUGAUUGAAUUUUACUCAAAAACGUUAGCCAUGCCUUGUUAUCAAUCAAUCCGUCUCUUAUACUCGACCUACACAUGUUUUCAAAUCUACCAAUCCCUUUAACAUUCAUUAGUUCUGGAACGUGAAUCAAGCAAUGCAUCAUCAAUGAACUCAUUUGGCUAAGGUGAAGGUCAGGAGACAAAGAUGGUCCCUCACAAAAUAGGCUUAAGUACCAAGGGAUCUCUCAAGAAUGAUUGAGCUUUAGUAGAAUGCUUAAGGUAAGUCCCAAGUUAUGCAUAUAGAGAUAAGAUCGCAUCUACCCAGAGUAUAACAAUGAAGCUCUAAUGGUAAUCCCAACUCCAGUCCCAACUUAACUCUACCCUUUGCACUCAUGAAUCUUUCAAACUUUUUUUUUUCUUUUUCAAAUCAUUCUUUUCUUUUCUCUUAACUCUAAGAGAAGCUUUCUCAACACUCUGACACAUCUAGCGGAUUUGGAUUUCUUUAACAACUAAGGUUCCUGUUUUUAAUCUUUAAAACCAAAGGCUUUUAACCCUUCUUCUUUAGCUAACAAGAACCUCAUUCUUUUCUUUAACAUUCCCAAAACCUUUACUAGAUUUUUUUUCUAACUUCUUUUAGCUUACUUCCCCUAGAAUUCUUUCCCUUUCCUUAUCAACAAUGAAUUCACCCUUUUCUUUUAAACACAUCCCAACCCGUGAUAUAAGCGCCCACCUAGUCCUAUCCAGUCCGAAAACGCGAACUAGAACUACAUGAGACACUAUCUCUGUCGUUACGAACCUAACACUUUCUACCAAGCUCAAUUGAAAUAAGACCUCACAAACACUCACAAGUGAUAUAGGGCUCGAAAGAAAGUUUAGGUUUUGGUUCGGGUUAACUGCUCUAAUAAGGAGAGUCAGCUACUUGGACUAACAAGAGUGGUUAAAAUGAGUAAGAAAAUCCAAGUAUUUUAGGGUAUCCAUGAGUUCAAAUUCGAUGCCAAGACAUGAUAAUUCUAAAUCAGAUUCAAGUUCAAAUUGAUAGGGAAUGGUAUCAGAUCCAAACAGUGUGGUCGAGUAGAGCAAUCUAGGCAUGGUGCAGUUUUACUUCAAUUUCAAUGACUACGCAUCAGACAACUAACAACGAGGGCACUGAGCUUAUCUGGUGAACCAAAAUGCUUACAAGGCUAUCUCAUCAUUAUCCCCUAUGCAUAUGCAACAAUCCUAAACGAAACACUCUAGACUCGUUCCUAAAUGCAAUGCAACUACAUGAGCACUCUAUUUUUGUGAAAUCAUUUUCUGAAAUUUUUCAAUUUUUUUGUUUUUUCCUAUGCCUUAGAUGAAUGCAGACUCAAGAUUAUAUACAAUGCAACACACAUUGCCUGAGCCCUCCCCCAAACUUAAAUCACACAGUCCACUGUGUGACCAAAUUUGGAAGAGAGUACUCAGGACAAAACACAUCACAGAAACAAAAUAAAAACAAGAGAUGGUAUAUUACAAUGGUGGAGUGAGGUGCAUACCUCAGUGGAAGAAGGAGCAGAGUUGGUCGUCAAUAGCUGCCUGUGAUUGCUCCCAGGCCAUCGAAGAAUCUCCCAGUUGUGUCUCAGCUUCCCCCUAGGGGUACUCGACCUCUGCUCCUUCGUCGCGGCCCGCACCGCUCUGAUGAUACUCGACCUCUCUUCUUCUGCUGCGGCCAGCACCGUGGUCGAGUGAUUUACUGACAUGGAGAAGUUUUGAUUGCACCACUCGCUAUACUCGAUCACAUCGUCAUUCAGUCCCUGUAGGGUGUGGUCGAGUGAUUUCAUGGGGUGGAGAAACCAGAACAAUGUCGAGUAUCCUUGAUUGCUCUUUGGUCGAGUGUAUUGCUGUUCCCUCAAAGCCAGAAUCUAUUUCCGUCAGCUCUUCAUACUUAUCGCCUGAAAACACUAACAAGAUGCAUCAAAAACAACAAGAAAAAUUAAAGAUAUGUACAAAGAUAGGCAUGGGACUUCCUCCCAAGUGAGCUUGUUUUAGGUCUCUAGCUUGACUCUUCAUACUCAUUAGGCGUUUAUAGGCUCAUCCAAAGGAACAGAAGUUCCUUCUGGAAUAAACUGAUCUAUCAUGUAUUUCUUGAGCCGUUGUCCAUUGACUGUGAAGUCUCCAUUCUUUCCAGCUAGAGUGAUAGCACCAUAAGGUCGGACUGCAGUAACAGAGAAAGGACCAGACCAUCUAGACUUGAGCUUGCCUGGAAAAAGCCUCAAGCGAGAGUUGAACAGCAACACUUGAUCACCAACCUUAAAAUCUCUUGAGACUAUCUUCUUGUCAUGGAAAGACUUGGUUCGCUCCUUGUAGAUUUUGGAACUCUCAUAAGCUUCUAAGCGAAUCUCGUUGAGAUCGUUCAGUUGGAUCAAUCGCUUCUCCUUGGCGGUUUUAAUGCCAAAGUUCAGGAGUUUAACUGCCCACAUGGCUUUAUACUCGAGUUCAACAGGCAAAUGACAGGAUUUUCCAUAGAGGAGGUUGAAAGGAGUCGUUCCAAUAGGGGUCUUGAAGGCUGUUCUGUAAGCCCAUAGUGCGUCAUCGAGCUUAGUAGACCAAUCUUUCCUUGUAAUUCCCAUUGUUUUCUCUAAAAUUGCUUUUAUCUCCCUGUUGGAGAUUUCCACCUGCCCGCUCGUCUGUGGAUGAUAAGGAGUGGCUACCUUGUGCUUUACUCCAUGCUUCUUCAAAAGGUUCUCAAAAACCUUGUUGAUAAAAUGUUUCCCUCCGUCACUGAUCACAACUCUCGGGACUCCAAAUCUAGGGAAGAUAAUUGUCUUGAACAGCUUUAGCACAACUCUAGCAUCAUUGGUGGGGCUGGCUAUGGCUUCCACCCAAUUGAUACAUAGUCUACUACGACCAGUAUGUACUUGUUCCCGUAAGAAAAAGGAAACGGACCCAUAAAAUCAAUUCCCCAAACGUCAAAGAUCUCAACUUCUAAGAUCGGAUUCUGAGGCAUCUCAUUCCUUCUGCUGAUGUUCCCUUUCCUUUGACAUGAGUCACAUUUCGAGAUAAAUUCCUGAGCAUCCUUAAACAUUGUCGUCCACCAAAAACCAGCUUGCAAGAUUUUUGACACUGUCUUGAACGUUGCAAAGUGGCAACCAUAGGCGGACCCAUGGUAGUGCAGUAGGAUGCCUUCGAUUUCGUCUUCUGAAACGCAUCUCCUGUAGAUCUUAUCCUUGCAGAGUGUGUAGAGAUAAGGUUUGUCCCACUAGAAGUGGUUAAUGUCCUUGAAGAACUUCUUCUUCUCAUAGCUCGACAAAUUCGGAGGCUCUUCACCACUAACCAAGUAGUUGACGUGAUCAGCAUACCACAAAAGCUUUUCUUCAAUUGCACAUACUUGAUCGAGUGAUUUCCGAAUUUGAGCACUCUCGUUAAGUUGCUGAAUUGCCAUUAGCUGUUCUUCUGGCAUGGAAUCGUCAAUAGGGACCUCGUCUUCAAUUCUCAUUCUAGUUAGAUGAUCAGCUACACCGUUUUAAAUUCCCUACUUAUCAAUUAUCUCCAUAUCAAACUCUUGGAGCAAUAAGAUCCAUCUCAACAGCCUAGGUUUGGUAUCCUUCUUCGCGUAUAUAUGCCUCAGAGCAGCAUGAUCAGUGUAGACUGUCACCUUAGAGCCGACUAGGUAGCUUCUAAAUUUUUCGAAUGCAAAUACCACAGCUAGCAGUUCCUUCUCUGUAGUGGCAUACCUUACCUGUGCAUCAUCCAUCGUUCUUCUCGCGUAGUAUAUCACAUGCAACGUUUUAUCAAUCCUCUGGCCCAAAACUGCUCCUACUGCAUAAUCUGAAGCAUCGCACAUGAUCUCGAAUGGGAAGUCCCAGUUUGGAGCUUGGACUAUUGGGGCCGUGACCAAAGCUUCCUUGAUUAACUUAAAGGCUGUCAAACAUUCUUCAUCAAAUGUAAACUCGGCUUCCUUGCACAGUAGUCUUGUGAGCGGUCUUGCCAACUUGGAGAAAUCCUUGAUGAAUCUUUUGUAAAACCCUGCAUGUCCAAGAAAACUCCUGAUGUCCUUGACAGUCUUUGGUGGCUAUAACUACAUCAUCACGUCAACCUUAGCCUUAUCAACCUCUAUCCCCUCCUCAGAAAUUUCGUGCCCCAAAACGAUGCCUUCUCUAACCAUGAAAUGGCAUUUCUCCGAGUUCAGCACCAGGUUUGUCUCUGCACAUCUUUUGAGUACCCUUCAUAGGUUCAACAAACACGAGGAGAAGGAAGAGCCAUACACAGAAAAAUCAUCCAUGAAUACCUCUACCAUCUCCUAUAUCAAAUCCGAGAAAAUGGAAGUCAACCACCGCUGAAAAGUAGCAGGUGCAUUACAGAGACCGAAAGGCAUACGCUUGUAAGCAAAGGUCCCAUAAGGACAAGUAAAAGUAGUUUUCUCUUGGUCAUUUGGGUGAAUAGGGAUUUGAAAAAAUCCGCUAUAGCCAUCCAACAAGCAAUAGUAAGGAUGGUUUGCUAAUCUUUCUAGCAUUUGAUCAAUGAAGGGCAAUGGGAAAUGGUCUUUUCUAGAGGCAGCAUUUAACUUCCUAUAGUCAAUACACAUCCUAUGUCGAGUUAUAGUCCUAGUGGGUAUCAGUUCAUCUUUAGCAUUUUUAACAACUGUCAUACCUCCCUUUUUAGGAACGCAGUGAACUGGAGAUACCCAAGUGCUAUCAGAGAUAGGGUAAAUAACCCCAGCAUCUAAUAGUUUAAGUAUCUCCUUUUUCACAACCUCUUUCAAGUUUGGAUUUAAUCUCCUUUGAGGUUCAAUGCUAGAGUAGGAUUCAUUUUCAAGAUGGAUUCUAUGGGUGCACAAGGUGGGUGAAAUCCCCUUAAUAUCAUCUAACGAAUAUCCUAUAGCUUUCCUAUACUUCUUGAGCUCAGUUAUCAGCAGGUUUACUUGAUCAGCAGUUAGCUCAUCAUUCACUAUGACAGGAUAAGUAGAGUUUAGUCCAAGAAAAACGUACCUUAGCCCUUUUGGUAGCGGUUUCAAAUCUACUUUGGGUGCCUUGAGUUCAGACCAGUCAUCGGAUACUAAGUUGGCUUCAGAGGAGGGGUUGUGGUCGAGUAGUUCGGUCGAGUACACUGAAUGGACUGUUAGUCGAGUGAUGUGGUCAAGUAUAUAUUCCUUCCUUGCUCUUUCACCCAAAUCUUCAUAUUCUCCUGGAUUCUCAACUGCUUUGUGUUCAUCUAACAGCUUCUGGUACCCUAGAGUCUCCAAAUGUAAAUCUCCUUCUUAGCUAUCCUUUGUUAGAGCACUCUGUUGAUGAUCUGUUUCUCUUAGCUCUUCUAGCAUUUCGUCAGCUAACAUAUCCAUCUCUUCAAUCCAGAAAACAUUUCCUUCUAUUGUAGGUUUCUUCAUGGUGUUGGUGAUAUCGAAGGUCAUCUUGAGAUCUCUCCCGAGGUUAAGAUCGAUCUUUCCCUUCUUAACAUCAAUGAUAGCUCCGACUGUAGCUAAAAAUGUUCUUCCCAAUAUCAAAGGGUCUUUAGGUUCUUCAUCCAUUUCUAGAACCACAAAGUCUGUAGGUACUUCGACCACGCCUUUCAUGACUGGUAAGUCUUCCAGGAGACCAUGGGGAAUUCUAACAGAUCUGUCAGCCAGGACCAGGGAUAUUUGUUUGUGUGAAACCAGAGAUAUCAUUCCUUAGUCUCGCAGUCCAGGAGUUUGAGAACAACUUAGCCAAGAAGGCUUUCUUGCAGUCAUUCCUGGAGGUGAUAGAGCCUUGAGGAAGCGAUUUUUCCCACUGAUGGGCUUUGUCUCCAAGAGAGAAUGGAAACAAUCUGAGCUUGAAGUCAUCCUCACUAACUCCAUUGAUCUUUGUUAGGCUGCAGAGCCUAUCAAACUCGUCCAGGUGAUCGAGUGGAUCCUCCAUAGGGAGGCCGUGGAAGUUGUUGCUCUGAACCAUGGCAAUGAGACCGCUAUUGAUCUCAAAGUUGUUGUUCUGCACUGGUGGAGGCACGGAUCCAUUACGCUGAUUGUGGUUGCGUGGUGCAUCGCCUGCACCUAUGUUGUUUGGUUGCACUUGCUCAUCUACAACUGUAGCCAUUGUGUCUGUUUCUGUCUGUGUUCUGAGUUGGCGUGCAAUACGGUCGAUAUUAUCGUUGAACAGGAGAUUCUGAUUUCCUCGUGACCGUGUUUGCAUACAACGAGUACCAACUGAUGAAGCUAGUGAUAGAAAUCCUCAAGCAACAGGUUUAACAACAAAUCAAUUCACUCCCGUGAUAGAAAUCCUCAAGCAAAGCUAGCCCAGACUAAUUCCCAUUAACGGAAUUUAACUAUGCAGGCAAUAAGAACAGACUGAUAAAGUCAAUAAACGCUCUAAACGGCCAAUCCCUUGGGAUAGAGACGCAUAUCUCAGGAACUAGUGGAUCAAGCAUUCCAUCGAACACCUUCUAGGUGCGGGAAUGCUUGAGAUCGAAUUCCAGUUGAUCAGAAAGAAAUAAGCAGUAAACGCAACUAGUCCUGAAGGGAUUCAAUCAAUUCUAAAACUUAACCAUUAUACAGACUACGAAUUCCACAACUACUCUAUCCCAUCCCUAAGAAUUCUAAGUCACUACUCAGACAACAUGCUCAAAGACAUAAACGCAGAUAAAUGAUAAUAUUGCAUAAGUAAAGAGAUAAAGAGUAGAGAAACAAGAUGACAGAUGAAAUCAAAUGCGGAAUCUGAAUAACUUGGAAAAAUCUCGAAUUACUGGUUGCAGAAGCAAAAGCGGCGCAGCAGAGUAAAACAGAAAAUAAAACUGAAGCAAAAACUCAAUGUCGACUAGAUGUCUCAGGACAGAACCCUAAGACAUCUAUUUAUACAAAACGAAAUAAAAUGAUAGUAGACAGGCCAAUAACCUAAUCCCCGGCCCAUAGAAUGAUAAUGGGCCGAGAUGGGCUUCGUGAUCCGAUGGAGGUCCAGGCCGCUUCCAAACACUUUGUUUUCUCCUCUUCUCUUCCUUGUGCUCAGCUUGUCUGGUUGAGUGCGGAUUUGAGUAGACUGUGAAGACGUGAUCGAGUGUCCGGUCGAGUGAUGGUGAUGGUGGUGAGUGAUGAUACUCGACCAGGGGGUCGAGUAACUUGGUAGAGUGAAUGGCCGAGUGUGGUCAGGUGGUGUGGCGAAGUGAUACUCGACCAGGGGGUUGAGUGGCAUCAUCGAGUGGCCUGAGCUGAGGAUACUCGACCAGGGGGUCGAGUAGAUGGGAAGAAUGGCUCCAAAGUUACUCGACUUGGGGUCGAGUAUGGUGCUGGAUGCACAGGACCUGGUGGUCGAGUAUGUCUUCUAGGUCUGGCUCGUUUCUUCCAAUUUGCUCGCAAACAGCUCCAAAUCACCUGAAAACAAAUCAGAAAUGCAAUAUGUAUGCAAAGCUAUCCUAAUCAUGCAAAGUAUGCAAGAAUGAUGAGAAAUGAUAUAAAACAGUGAUGAAUGAUACAAAACUGGACUCAAAACGAUGAUGAAUGGACACUGAAAACAUGCAAAUUAUAGACAUAUAACUCCCCUAAACUUAGUCUUUGCUUCCCCUCAAGCAAACAAUUAAGAACAAGCUGGUGGUGAGGUUUGAAAGCGGGGACUUAUAGCCAAAGCACCUGAUAAACCAUAUGAAAUCAAUGUCCAAAUUGAUAGUUCUAAGCUGCAAUAUGAUCGAAUUCUACUCAAAAACGUUAGCCAUGCCUUGUUAUUAAUCAAUCUGACUCAUAUGCUCGACCUACACAUGCUUUCAAAUCUACCAAUCCCUUUAACAUUCAUUAGUUCUGGAACGUGAAUCAAGCAAUGCAUCAUCAAUGAACUCAUUUGGCUAAGGUAAAAGGUCAAGAGACAAAGAUUGUCCCUUACAGAAUAGGCUUCAGUAACAGGGGAUCUCUCAAAAAAUGAUUAAGCUUUAGUAGAUUGCUAAAGGUAAGUCCCAAGCUAUGCAUAUAGAGAUAAGAUCCCAUCUACCCAGAGUAUAUCAAAUGAAGCUCUAAUGGUAAUCCCAUCUCCAAUCCCAAUAUAAAAACCUAACUCUACCCUUUGCAUUCAUGAAUCCUUUAUGCCCUUUUUCUAAUCAUUCUUUUCUUUUCUCUUAACUCUAGGAGAAGAUUUCUCAACACUUUGAUACAUCUAGCGGAUUUGGAUCUCUUUAACAACUAAGGUUCCUGUUUUUAGCAUUUUAAAACCGAGGGCUUUUGCCCAUCUUCAAUAGCUAACAAGAACUCUUUCUUUUCUUUACAAAUCCCAAAACCUUUACUAGAUUUUUUCUGCUUCUUUAGCUUACCUUACCUAGAGUCUUUUACCUUUUCUCAUCAGAAAAUCCAAGUAUUUUAGGGUAUCCAUGAGUUCAAAUUUGAUGCAAACAUGACAAUUAAAGAUCAGAUUCAGGUUCAUAUUGAUAGGGAAUGGUAUCAGAUCAUGACAGUGUGGUCGACUAGAGCAAUCUAGGCAUGGUUCAGUUUUAUUUCUAAUUCAUUGACUACGCAACAGACAACUAGCAAAGAGGGCACUAAGUUUAUCCGGUGAACCAAAAUGCUUACAAGGCUAUCUCAUCAUUAUCCCCUAUGCAUAUGCAAAAAUCCUAAAUGAAACACUCUAGACUCGAUCCUAAAUGUAAUGCAACUACAUAAACAUUCUUUUUUUUGUGAAAUCAUUUCUGAAAUUUUUCAAAAUUUUUUUGGUUUUUCUAUGCCUUAGAUGUAUGCGGACUAAAAAAUAUACACAAUGCAAUACACACUUCCUGAGCCCUCCCCAAAACUUAAAUCACACAGUCCACUGUGUGGAUAAACUUGGAAGAGAGUACCCAGGACAAAUCCAUUCACAGAAACAAAAUAAAGAACAAAUCACAAGAGAUGAUAUAAUACAAUGGUGAAGUGAGGCGCUUACCUCAGUCGAAGAAUGAACGAAGUCGGUCGUCAAUGGCUGCUUGUGAUUGCUCCCUGGCCAUAGACGAACCGCCCUGUUCCGUAUCAGCUCCAGUAGGUGGGUACUCGACCUCCUCAGCUCUGUGGCGGCCAUCACCGCUCUGAGGAUACUCGACCUCUCUUCUUCAUGUAAACUACGAGAAUGCAGAAGUCGUCUACCCUUGUUGUUAGAUUGAGUGAGUGUGGUCCUCCUCUUCCUCCCAGAUUCAUGAGGCUCGAAUGAUGAAUGCCUCGCAGGGACAUGCAGAAUCUCCUGCUCUCUAGGCUCAGGUUUGCGCCGAAUUGGCUCGGGCGCGUCAUAUCUCCUCGAAGGCAUGUCCUGAGGGAGCUGUCCCUGUGGAAUAGCUGUAGUGGAAGUGGAGCAGCUGAUCUUAUCCUUCAGAAACUUGAUAGCCCUGAGGCACUUGGCGAGAAACUUAUCCUGUUUCUUGCACCACUUCUGCAGCUUGAUGUUAUUCCUGUGAGCUUCGCUCAAACUCUUGCUUUCCCUCGCUGGAAGUAUAUGCUCACUGAAAUGAUACAUGCUCGUGUCAAACUCCGCCUAAUCUAUGUCAUCUGUCUCAUCAACAUCUUCUGUUAUAGCUCCUUCGGUGUGACUAAUCUCCUCAGUUGGCAGACUGCCCUCGAAAUAAAGAUCUUCAAGCGCAGGCUUGAAGUCAAUGUUCCUGCCCUCAAGAAUCCUAGUAGCAUCAAUGUAGGGGAGAAGAAUGUUGGCGAUUCUAAUCGAUGAAUGCUCGAACCUGUAGCGGUGAAAGUCGCUAGCCAUGUCAAACUCCAAGAACUCACAUCGGCGCAAGUGAUCCAAGUCCAUCAUUCUCGGUGCUAACCCUGGUUCCUUAAGCGGUACUCCACAAGCUUCCAGAAUUGGCGUCACAACGCCAUCCAUGCAUAGUGCUCCUGUCACCUUAUUCUUGUCGUUCGUCAACGCCCACUUCCUAUAUCCACACAGGUGGAUCAACAGAGGCAUGACUAGUGGUGCGUUGUUGAGAUCGCCUCUCAAGACAUUCUUUCCCUUUGUACAGCAGAGAAUCCCUGUAAGCGCGGAAUCUAUCAUCUCCAUGUCCGUGUUAGACACGGUGCAUGUAGACUCCCUAGAGUAAAAAACGUUGGCAACCGAGCGGUGAAAGUAGCGGAUCACAGGACUCCGGAUUUGGUUGCUUUUGGACCGCGCCAAGUUUAGCGGUAAAUUAUUCCCAAUAGUAGCCCACAAAUCCUUAAGCUCUUCCCUGUCAAACCUGGUUUUGGUUCCCUUUCCACUAGGGAAACAAAACAGUUCUUCCAACUUCUUGAUCGAAAGCUGAUACCACUGUUCAUCCAUUGAGAACGUCAAGAACCCUAACCCUAAACCCUAAACCCUAAACCCUAAACCCUAAACCCUAAACCCUAAACCCUAAACCCUAAACCCUAAACCCUAAACCCUAAACCCUAAACCCUAAACCCUAAACCCUAAACCCUAAACCCUAAACCCUAAACCCUAAACCCUAAACCCUAAACCCUAAACCCUAAACCCUAAACCCUAAACCCUAAACCCUAAACCCUAAACCCUAAACCUUAAACCCUAAACCCUAAACCCUAAACCCUAAACCCUAAACCCUAAACCCUAAACCCUAAACCCUAAACCCUAAACCCUAAACUCAAUGUAUGUGAGUCCCUCAUACAUCUCCACUUGCAGUGUGGAAAGAAACUCGAUUGUCUCCUCCUUAUAGGAAGCGUAAGAGUAAGACAUGAGUGUUUCCAGAUGCCACUUCUCGAACAGAUGCUGCACGUCCUCCAGUAACCCCAGCUGGGCUAAAGUCUCAUAGUAGGGAUACCUCGUUCCCCAUAAAUCAUUCAUCUCAAAGAAUCUGAUAUACUCCUCCACUGUAACCUAUUCGGGUUUGUUCAGUAGCUUCGUCUUCUUGCACCAUGACUUUGGCUCAUACUCAGUUUUGAUGUCCUCAUCAAUCAGCUCAUAUCUACUGGGCAUCGCUCUCUUCCCUCUGGUGAUUUCUGCUCUUCUCUGAUUACGUCGAGCAGAGGAGCGUUGAAAUUCAUCCCUGAAGCUCUCGUAAACAUGUUCCUCUCUCUCCGGUCUAGAGGACCAGGACUCAGCUUCAUCCACAUUAUAAUCAGGAUCCAUAGAGGAUUCUCGACUGUAGUUACUCAUGAUCAAACCUGUAAACAAUUGAAACUCAAAGAUAAACGUUAAUAAGUUAGUCUCAACAAAACCAAAAACACAAACCAACACAGUAAACCGGUCGAGUGAUGUAAUCGAGUAAACCUUCGUUUAAUUUUUUUUUUUUUUUCUUUUCUUUCGGUUGAUCAAGUGAUUUCGUACGACCGAGUGAAGUUCGUUUCGUGGUAAGAGUGAUGCGUAGGUCGAGUGGUGAGCUUGAAGAGGAGGAGAUAUGGUGAUGCGGUUUGAAAGAGGUUAAGUGAAAAUGGAGGAGCGGUGAUUCGAGUGAUUGUGGUGGUUGAGAGGCGAGGUGAGCUGAAUGAUUCCUCGGUUGCGAAUGUGAGAAGAGAAGACGCGAUCGAGUGAAGAGGCGAUGAAGAAGUUUAUUAUGAGGGAUCGAGUGAAGUGGAGCUCACGGAAGAAGAGAAGAUGGUGGUGGCUUUGGUGAAGAGGUGAGUUGCCGCAAUCGAGUGGUUGUGAGCUUGGAGGUCGAGUGAUUAAAACGAACACUUGAAGACUUGAAUUGCAAUGAGCGACGAUGGGAGAUGAGAGAGUUGCGAAAAGUUUGGUGUGUGGAGAAAGAUGUUGAGGUCGAGUAUAUGAAGAGGAUGGUGAGGAGGUCGAGUGGAUGAGAGUAUGAGAGUUGGGUUGUUGGUUGUAAUGAAUGAGGAGGGAUGGGGUCGAGUUAAUAGGUGUGGAGGAGAUAACGAGGUCGAGUAAGUGAUAGGUGUGGGAUGGGGAUGGCGUCGAGGUUGAGUGGAGAUAGGAUAAGGUGAGGGGGUCGAGUGGUUGUGAGAAGAAAGAGUUGGAUUUCUUGUCUGUUGGUUAGGAGCGUGGGAGACAUAGGGUGCAGCAGUGGGUCCCUCGUCUGUCUCCUUAUUCUAAAUUAUUAUUCUUUCUUCACUAGGAAAGUCUCAGGAAAUCCAACAAUCUUCUGUAAACUUAAUAAACUUCCUGUAAGAACUUGUAGCUUCUGUUGGUCGAGUGAAAUGAUGAUUUAAAAGUUUUAGAUUUUAAACACUCAACCAAUGUACUCGGUCCCUAGGCCGUCUGUAGAGUAAAAGUUUUGAAUUUUUACUCUAGCUUUACGUUAUUCCUCUGUUCCUGAGAACCACAAACACAACUAAAAUAAAUCAAAAAUAACAAGAAAGUAAAAAUUAUUUACAAGGAUAAUCAUGGGACUUCCUCCCAAGUGAGUUUGUUUAAAGUCUCUAGCUUGACUCCUCACACUUAUCAAGAAGAAAAUGAAUGAUAGAGAGGGUCUGCAUAGUCCUCUCUAAUAUCAUCAUCAUACUCAGCGUCCUCCCUGGAGAGGUCUACAGCAGAAUACUCAAUUCCCCUCUCUUCAAAAUAUGCUUCUUUCUCUUUUGGAGGGUUAUCUAUCUCUUCAGACCAUCUUGAAGUGAACUUCUUUAUAGGGAUAGUGUCAAUCCCGCCUUUAGGUUGAGCUUCCUUCUGCAACUGAUUCUGCUUACUUCUAAGUUCCUCAACAGUGUGGGCUUGCUUCUCUAUAGUUUCAUCUUGCUUCUCAGACCUCUUUUUAAGUUCCUUUACUCUUUUAGUCUCAUAUCCUUCUCCUGAGAUCGCUCUAUCAUUUCCAAAGGUUUUUCCAUCUUCUGUUGACCCUUGUGGAGUUUUGUUGAUGUCAAACUGCAACUUGAUGUGCUUUCCAAGGUUGAGACUUAUUUUCCCUUCCCUGACAUCUAUCACUGCUCCCACUGAAGCUAAGAAGGAUCUUCCCAGGAUUAAGGACCCUUAUGCUCUACUUCCAUAUCCAGCACCACGAAGUCUGUAGGCACUUCUACUCCAUUAAUCAUGACUGGUAGAUCUUUCAGCAUGUCGUAGGGUUUUCUUAAAGACCUAUCCGCAAGGAUCAAAGUCAGGUCACAAGGUUUAUACUGAAUAAACUCUAACCUUCUUGCCACAGAGAGUGGCAUUAAGCUGACAGAGGCUCCGAGAUCGCACAGACAAUCGCUGAAAGCUAAUUACCCAAUGGAACAUGGUAGAGUGAAAGAUCCAGGAUCUUCUAACUUUUCUUGAACAAUCCUCUUAUCAACAGCUCGAGAUGGAGUGGCAUCACUUUCAUCAUCUGAAUUGUGAUACAUCUUGAUCUUUUCCAGUAUCAAAUUUCUCACAUCUUUGUGAGGAUCGGGAAUCAGGUUGAGAAUUUCCAUCAGUGGCAUCACUUCUUCAAUCUUGUCUACCUGCUUCGCUGCAACAGACUUGUAUCUCUCCAUCCACGCUUUCUUGAAUGUCCACGGAAAAGCACGUGAGGGUAAUGAAGUAUGUUUGAAUCGUUUUACCAUUCUCUCGAUUAUGGCGGACUUCUCUUCUGAGGUGGAUUGAAUGAGAUGGCGAGAACAAGAAGAAUGGUUGAAUUCAAGAACAGAGACUUCAAUCUGAGUGGAAGCCUUCCUUUCUUGAACAUCACUGUCCCUAGUGAUUAAGUCAGGGACAUGUCGAGUUGGCAGCUCUCGAUCAUGGCAGUUAGUGAUGGCGUGAGCAGUUGCAUACUCCUUUGAAUUCUGUAUUGACUUCCUUGGAAGUCCUGUGACUUUAGGUGCAGAGGUAGAUGCUGAUUGUCCUUCUAAAUAUCUGACUUUGGUAUUCAAUGCCUCCACUUUGGCAUUCAGGUCAUUGUAGUUGUAGUCCAGCUUAUGGUGCAAUUCAAAUAAUUUCUUAGCAAUUUCCAUGGAGCUAGAUGCUUGUCCCUGUAGCAGCUGUUGUACCAUCUGUUUCAUUUCAGCAUCAGGAGCAGCAGGAUCUUGGUUUUGCUGAGGUGCAAACCCAGGUGGUGGUUGCGGCUGGUAGUUCCCCUGAAAUUGCUGCUUAGGAACAAAACCUUGAUUGUAAGGAACAAAAGGUUUGUUCUGAUCUUGUUGUUGCUGUGGAGGAUACACUUGAUCUUGAGGAUUAACAACGUUGGUGCUGCGGUAGGAGAGGUUGGGGUUGUUGGUUUUGAAGUUGUUAUACCCUUUGUAGCCGCUCUGGUUGUUGUUGAUGUAGCUGACUUCUUCCAACUGGUUACCCUCCCCACCUUGGACUUGAUACUUCUCGUCAUCAACAAGGAAGUGCACAUGCUUCUGCUGGCUAAGAAGAAUCAUGUCCAGCUUGUCAUUCAGUGCUUUGAUCUCCUUCCUUUGUUUGUCAUCAGAUUCAGUUGUGCCUCUGACGGUCCUAUCACAGUCCUCGUUGUAAUUACCAUCUGAUUGAGCAAGGUUCUCAACAAUUUCCCAGCCUUCUUCAACAUCUUUGUUCUGGAAGUUCCCAUUGCUGGCGGUUUCCAGAAGGAUUCUCAUGCGUGGCAAAACGCCUCUAUAAAGAGUGCUGAGCAGAGAGGCUUUAGUGAAGCCAUGAUGAGGGCAUUGGGUUGUAUAACCCUUAAAACGCUCCCAUUCUUCACAGAAGCUUUCACCAGCCUUCUGUAAAAAGCCAGAGAUCUCAUUUCUGAGUCUUGCAGUUCUGGCGUUGGAGACGAACUUUGAUAGAAAAGCCUUCUUGCAAUCAUCCCAGGUGGUGAUUGAGUCAUGGGACAGAUUCUACUCCCAAAUGUGAGCUUUGUCGCCCAAGGAGAAUGGAAACAAACGGAGCUUGAAUCCGUCUUCACUGACACCAUUGAUUUUUGUUAGGUUGCAGAGCCUAUCGAAUUCAUUAAGGUGGUCGAGUGGAUCCUCAAUUGGCAGACCAUGGAAUUUGUUCCCCUGAAUCAUCGAGAUGAGACCGCUCUUAAUCUCGAAGUUGUUGUUCUAGAUAGCAGGAGGUGCAAUUCCUUUCCGCUAACGGUGAUCACGUGGUGCGUUUCCAGCACCAAUGUUGGCAGGGCCUUUUUGAUGAUUCUGUUCGUCAGCCAUUUCGAGUGGUUGUUGUGGUAUUAGGUUGACUGUGUUUCUCUUUUCUCUGAGUUCGCGAGCUAUGCGGUCGAUGUUGUCGUUGAAAAGGAGGUUCGGAUUGCCUGUUGAUCGAGUUUGCAUACAGCAGAGGUGUACCUAGAACAAGAAGACAACAAGAAAAAUACACAGUUAGCAACCGAAUUGAAAAUUGAAAAAGAACUUGAUCUAAGCAAGUCUGAAAUCUCAAAUGUAACAAAAAAACACCCAAUUGGCAACGGCGUCAAAUUGAUAAUAGAUUUUUUAGUCAGUUAUCUUAAAACACGAAUCAUGUCGUUGUAGUAUUUUAGUGGCUUGCUAGAACACUGCUAGAACACCAAUCAUACAGCAGAGGUGUACCUAGAACAAGAAGACAACAAGAAAAACACACAGUUAGCAACCAAAUUGAAAAUUGAAAAAGAACUUGAUCUAAGCAAGUCUGAAAUCUCAAAUGUAACAAACAAACACCCAAUUGGCAACAGGGACAAAUUGAUAAUAGGUUUUUUAGUCAAUUAUCUUAAAACACCAAUCAUGUCGUUGUAAUAUUUUAGGUUGUCAAUCCAAAUGAGUUUGAUGCUAACAAUAAGGAUGACUUGAUGGCAUGUGUAUGAUUGGUGUUCUAGCAGUGUUCUAGCAAGCCACUAAGUCACUAAGUCACUAAGUCAAGCCAAGUAAUAACAGGUUUUGGUGUGUUCUAGCAGUCCUAAGUGAACAUGCAGAAAACAGAAAAUCAAGCAGAAACAAUAAAACACUUGACCAACACAGCUCGUUGCAGAGCACUGGGUGUGGUCGAGUGACAGUUCGAGUAACAGACAGAAAAUGUAACAGGGAUACUCGAUUGCACAGUCUGUUGCCGGACAACUGGGGGGUCAAGUAACAGGUCGAGUAACAGUAAAGAAUUGCAGAAACUAAGCAACAGAUGAAAAGAUGCAGUAAACAACAGUAGAGUAAACAAUAAAAUCAAUCAGAUAAAGAAUUCCCGAGGAUGGGGUAAUUGAGUAGUUUCGUUUCCUCAAUUUACAGGUGAUUGACAUGCUCAAUAAAUUAUCCCUAGACAACAAGUUCAUUAACCAAAUCUAAGUGCCACCGCAAUAGAGACCCUCAACUUAACCUAGUCCCAGACUCAAUCACCAUUGACGAGAGCUAACCUUAUAGGCAUUACGAAUCAACAAGUUAAAGCCAAAACACUCCCUGCAACCAAUACCUUGGUACUGAGCCACGAAUCUCUGGAAUUAGUGGUUCAGACAUUUCAUCGAACACCUUUUGGGCGCGGAAAUGUCUGGGCUCAAAUUCCAGUUGAUCAAAAAGCAAUAGGGAUUAAGAACAACUAAUCCAGAAGGGAUCUAUCAAUCAAUACUCAACCACCUAGCAUACUGAGAAUUCUACACUACUCUAACCCAUCCUCAGAAACCUAUUCACUACUCAGACAUCAUUGAAGAGAACAUAAACGUUGAACAGGAUGAAAACAUGAUAACAACAGUGUAAUAGCAAAACAAUAACAGGAUGAACAACAAUAAACAAAAUCAAGAACAAAUACUGAAUACUGAAUAGAUAAAGAGAAAUCCAGAUUACAAAAGGUCUAGAACACAAUGUCUGCGAAAUAAAACUAGAUAAAAACCUCUUCUCGAAAAUGUAAAGUACAUGCUACUUAUAGCAAAAUAUUCGAAAACCCUAAUACUCAAAACGAUGCAGUAUUGGGACAUAUUAAGAACUAUACUCAACCCAGAUGGUCGAGUGAGAGGUCGAGUGAUAUGCUAGAGUCUUCUUUUCUUCCUUGUGCUCGAGUGUCUAGUUGAGUGCGGAAUGAAGAAGACUCUAAAGCUUGCCAUAGAGUAUGUAGUCGAGUGGUGGUGGUGAAGACACUCAACCUGGGGGUUGAAUGAUGUGAUCGAGUGACUGGUCAGGUGGUGGAGGUGAAUACACUCGACCAGGUGGUCGAGUGAGGUGAUCGAGUAUCUCUCGUGGUGGUACUCGGCCAGAGGGUCGAGUGAUGAGAUGAAAUUGUGAACUCCCCUACUCGACCAGGGGGUCGAGUGGUCUGUUGAGGUCUUGAAGCUUCUACUCGACCUCGGGGUCGAGUGGUUUGACAUGAUCAGGUCCGCUUCUUCCAGUUAGCUCGUCAACAGCUCUAAAUCACCUGAAAUCAACACAAAUAUGCAACAUGCAUGCAAACCUAUCCUAAACAUGCAAAGUGAUGACAAAUGAUGAGAAUGGUAUAAAACACUGAUGAUAAGGUGCUAAAGUGAUGACAAAUGGUAUGCUCAAACUUGCAAAAUACACACUUAUCAACAUGAUAGCAACAAAGUAAUAGCAGGAUGAUAAUAGGAUGAACAACUUGGUAAACCAAAUCAAAAGCAAAUACUGAAUACUGAAUAGAUUAAGAGAAAUCCGGAUUACAAAAACGUCAAGAACACAGUGUCUGCGGAAAAUAAAACUUAGGUAAACGAAAAUGUAAAAUACAUGGUACUGAUAGCGAAAUAUUAUGAAACCCUAAUACUCAAAACGACACAAUAUUGGGACGGAUUAAGAACGGUACUCGACCCAGGUUGUCGAGUAAUUUGUCGAGUGAUAAGCUGGAGUCUUCUUCUCUUCCUUGUGCUUGAGUGUUGGUUGAGUACGGAAUGGAGAAGACUCUAAAGCUGGAAGUCGAGUAAGAAGUCGAGUGAUUGAGAUGGUGGUACUCGGCUUGGUGUUAAAGUGAUCGUAGAGUGUGUGAUGAUGGUGGGACUCGGUCGUGUAAUCGAGUGAGUGAUCGAGUGAUUGUGAUGGGGAUGCUCGACCAGGGGGUCGAGUGGUGUGAUCGAGUGAUUGUCAGGUGGUGUGUUGAAGUCGUUAAGCCAUGUACUCGACUAGGUAGGUCGAGUGGUUUGAUAUGAUCAGGUCCGCUUCUUCCAAUUAACUCGCCAAUAGCUCCAAAUAUCCUGAAAGCAACACAAAUAUGCAACAUGCAUGCAAAACUAUCCUAAACAUGCAAAGUGAUGACAAAUGAUGAGAAAUAAUAUAAAAAAAUGGUAAUAUGAUGCAAUAGUGAUAACAAAUGGAUGCUCAAAACAUGUAAAAUGCACACUUAUCAAGUAGAAGAGCUAGAACCGCAACCGGAUUUUGAAAACCCAAGUAGUGUUUCCUUGUUAGAAGAUACAAAGCCCAAGACUCAUACGGACUUCGGUUACACCAUUAAAGCUUUGAGAAGCAAGAAGAAGUUUGGUUUGUGUUUUUCAGUCAAAUAUGACCAGAUGUCAUUUGUAUGAUUGAGUAUAAGAACUCAAACCACAGCCGGAUCUUGAAAGCCCAAAUAGUGUUUCCUUGAUAGAAGAUACAAAGCCAAAUUCUCAUACGAACGUCGGCUACACCAUCAAUGCUUUGAGAAGCAAGAAGAAGCUUGGUUAGUGUUUUGGAGUCAAAUAUGACUUUAUGUCAUGUGUAUGUUUAAGUAUUAGAACUUAAACUACAAACGGAUCCCAAAAGCAAAAUUAGUUUUUCCAUGCUAGAAGAUACAAAGCAAAAUAUUCAUACUGACUUCGACAUCACCAUUAAAGCCUUAGGGAGCAUGAAGAAGCUUGGUUGGUGUUUUGAAGUCAAAUAUGACUUGAUGGCAUGUGUAUGAUUGAGUAUAGGAACUCAACCACAACCGGAUCUUGAAAGCCCAAGUAGUGUUUCCUUUUUAGAAGGUACAAAGACAAAGACUCAUACGGACUUUGGGUACACCAUCAAAACUUUGAGAAGCAAGAAGAAGCUUGGUUAAUGUUUUGGAAUCAAAUAUGACUUGAUGUCAUGUGUAUGAUGGAGUAUAAGGACGAGAAUUGCAACCGGAUCUUAAAAGCCUAAGUAGUGUUUCCUUGUUAGAAGAUACAAAGCCAAUGAAUCAUACGGACUUUCGCUACACCAUCAAAGCUUUGUGAAGCAAGAAGAAGCUUAGUUAGUAUUUUAGAGUCAAAUAUGACUUGAUGUCAUGUGUAUGAUUGAGUAUACGAACUAGAACCUUAACUGGAUCUUAAAACCCAAAGUAGUGUUUCCUUGUUAGAAGAUACAAAGCAAAAGACGCAUGUGGACUUUGGUAACACUAUUAAAGCAUUGAGAAUCAAGAAGAAGCUUGGUUAGUAUUUUGGUGUCAAAUAUGACUAGAUUUCAUGUGUAUGAUUUGAGUAUAAGAACUAGAACUGCAACCCGAUCUUUAAAGCCUAAGUAGUGUUUCCUUGUUAGAAGAUACAAAGCCAAAGACUCAUACGGACUUCAGCUACACCAACAAAGUUUCGAGAAGCAAGAAGAAGCUUGGUUAGUGUUUUGGAGUCAAAUAUGACUUGAUGUCAUGUGUAUGAUUGGGUAUAAGAAUUAUAACCGCAACCGGAUCUUAAAACCUAAGUAGUAUUUAUUUUUUAGAAGAUACAAAGCCAAACAUUCAUACGGGCUUUGGUUACACCAUUAAAGCUUUGAGAAGCAAGAAGAAGCUUGAUUAUUGUUUUAGAGUCAAAUAUGCCUAGAUGGCAUGUGUAUGAUUGAGUACAAGAACUCGAACCACAACUGGAUCUUGAAAGCCAAAGUAGUGUUUCCUUGUUAGAAGAUGCAACGCCAAUUACUCAUACGGACUUCGGCUACACCGUCAAAGCUUUGAGAAGCAAGAAGAAUCUUGGUUUGUGUUUUGGAGUUAAAUAUAAAGUGAUGUGAUGUCUAUGGUUGAAUAUUAGAACUUGAACCGCAAACGGAUCCAAAAAGGAAAAGUAGUGUUUCCAUGCCAGAAAAUACAAAGCCAAAGACUCAUACGGACUUCGACAUCACCAUCAAAGCCUUAGGAAGCCAGAAGAGGCUUGGUUAGUUUUUUGGAGUCAAAUAUGACUAUGAUUGAGUAUAAGAAUUCAAACUGCAACCGGAUCUUGAAUGCCGAAGUAGUGUUUCUUUUUUAGAAGAUACAAAGCCAAAUACUCAUACGGACUUUGGCUACACCAUCGAGAAGCAAGAAGAAGCUUGGUUAGUGUUUUGGAGUCAAAUAUGAAUUGAUGUCCUGUGUAUGAUUAAGUAUAAGACCUAGAUUGGCAACCAGAUCUUGAAAGCCUAAAUAGUGUUUCCUUGUUAGAACAUACAAAGCCAAUGAUUCAUACGGACUUCAUCUACACUAUCAAAGCUUUGGGAAGUAAGAAGAGGCUUAGUUAGUGUUUUAGAGUCAAAUAUGACUUGAUGUAAUGUAUAUGAUUGAGUAUAAGAACUAGAACCACUACCAGAUCUUAAAAGCCUAAGUAGUGUUUCCUUGUUAGAAGAUACAAACCAAAGACUCAUACAGAUUUUGAUUACACCAUUAAAACUUUAAGAAGCAAGAAGAAUCUUGGUUAGUGUUUUGGAGUCAAAUAUGUCCAGACGACAUGUGUAUGAUUUAGUAUAAGAACUCGAACUACAACCUAAUCUUGAAAGCCCAAAUAGUGUUUCCUUGUUAGAACAUACAAAGCCAAUGACUCAUACGAAUUUCAGCUACACUAUCAAAGCUUUGAGAAGCAAGAAGAGGCUUAGUUAGUGUUUUAGAGUCAAAUAUGACUUGAUGUCAUGUGUAUGGUUAAGUAUUUGGACUAGAAAUGGAAACUGAUAUGUCUAUAAUUUGCAUGUUUUCAGUGUCCAUUCAUCAUCGUUUUGAGUCCAGUUUCGUAUCAUUCAUCACUGUUUUAUAUCAUUUCUUAUCAUUCUUGCAUACUUUGCAUGAUUAGGAUAGCUUUGCAUACAUAUUGCAUUUAUGAGUUGUUUUAGGUGAUUUGGAGCUGUUUGCGAGCAAAUUGGAAGAAACGAGCCGGAACCAGAAGACAUACUCGACCCCCAGGUCGAGUGACUUCGGAGCCAUUCUUCCCACCUACUCGACCACUUGACAACACUCGACCGUUCACUCUACCACAUCACUCGACCCCAUGGUCGAGUAUCACUUCGCCACACCACCUUACAACACUCGACCGUUCACUCUACCACAUCACUCGACCCCAUGGUCGAGUAUCACUUCGCCACACCAUCACCAUCACUCGACCGGACACUCGAUCACGUCUUCACAGUCUACUCAAAUCCGCACUCAACCAGACAAGCUGAGCACAAGGAAGAGAAGAGGAGAAGACAAAGUGUUUGGAAGCGGCCUGGACCUCCAUCGGAUCACGAAGCCCGUCUCGGCCCAUUAUCUUUCUAUGGGCCGGGUAAUUAGGUUAUUGGCCCGUUUACCAUCAUUUUAUUUUGUUUUGUAUAAAUAGAUGUCUUAGGGUUCUGUCCUGAGACAUCCAGUCGACAUUGAGUUUUUGCUUCAGUUUUAUUUUCUGUUUUACUCUGCUGCGCCGCUUUUGCUUCUGCAACCUGUAAUUCGAGAUUUUUCCAAGUUAUUCAGAUUCCGCAUUUGAUUUCAUCUGUCAUCUUGUUUCUAUACUCUUUAUCUCUUUACUUAUGCAAUAUUAUCGUUUACCUGCGUUUAUGUCUUUAAGCAUUUUGUCUGAGUAGUGACUUAGAAUUCUUAGGGAUGGGAUAGAGUAGUUGUGGAAUCCGUAGUCUGUAGAAUGGUUAAGUUUUAGAAUUGAUUGAAUCCCUUCAGGACUAGUUGCGUUUACUGCUUAUUUCUUUAUGAUCAACUGGAAUUCAACCCAAGCAUUCCCGCACCCAGAAGGUGUUCGAUGGAAUGUUCGAUCGACUAGUUCCUGAGAUAUUCGUCUCUAUCCCAAGGGAUUGGCCGAUUAGAGCGUUUAUUGACUUUAUAAGUCUGUUCUUAUUGCCUGCAUAGUUAGAUUCCGUUAAUGGGAAUUAGUCUGGGCUAGCUUUGCUUGAGGAUUUCUAUCACGGGAGUGAAUUAAUCUGUUGUUGAACCUGUUGUCUAGGGAUAGCUUGAUUGCGCUUGUUAACCAUUCGAAUAGGCUAGGAUACCACUCUACUCGAUUACCCUAUCCUUAGGAAUUUCUCGUCUAUCUUAUUUCUCUGUUUUAUUGUUAUCGCUUAAUCGUUGUCAUUGCCUGUUUCUUAGUUUUUGCAAUUACUCGACCAACUUACUCGACCACACCCAGUGUCUGGCAACAGACUGUGCAGUCGAGUGCAGUUGUUUCAUUUCCUGUCUGUUACUCGACCAGUAUACUCGACCACACCCAGUGUCUAGCAACAGACUGUGCAGUCGAGUAUAUCUGUUUCAUAUCCUGCCUGUUACUCGACCACAUCCUACUCCUGGCAUUAGCCUGUUGUGGUCGAGUGAUUUUAGUAAUUCUGUUAUUCUUUCUGUUUUCUGCAUGUUCACUUAGGACUGUUAGAAACCCCAAAACUGUUAUUGCUUGGCUUGACUUAGUGACUUCUGAUCACAUCUCAUUUGUCUGCAUCACACCCAUUUGGAUUGACACCUAAAAUACUACAAUGACAUGAUAGGUGUUUUAGGAUAAUUGACCAUAAAAACCUAUUAUCAAUUUGGCGCUGUUAUCUUUUUCAUUUUUUCUGAAAGUUACUAACUUUGUGUUUUUUCUGUUUGUCUGUUUUGAUUUAGGUACUACGAUACCAGCUUUACAAGUUGGUACUCGUUGUAUGCAAAUACGGUCACGAGGAAAUCAGAAUCUCCUGUUCAACGAUAACAUCGACCGUAUUGCACGCCAACUCAGAACACAGACAGAAACAGAGACAAUGGCUGCAGUUGUUGAUGAGCAGGUGCAACCAAACAACAUAGGUGCAGGCGAUGCACCACGCAACCAGAAUCAGCGUAAUGGCAUCGUGCCUCCACCUGUGCAGAACAACAACUUUGAGAUCAAGAGCGGUCUCAUUGCCAUGGUUCAGAGCAACAAGUUCCACGGCCUCCCUAUGGAGGAUCCACUCGAUCACCUGGACGAGUUUGAUAGGCUCUACAGCCUAACAAAGAUCAAUGGAGUUAGUGAGGAUGGUUUCAAGCUCAGAUUGUUUCCAUUCUCUCUUGGAGACAAAGCACAUCAGUGGGAAAAGUCACUUCCUCAAGGCUCUAUCACCUCCUGGAAUGACUGCAAGAAAGCCUUCUUGGCUAAGUUUUUCUCAAACUCCAGGACUGCGAGACUAAGGAAUGAUAUCUCCAGUUUCACUCAAACGAAUAAUGAGACUUUCUGUGAAGCAUGGGAGCGCUUCAAAGGUUAUCAGACGCAAUGUCCUCAUCAUGGUUUCUCCAAAGCUUCACUUCUCAGCACUCUCUAUAGAGGUGUCCUUCCCAAGAUCAGAAUGCUUCUUGAUACCGCUUCCAACGGGAACUUCCUCAACAAAGACGUUGAAGAAGGAUGAGAGCUGGUAGAGAACUUAGCUCAGUCGGAUGGCAACUAUAAUGAAGAUUAUGACAGAAGCAUCCGCACCAGCUCUGAUUCUGAUGAGAAGCACCGCAGGGAAAUGAAAGCCAUGAAUGACAAACUGGACAAGCUACUCCUUGUGCAACAAAAGCACAUUCAUUUUCUGGGUGAUGAUGAGACAGUCCAAGUGCAGAACCAAGGAGGUCAGCUAUGUGCAGAACCAAGGAGGUUACAACAAAGGUUUCAACAACUUCAAGCAGAGCCAUCCAAAUCUGUCUUACAGGAGUACAAAUGUUGCAAACCCGCAUGACCAAGUCUACCCUUCACAGCAGCAAAAUCAACCCAAGCCCUUUGUUCAUACAACCAAGGUCAGGGGUAUGUUCCUAAGCCGCAGUAUCAGGGCAACUAUCAGCAGCAACUUCCACCACCUAGGUUCACACACCAGCAACAACAACUAGCUUCAACAACUCCAGAUUCAGACUUGAAGAACAUGUUACAGCAGAUUCUCUAGGGACAAGCUGCAGGUGCAAUGGAUCUUGCCAAAAAGAUGGCAAAAAUCCACAACAAGGUUGAUUGUACUUUCAAUGAUCUGAAUAUCAAACUUGAGGCACUUACCUCUAAGGUCAGAUACAUGGAAGGACAAACAGCGUCAACUUCUGCUCCAAAAGUAACAGGACUUCCAGGAAAGUCAAUACAGAACCCGAAGGAAUACGCCACCGCUCACGCUAUCACCAUCUGUCAUGAUCGAGAGCUGCCUACUCGACAUGUUUCCACAUCAAUCACCGAGGACAGUGAUGUUCAGGACGGGGAGGCUUCUACUCAGAUUGAAAUUUCAGUGGUUGGACUCGACCAUUCAGCUGGAUCCCGUUUUCAAACCGAGUCCAACCUAGACGAGAAAGCAGCCAUCAUUGAGAGGAUGGUAAAACGAUUCAAGCCAGCACCAUUACCUUCACGUGCUCUUCCAUAGAAAAUUCAGGAAAGCAUGUAUAGAAAGAUACAAUUCUCUUGCAGAGAAGCAGCUUGAUGAGAUGGAAACGGCUUGAUGAGAUGGAAGCGGUGAUGCCUCUAAUAGAAGUUCUCAACCUAAUCCCGGAUCCUCACAAAGAUGUGAGAAAGUCAAUUCUGGAAAGGAUCAAGAUUCAUCAAGAUUCAGAAGACGAAUGUGAUGCUAUUCCGUUUAGGACCACUGCUAAGAGGAGUGUUCAAGAAAAACAGGAAGAUCCAGGAACUUUCACUCUACCAUGUUUCAUUGGUCAAUUGGUUUUCAGCCAUUGUCUUUGUGAUUUGGGAGCUUCAGUAAGCUUAAUGCCACUCUCCGUGGCAAGGAAGCUGGAAUUCACUCAGUACAGGCCUUGCGACCUGACUUUGAUCCUUGCUGAUAGGUCUUCAAGAAAACCCUUUGACCUUCUACAAGAUCUGCCAGUAAUGAUUAAUGGAGUGGAAGUGCCUACGGAUUUCGUUGUUCUUGAUAUGGAAGCAGAACCUAAGGAUCCUCUAAUCCUAGGAAGACCUUUCUUAGCCUCAGUGGAAGCGAUGAUAGAUGUCAGAGAUGGGAGAAUAAGUCUUAACCUUGGGAAGCACAUCAAGAUGCAGUUUGACAUCAACGAAACUUCGCAAAGGUCAGCUGUAGAAGAAAAGAUCAGGGCUCAACCUCAACGUUCGAAUUCAAUCACCAGACCAAGCACAGCCUCUACACCUAACUUGCGAGAUCUCAAAAAGAAAUCUGAUGAGCAAGAAGAGACCAUAGAGAAGCUAGCUCAGACAGUUGAGGAACUUAAGAGUAAACUGGAUCAUAUGCAAGAGAUAGCUCAAUCCAAAUGCGGGAAUAACACUAUCCCGAGAAAAAAGAUUACUUCAAGAUGGUCUAAGGAGAUAGAUUAUCCACCAGAAGAGAAAGAGGCCUAUUUCGAGGAAAGAAGAAUUGAGUAUUCUGCUACUCAUCUCUCAAGAGAGGAUGCUGAAUAUGAUGAUGAGAUCAGAGAGGACUAUGAAGAUCCUCUCUAUCACCCAUUUUCUUCUUAAUGAGUGUGAGGAGUCAAGCUAGAGACUUUAAACAAGCUCACUUGGGAGGAAUUCCCAAGACUGUUUCUGUAAAUAAAACUUUUAUUUUCUUGUUAUUUUUGAUUUGUUUUUGGUUGUGUUUGUGAUUCUCAGGAACAGAGAAACAGCGUGGAGGUAGAGUAAAAAUUUAAAAAUUUUACUCUACAGAGCAACAGGAGAACGAGUAUGUCAGAAAUUCAAGAGUUUGAAAAACUUUUGUUGCACUAAGAGGCCAUGAGGUCGAGUAAGUUUGGUCGAGUAUUAGUGAUGAUUUUAAAAAAACCCAAAAUUUUUAAAUCAUAUCUAUACUCGACCAACAGAAGCUACAGAGACUUGCAGGGAGUUUAACAAGUUUACAGAGGAUUACAGAAGGUUCUAGUCAACAGAGAACAGCGCUUCAGGACAAACAGACAGAGCGUGGCCAACCACCUCUCACCUUUGUUCCCCCACGCGUUUUUAGAGAUAACAAAAUCUCUUCCCUCUUUCCCAACCACUCGAUCUCACUCUAUCCCUAUCCUCUCCCACCGACAUCAUCUCUCUCCCUCUCCAAACACUCGACCAAGAAGAUUCACUCUACCUCACGUUUCUCACUCGACCAAACCUCACCAUCUCUCUUCCUCUCCAAGCACUUGACCGCACCAUCACACUCGACCUCACCGUUCACUCGAUCUCUCCCCUCCGGCUUCACCAUCUCUCGCUGCUUUGUCACCCUCUCACUCGACCAAACCUCACUCGUCAUCUCUCGCACCGCCUCCCAUUUACUCGAUUGCAACGCCCUCCUCUCCAUCCGCCGCUUUCUCGACCUCGUCGUCCCAGCUCUCACUGCUCACGCCUCCGCCCUCUCUCUCUCAUUCACUCGACGACGGGACAGGUUUCAUCUUCACUCAACCGCUACUCGACUUCUUUCACUCGACCGCAUCGCAAUUUGGACAAAGAGGCUCUUCAUUCGAUUUUCGAUAAACGGCCAGAGUUUCUCUCUCUCGUUCUCGCAAGCUAACUCGACUUCGCCGGAGCUUCUCGUCGUUCACUCGACCACUCCGCCCUUCACUCCGCCGGACUCUCACCGUCGCCUCCUUUUCACUCGAUCUCGCCGCUCCAACUUCAACAUUCCUCACUCGAUCUCGCCUCCCAUUCACUCGACCGCAAGAGCACCUCAGCCUCUACUUCGAUCUCUUUCUCUCAACUCUCCGUUCUCACCGUUCACUCGACCUCGCCAUUCACUUCGCCUCCGUUCAUCUCUUCACUCGACCGCUCCUCAAACCGCCACCGUCUUCUCUCCAUUCGACAUUUACUCGGCCACACAGUCACCGUUUCUCAUUCUCUUCCACUCGACCACAAAAUUUGAACACACAAUUUGACUAUACUCGACCGGUUACUCGACCGUGAACUUGAUUGGUUUAGUGUUUGUGUUUAUUUGGACUAACAUAUUGAUAUUUGGUUUUAAGUUACAUUAUUUUUCAGGAAAUCAAUAUGAGUAACUACAGUGGCGAAUCCUCCAUGGAUGCAGAUUACAACGUCGAUGAAGCUGAAUCUUGGUCAACUGGACCAGAGAGAGAGCGACAGGCUUAUGAGAGCUUUAGAGCUGAGACCCAACGCUCAGUAGCUCGACGCAAUGAGAAGAGAGCUGAGAUUGCUAGAGAAAGAGAGCAAUGACCAGCAGAUAUGAGUUGAUCGACGAAGAUAUUGACGUCGAGUAUGAGCCUGAGUCAUGGCACAGAGAAACGAAGCUGUUGAACAAGCCUGAUGAACGACUUCUGGGGAACGAGGUACCCCUGUUAUGAGACUUUAGCAUAGCUGGGGCUACUGGAGGACGUACAUCACUUAUUCGAGAAGUGCCAUCUGGAGACGCUGAUGUCUUACCCGUACGUCGCUUACAAGAAGGAAACAAUAGAGUUUCUCUUCACUCUGCAAGUGGAGAUGUAUCAGGGACUUACAGCAGAUGAGCUGGAGAGUGAAGGGUUGGGGUUCUUGACUUUUUCAGUGAACGAGCAGCGUUACCAGCUAUCUAUCAAGAGCUUGGAAGGAUUAUUUGGUUUUCCCAGUGGAAAGGGAACUAAACCCAAGUUCGAGAGGGAAGAGUUGAAGGAUUUGUGGUUAACCAUUGGGAACGAUUUGGCGCUCAACUUUGCAAGGUCUAAGAGCAACCAGAUUCGUAGCCCUGUGAUCCGCUACUAUCAGCGCUCAGUAGCGAAUGUUCUGUACCCCAGGGAAUCUACAGGCACCGUGUUUAACACAGACAUGGAGAUGAUUGAUUCUCCACUCAAGGGCAUUCUCCGGAGAACAAAGGGGAAGAAGGUCCUAAAGGGCGACCUUAAUGAUGCACCACCGGUUAUGCUUCUGUUGAUCCACCUAUGUGGAUACAGGAAGUGGGCGCACACCAACGGGAAGAAGAAGGUGCGAGGAGCCCUUUGUGUAGGUGGCGUUGUGACACCGAUUCUGAUUGCAUGUGGUGUACCUCUCACGUCUCCAAGGUUUGAUCCGAGGAUGAUGGAUUUAGAUCACUUGCGUUGUUGUGAGUUUCUGGAGUAUGAUAUGGUUGGCGAUUUCUAUCGCUACAAAUUCGAGCACUCCCUGAUCCGAACAGCCAACAUUUUGCUUCCCUGCAUCGAGGCCACGACCAUACUUCAGGGUAGGAACAUUGACUUCAAACCUGCACGUGAUUACCUCUACUUUGAGAGCGCUCCACCGACUGAUGAUAAUGUCCCUACGACGGAAGCUAUAGAGGAUGAUAUUGCUGAGACGGAUGAGGAUAGGGAGGAGGAGUACGAUACGAGCAUGUAUCAUUUCAGAGAGCACGUACCUCCAGCGCGGGAGAGCAAGAGCUUGAGUGAAGCUCACAGAAACAACAGUAAGUUGCAGAGGUGGUGCAAGAAACAAGAUAGGCUACUCAUCAAGUGCUUCAAAGCCAUCACGUUUCUGACAGACAAGCUUAGCUGCUUCUCUUCUACCACAGCUAUUCCGCAGGGAGAGCGUCCUCAGGACAUGCCUUCGAGGAGAUAUGACGCGCCAGGGCCAAGUCAUCACAGGCCUGAGCCAAGUCACCACAAGCCUGAGCCUAGUGACCGAGUAGUCCCACCAGUCCCUGCAAGGCAUUCAUCAUUCGAGCCUCGGGAGCUCGGGAGAAAGAAGAAGGCUGCACUCGCUCGGUCUGGCAGCAGGAGUACACGACUUCUCCAGUCCCGUAGCUUACGCGACCGCGGUGCUGGCCGCAGCAGAAGAAGAGAGGUCGAGUAUCAUCAGAGCGGUGCUGGCCGCGACGAAGGAGCAGAGGUCGAGUACCCCCAGGGGGAAGCUGAGACACAGCAGGGAGAUUCUUCGAUGGCCUGGGAGCAAUCACAGGCAGCUAUUGGCGACCAACUUCGCUCCUUCUUCCACUGAGGUAUGCACCUCACUCCACCAUUGUAAUAUACCAUCUCUUGUUUUUAUUUUGUUUUUGUGAUGUGUUUUGUCCUAAGUACUCUCUUCCAAAUUUGGUCACACAGUGGACUGUGUGAUUUAAGUUUGGGGGAGGGCUCAGAAAGUGUGUAUUGCAUUGUAUAUAAUCUUGAGUCUGCAUUCAUCUAAGGCAUAGAAAAGAACCAAAAAAAUUGAAAAAUUUCAGAAAAUGAUUUCACAAAAAUAGAGUGUUCAUGUAGUUGCAUUGCAUUUAGGAUCGAGUCUAGAGUGUUUCGUUUAGGAUUGUUGCAUAUGCAUAGGGGAUAAUGAUGAGAUAGCCUUGUAAGCAUUUUGGUUCACCAGAUAAGCUCAGUGCCCUCGUUGUUAGUUGUUUGAUGCGUUGUCAUUGAAAUUGAAGUAAAACUGCACCAUGCCUAGAUUGCUCUACUCGACCACACUGUUAGGAUCUGAUAUCAUUCCCUAUCAAUUUGAACUUGAAUCUGAUUUAGAAUUAUCAUGUCUUGGCAUCGAAUUUGAACUCAUGGAUACCCUAAAAUACUUGGAUUUUCUUACUCCUUUUAACCACUCUUGUUGAUCCAAAUAGCUGACUCUCCUUAUUAGAGCAGUUAACCCGAACCCAAACAUGAACUUUCUUUCAAGCCCUAUAUCACUUGUGAGUGUUUGUGAGGUCUUAUUUCGAUUGAGCUUGGUAAAAAGUGUUAGCUUCGUAACGACAGAGAUAGUGUCUCAUGUAGUUCUAGUUCGCGUUCUUCGGACUGGAUAGGACUAGGUGGGCGCUUAUAUCAUGGGUUGGGAUGUCUUUAAAAGAAAAGGGUGAAUUUAUUGUUGAUAAGGAAAGGGAAAGAAUUCUAGGGGAAGUAAGCUAAAGAAGUUAGAAAAAAAUCUAGUAAAGGUUUUGGGAAUGUUAAAGAAAAGAAUGAGGUUCUUGUUAGCUAAAGAAGAAGGGUUAAAAGCCUUUGGUUUUAAAGAUUUAAAACAGGAACCUUAGUUGUUAAAGAAAUCCAAAUCCGCUAGAUGUAUCAGAGUGUUGAGAAAGCUUCUCCUAGAGUUAAGAGAAAAUAAAAGAAUGAUAUGAAAAAGAGUUUGAAAGAUUCAUGAGUGCAAAUGGUAGAGUUAAGUUGGGACAGGAGUUGGGAUUACCAUUAGAACUUCAUUGCUAUACUCUGGGUAGAUGGGAUCUUAUCUCUGUAUGCAUAACUUGGGACUUACCUUUAGCAUUCUACUAAAGCUCAAUCAUUCUUGAGGGAUCCCCUGUUACUUAAGCCUAUUCUGUAAGGGACCAUCUUUGUCUCUUGACCUUCACCUUAGCCAAAUGAGUUCAUUGAUGAUGCAUUGCUUGAUUCACGUUCCAGAACUAAUGAAUGUUAAAGGGAUUGGUAGAUUUGAAAGCAUGUGUAGGUCGAGUAUAAGAGACGGAUUGAUUGAUAACAAGGCAUGGCUAACGUUUUUGAGUAAAAUUCAAUCAUAUCGCAUCUUAGAACUACCAAUUUGGACAUUGAUUUUAUUUGCUCUAACAUAUGCUUUGGUUCUGAGUCCCCGCCUUCAAACCUCUCCUUCAACUAUGUCUUCUUAUUUGCUUGAGGGCAAGCAAAGACUAAGUUUGGGGGAGUUGAUAUGUCUAUAAUUUGCAUGUUUUCAGUGUCCAUUCAUCAUCGUUUUGAGUCCAGUUUCGUAUCAUUCAUCACUAUUUUAUAUCAUUUCUCAUCAUUCUUGCAUACUUUGCAUGAUUAGGAUAACUUUGCAUACAUAUUGCAUUUCUGAGUUGUUUUCAGGUGAUUUGGAGCUGUUUGCGAGCAAAUUGGAAGAAACGAGCCAGAACCAGAAGACAUACUCGACCCCCAGGUCGAGUGACUUUGGAGUCAUUCUUCCCACCUACUCGACCACUUGGUCGAGUAUCCUCAGCUCAGGCUACUCAAUGACACUACUCGAUCCCCUGGUCGAGUAUCACUUCGCCACACCACCUGACAACACUCGACCGUUCACUCUACCACAUCACUCGACCCCAUGGUCGAGUAUCACUUCGCCACACCACCUGACAACACUCGACCGUUCACUCUACCACAUCACUCGACCCCAUGGUCGAGUAUCACUUCGCCACACCAUCACCAUCACUCGACCGGACACUCGAUCACGUCUUCACAGUCUACUCAAAUCCGCACUCAACCAGACAAGCUGAGCACAAGGAAGAGAAGAGGAGAAGACAAAGUGUUUAGAAGCGGCUUGGACCUCCAUCGGAUCACGAAGCCCAUCUCGGCCCAUUAUCUUUCUAUGGGCCGGGUAAUUAGGUUAUUGGCCUGUUUACCAUCAUUUUAUUUUGUUUUGUAUUAAUAGAUGUCUUAGGGUUCUGUCCUGAGACAUCCAGUCGACAUUGAGUUUUUGCUUCAGUUUUAUUUCUGUUUUACUUUGCUGCGCCGCUUUUGCUUCUACAACCUGUAAUUCGAGACUUUUCCAAGUUAUUCAGAUUCCGCUUUUGAUUUCAUCUGUCAUCUUGUUUCUAUACUCUUUAUCUCUUUACUUAUGCAAUAUUAUCGUUUACCUGCGUUUAUGUCUUUAAGCAUGUUGUCUGAGUAGUGACUUAGAAUUAUUAGGGAUGGGAUAGAGUAGUUGUGGAAUCCGUAGUCUGUAGAAUGGUUAAGUUUUAGAAUUGAUUGUAUCCCUUUAGAACUAGUUGUGUUUACUGCUUAUUUUUUUCUGAUCAACUGGAAUUCGAUCCCAAGCAUUCCCGCACCCAGAAGGUGUUCGAUGGAAUGCUUGAUCCACUAGUUCCUGAGAUAUGCGUCUCUAUCCCAAGGGAUUGGCCGUUUAGAGCGUUUAUUGACUUUAUCAGUCUGUUCUUAUUGCUUGCAUAGUUAGAUUCCGUUAAUGGGAAUUAGUCUAGGCUAGCUUUGCUUGAGGAUUUCUAUCACGGGAGUGAAUUAAUCUGUUGUUGAACCUGUUGUCUAGGGAUAGCUUGAUUGCGCUUGUUAACCAUUCUAAUAGGCUAGGAUACCACUCUACUCGAUUACCCCAUCCUUAGGAGUUUCUUGUCUAUCUUAUUUCUCUGUUUUAUCGUUAUCGCUUAAUCGUUCUCAUUGCCUGUUUCUUAGUUUUUGUAAUUACUCGACCAACAUACUCGACCACACCCAGUGUCUGGCAACAGACUGUGCAGUGGAGUGCAGUUGUUUCAUUUCCUGUUUGUUACUCGACCAGUAUACUCGACCACACCUAGUGUCUGGCAACAGACUGUGCAGUCGAGUAUAUCUGUUUCAUAUCCUGCCUGUUACUCGACCACAUCCUACUCCUGGCAUCAGCCUGUUGUGGUCGAGUGAUUUUAGUAAUUCUGUUAUUGUUUCUGUUUUCUACAUGUUCACUUAGGACUGUUAGAAACCCCAAAACCGUUAUUGAUUGGCUUGACUUAGUGACUUCUCAUCACAUCUCAUUUGUCUGCAUCACACCCAUUUGGAUUGACACCUAAAAUACUACAAUGACAUGAUUGGUGUUUUAGGAUAAUUGACCAUAAAAACCUAUUAUCAGAAACUUAUCCCAAAAUUUAAAGUAGUGUUUCCAUGCUAGAAGAUACAAAGCAAAAGAUUCAUAAGGACUUCGACAUCACCAUCAAAGCCUUAGGAAGCAUGAAGAAGCUUGGUUAUUGUUUUGGAGACAAAUAUGACUAGAUGACAUGUGUAUGAUUGAGUAUAAGAACUCGAACCGCAACCGGAUCUUGAAAGUCCAAGUAGUGUUUCCUUAUUAGAAGGUACAAAGACAAAGACUCAUACGGACUUUGGGUACACCAUCAAAACUUUGGGAAGCAAGAAGAAGCCUGGUUAUUGUUUUGGAGUCAAAUAUGACUUGAUGUCAUGUGUAUGAUGGAGUAUCAGGACAAGAAUUGCAAUCGGAUCUUUAAAGCCUAAGUAGUGUUUCCUUGUUAGAAGAUACAAGCCAAUGAAUCAUACGGACUUUAGCUACACCAUCAAAGCUUUGUGAAGCAAGAAGAAGCUUAGUUAGUGUUUUAGAGUCAAAUAUGACUUGAUGUCAUGUGUAUGAUUGAGUAUACGAACUAGAACCACAACCGGAUCUUAAAACCCAAAUUAGUGUUUCCUUGUUAGAAGAUACAAAGCUAAAGACUCAUGUGGACUUUGGUAAUACUAUUAAAGCGUUGAGAAUCAAUAAGAAGCUUGGUUAGUGUUUUGGAGUCAAAUAUGACUAGAUGUCAUGUGUAUGAUUGAGUAUAAAAACUGGAACUGCAACCCGAUCUUAAAACCUAGUUAGUGUUUCCCUUUUAGAAGAUACAAAGCCAAAGACUCAUACGGACUUCAGCUACACCAACAAAGCUUUGAGAAGCAAGAAGAAACUUGGUUAGUGUUUUCGAGUCAAAUAUGACUUGAUGUCAUGUGUAUGAUUGGGUAUAAGAACUAGAACCGCAACCGGAUCUUAAAAGCCUAAGUAGUAUUUAGAAGAUACAAAGCCAAACAUUCAUACGGACUUUGGUUACACCAUUAAAGCUUUGUGAAGCAAGAAGAAGCUUUGUUAGUGUUUUGGAGUCAAAUAUGACUAGAUGUCAUGUGUAUGAUUGAGUAUAAAAACUGGAACUGCAACCCGAUCUUAAAAGCCUAGUUAGUGUUUCCUUGUUAGAAGAUACAAAUCCAAAAACUCAUACGGACUUCAGCUACACCAACAAAGCUUUGCGAAGCAAGAAGAAACUUGGUUAGUGUUUUCGAGUCAAAUAUGACUUGAUGUCAUGUGUAUGAUUGGGUAUAAGAACUAGAACCGCAACCGGAUCUUAAAAGCCUAAGUAGUAUUUGUUUUUUAGAAGAUACAAAGCCAAACAUUCAUACGGACUUUGGUUACACCAUUAAAGCUUUGAGAAGCAAGAAAAAGCUUGGUUAUUGUUUUGGAGUCAAAUAUGCCUAGAUGUCAUGUGUAUGAUUGAGUACAAGAACUCGAACCGCAACUGGAUCUUGAAAGCCCAAGUAGUGUUUCCUUGUUAGAAGAUACAACGCCAAUGACUCAUACGGAUUUCGGCUACACCAUCAAAUCUUUGAGAAGGAACAAGAAUCUUGGUUUGUGUUUUGGAGUUAGAUAUAAAUUGAUGUCAUGUCUAUGGUUGAGUAUUAGAACUUGAACCGCAAACGGAUCCGAAAAGGAAAAGUAGAGUUUCCAUGCGAGAAGAUACAAAGCCAAAGACUCAUACGGACUUCGACAUCACCAUCAACGCCUUAGGAAGCCAGAAGAAGCUUGGUUAGCUUUUUGGAGUCAAAUAUGACUAGAUGACAUGUGUAUGAUUGAGUAUAAAAACUCAAAUCGCAACCGGAUCUUGAAAGCCCAACUAGUGUUUGUUUGUUAGAAGAUACAAAGCCAAAUACUCAUACGGACUUUGGCUACACUAUCAAAGCUUUGAAAAGCAAGAAGAGGCUUAGUUAGUGUUUUAGAGUCAAAUAUGACUUGAUGUCAUGUGUAUUAUUGAGUAUAAGAACUAGAACCACAACCGGAUCUUAAAAGCCUAAGUAGUGUUUCCUUGUUAGAAGAUACAAAGCCAAUAAAUCAUGCGGACUUUAGCUACACCAUCAAAGCUUUGUGAAGCAAGAAGAAGCUUAGUUAGUGUUUUAGAGUCAAAUAUGACUUGAUGUCAUGUGUAUGAUUGAGUAUAACUAGAACCACAACCGGAUCUUAAAACCCAAAGUAGUGUUUCUUUGUUAGAAGAUACAAAGCUAAAGAUUGUUGUGGACUUUGGUAACACUAUUAAAGCGUUGGGAAUCAAGAAGAAGCUUGGUUAGUGUUUUGGAGUCAAAUAUGACUAGAUUUCAUGUGUAUGAUUGAGUAUAAAAACUAGAACUGUAACCCGAUCUUAAAAUCCUAAGUAGUGUUUCCUUGUUAGAAGAUACAAAGCCAAAGACUCAUACGGACUUCAGCUACACCAACAAUGCUUUGAGAAGAAAGAAGAAGCUUGGUUAGUUUUUUGGAAUCAAAUAUGACUUGAUUUCAUGUUUUUGAUUGGGUAUAAGAAGUAGAACCGCAACCGGAUCUUAAAAGCCUAAGUAGUAUUUCUUUUUUAGAAGAUACUCUAGUUUAGAGAUGUGUUUCUAGUUUAGAGAUGUGUUUAAGAACUCAAAGUAAAGAAUAACUCUCUUUAAUCUCUUUAGGAAAAUUACUCAAAACCUAAAGCUAUUGAUCUCUUCACAAUCUCUAAAAACCCAUAAGGUUAACCACAACUUGGUAACUCUUAUAUAGAGAUCAAUAGAUAAUUCUAGAAUAAACAUUUAGAUUAAUAUUAGAUAACUCCUAAUAAUAUCUUUAGGUAAUGAUAUGUCUAUAAUUUGCAUGUUUUACACAUCUUUUUAUCACCAUUUUGAGUCUAGUUUCAUCCAUCUUUCAUAGCAUUUGAUAAUAGGUUUUUAAUUAAUUAAACCUAAAGCACUAUCAUGUCGUUGUAAUACUGAAGGUUGUCAAUCCAAAUGGGUGUGAUGCUAACAAUCAAGAUGUGAUCAGAAGUCACUAAGUCAAGCCAAGCAAUAACAGGUUGUGGUGUGUUCUAGCAGUUCUAAGUGAACAUGGAGAAAAUAGAAAUUCAAGCAGAAACAGUAAAACACUCGACCAACACAGCUCUUUGCAGAGCACUGGGUGAGGUCGAGUGACAGGUCGAGUAACAGACAGAAAAUAAAAUACAGAUACUCGACUGCACAGUCUGUUACCAGACAAUUGGGUGGUCGAGUAACAAGAAAGAACUGCAGAAAUUACGCGACAGAUAACAAGAUGCAGUAAAUAACAGUGGAGUAAACACAGAAUUCAAUCAGAUAAAGAAUUCCUGAGGAUGGGGUAAUUGAGUAGUUUCGUUUCCUCAGUUUACAGGUGAUUGACAUGCUCAAUAAAUUAACCCUAGACAACAAGUUCAUUAACCAAAUCUAAGUGCCACCGCAACAGAGACUCUCAAGUUAACCUAGUCCCAGACUCAAUCACCAUUGACGAGAGAUAACCUAACAGGCAUUACGAAUCAACAAGUUAAAGCCAAAACGCUCCUUGCAACCAAUACCUUGGUACAGGGUCACGAAACUCUGGAAUUAGUGGUUCAGACAUUUCAUCGAACACCUUUUGGGCGCGGAAAUGUCUGGGCUCAAAUUCCAGUUGAUCAGAAAGCAAUAGGGAUUAAGAACAACUAAUCCAGAAGGGAUAUAUCAACCAAUACUCAAUCACCUAGCAUAUUGAGAAUUCUACACUACUCUAACCCAUCCUCAGAAACCUAUUCACUACUCAGACAUCAUAACAGUAAGCAUAAACGUUGAACAAGUUGAAAACAUGAUAACAACUGUGUAACAACAAGAUGAUAACAGAAUGAACAACAGUAAACGAAAUCAAGAACAAAAGCUGAAUACUGAAUACUAAAUAGAUAAAGAGAAAUCUGGAUUACAAAAGGUCUAGAACACAAGGUCUACGGAAUAAAACUAGAUAAAAACUUGUCUGCCAAAAUGUGAAGUACAUGCUACUUACAGCCAAAUAUUCCGAAACCCUAAUACUUAAAACGACGCAGUAUUGGGACGGAUUAAGAACUGUACUCGACCCAUGUGGUCGAGUGGGAGGUCGAGUGAAUAGCUGGAGUCUUCUUUUCUUCCUUGUGCUCGAGUGUCUGGUUGAGUGCGGAAUGAAGAAGGCUCUGAAGCUUGUCAUCGAGUAUGUAGUCGAGUGGUGGUGAUGGUGAUACUCGACUUCCACGUAGAGUGAAGAGGUCAAGUAGUGGUCUGGCAAUGAAGGUGAAGACACUCGGCCUCAGGGUCGAGUGACGUGAUCGAGUGAUGGUCAGGUGAUGGGAUGAAGACACUCGACCUCGUGGUCGAGUGAUGUGGUGAAGUAGUGAUGUCCUCUACUCGACCAGGGGGUCGAGUGAUCUGUUGAGAUCUUGAAGCUCCUAAUCGACCUCGGGGUCAAGUCGUUUGAUAUGAUCAGGCCCGCUUCUUCCAGAUAGCUUGUCAACAGCUCCAAAUCACCUGAAAUCAACGCAAAUAUGCAACAUGCAUGCAAAUCUAUCCAAAAAUUGUAAAGUGAUGACAAAUGAUGAGAAAUUGUAUAAAACAGUGAUGAUAUGAUGCUAAAGUGAUGACAAAUGGAUGCUCAAAACAUGCAAAAUACACACUUAUCAGCAUUCACCAUCAUUUUCAUACAUUUUGCAUCUUAAGUCGAGUCUAGGACUAGUCUUGCAUACAUUCUGCAUUCUGGAGUUGUUUCAGGUGUUUUGGAGCUAUUGGUGCUCAGAAAGAGGGAAAACAAAACAGAAAGUCACACUUCCACCAAACAUACUCGAUCACCAGUAGCAGAGAGGGAAGCAGUCAGCUCAGUAGUCCAUCCAGACACUUCUACUCGAUCACAGAGGAGACCAGGCAGUCCAUUCUGCCAGAUAUACUCGACCGUAGAGGAGAGGAGGCAGUCCAUUCUGCAAUUCUACUCUAUCGCAGAGGCAACCAUGCAGUCCACUUUGCCAGUCCACCAGUUAUACUCGAUCGCAGAGGAGAAGAACCAGUACAUCCUGACAGCUGACACACUUACUCGAUCACAGAGGCCAAGAAGCAGCCCAGAUCAUUCUGUCAACCAACCUACUCGACCACCACCUCGACCCUCUGAUCAAUCCGCACUCAACCAGAUAACCUGAGCAUCGGAAAGAGAAGAGAAGAGAAGAGAAGGCCCAUUCGAAACCCAUUCAAAGCCCAUCAGGAAGCCCACUUUGAGCCGACACUCUUGAUCACGCCGUCCAUGGGCCGUUAAGUGGGCUCGAAGCCGAGUUAACAUCUACAGGUCACCAAGUUUACUCGACCAUGGAGGCAUCCCAACUGCCCGUUUUCACUCGAUCACCAAGGCGACACUUUAGACCAUUUCUCAGACCAAUAUACUCGACCGUCGGACCAAACGUCAUGUGAACCCUGCGAUCGAGUAUCAUGCACCAGAGGAGGAGGAACAACAACAAGGUCCCAGUAUUCCAUGGGAUUACACCAGAGAGGAGAUGGCACACACAACCAUCAUUGUAUAUACCAUUUUCUGUUUUCGUUUUGUUUUAGUGUCUCUUGAACUCUUCUUUAGACUUCUAUUACACAAGGGACUGUAUAGUUUAAGUUUGGGGGAGGAUUCAAGAAGUAUUUAACAUGUUUGCUAGUGAGUCUUAUUUGCAUCAUUUGAGUCUUAACUUCAUCUAAGACAUAGAAAAAAAAUAAAAAAAAAAUGAAAACAUUUCUGAAAAUGUAUUCCACAAAAACAGAGUGUUCAUAUAGUUGCAUCACAUUUAGGAUUGAGUCUAGGAUGUUUCAUAUAGGAUUGUCGCAUAUGCAUUGGGGAUUAUGAUGAGAUAGCCUUGUAAGCAUUUUUGUUCAUCGUUUCUAGUUGUCUGAUGUGUAGUCAAUGAAAUUGAAGUAAAACUGCACCAUGUCUUGAAUGCUCUACUCGAUCACACUGUUAUUAUCUGAUACCAUUCCCUAUCAAUUUGAACCUGAAUCUGACUUGCAAUUAUCAUGUCUUAGCAUCGAAUUUGAACUCAUGGAUACCAUAUACAUACUUGGGUUUUCUUUAAACUUUUCACCACCCUUGCUAACCCAAGUAGCUGCUUCCAUCAUUGAAGUAGUUUCCCUUGCCCUUAACCAAACCUUUCUUUCGAGCCCUGUUAUAUAUCGUGUGCGAUUGUGAGGCCUGUUUCAGGAUUGAGCUUGGAAGAAAGUGUUAGGUUUGAGCCGACAAGAGUAGUGUCUCAUGUAGUUCUAGUCCACGUUUUCUGGGCUAGAUAGGACAAGGUGGGUGUCUAUUCUUGAAGUGGGGAUCGAGUAUAUGAGAAAAUAAGAGAGAAAGGAAAUGUUGAUGUUCUUAGGAGAAGGAAGUUGAGAAACAAGUUAGUCUAGUAAUGGAUUUUGGGGAACUAAAAAAAAAAUAGGCUCACAACAAAAGAAAAAAAGUCUAGAAAAGUCUUGAUCACAAGAAGAUAACAUGAGCCAUAGUUGUCAAAGAAAACCAAAGUCCACUAGAUCCAACAAAGUAAAAGAAACUUCUCCUUAGAAUAAGAGUCAAAGAAAAGAAAGAGUGGUUUGAUCCAAGAUAAGAAUGAGAAAAAAAUGCCUUGAGUGCAAAGGGUAGAACUAGGAUCAUAUUCUGGGCUUAAGGGUAGUACCAUCUGCUGGUGUAUACACUGUGUAUGUUUUUGGGUAGAUGGGAUACUAUUCUUGUAUGCAUAGGUUGGCUCUUACCUUUAGCAUUCUCCUAAAGCUCAGUCCAUUUCUUUUCAGAGUCCCCUGUUACUAAACUUGAACCACCAGAAAGGGACCAUCUGUGUCUCUUGACCUUCACCUUAGCCAAAUGAGUUCAUUGAUGAUGCAUAGCUUGAUUCACGUUCCUAAUCUAAUGAAUGUUAAAGGGAUUGGUAGAUUUGAAAGCAUGUGUAGGUCGAGUAUAAGAGUGGGAUUGAACUAUAAUAAGGCAUGGCUAACGUUUUUGAGUAGAGUUCGAUAAUAUGGCAUCCUAGAACUGCCAACUUGGACAUUGAUUCUAUCUGAUUUAUUUGAUGCUUUGGUUCUGAAUCCCCACCUUCAAACCUCUCCUUCAGCUUAUGUCUACUUGUUUGCUUGAGGGCAAGCAAAGACUAAGUUUGGAGGAGUUGAUAUGUGUAUAAUUUGCAUGUUUUACACAUCCUUUAAUCACCAUUUUGAGUCUAGUUUCAUCCAUCUUUCAUAGCAUUCACCAUCAUUUUCGUACAUUUUGCAUCUUUAGUCGAGUCUAGGACUAAUCUUGCAUACAUUCUACAUUCUGGAGUUGUUUCAGGUGUUUUGGAGCUAUUGGUGCUCAGAAAGAGGGAAAACAGAACAGAAAGUCACACUUCCACCAAACAUACUCGAUCACCAGUAGCUGAGAGGGAAGUAGUCAGCUAAGCAGUCCAUCCAGACACUUCUACUCGAUCAUAGAGGAGACUAGGCAGUCCAUUCUGCCAGAUAUACUCGACCGCAGAGGAGAGGAGGCAAUCCAUUCUACAAUUCUACUCUAUCGCAGAGGCGACCAUGCAGUCCACUUUGCCAGUCCACCAGUUAUACUCGAUCGUAGAGGUGAAGAACCAGUACAUCCUGACUGCUGACACACUUACUCGAUCACAGAGGCCAAGAAGCAGCCCAGAUCAUUCUGUCAACCAACCUACUCGACCACCACCUUGACCCUCUUAUCAAUCCGCACUCAACCAGACAACCUGAGCAUCGAAAAGAGAAGAGAAGAGAAGGCCCAUUCGAAGCCCAUUCGAAACCCAUUCGAAGCCCAUCAAGAAGCCCACUUUGAGCCGACACUCUUGAUCACGCCGUUCAUGGGCCGUUAAGUGGGCUCGAAGCCCGCUUUCUUAUUUUAGUAUAAAUAAGUCUCUAAGGGUUUCGCCCUGGGACAUGCACUUUUAGAGACACGAAUUUUGCACUAUUAUUCAGCAGCCGCUUUUCAUUCCUGCAAUUUUAUAUUUCGAUUUUUCUUCUAAGUCAUUCAGAUUUUGCUUUCAUUUGCUUGUUCAUCUUUCGUUUCUAUGUUAUUGUCUUUAAGCAUGUUGUCAGAGUAGUGACUCAGAAUUCUUAAGGAUGGGUUAGAGUAGUUGUGGAAUCCGUAGUCUGUAGAAUGGUUAAGUCUUAGAAUUGAUUGAAUCCCUUCAGGACUAGUUGUGUUUACUGCUUAUUUCUUUCUAAUCAACUGGAAUUCGAUCCCAAGCAUUCCCGCACCCAGAAGGUGUUCUAUGGAAUGCUUGAUCCACUAGUUCCUGAGAUAUUCGUCUCUAUCCCAAGGGAUUGGCCGUUUAGAGCGUUUAUUGACUUUAUCAGUCUGUUCUUAUUGCCUGCAUAAUUAGAUUCCGUUAAUGGGAAUUAGUCUGGGCUAGCUUUGCUUGAGGAUUUCUAUCAAGGGAGUGAAUUGAUCUGUUGUUGAACCUGUUGUCUAGGGAUACCUUGAUUGCGCUUGUUAACCAUUCGGAUAGGCUAGGAUACCACUCUAUUCGAUUACCCCAUCCUUAGGAAUUUCUCGUCUAUCUGAUUUCUCUGUUUUAUCGUUAUCGCUUAUUCGUUCUCAUUGCCUGUUUCUUCGUUUUUGCAAUUACUCGAUCAACUUACUUGACCACACCCAGUGUCUGGUAACAGACUGUGCAGUCGAGUACAGUUGUCUCAUUUCCUGUCUGUUACUCGACCAGAAUACUCGACCACACCCAGUGUCUGGCAACAGACUAUGCAGUCAAGUAUAUCUGUUUCAUAUCCUGUCUGUUACUCGACCACAUCCUACUUCUGGCAUCAGCCUGUUGUGGUCGAGUGAUUUUAGUAAUUCUAUUAUUGUUUCUGUUUUCUGCAUGUUCGCUUAGGACUGUUAGAAACCCCAAAACUGUUAUUGCUUGGCUUGACUUAGUGACUUUUGAUCACAUCUCAUCUGUUUGCAUCACACCCAUUUGGAUUGACACCUAAAAUACUACAACGACAUGAUUGGUGUUUUAGGAUAAUUGACCAUAAAAAACUACUAUCAGAUAACUCCCAAAGAUUUAAUCUAAUCCUUCUCAAAACUAAAUAACUUAUUUCUUAAGUAAUACUCAAGCUUACUCCAACAAUCUCCCCUUUAAGCUUGAGAUCACUCCUCUUCACUUCUUGAACACCCAUAAGAUCUCUCAUCUCUUUAAACUUCAUUCUCCCAAGUGCUUUAGUUAGGAUGUCUGCCUUUUGCUCAUUCCCCGGAACAUGCUCUACUUCCACUUGUCCAUUUUCGACGCAUUCUCUUAUGAAGUGGUAACGCCUAUGAAUGUGCUUGCUUCAGCCAUGGAAGACCGGAUUCUUGGUAAGGGCGAUUGCUGAUUUGUUGUCGAUUCUUAUGAGCACCUUCUCGCUUGGUUCUCCUAUAACUUCACUAAGCAAGUCUUGAAGCCAAAUUGCUUGCCUAGCUGCUUCUGUUCCUGCCAUAAACUCUGCUUCACAUGAGGACAUUGCCAUUGUUUCUUGUUUCUGUGAACACCACGAGAUGGGACUCUCUCCAAGGUAGGAAAUGUGACCGGCUGUACUCUUGCCAUCAUCAGGAUCAACAUUGUGGUUGCUGUCACUAUAGCCUACUAGCUUUGGUAUCUUUUCACUUGAUCGUUUAAAUACCAAACCGAGUGUAGUCGUACCUUUCAAGUACCUCAAACAUUGUCUCAUUGCAGCACCAUGUGAUUCAUUUGGAUCUUGCAUGUAUCGACUUAACACUCCCACGCAAAAGGACAGAUCCGGUCUUGUAUGAAUUAAAUAGCGAAGGCAACCAACUUUUUUCCUGUAUCCGGUAGCAUCAAUUCCUUCUUCAUGAUGUGAUUUGGACAAUUGCAAACCAGAUUCCAUUGGUAUGUGCAUCAAGUUACAGUCCUUCAUCCCAGCGUCUUCUAAAAUCUUCAUUGCAUAUCGGUGUUGACUUAGUGUGAUUCCUUGCUCUUGUUGACAGACUUCUAUUCCAAGAUAGUACGUCAAUUUUCCAAGAUCACUCAUCUCGAACUUAGAAGCCAUCUCUCUCUUGAAUCCACUAAUACUUCUUUCAUCUGUUCCGGUUAUGAAAAGGUCAUCUACGUACACUACCACAAGAAGAAAAAUAUUCCCACUUACAGUUUUACGAUAUACUGAUGGUUCUUUGGAACACUUCUCGAAUUGUAGUUCUGUAAGAAUCUGAUUCAGCUUAUGGUUCCAUGCUCUCGGUGCUUGUCGUAAUCCAUACAAAGCUUUGUGAAGCCUAUAGACUUUCCCUUCCUAUCCUCUUUCUUCGAAUCCUUCUGGUUGUGUCACAUACACGGUUUCUCUUAGUUCUCCAAGGAGAAAUGCUGUCUUGACAUCAAGAUGGUGUAUCUCCCAACCAUUUGAUGCUGCAAGGUUCACAAGUAGUCGUUUGGUUUCAAGGCGAGCUACGGGAGCGAACACUUCUUCAAAGUCCACUCCAUAGCGCCAAAACGUAACCUUUCGCGACCAAUCGAGCCUUGUAUUUGUUGAUGCUCCCGUCCGAGUUGCGUUUGAGUUUAAAAACCCACUUUAGACCUAUACGUUUAACUCCAUGCGGCAGAUCUUCAAGACUCCAUGUCUUAUUCUUUGUUAUUGAAAACAUCUCUUCUUCACACGCAAGUGUCCACUCUCUGGACUCCUUAGCCUCACUGAAACUGCUCGGUUCGUUAUUCAAUAUUAGAAGUAGCCUUUCUCCUUCUUCUUCUACAAGUAAUGCAUAGUCUUCAAGGUACUUUGGUCUUAUGGUUUGUCUUUGCGAUCUUCUUAGAUUAGGUUGUUGACUUUCUGUUCCAAGAUCAGCAGAGACUUCUUCAUUUUCUGCAAAGGUUUCAUGAUCAUGUUGUUCUUCAUUCACGUGAAUAGGCUGUGUUUGCUCUGUCUCACCAUAUUCGUUGUCUUCUUCUUGUAGACCAUGAUUCCCGAAUUCUCCAAGUGUGACACUGAAGCUUCCAUCUUGUUUAGGUUCGUUGUGAUUCCAAUCCCAUCCUUUUUCUUCAUCGAAUACAACAUCUCUACUCACCACAAUUUUCCGAUUUACUGGGUCAAGUAGACGAUAUGCCUUUGAACCCGGCUCAGUACCUAGAUGAACUAGCUUUCUCGACCUGUCAUCUAGUUUCCUCAAGUGUGGUGUCUCCACUUCUGCGUAUCCAAUGCAGCCAAAUACUGUGAGAUGAUUCACGUUUGGUUUCUUUUGGUAGAAAGCUUCAUAUGGAGUGUUGUCAUUCAACGAUCUUGUAGCUAUCCGGUUCAGCAGGUAGGUGGCGUGUCAUACUGUUUCUCCCCAUAAGUAACUAGGUAUAUGCAUGUGUUUCAUGACACUCCUUGUCAUUUCCAUUAGAGUUCUGUUUCUUCUUUCAAAUACACCAUUCUGUUGUGGUGUAUAUGGAGCAGUAAGAUGUCUUUUAAUACCCGAUUCUUCACAAAACUUAGUGAACUCAUGUGAUACAAACUCUCCUCCUCUGUCUAUUCUGAAAGUCUGAAUUUUGCUUCCAGAUUCUUGUUCAACUAAGACCUUGAAGCGCUUGAAUUUAUUGAGAGCAUCACUUUUCUCCUUAAGUAGAGUUGUCCACAUGUAUCUAGAAUGAUCAUCAAUAAUGACAAAGAUGUACCUGUUUCCUGCAGCUGUGCUUGGUGUUAUAGGACCACAUAAGUCUCCAUGAACGAGUUCAAGUAUCUUGGUGGCUCUGUAUGAGGUUGCUUGCGGGAAAAAUUGCCUUGAUUGCUUCCCAAACAAACAUGAAUCACAAACUUCUUUUUCGAUCUUAACGUGUGGGAUCCCUCUUACUAGCUCCUUUUGUAUCAUUGACUUGAUUGUGUCGAGAUUUAUGUGUCCCAAUCUUGAAUGCCAUCUACUUGAUUCGCUGAGGUUUGUUAGAUAUAGACACAUUGUUCCUCUUUUUGCCAUCCGAACCUUAUUAAGUCGAUUCUUUGAUCUUGUUGCUUUGACAAGUAAUUUUCCCUCUCGGUCAUGCAUUGUUAGAAUGUCAUCCUUCAUUCUUAUGUCACAGCCUGAUUCUCUAGCUUGUCCCAAGCUAAUGAUGUUGCUUUUUAAAUCUGGAAUGAAAUAGACAUCUGACAUUUUUCUUUGUUCGCCAUUCCUGUCAAAAAACGAGAUCGUUCCUUUCCCUUUGAUAUCAAUCCGUGAAUCAUCGCCAAAGCGUACUUUCCCGGUGAUAGAAUUAUCUAUACUAGUGAAGUAUCUUUGAUCUCCUGUCAUGUGGUUACUUGCUCCGUUAUCGAGAUACCAAACAUCAUUCUCUCCAUUGUUAGUUUCAUAGUUGCUUGGAAUACAAUUCUUCUCAUUUAGAUACACAACUUCGUGAACCAUGAGUUCAUCUGCAGUUUGUGUAUCGUCUUUCUCGUUCUCUUGGGCUUCCUGCAACUUGAAAAGACGAUUCGGGCAGUCAGAGGCGUAGUGACCUAAUUUGUCACAUCUAUAGCAAGUUACUUUGGAUGUAUCUCUUCCACCAUUCGACCUUCCUUGUCCUCUUCCUCUGUAAUAAGAGCGUCCUCCUCGACCUCUUCCUCUGUAGCAGUUGUUGUACUCUUGAUUUGUUUGGUAAUCUUGAUUAGUAUACAACAACUUGCUUUGAUCUUCUUGUGGUUCUUCAUCAUCUACCACUCGUUCUUCAUAUACUUUCAUUCGUCCUACAAUGUCUUCAAAUCCGUUUGUGUUAAGAUCAAGAACUUGUUCGAGUGAUGCAACUAUGUGAAUGAAUUUCUUUCGAGGCAGACUUGAGAGAAACUUCUUCACUAGUUUUGGUUCUUCGAUUUGAACUCCUAAAGCUGCAGAUUUGGAUGCAAUUUCUGCUAACUUUCCUACAAAAUCAUCAAUCUUCUCAAUAUCCUUCAUCUUCAAGCGAUCAAAGUCAUUCAUUAGAGUCUGUAGUCUCGCUUCUCUAACUCGUUCUGCUCCCACGUUCCUCGACCGAAUAGCUUCCCAAACCUUCUUUGCUACUUUAAAUUCUCCAAUUUGCAAAGCUAGGGAUUCGGGUAUGGAUUGAAUCAUUAAAGCUAUAGCCAUGAUGUUCUUGUCUGCAUCAACGGGUUCUGUUGACUCUGUUUCAAUAGCUUCCCAGACUUUGUGUACUUGAAGAGCAAUCUCCAUCUUCAUAGCCCAUGCCGUGUAAUUUGUUUGAGUUAGCAUAGGGCAUUGGAUCGAAGAAGUUCCUCCUCCUUCUUUUGGUUUCGUUCCCGACGUAACUAUUUUGCUCAUAUCUUCUCCUUACAAAUUCUUCUUUAUGGUCUCAAGAUUUGUAAGCUCUGAUACCAAUUGUAGUUUAGAGAUGUGUUUAAGAACUCAAAGUAAAGAAUAACUCUCUUUAAUCUCUUUAGGAAAAUUACUCAAAACCUAAAGCUAUUGAUCUCUUCACAAUCUCUAAAAAACGAUAAGGUUAACCACAACUUUGGUAACUCUUAUAUAGAGAUCAAUAGAUAAUUCUAGAAUAAACAUUUAGAUUAAUAUUAGAUAACUCCUAAUAAUAUCUUUAGAUAACUCCCAAAGAUUUAAUCUAAUCCUUCUCAAAACUAAAUAACUUAUUUCUUAAGUAAUACUCAAGCUUACUCCAACAGAUACAAAGCCAGACAUUCAUACGGACUUUGGUUACACCAUUAAAGCUUUGAGAGGCAAGAAGAAGCUUGGUUAGUUUUGGAGUCAAAUAUGCCUAGAUGGCAUGUGUAUGAUUGAGUACAAGAACUCGAACCGCAACUGGAUCUUGAAAGCCCAAGUAGUGUUUCUUUGUUAGAAGAUACAACGCCAAUGACUCAUACGGACUUCGGCUACACCAUCAAAGCUUUGAAAAAUCUUGGUUUAUGUUUUGGAGUUAAAUAUAAAUUGAUGUCCUGUCUGUGGUUGAAUAUUAGAACUUGAACCGCAAACGGAUCUGAAAAGGAAAAGUAGUGUUUCCAUGCUAGAAGAUACAAAGCCAAAGACUCAUACGAACUUCGACAUCCCCAUCAAAGCCUUAGGAAGCCAAAAGAAGCUUAGUUAGUUUUUUGGAGUCCAAUAUGACUAGAUUGCAUGUGUAUGAUUGAGUAUAAAAACUCAAACCGUAACCAGAUCUUGAAAGCCCAAGUAGUGUUUCUUUGUUAGAAGAUACAAAGCCAAAUACUCAUACGGACUUCGGCUACACCAUCAAGAAGCAAGAUGAAGCUUGGUUAGUGUUUUGGAGUCAAAUAUGAAUUGAUGUCCUGUGUAUGAUUUAGUAUAAGAACUAGAUUGGCAACCGGAUAUUGAAAGCCCAAAUAGUGUUUUCUUGUUAGAACAGACAAAGCUAAUGACUCAUACGGACUUCGGCUUCACUAUCAAAGCUUUGAGAAACAAGAAGGGGCUUAGUUAGUGUUUUAGAGUCAAAUAUGACUUGAUGUAAUCUGUAUGAUUGAGUAUAAGAACUAGAACCACAACCGGAUCUUAAAAGUCUAAGUAGUGUUUCCUUGUUAGAAGAUACAAACCAAAGACUCAUACAGAUUUUCGAUUACACCAUUAAAACUUUGAGAAGCAAGAAGAAUCUUGGUUAGUGUUUUGGAGUCAAAUAUGACCAGACGACAUUUGUAUGAUUUAGUAUAAGAACUCGAACUACAACCUAAUCCCGAAAGCCCAAAUAGUGUUUCCUUGUUAGAACAUACAAAGCCAAUGACUAAUACAGAUUUUGAUUACACCAUUAAAACUUUGAGAAGCAAGAAGAAUCUUGGUUAGUGUUUUGGAGUCAAAUAUGACAAGAUGGCAUGUCUAUGAUUUAGUAUAAAAACUCGAACUACAACCAGAUCUUGAAAGCCCAAGUAGUGUUUCCUUGUUAGAAGAUACAAAGCCAAAUUCUCAUACGGACUUUGGUUAAACCAUCAAAGCUUUGAGAAGCAAGAAGAAGCUUGGUUAGUGUUUUGGAUCAAAUAUCACUUGAUGUCAUGUGUAUGGUUAAGUAUUUGGACUAGAUCUUGAAACUUAUCCCAAAAGCAAAAGUAGUGUUUCCAUGCUAGAAGAUACAAAACAAAAGAUUCAUACGGACUUUGACAUCACCAUCAAAGCCUUAGGAAGCAUGAAGAAGCUUGGUUAUUGUUUUGGAGUCAAAUAUGACUAGAUGACAUGUGUAUGAUUGAGUAUAAAUACUCAAACCGCAAUCGGAUCUUGAAUGCCCAAGUAGUGUUUCCUUGUUAGAAGAUACAAAUCCAAAGACUCAUAUGGACUUCGGCUACACCAUCAAAACUUUGAGAAUCAAGAAGAAGUUCUGUUAGUGUUUUGGAGUCAAAUAUGACUGGAUGUCAUGUUUAUGAUGGCGUGUAAAACUAGAACCACAACGCGAUAUUAAAAGCCUAAGUAGUGUUUCGAUGUUAGAAGAUACAAAGCCAAUGACUCAAACGAACUUCAGCUAGACCAUCAAAGCUUUGAGAAGCAAGAAGAAGCUUAGUUAGUGUUUCUGAGUUAAAUAUGACUUAAUGUAAUAUGUAUAAUUGAGAAUAAGAACUAGAACCACAACUAUAUCUUAAAAGCCUGAGUAGUGUUUGCUUAUUAGAAGAUACAAAGCUAAAGACUCAUGUGGACUUUGGUUACACUAUUAAAGCUUUGAGAAGCAAGAAUAAGCUUGGUUAGUGUUUUGGAGUAAAAUAUGACUACAGGUCAUGUGUAUGAUUGAGUAUAAAAACUCGAACCGCAACCUCAUCUUGAAAGCCCAAGUUGUAUUUCCUUGUUGGAAGAUACAAAGCCAUAGAGUCUUACGGACUUCGGCUACACCAUAAAGACCUUGAGAAGCAUGAAUAAGCUUGGUUAGUGUUUUGGAGUCAAAUAUGACUUGAUGUGAUGUGUAUGAUGGAGUAUAAGUACAAGAACCACAACCUGAUCUUAAAAAUCUAAGUAGUGUUUCGUUGUUUGAAGAUAUAAACCCAAAGACUCAUACGGACUUCGACAUCACCAUCAAAGUUUUAGGAAGCAUGAAGAAGCUUGGUUAGUGUUUUGGAGUCAAAUAUGACUAGAUGGCAUGUGUAUGAUUGAAUAUAAAAACUAAAACCGCAAUCGGAUCUUGAAAGCCCAAGUAGUGUUUCCUUAUUAGAAGAUACAAAGCCAAAUACUCAUACAGACUUCGGCUACACCAUCGAGAAGCAAGAAGAAGCUUGAUUAGUGUUUUGGAGUCAAAUAUUAAUUGAUGUCCUGUGUAUGAUUGAGUAUAAGAACUAGAUUGGCAACCGGAUCUUGAAAGCCCAAAUAGUGUUUCCUUGUUAGAAGAUACAAAGCCAAUGACUCAUACGGACUUCAGCUACACUAUCAAAGCUUUCAGAAGCAAGAAGAGGCUUAGUUAGUGUUUUAGAGUCAAAUAUGACUUGAUGUCAUGUGUAUGAUUGCGUAUAAGAACUAUGAUAAUAGGUUCUUACUCAAUUAAUCCUAAAACACUAAUCUUGUCGUUGUAGUAUUUUAGGUGUCAAUCCAAAUGGGUGUGAUGCAGACAUAUGAGAUAUAAUCAGAAGUUUCUAAGUCAUGCCAAGCACAAUUUGGUUGGUUUUCUAACAGUCCUAGUGUUGAUGCAGUAAACAGUAAAAAGUCGCAGAAAUGACUGAUAUACUCGAUUGCAGGGUCGACUCCCAGAAAGGACCCUGUGAUCGAGUACAAUAGAAUGACAGAGAGUAAAAAUGCAGAAAUGGACCAGUUUACUCUAUCACACAGUCUCACUGUCAGUAGCAGGGUGUGAUCGAGUAGGAUGGUUGAAAACACGAAAAUACUAAAAUUCAAUAGCAAGUGAAUGAAGUAGGUAAGUAAACAAAGAAAUCAAUUGGAUGAGAAACUCAUAAGGAUGGGGUAAUCGAAUAGUGUGGUCUCCCUAAUCAAUUCAGUUGGUUAACAAAUCUCAAUUAAGCUAUCCCUAGACAACAGGUUCAACAACAGAUUAAUACACUCCCGUGAUAUAAAUUCUCAAGCAUAGCUAGACACUGACCUAAUUCCCAUUAGCGAUCUCUAACUAAGCAGGCAAUAAGAACCGACUGUUAAAGCCAAUAACCGCUCUAAACGGCCAAUCCCUUGGGAUAGAGACGAUUAUCACUGGAAUUAGUAGAUGCAACGUUCUAUAAAACGCCUUCUAAGCGCUGGAACGUCUGGGAUCGGAUUCCAGUUGAUCAUAAAGGAAUAAACAGUAAACACAACUAAUCCAGAAGGGAUUCAAUAAAUCUACACUUAACCAACAGAUUCGACCAGGGGUUCCACAGCUACCCUAUCCCAUCCUUAGAAACUCUAAUCACUACUCAGACAACAUGCUUAAAGACAACAACAUAGAAACGAUUGAAUAUUGCAUACUAAAAAUAUUAAAGGGAAUGAAACAAAGAUGAACAAGCAAAUGAAAUCAAAAUCUGAAUAACUUAGAAGAAAAAUCGAAAUACAAAGUUGCAGGAAUGAAAAGUGGCUGCUGAAUACUAGUGCAAAAUUCGUGUCUCUCAAAGUGUAUGUCUCAAGGCGAAACCCUUUGAGACUUAUUUAUACUAAGAUAAGAAAGCGGGUUUCGAGCCCACUUAACGGCCCAUGGACGAUGUGAUCAAGAGUGUCGACUCAAAGUGGGCUUCCUGAUGGACUUCGAAUGGGCUUCGAAUGGGCCUUCUCUUCUCUUCUCUUUCCGUUGCUCAGGUUGUCUGGUUGAGUGCGGAUUGAUCAAAGGGUCGAGGUGGUGGUUGAGUAGGUUGGUUGACAGAAUGGUCUGGGCUGCUUCUUGGCCUCUGUGACCGAGUAUGUGUGUUAGCUGUCAGGAUGGAUUGGUUCUUCUCCUCUGCGAUCGAGUAGAAUUGGUGGACUGGCAAAGUGGACUGCAUGGUCGCCUCUGCGAUUGAGUAGAAUUUUCAGGAUGGACUCCUUCAACUCUGUGAUCGAGUAGAACUGCAGUUGGGAUUGACUCCUCUCCUCUGCGAUCGAGUAUAAGUGUCUGGAUGGACUGUUGAGCUAACUGCUUCCCUCUCUCCUACUGGUGAUUGAGUAUGUUGGUGGAAAUGUGACUUUCUGUUCUGUUUUUCCUCUUUCUGAGCACCAAUAGACGCAAGACUAGUCCUAGACUCGACUAAAGACGCAAAAUGUACAAGAAUGAUGAUGAAUGCUAUGAAAGAUGGAUGAAACUAGACUCAAAGUGGUGAAAACAGGAUGUGUAAAACAUGCAAAUUAUAGACAUAUCAACUCCCCCAAACUUAGUCUUUGCUUGCCCUCAAGCAAACAAGUAGACAUAAGCUGAAGGAGAGGUUUGAAGGUGGGGAUCCAGAACCAAAUCAUCAAAUAAAUCAGAUAAAAUCAAUGUCCAAAAUGACAGUUCUAGGAUACGAUAUGAUGGAAUUCUACUCAAAAACGUUAGCCAUGCCUUAUUAUAGUUAAAUCUCACUCUUAUACUCGACCUACACAUGAUUUCAAAUCUACCAAUCCCUUUAACAUUCAUUAGUUUAGGAACGUGAAUCAGGCAAUGCACCAUCAAUGAACUCAUUUGGCUAAGGUGAAGGUCAGGAGACAAAGAUGAUCCCUUUCUGGUUGUUCAAGUUUAGUAACAGGGGACUCUCAAAAGAAAUGGACUGAGGUUUUGGAGAAUGCUAAAGGUAAGAGCCAACCUAUGCAUACAAAAAUAGUAUCCCAUCUACCCAAUAACAUAGACAGUGUAUACACCAGCAGAUGGUACUACCAUCAAGCCCAAAAUAUGAUCCUAGUUCUACCCUUUGCACUCAAGGUAUUUUUUUUUCUCAUUCUUAUCUUGGAUCAAACCACUCUUUCUUUUCUUUGACUCUUAUUCUAAGGAGAAGUUUCUUUUACUUUGAUGGAUCUAGUGGACUUUUGGUUUUCUUUGACAACUCUGACUCUUGUCCUAACACUUUCUUCCAAGCUCAAUCCUGAAACAGGCCUCACAAUCGUGAUCUUUACUAUAUUACGGUGAGAAAAUUAUAGGUUCGGACAUUGUUUUCAAAUAUUUUGCAUGUAUCAAAGCUCUUAUAAACAAGAUAGGAUAUUCCUACAUAGCUGGUGGGACCCCAACAAAUGGAUCAUGAAGUCUUCAAAAAAGAAUAGAUACGAUUGCAUUGCAUGUAGUAACAGAUGCGAUCAUACCAGCACUAAUGCACCAGAUACCAUCAGAAAUCCGCAGUUAAGCGUGCUUGGGCGAGAGUAGUACUACGACGUGUGACCUCCAGGAAAGUCCUUGUGUUGCAUAACUCUUUUGUUUUCGAUUUUUCUCAUAUUUUUUGUUAAAAAUGUAUUACUCUAUAACUUUUAGACCGUGAGGCCAAACUUGGCAUGUGAUACCUUUUCGGAAAGCCGAAAGAGUGCUCUCAAACGAAUGAGGAAUGGGUUGUUUUUCUACUCCAAAUUUUGACCUAAAUGUACUUUUUAUGGCCUUUUCUUGAUCUUUGCUAUAUUACGGGACAAAAAUUAUAUGUUCGGACAUUGUUUUUGAAUAUUUUGCAUGUAUCAAAGCUCUUAUAAACAAGAUAGGGUAUUCCUACAUAUCUGGUGGGACCUGAUAAUAUGUUUUUAGUCAAUUAUUCUAAAACACCAAGCAUGUCGUUGUAGUAUUUUAGGUGUCAAUCCAAAUGAGUGUGAUGCAAACAGAUGAGAUGUGAUCAGAAGUUACUAAGUCAAGCCAAGCAAUAACAGUUUUGGGGUUUCUACAGUCCUAAGUGAACAUGCAGAAAACAGAAACAAUAACAAAAUUACUAAAAUCACUCGACCACAACAGGCUGAUGCCAGAAGUAGGAUGUGGUCGAGUAACAGGUAGGAUAUGAAACAGAUAUACUCAACUGCACAGUCUGUUGCCAGACACUGGGUGUGGUCGAGUAUACUGGUCGAGUAACAGACAGGAAAUGAGACAACUGUACUCGACUGCACAGUCUGUUGCCAGACACUGGGUGUGGUCGAGUAAGUUGGUCGAGUAAUUGUAAAAACUAAGAAACAGGCAAUGAGAACGAUUAAGCGAUAACGAUAAAACAGAGAAAUAGUAUAGACGAGAAAUUCCUAAGGAUGGGGUAAUCGAGUAGAGUGGUAUCCUGAUAGGUUACGGGUGACGUUGGCUGGUGUGAGAAGAAGGGCGAGAUCAAAUGGAAGGAAAGGCAGAGCUCGUGAGAAGUUCCUGAGGAAGCUUCUAUUUAAAAGUGGCUAAGGCACAAAAAGACAGCUCGCCAGCUCGGCACAGAAAGACAGCUCGCCAGCUCGCCAACUGUGUCGUUUUACUUUUGGGUUAUCGAAAUGCUGCGUUUUGUAUUGAGUCUCAGUAGAUGCUAUUUAAGGAACCUUCCCUUUUAGGGUUUUGUUAUCAAAAUAAACAAUCAACAACAUUAAUCUUGAAAUUCUCUCUCUCAUCUACACUCUCCGCCGUUCAAGGUGCAUUUCCUAUUGUCUUGUUAUUUUAUCAGUCUUAGUCUUUUUCUUGUCUUCGAUAGGGUCAGACCUUAUCAUUGGUGCUUCUUCAUUGGAGAGACCGAUGGCUCCACCGUUACCUAAAGCCACCGCAUCUGAUACCGCCGUCGAGUCACCUGAACUCGGCUCGACAACAACACCACCACCUGAGGAACCUCCGCCAGCUCCACAUUUGGACACACGAGUAGACAAAGUGGAGAAAGAGAUGACUUAUGUCAGAGAGGCUCUAACCCAGAUCCUUAGAAAUCAGAUCUUUGGGGUUACGCGUGAGGGAAGUGCAGCUCCGAUAGGGUUCUCCACUCCGACACCGGCACUGCCUUUACAAGCUUCAUACCCACAACAUCUGGAAGGACCGAAUAGAGGAGUCCGUUUUUCUUCUCCAGCUCCGGCGUUACCAGUCUACACCUCUCAUCCUCAACACUUGGAGGUACAGAACAGAGAGACUCUGUUUUCCGGCACAAAUCAACGGGACACACACCCUCGGCCCUUACUCUUUGACCAGUCGCGAUACCAGGCGUCGACUUCAGAGAUACCUCGACUUCCAGCUUCACCCUUCGAACCGCGUCGCUUUCACUCGUCACCAUUAGAACCACCAGGGUUUCAGCUGAAUGCCUCCACGGGUCUUCCAUCAUCUUCAGGUUUUCCAUCUAAUCCUUCCACGGGGUUUCAGACUACUCCAACCUUCCAAACACAAACGUUUCCGCCUCAAUCUGCGCCACAUCAACCUCGGUUUGAAGCAGCCCCGCGUAGGACUGUGGAUUAUCCGGCUUAUGAAGGAGGCAAUGCCGACGAUUGGUUGUUCCGGCUAGAACAGUGCUUCUUAUCCAAUCGCACCCUAGAGGAAGAAAAACUGGAAAAGGCUGUGUCUUGUUUAACAGGAGCAUCAGUUACAUGGUGGCGCUGCUCUAAGGACAGAGAACAAAUCUAUACCUGGAGGGAAUUUCAAGAAAAGUUCAUGUUACGUUUUCGACCAAGCAGAGGCAGUUCUGCUGUGGAUCAUCUCCUCAACGUGAGACAAACAGGAACCGUGGAGGAAUACAGAGAACGUUUUGAAGAGCUCACAGUCGACUUACCCCAUGUCACAUCUGACAUAUUGGAAUCUGCAUUCCUCAAUGGACUGAGAAGAAGUCUUCGAGACCAGGUAGUUCGCUGUAGGCCAGUGAAUCUUGCAGAUAUUGUUGAGAUAGCUAAACUCAUUGAGUCACAAGAGCGGAAUGCUGUUAGUUACCAAGUGCGAAAUCAAGCUAGAACCAACACAGCUCCAUUCAACAAUCAGGUCUCCACAGGAUCUAGAGUGGUAGACCGUGCUCCAACGAGACAACCCUUCAUUCCUAGUAGGGAUACAACUCGUGCUUCAGGCAGUGGGGAAGCCAGGAACUCAAACCCGUGCCGCUACUGUGGAGAUAGAUGGUUUCAAGGCCAUAAAUGCAAACCACAAAAGCUCAAGGGUCUAGCCAUAACAGAAGAGGUUGAAGAGGAGAGUCCUCUAAUUGAAGAGUUGAAUGAACCACUGACAGAAGAAGAAGGGGAUCCAGAACCUGCAGAAGGUUUCAAGGUAAUGACACUCAGCUCCUUGAAUGAUGAGUCUCAAGAGCAGUCAAUGAAAAUGAGGGGAUACAUUGGCAACACCAAAGUGGUGUUAUUGGUUGAUUCAGGAGCAACUUGCAACUUCAUUAGUGAGGCUUUGGUAAGAGAGAAAGGAUGGUUAGUGACUCAAACUCGCAGUUUUGGAGUUAAAGUUGGUGGAGGCAGAAUCAUCAAAAGUAGUGGGAAGUGUGUCGAUAUACCACUAGAGGUCCAAGGAAUUGAGUUUGUACAAGACUACUACUUAUUUGACUUGGGAGAUUUGGAUUUGGUUCUGGGAUUUUCUUGGUUGGCAGGACUAGGAGAAACAAGAGCCAACUGGAGAGAUUUGAGGAUCAGUUGGCAGAUAGGUCGCACAUGGGUAUCCUUAUACGGCGACCCGGAUCUAUGUAGAGGACAAAUUUCGAUGAGGUCUAUGGAAAGAGUUAUCAAAUACACUGGAACUGCAUAUCUCUUGGAACUAGCAUCUUUGUUUGAAAGCAAGAAACAGGAAGAGCAAACAGCCUUGCAGCCUGCAAUCCAGAGGCUUUUGGAUCAGUACCAAGGGGUUUUUCAAACUCCACAGCUAUUGCCACCAGUUCGCAACAGAGAACACGCCAUUACCUUACAAGAAGGGUCUUCACCAGUCAAUAUCCGACCAUACAGGUAUUCUUUUGCUCAAAAGAAUGAGAUAGAGAAGCUUGUGCGUGAAAUGUUGAAUGCUCAGAUUAUAAGACCUAGCGUGAGUCCAUAUUCAAGUCCAGUUCUCCUAGUGAAAAAGAAAGAUGGAGGAUGGCGCUUCUGCGUUGAUUAUCGAGCAUUGAAUGAAGCUACAAUACCCGAUAAGUAUCCGAUUCCUGUUAUAGAAGAGCUAUUGGAUGAACUGAAAGGAGCCACAGUGUUUUCAAAGUUGGAUCUUAAAUCAGGCUAUUUCCAGAUAAGGAUGAAACUGAGUGAUGUGGAGAAGACUGCCUUCAAGACACAUGAGGGCCAUUAUGAAUUUCUGGUAAUGCCAUUUGGCUUGACCAACGCCCCCUCCACCUUUCAAAGCGUCAUGAAUGACCUAUUCAGGCCAUACUUGCGAAAGUUCGUCUUGGUUUUCUUCGAUGAUAUACUAGUUUAUAGUCCUGAUAUGAAGACACAUUUGAAGCAUUUGGAAACCGUCUUACAGCUACUGCAUCUUCAUCAGUUCUAUGCCAAUUUUAAAAAGUGCACAUUUGGAAGCACUAGGAUCUCAUAUUUGGGACACAUUAUCUCUGAGCAAGGAGUCGCAACAGAUCCAGAAAAGGUGGAAGCAAUGCUCCAGUGGCCUUUACCUAAAUCUGUGACUGAGUUAAGAGGCUUCCUAGGAUUCACUGGCUACUAUCGCCGAUUUGUCAAGAAUUACGGCCAAAUCGCCAGACCACUCAGAGAUCAGUUAAAAAAGAACAGUUUUGAUUGGAAUGAGGCAGCUACUUCUGCAUUUCAGGCUCUCAAAGCAGCUGUUUCAGCACUACCUGUGCUAGUGUUACCAGAUUUCCAGCAGGAGUUUACUGUGGAAACGGAUGCAUCAGGGAUGGGGAUUGGAGCAGUACUGUCACAGAAUAAGAGGCUUAUUGCAUUUCUCAGCCAAGCCUUCUCCAGUCAAGGCAGAAUAAGGUCAGUUUAUGAACGUGAACUGUUAGCCAUAGUGAAAGCUGUCACAAAGUGGAAGCAUUACCUAUCAAGUAAAGAAUUCAUUAUCAAGACAGAUCAACGCAGCCUCAGACAUUUGUUGGAACAGAAGUCGGUGUCCACAAUACAGCAGAGAUGGGCGUCUAAGUUGAGUGGACUGAAGUAUAGGAUCGAAUAUAAACCAGGAGUUGACAAUAAGGUAGCUGAUGCACUCUCAAGGAGACCUCCAACUGAGGCUCUCUCACAGCUCACUAUAACUGGUCCUCCUACUAUCGACUUGACUGCACUAAAGGCAGAAAUUCAGCAGGAUCAUGAGUUGAGCCAGAUACUUAAGAACUGGGCACAAGGGGACCACCAUGAUUCUGACUUCACUGUGGCAGAUGGCUUGAUUUACAGAAAAGGCUGUUUGGUAAUUCCUGUAGGAUCUCCCUUCAUUCCAAAGAUGCUAGAGAAGUUCCACACCAGUCCUAUUGGAGGUCAUGAAGGUGCCCUUAAGACAUUCAAACGACUCACAAGUGAAGUAUACUGGAGAGGGUUGCGGAAAGACGUGGUUAACUACAUCAAGGGAUGCCAAAUCUGUCAAGAGAAUAAAUACUCUACCCUCUCUCCAGCCGGUUUACUAUCACCUCUCCCUAUUCCACAACAGAUUUGGAGUGAUGUCAGCUUGGACUUUGUAGAAGGGUUGCCAAGCUCUAACAGGUUUAACUGUAUAUUGGUAGUGGUGGAUAGAUUAAGUAAGUAUAGUCAUUUCAUUCCACUUAAACAUCCAUUCACUGCCAAGACUGUAGUUGAGGCCUUCAUAAGAGAUGUAGUCAAGCUACAUGGCUUCCCAAACACACUGGUUUCGGACAGGGACAGGAUUUUCCUGAGCGGAUUCUGGUCUGAGUUGUUUAAGCUGCAGGGCACGGGGCUACAGAAGAGUACAGCCUAUCACCCACAAACUGAUGGGCAGACCGAGGUUGUUAACAGAUGUCUUGAGUCUUAUUUGCGAUGCUUUGCAGGGAGGAGGCCUACAUCGUGGUUUCAGUGGUUACCUUGGGCAGAAUACUGGUACAACACCUCGUACCAUUCAGCCACCAAAACCACUCCCUUUCAAGCAGUCUAUGGUAGAGAACCACCAGUUCUGCUCAGGUAUGGCGAUAUUCCAACCAAUAAUGCGAAUGUAGAGGAGUUACUUAAGGAUAGGGAUGGAAUGCUGGUUGAAUUAAGAGAGAACUUGGAGAUAGCUCAAGCUCAAAUGAAAAAGGCUGCUGAUAAAAGUCGACGUGAUGUAGCGUUUGAAAUUGAUGAAUGGGUUUACUUGAAGCUGCGUCCUUAUAGGCAAAGUUCUGUGGCUCAUAGGAAGAAUGAAAAGCUGUCCCAGCGCUACUUCGGUCCAUUUAAAGUGCUGCACCGCAUAGGUCAGGUCGCUUACAAGCUCCAACUACCCGAACACAGCACAAUUCACCCGGUGUUCCAUGUCUCUCAACUGAAAAGGGCUGUACCUCCGUCAUUCACCCCGCAGGAACUUCCCAAGAUACUAUCACCCACACUGGAAUGGAACACAGGACCUGAGAAGCUGCUAGAUAUCCGACAGAGCAACACAAAUUCAGGACCAGAGGUGCUGGUACAGUGGUCUGGAUUAUCAACCUUGGAAUCAACUUGGGAGCCGCUCCUCACUUUGGUGCAGCAGUACCCGGACUUCGACCUUGAGGACAAGGUCAGUCUUCUGCGCGGGAGCAUUGAUAGGUUACAGGUGACGUUGGCUGGUGUGAGAAGAAGGGCGAAAUCAAAUGGAAGGAAAGGCAGAGCUCGUGAGAAGUUCCUGAGGAAGCUUCUAUUUAAAAGUGGCUAAGGCACAGAAAGACAGCUCGCCAGCUCGGCACAGAAAGACAGCUCGCCAACUGUGUCGUUUUACUUUUGGGUUAUCGAAAUGCUGCGUUUUGUAUUGAGUCUCAGUAGAUGCUAUUUAAGGAACCUUCCCUUUUAGGGUUUUGUUAUCAAAAUAAACAAUCAACAACAUUAAUCUUGAAAUUCUCUCUCUCAUCUACACUCUCCGCCGUUCAAGGUGCAUUUCCUAUUAUCUUGUUAUUUUAUCACUCUUAGUCUUUUUCUUGUCUUCGAUAGGGUCAGACCUUAUCAUAUCCUAGCAUAUUCGAAUGGUUAACAAGCGCAAUCAAGCUAUCCCUAGACAAUAGGUUCAACAACAAAUCAAUUCACUUCUGUGAUAGAAAUCCUCAAGCAAAGCUAGCCCAGACUAAUUCCCAUUAACGCAAUCUAACUAUGCAGGCAAUAAGAACAGACUGAUAAAGUCAAUAAACGCUCUAAACGCCCAAUCCCUUGGGAUAGAGACGAAUAUCUCAGGAACUAGUGGAUCAAGCAUUCCAUCGAACACCUUCUGGGUGCGAGAAUGCUUGGGAUCGAAUUCCAGUUGAUCAGAAAGAAAUAAGCAGUAAACGCAACUAGUCCUGAAGGGAUUCAAUCAAUUCUAAAACUUAACCAUUCUACAGACUACGGAUUCCACAACUACUCUAUCCCAUCCCUAAGAAUUCUAUGUCACUACUCAGACAACAUGCUCAAAGACAUAAACGCAGAUAAAUGAUAAUAUUGCAUAAGUAAAGAGAUAAAGAGUAGAGAAACAGGAUGAUAGAUAAAAUCAAAUGCAGAAUCUGAAUAACUUGGAAAAAUCUCGAAUUAUAGGUUGUAGAAGCAAAAGCGGCGCAGAAGAGUAAAAUAGAAAAUAAAACUGAAACAAAAACUCAAUGUCGACUAGAUGUCUCAGGAAAGAACCCUAAGACAUCUAUUUAUACAAAACAAAAUGAUAGUAGACGGGCCAAUAACCUAAUCGCCCGACCAAUAGAGUGAUAAUGGGCCGAGAUGGGCUUUGUGAUCCGAUGGAGGUCCAGGCCGCUUCCAAACACUUUGUCUUCUCCUCUUCUCUUCCUUGUGCUCAGCUUGUCUGGUUGAGUGCGGAUUUGAGUAGACUGUGAAGACGUGAUCGAGUGUCCGGUCGAGUGAUGGUGAUGGUGGUGAGUGAUGAUACUCGACCAGGGGGUCGACUAACUUGGUAGAGUGAAUGGCCGAGUGUGGUCAGGUGGUGUGGCGAAGUGAUACUCGACCAGGGGGUCGAUGGCGUCAUCGAGUAGCCUGAGCUGAGGAUACUCGACUAGGGGGUCGAGUAGAUGGGAAGAAUGGCUCCAAAGUCACUCGACCAGGGGGUCGAGUAUGGUGCUGGAUGCACACGACCUGGUGGUCGAGUAUGUCUUCUGGUUCUGGCUCGUUUCUUCCAAUUUGCUCGCAAACAGCUCCAAAUCACCUGAAAACAACUUAGAAAUGCAAUAUGUAUGCAAAACUAUCCUAAUCAUGCAAAGUAUGCAAGAAUGAUGAGAAAUGAUAUAAAACAGCGAUGAAUGAUACAAAACUGGACUCAAAACGGUGAUGAAUGGACACUGAAAAGAUGUAAAUUAUAGACAUAUCAGGACCCACAGCAAAUGGAUCAUAAAGUCUUCAAAAAAGAAUAGAUACGAUUGCAUUGCAUGUAGUAACGGAUGCGAUCAUAGCAGCACUAAUGCACCAGAUCCCAUAAGAACUCCGCAGUUAAGUGUGCUUGGGCGAGAGUAGUACUAGGAUGGGUGACCUCCCGGAAAGUCCUCGUGUUUCAUCCCUCUUUUUUUUUUUGGUUUUUCUCUAUUUUUUUUUUUAAAAUGAAUGACUCUAUAACUUUUAGACCGUGAGGCCAAACUUGGCAUGUGAUACCUUUUCAAAAAGCCAAAAGAGAGCUCUCUGGUGAAUGAUGAAGGAAAAUGGAAUUCUUCUAUUGGGUUUUUUUUCUACUCCAAAUUUUGACCUUAAUGUACUCUUUUGGCGUUUUCGCGAUCUUUGCUAUAUUACGGGGCGAAAAUUAUAUGUUCGGACAUUGUUUUUGAAUAUUUUGCAUGUAUCAAAGCUCUUAUAAACAAGAUAGGGUAUUCCUACAUAGCUGGUGGGACCCACGACAAAUGGAUCAUAAAGUCUUCAAGAAGAAAAGAUAUUAUUGCAUUGCAUGUAGUAACGGAUGCGAUCAUACCAUCACUAAUGCACUGGAUCCCAUCAGAACUCCACAGUUAAGCGCGCUUGGGUGAGAGUAGUACUAGAAUGGGUGACCUCCCGGAAAGUCCUUGUGUUCCAUCCCUCUUUUUUCGGUUUUUCUCUUUUUUUUUUGUUAAAAAUGUAUGACUCUAUAAAUUUUAGACCGUGAGGCCAAACUUGGCAUGUGAUACCUUUUCGGAAAGCCCAAAGAGAACUCUCCGAUGAAUGAGGAAGGACAAUGGAAUUUUUCUAUUGUUUUUUUUUCUACUCAAAAUUUUGACCUUAAUGUACUUUUUCUGGCCUUUUCAUGAUCUAUGCUAUAUUACGGGGCAAAAAGCAUACGUUCUGACAUUGUUUUCGAAUAUUUUGCAUGUAUCAAAGCUCUUAUAAACAAGAUAGGGUAUUCUUACAUAGUUGGUGGGACCCACGACAAAUGGAUCAUAAAGUCUUCAAAAAAGAAUAGAUACGAUUGCAUUGCAUGUAGUAACAGAUGCGAUCAUACCAGCACUAAUGCACCGGAUCCCAUCAAAACUCUGCAGUUAAGCGUGAUUGGGCGAGAGUAGUACUAGGAUGGUUGACCUCAUGGAAAGUCCUUGUGUUGCAUUCUUCUUUUUUUCGGUUUUUCUCUUUUUUUUUUGUUAAGAAUGUAUGAUUCUAUAAGUUUUAGACCGUGAGGCCAAACUUGGCAUGUGAUACCUUUUCGGAAAGCCCAAAGAGAACUCUCCGAUGAAUGAGGAAGGACAAUGGAAUUUUUCUAUUGUUUUUUUUUCUACUCAAAAUUUUGACCUUAAUGUACUUUUUCUGGCCUUUUCAUGAUCUAUGCUAUAUUACGGGGCAAAAAGCAUACGUUCUGACAUUGUUUUCGAAUAUUUUGCAUGUAUCAAAGCUCUUACAAACAAGAUAGGGUAUUCCUACAUAGCUGGUGAGACCCACGGCAAAUGGAUCAUAAAGUCUUCAAAAAAAAUAUAUACGAUUGCAUUGCAUGUAGUAACGGAUGUGAUCAUACCCGCACUAAUGCACUGGAUCCUAUCAGAACUCCGCAGUUAAGUGUGCUUGGGCGAGAGUAGUAAUAGGAUGAGUGACCUCCCAGAAAGUCCUCGUGUUGAAUCCCUCUUUUUUUUGGUAAAAAUGUAUACCUCUAUAACUUUUAGACCGCGAGGCCAAACUUUGCAUGUGAUACCUUUUCGGAAAGCCCAAAGAGAGCUAUAUGAAUGAGGAAGGAAAUUGGAAUCCUUCUAUUGAUUUUUUUUCUACUCAAAAUUUUGACCUUAAUGUACUUUUUCUAUCCUUUUCGUGAUCUUUGCUAUAUUACGGGACAAAAAUUAUAUGUUCAGACAUUGUUUUCCAAUUUUUUGCAUGUAUCAAAGCUCUUAUAAACAAGAUAGGGUAUUCCUACAUAGCUGGUGGGACCCACGGCAAAUGGAUCAUAAAGUCUUCAAAAACGAAUAGAUACGAUUGCAUUGCUUGUAGUAACGGAUGCGAUCAUAUCAGCCCUUAUGCAUCAGAUCCCAUCAAUACUCUGCAGUUAAGCUUGCUUGGGCGAGAAUAGUAUUAGGAUGGGUGACCUCCGGGAAAGUCCUUGUGUUGGAUCAUUCUUUUUUUCGGUUUUUCUCUAUUUGUUUUGUUAAAAAUGUAUGACUAUAUAACUUUUAGAUUGUGAGGCCAAACUUCGCAUGUGAUACCUUUUCGGAAAGCCCAAAGAGAGCUCUCCAAUGAAUGAGGAAGGAAAUUGGAAUUCUUCUAUUGGUUUUUAUUUCUACUCCAAAUUUUGACCUUAAUGUACUUUUUCGGGCCUUUUCGUGAUCUUCGCUAUAUUACGGGGCGAAACUUAUACGUUUAGACAUUGUAUUCGAAUAUUUUGCAUGUAUCAAAGCUCUUAUAAACAAGAUAGGGUAUUCCUACAUAGCUGGUGGGACCCACGGCAAAUGGAUCAUAAAGUCUUCAAAAAAGAAUAGAUACGAUUGCAUUGCAUGUAGUAACAGAUACGAUUGCAUUGCAUGUAGUAACAGAUACGAUUGCAUUGCAUGUAGUAACAGAUGCGAUCAUACCAGCACUAAUGCACCGGAUCCCAUCAGAACUCUGCAGUUAAGCGUGAUUGGGCGAGAGUACUACUAGGAUGGUUGACCUCCUGGAAAGUCCUUGUGUUAAAUUCUUCUUUUUUUCGGUUUUUCUCUUUUUUUUUUGUUAAGAAUGUAUGAUUCUAUAAGUUUUAGACCGUGAGGCCAAACUUGGCAUGUGAUACCUUUUCGGAAAGCCCAAAGAGAACUCUCCGAUGAAUGAGGAAGGACAAUGGAAUUUUUCUAUUGUUUAUUUUUCUACUCAAAAUUUUGAUCUUAAUGUACUUUUUCUAGCCUUUUAGUGAUCUUUGCUAUAUUACGGGACGAAGAUUAUACGUUCGGACAUUGUUUUCAAAUAUUUUGCAUGUAUCAAAGCUCUUAUAAACAAGAUAGGGUAUUCCUAUAUAGCUGGUGAGACCCACGGCAAAUGGAUCAUAAAGUCUUCAAAAAAAAUAUAUACGAUUGCAUUGCAUGUAGUAACGGAUGUGAUCAUACCCGCACUAAUGCACUGGAUCCUAUCAGAACUCCGCAGUUAAGCGUGCUUGGGCGAGAGUAGUAAUAGGAUGAGUGACCUCCCAGAAAGUCCUCGUGUUGAAUCCCUCUUUUUUUUGGUUUUUUUCUUCUUUUUUUUUGGUAAAAAAGUAUACCUCUAUAACUUUUAGACCGCGAGGCCAAACUUUGCAUGUGAUACCUUUUCGGAAAGCCCAAAGAGAGCUAUAUGAAUGAGCAAGGAAAUUGGAAUCCUUCUAUUGAUUUUUUUUCUACUCAAAAUUUUGACCUUAAUGUACUUUUUCUAUCCUUUUCGUGAUCUUUGCUAUAUUACGGGACAAAAAUUAUAUGUUCAGACAUUGUUUUCCAAUUUUUUGCAUGUAUCAAAGCUCUUAUAAACAAGAUAGGGUAUUCCUACAUAGCUGGUGGGACCCACGGCAAAUGGAUCAUAAAGUCUUCAAAAACGAAUAGAUACGAUUGCAUUGCAUGUAGUAACGGAUGCGAUCAUAUCAGCACUUAUGCAUCAGAUCCCAUCAAUACUCUGCAGUUAAGCUUGCUUGGGCGAGAAUAGUAUUAGGAUGGGUGACCUCCGGGAAAGUCGUUGUGUUGUAUCAUUCUUUUUUUCGGUUUUUCUCUAUUUGUUUUGUUAAAAAUGUAUGACUAUAUAACUUUUAGAUUGUGAGGCGAAACUUCGCAUGUGAUACCUUUUCGGAAAGCCCAAAGAGAGCUCUCCAAUGAAUGAGGAAGGAAAUUGGAAUUCAGAGCUCUCUUUGGGCAUUCCAAAAAGGUAUCACAUGCCAAGUUUGGCCUCACGGUCUAAAAGUUAUAGAGUAAUACAUUUUUACCAAAAAAAAAAGAGAAAACCCGAAAAAAAGAGGGAUGCAACACGAGGACUUUCCUGGAGGUCACCCAUCCUAGUACUACUCUCCCCCAAGCACGCUUAACUGUGGUGUUCUGAUAGGAUCAAGUGCAUUAGUGCUGGUAUGAUCGCAUCAGUUACUACAUGUAAUGCAAUCAUAUAUAUUCUUUUUUGAAGACUUUAUGAUCCAUUUGCCGUAGGUCCCACCAGCUAUGUAGGAAUACCCUAUCUUGUUUAUAAGAGCUUUGAUACAUGCAAAAUAUUCGAAAACAAUGUCCGAACAUAUAAUUUUUGUCCCGUAAUAUAGCAAAGAUCACGAAAAGGCCAGGAAAAAUACAUUUCGGUCAAAAUUUGGAGUAGAAAAAAAACCCUUCCUCAUUCAUUGGACAGCUCUCUUUGGGCUUUCCGAAAAGGUAUCACAUGCCAAGUUUGGCCUCACGGUCUAAACCUUAUAGACUCAUACAUUUUUCACGAAAAAAAGAAGAGAAAAACCAAAAAAAAGAGUGAUUAAACACGAGGACUUUCCUGGAGGUCACCCAUCCUAGUACUACUCUCGCCCAAGCACGCUUAACUGCGAAGUUCUGAUGGGAUCUGGUGCAUUAGUGCUGGUAUGAUCGCAUCUGUUACUACAUGCAAUGCAAUCGUAUCUAUUCUUUUUUGAAGAUUUUAUGAUUCAUUUACCGUGGGUCCCACCAGCUAUGUAGGAAUAACCUAUCUUAUUUAUAAAAGCUUUGAUACAUGCAAAAUAUUUGAAAACAAUGUCCGAACAUAUAAUGUUCGCCCCAAAAUAUAGCAAAGACCACAAAAAUGCCAUAAAAAGUACAUUAAGGUCAAAAUUAGGAGUAGGAAAAAAAUCAAUAGGAGAAUUCCAUUUUCCUUCCUUCAUUCAUCGGAGAGCUCUCUUUGGGCAUUCCAAAAAGGUAUCACACGCCAAGUUUGGCCUCACGGUCUAAAAGUUAUAGAGUAUUACAUUUUUAACAAAAAAAAAAGAGAAAAACCGAAAAAAAGAGGGAUGCAACACGAAGACUUUUCUGGAGGUCAUCCAUCCUAGUACUACUCUCGCCCAAGCACAUUUAACUGCGGUGUUCUGAUAGGAUCAAGUGCAUUAGUGCUGGUAUGAUCGCAUCAGUUACUACAUGCAAUGCAAUCAUAUAUAUUCUUUUUUGAAGACUUUAUGAUCCAUUUGCCGUAGGUCCCACCAGCUAUGUAGGAAUACCCUAUCUUGUUUAUAAGAGCUUUGAUAGAUGCAAAAUAUUCAAAAACAAUGUCCGAACAUAUAAUUUUUGUCCCGUAAUAUAGCAAAGAUCACGAAAAGGCCAGAAAAAAUACAUUUCGGUCAAAAUUUGGAGUAGAAAAAAAACCCUUCCUCAUUCAUUGGACAGCUCUCUUUGGGCUUUCCGAAAAGGUAUCACAUGCCAAGUUUGGCCUCACGGUCUAAACCUUAUAGACUCAUACAUUUUUCACAAAAAAAAGAAGAGAAAAACCAAAAAAAAGAGUGAUUAAACACGAGGACUUUCCUGGAGGUCACCCAUCCUAGUACUACUCUCGCCCAAGCACGCUUAACUGCGAAGUUCUGAUGGGAUCUGGUGCAUUAGUGCUGGUAUGAUCGCAUCUGUUACUACAUGCAAUGCAAUCGUAUCUAUUCUUUUUUGAAGAUUUUAUGAUUCAUUUACCGUGGGUCCCACCAGCUAUGUAGGACUAACCUAUCUUAUUUAUAAGAUCUUUGAUACAUGCAAAAUAUUGGAAAACAAUGUCCGAACAUAUAAUGUUCGCCCCAAAAUAUAGCAAAGACCACAAAAAUGCCAUAAAAAAUACAUUAAGGUCAAAAUUUGGAGUAGGAAAAAAAUCAAUAGGAGAAUUCCAUUUUCCUUCCCUCAUUCAUCGGAGAGCUCUCUUUGGGCAUUCCAAAAAGGUAUCACAUGCCAAGUUUGGCCUCACGGUCUAAAAGUUAUAGAGUAUUACAUUUUUAACAAAAAAAANNNNNNNNNNNNNNNNNNNNNNNNNNNNNNNNNNNNNNNNNNNNNNNNNNAAAAAAAAGAGUGAUUAAACACGAGGACUUUCCUGGAGGUCACCCAUCCUAGUACUACUCUCGCCCAAGCACGCUUAACUGCGAAGUUCUGAUGGGAUCUGGUGCAUUAGUGCUGGUAUGAUCGCAUCUGUUACUACAUGCAAUGAAAUCGUAUCUAUUCUUUUUUGAAGAUUUUAUGAUUCAUUUACCGUGGGUCCCACCAGCUAUGUAGGAAUAACCUAUCUCGUUUAUAAGAGCUUUGAUACAUGCAAAAUAUUCGAAAACAAUGUCCGAACAUAUAAUGUUUGCCCCAAAAUAUAGAAAAGACCACGAAAAUGCCAUAAAAAGUACAUUAAGGUCAAAAUUUGGAGUAGGAAAAAAAAUCAAUAGGAGAAUUCCAUUUUCCUUCCUCAUUCAUCGGAGAGCUCUCUUUGGGCAUUCCAUAAAGGUAUCACAUGCCAAGUUUGGCCUCACGGUCUAAAAGUUAUAGAGUAAUACAUUUUUAACAAAAAAAAAAGAGAAAAACCGAAAAAAAGAGGGAUGCAACACGAAGACUUUUCUGGAGGUCACCCAUCCUAGUACUACUCUCCCACAAGCACGCUUAACUGUGGUGUUCUGAUAGGAUCAAGUGCAUUAGUGCUGGUAUGAUCGCAUCAGUUACUACAUGUAAUGCAAUCAUAUAUAUUCUUUUUUGAAGACUUUAUGAUCCAUUUGCCGUAGGUCCCACCAGUUAUGUAGGAAUACCCUAUCUCGUUUAUAAGAGCUUUGAUACAUGCAAAAUAUUCGAAAACAAUGUCCGAACAUAUAAUGUUUGCCCCAAAAUAUAGCAAAGACCACGAAAAUGCCAUAAAAAGUACAUUAAGGUCAAAAUUUGGAGUAGGAAAAAAAAUCAAUAGGAGAAUUCCAUUUUCCUUCCUCAUUCAUGGGAGAGCUCUCUUUGGGCAUUCCAAAAAGGUAUCACAUGCCAAGUUUGGCCUCACGGCCUAAAAGUUAUAGAGUAAUACAUUUUUAACAAAAAAAAAAGAGAAAAACCGAAAAAAAGAGGGAUGCAACACGAAGACUUUUCUGGAGGUCACCCAUCCUAGUACUACUCUCCCCCAAGCACGCUUAACUGUGGUGUUCUGAUAGGAUCAAGUGCAUUAGUGCUGGUAUGAUCGCAUCAGUUACUACAUGCAAUGCAAUCAUAUAUAUUCUUUUUUGAAGACUUUAUGAUCCAUUUGCCGUAGGUCCCACCAGCUAUGUAGGAAUACCCUAUCUUGUUUAUAAGAGCUUUGAUACAUGCAAAAUAUUCGAAAACAAUGUCCGAACAUAUAAUUUUUGUCCCGUAAUAUAGCAAAGAUCACGAAAAGGCCAGGAAAAAUACAUUUCGGUCAAAAUUUGGAGUAGAAAAAAAACCCUUCCUCAUUCAUUGGACAGCUCUCUUUGGGCUUUCCGAAAAGGUAUCACAUGCCAAGUUUGGCCUCACGGUCUAAACCUUAUAGACUCAUACAUUUUUCACAAAAAAAAGAAGAGAAAAACCAAAAAAAAGAGUGAUUAAACACGAGGACUUUCCUGGAGGUCACCCAUCCUAGUACUACUCUCGCCCAAGCACGCUUAACUGCGAAGUUCUGAUGGGAUCUGGUGCAUUAGUGCUGGUAUGAUCGCAUCUGUUACUACAUGCAAUGCAAUCGUAUCUAUUCUUUUUUGAAGAUUUUAUGAUUCAUUUACCGUGGGUCCCACCAGCUAUGUAGGACUAACCUAUCUUAUUUAUAAGAUCUUUGAUACAUGCAAAAUAUUGGAAAACAAUGUCCGAACAUAUAAUGUUCGCCCCAAAAUAUAGCAAAGACCACAAAAAUGCCAUAAAAAAUACAUUAAGGUCAAAAUUUGGAGUAGGAAAAAAAUCAAUAGGAGAAUUCCAUUUUCCUUCCCUCAUUCAUCGGAGAGCUCUCUUUGGGCAUUCCAAAAAGGUAUCACAUGCCAAGUUUGGCCUCACGGUCUAAAAGUUAUAGAGUAUUACAUUUUUAACAAAAAAAAACGAGAAAAACCGAUAAAAAGAGGGAUGCAACACCAAGACUUUUCUGGAGGUCACCCAUCCUAGUACUACUCUCCCCCAAGCACGCUUAACUGUGGUGUUCUGAUAGGAUCAAGUGCAUUAGUGCUGGUAUGAUCGCAUCAGUUACUACAUGCAAUGCAAUCAUAUAUAUUCUUUUUUGAAGACUUUAUGAUCCAUUUGCCGUAGGUCCCACCAGCUAUGUAGGAAUACCCUUUCUUGUUUAUAAGAGCUUUGAUACAUGCAAAAUAUUCGAAAACAAUGUCCGAACAUAUAAUUUUUGUCCCGUAAUAUAGCAAACAUCACGAAAAGGCCAGAAAAAAUACAUUUCGGUCAAAAUUUGGAGUAGAAAAAAAACCCUUCCUCAUUCAUUGGACAGCUCUCUUUGGGCUUUCCAAAAAGGUAUCACAUGCCAAGUUUGGCCUCACGGUCUAAACCUUAUAGACUCAUACAUUUUUCACAAAAAAAAGAAGAGAAAAACCAAAAAAAAGAGUGAUUAAACACGAGGACUUUCUUGGAGGUCACCCAUCCUAGUACUACUCUCGCCCAAGCACGCUUAACUGCGAAGUUCUGAUGGGAUCUGGUGCAUUAGUGCUGGUAUGAUCGCAUCUGUUACUACAUGCAAUGAAAUCGUAUCUAUUCUUUUUUGAAGAUUUUAUGAUUCAUUUACCGUGGGUCCCACCAGCUAUGUAGAAAUAACCUAUCUUAUUUAUAAGAGCUUUGAUACAUGUAAAAUAUUCGAAAACAAUGUCCGAACAUAUAAUGUUCGCCCCAAAAUAUAGCAAAGACCACAAAAAUGCCAUAAAAAGUACAUUAAGGUCAAAAUUUGGAGUAGGAAAAAAAUCAAUAAGAGAAUUCCAUUUUCCUUCCCUCAUUCAUCGGAGAUCUCUCUUUGGGCAUUCCAAAAAGGUAUCACAUGCCAAGUUUGGCCUCACGGUCUAAACGUUAUAGAGUAAUACAUUUUUAACAAAAAAAAAAGAGAAAAACCGAAAAAAAGAGGGAUGCAACACGAAGACUUUUCUGGAGGUCACCCAUCCUAGUACUACUCUCCCCCAAGCACGCUUAACUGUGGUGUUCUGAUAGGAUCAAGUGCAUUAGUGCUGGUAUGAUCGCAUCAGUUACUACAUGCAAUGCAAUCAUAUAUAUUCUUUUUUGAAGACUUUAUGAUCCAUUUGCCGUAGGUCCCACCAGCUAUGUAGGAAUACCCUUUCUUGUUUAUAAGAGCUUUGAUACAUGCAAAAUAUUCGAAAACAAUGUCCGAACAUAUUAUUUUUGUCCCGUAAUAUAGCAAAGAUCACGAAAAGGCCAGGAAAAAUACAUUUCGGUCAAAAUUUGGAGUAGAAAAAAAACCCUUCCUCAUUCAUUCGACAGCUCUCUUUGAGCUUUCCGAAAAGGUAUCACAUGCCAAGUUUGGCCUCACGGUCUAAACCUUAUAGACUCAUACAUUUUUCACAAAAAAAAAGAAGAGAAAAACCAAAAAAUAGAGUGAUUAAACGCGAGGACUUUCCUGGAGGUCACCCAUCCUAGUACUACUCUCGCCCAAGCACGCUUAACUGCGAAGUUCUGAUGGGAUCUGGUGCAUUAGUGCUGGUAUGAUCGCAUCUGUUACUACAUGCAAUGAAAUCGUAUCUAUUCUUUUUUGAUGAUUUUAUGAUUCAUUUACCGUGGGUCCCAGCAGCUAUGUAGGAAUAACCCAUCCUUGUUUAUAAGAGCUUUCAUACAUGCAAAAUAUUCAAAAACAAUGUCCGAACAUAUAAUUUUUGUCCGGUAAUAUUGCAAAGAUCACGAAAAGGCCAGAAAAAAUACAUUUCGGUCAAAAUUUGGAGUAGAAAAAAAACCCUUCCUCAUUCAUUGGACAGCUCUCUUUGGGUUUUCCGAAAAGGUAUCACAUGCCAAGUUUGGCCUCACGGUCUAAACCUUAUAGACUCAUACAUUUUUCACAAAAAAAAGAAGAGAAAAACCAAAAAAAAGAGUGAUUAAACACGAGGACUUUCCUGGAGGUCACCCAUCCUAGUACUACUCUCGCCCAAGCACGCUUAACUGCGAAGUUCUGAUGGGAUCUGGUGCAUUAGUGCUGGUAUGAUCGCAUCUGUUACUACAUGCAAUGCAAUCAUAUCUAUUCUUUUUUGAAGAUUUUAUGAUUCAUUUACCGUGGGUCCCACCAGCUAUGUAGGAAUAACCUAUCUUAUUUAUAAAAGCUUUGAUACAUGCAAAAUAUUCGAAAACAAUGUCCGAACAUAUAAUGUUCGCCCCAAAAUAUAGCAAAGACCACAAAAAUGCCAUAAAAAGUACAUUAAGGUCAAAAUUUGGAGUAGGAAAAAAAUCAAUAGGAGAAUUCCAUUUUCCUUCCCUCAUUCAUCGGAGAGCUCUCUUUGGGCAUUCCAAAAAGGUAUCACAUGCCAAGUUUGGCCUUACGGUCUAAAAGUUAUAGAGUAAUACAUUUUUAACAAAAAAAAAAGAAAAAAACCGAAAACAAAGAGGGAUGCAACACGAAGACUUUCCUGGAGGUCACCCAUCCUAGUACUACUCUCGCCCAAGCACACUUAACUGCGGUGUUCUGAUAGGAUCAAGUGCAUUAGUGCUGGUAUGAUCGCAUCAGUUACUACAUGCAAUGCAAUCAUAUAUAUUCUUUUUUGAAGACUUUAUGAUCCAUUUGCCGUAGGUCCCACCAGCUAUGUAGGAAUACCCUAUCUCGUUUAUAAGAGCUUUGAUACAUGCAAAAUAUUCGAAAACAAUGUCCGAACAUAUAAUUUUUGUCCCGUAAUAUAGCAAAGAUCACGAAAAGGCCAGAAAAAAUACAUUUCGGUCAAAAUUUGGAGUAGAAAAAAAACCCUUCCUCAUUCAUUGGACAGCUCUUUUUGGGCUUUCCGAAAAGGUAUCACAUGCCAAGUUUGGCCUCACGGUCUAAACCUUAUAGACUCAUACAUUUUUCACAAAAAAAAGAAGAGAAAAACCAAAAAAAAGAGUGAUUAAACACGAGGACUUUCCUGGAGGUCACCCAUCCUAGUACUACUCUCGCCCAAGCACGCUUAACUGCGAAGUUCUGAUGGGAUCUGGUGCAUUAGUGCUGGUAUGAUCGCAUCUGUUACUACAUGCAAUGCAAUCGUAUCUAUUCUUUUUUGAAGAUUUUAUGAUUCAUUUACCGUGGGUCCCACCAGNNNNNNNNNNNNNNNNNNNNNNNNNNNNNNNNNNNNNNNNNNNNNNNNNNUCACGGUUUAAAAGUUAUAGAGUCAUACAUUUUUCCCAAAAAAACCAAGAGAAAACCAAAAAAAAAGAGUGAUGAAACACGAGGACUUUCCUGGAGGUCACCCAUCCUAGUACUACUCUCGCCCAAGCACGCUUAACUGCGAAGUUCUGAUGGGAUCUGGUGCAUUAGUGCUGGUAUGAUCGCAUCAGUUACUACAUGCAAUGCAAUCGUAUAUAUUCUUUUUUGAAGACUUUAUGAUCCAUUUGUCGUAGGUCCCACCAGUUAUGUAGGAAUACCCUAUCUCGUUUAUAAGAGCUUUGAUACAUGCAAAAUAUUCGAAAACAAUGUCCGAACAUAUAAUGUUUGCCCCAAAAUAUAGCAAAGACCACGAAAAUGCCAUAAAAAGUACAUUAAGGUCAAAAUUUGGAGUAGGAAAAAAAUCAAUAGGAGAAUUCCAUUUUCCUUCCUCAUUCAUUGGAGAGCUCUCUUUGGGCAUUCCAAAAAGGUAUCACAUGGCAAGUUUGGCCUCACGGUCUAAAAGUUAUAGAGUAAUACAUUUUUAACAAAAAAAAAAGAGAAAAACCGAAAAAAAGAGGGAUGCAACACGAAGACUUUUCUGGAGGUCACCCAUCCUAGUACUACUCUCCCCCAAGCACGCUUAACUGUGGUGUUCUGAUAGGAUCAAGUGCAUUAGUGCUGGUAUGAUCGCAUCAGUUACUACAUGCAAUGCAAUCAUAUAUAUUCUUUUUUGAAGACGUUAUGAUCCAUUUGCCGUAGGUCCCACCAGCUAUGUAGGAACACCCUAUCUUGUUUAUAAGAGCUUUGAUACAUGCAAAAUAUUCGAAAACAAUGUCCGAACAUAUAAUUUUUGUCCCGUAAUAUAGCAAAGAUCACGAAAAGGCCAGAAAAAAUACAUUUCGGUCAAAAUUUGGAGUAGAAAAAAAACCCUUCCUCAUUCAUUGGACAGCUCUCUUUGGGCUUUCCGAAAAGGUAUCACAUGCCAAGUUUGGCCUCACGGUCUAAAAGUUAUAGAGUCAUACAUUUUUCACAAAAAAAACAAGAGAAAAACAAAAAAAAAGAGUGAUGAAACACGAGGACUUUCCUGGAGGUCACCCAUCCUAGUACUACUCUCGCCCAAGCACGCUUAACUGCGAAGUUCUGAUGGGAUCUGGUGCAUUAGUGCUGGUAUGAUCGCAUCUGUUACUACAUGCAAUGCAAUCGUAUAUAUUCUUUUUUGAAGACUUUAUGAUCCAUUUGUCGUAGGUCCCACCAGUUAUGUAGGAAUACCCUAUCUCGUUUAUAAGAGCUUUGAUACAUGCAAAAUAUUCGAAAACAAUGUCCGAACAUAUAAUGUUUGCCCCAAAAUAUAGCAAAGACCACGAAAAUGCCAUAAAAAGUACAUUAAGGUCAAAAUUUGGAGUAGGAAAAAAAAUCAAUAGGAGAAUUCCAUUUUCCUUCCUCAUUCAUUGGAGAGCUCUCUUUGGGCAUUCCAAAAAGGUAUCACAUGCCAAGUUUGGCCUCACGGUCUAAAAGUUAUAGAGUAAUACAUUUUUAACAAAAAAAAAAGAGAAAAACCGAAAAAAAGAGGGAUGCAACACGAAGACUUUUCUGGAGGUCACCCAUCCUAGUACUACUCUCCCCCAAGCACGCUUAACUGUGGUGUUCUGAUAGGAUCAAGUGCAUUAGUGCUGGUAUGAUCGCAUCAGUUACUACAUGCAAUGCAAUCAUAUAUAUUCUUUUUUGAAGACUUUAUGAUCCAUUGUCGUAGGUCCCACCAGCUAUGUAGGAAUACCCUUUCUUGUUUAUAAGAGCUUUGAUACAUGGAAAAUAUUCGAAAACAAUGUCCGAACAUAUAAUUUUUGUCCCGUAAUAUAGCAAAGAUCACGAAAAGGCCAGAAAAAAUACAUUUCGGUCAAAAUUUGGAGUAGAAAAAAAGCCCUUCCUCAUUCAUUGGACAGCUCUCUUUGGGCUUUCCGAAAAGGUAUCACAUGCCAAGUUUGGCCUCACGGUCUAAACCUUAUAGACUCAUACAUUUUUCACAAAAAAAAGAAGAGAAAAGCCAAAAAAAAAGAGUGAUUAAACACGAGGACUUUCCUGGAGGUCACCCAUCCUAGUACUACUCUCGCCCAAGCACGCUUAACUGCGAAGUUCUGAUGGGAUCUGGUGCAUUAGUGCUGGUAUGAUCGCAUCUGUUACUACAUGCAAUGAAAUCGUAUCUAUUCUUUUUUGAAGAUUUUAUGAUUCAUUUACCGUGGGUCCCACCAGCUAUGUAGGAAUAACCUAUCUUAUUUAUAAGAUCUUUGAUACAUGCAAAAUAUUGGAAAACAAUGUCCGAACAUAUAAUGUUCGCCCCAAAAUAUAGCAAAGACCACAAAAAUGCCAUAAAAAGUACAUUAAGGUCAAAAUUUGGAGUAGGAAAAAAACCAAUAAGAGAAUUCCAUUUUCCUUCCCUCAUUCAUCGGAGAUCUCUCUUUGGGCAUUCCAAAAAGGUAUCACAUGCCAAGUUUGGCCUCACGGUCUAAAAGUUAUAGAGUAAUACAUUUUUAACAAAAAAAAAAAGAGAAAAACCGAAAAAAAGAGGGAUGCAACACGAAGACUUUUCUGGAGGUCACCCAUCCUAGUACUACUCUCCCCCAAGCACGCUUAACUGUGGUGUUCUGAUAGGAUCAAGUGCAUUAGUGCUGGUAUGAUCGCAUCAGUUACUACAUGUAAUGCAAUCAUAUAUAUUCUUUUUUGAAGACUUUAUGAUCCAUGUGCCGUAGGUCCCACCAGCUAUGUAGGAAUACCCUAUCUCAUUUAUAAGAGCUUUGAUACAUGCAAAAUAUUCGAAAACAAUGUCCGAACAUAUAAUGUUUGCCCCAAAAUAUAGCAAAGACCACGAAAAUGCCAUAAAAAGUACAUUAAGGUCAAAAUUUGGAGUAGGAAAAAAAAUCAAUAGGAGAAUUCCAUUUUCCUUCCUCAUUCAUUGGAGAGCUCUCUUUGGGCAUUCCAAAAAGGUAUCACAUGGCAAGUUUGGCCUCACGGUCUAAAAGUUAUAGAGUAAUACAUUUUUAACAAAAAAAAAAGAGAAAAACCGAAAAAAAGAGGGAUGCAACACGAAGACUUUUCUGGAGGUCACCCAUCCUAGUACUACUCUCCCCCAAGCACGCUUAACUGUGGUGUUCUGAUAGGAUCAAGUGCAUUAGUGCUGGUAUGAUCGCAUCAGUUACUACAUGCAAUGCAAUCAUAUAUAUUCUUUUUUGAAGACGUUAUGAUCCAUUUGCCGUAGGUCCCACCAGCUAUGUAGGAACACCCUAUCUUGUUUAUAAGAGCUUUGAUACAUGCAAAAUAUUCGAAAACAAUGUCCGAACAUAUAAUUUUUGUCCCGUAAUAUAGCAAAGAUCACGAAAAGGCCAGAAAAAAUACAUUUCGGUCAAAAUUUGGAGUAGAAAAAAAACCCUUCCUCAUUCAUUGGACAGCUCUCUUUGGGCUUUCCGAAAAGGUAUCACAUGCCAAGUUUGGCCUCACGGUCUAAAAGUUAUAGAGUCAUACAUUUUUCACAAAAAAAACAAGAGAAAAACAAAAAAAAAGAGUGAUGAAACACGAGGACUUUCCUGGAGGUCACCCAUCCUAGUACUACUCUCGCCCAAGCACGCUUAACUGCGAAGUUCUGAUGGGAUCUGGUGCAUUAGUGCUGGUAUGAUCGCAUCUGUUACUACAUGCAAUGCAAUCGNNNNNNNNNNNNNNNNNNNNNNNNNNNNNNNNNNNNNNNNNNNNNNNNNNUAUGAUCGCAUGUGUUACUACAUGCAAUGUAAUCGUAUCUAUUCUUUUUUAAAGACUUUAUGAUCCAUUUGCCGUGAGUCCCACCAGCUAUGUAGGAAUAUUCUAUCUUCUUUAUAAGAGCUUUGAUACAUGCAAAAUACNUGGAAAACAAUGUCCGAACAUAUAAUUUUCCCCCCGUAAUAUAGCANAGAUCACGAAAAGGCCCGAAAAAGUACAUUUAGUUCANAAUUUGGAGUAGAAAAAAAAACAAUAGAAGAAUUCCAUUUUCCUUCCUCAAUCAUCGGAGAGCUCUCUUUGGGCUUUCCGAAAAGGUAUCUCAUGCCAAGUUUGGCCUCACGAACUAAAAGUUAUAGAGUCAUACAUUUUUAACAAAACAAAAUAGAGAAAAACCGAAAAAAGAGGGAUGCAACACAAGGACUUUCCGGGAGGUCACCCAUCCUAGUACUACUCUCGCCCAAGCACCCUUAACUGCGGAGUUCUGAUGGGAUCCGGUGCAUUAGUGCUGGUAUGAUCGCCCGUGUUACUACAUGCAAUGCAAUCGUAUCUAUUCUUUUUUAAAGAUUUUAUGAUCCAUUUGCCGUGGGUCCCACCAGCUAUGUAGGAAUACCCUAUCUUCUUUAUAAGAGGUUUGAUACAUACAAAAUAUUGGAUCACAAUGUCAGAACAUAUAAUUUUCCCCCCUUAAUAUAGCAAAGAUCACUAAAAGGCCCGAAAAAAUACAUUUAGUUCAAAAUUUGGAGUAGAAAAAAAAACAAUAGAAGAAUUCCAUUUUCCUUCCUCAGUUAUCGGAGAACUCUCUUUGGGCUUUCCGAAAAGGUAUCACAUGCCAAGUUUGGCCUCACGGUCUAAAAGAUAUAGAGUCAUACAUUAUUAACAAAACAAAAUAGAGAAAAACCGAAAAAAAGAAGGAUGCAACACGAGGACUUUGCGGGAGGUAAUCUAUCCUAGUACUACUCUCGCCCAAGCACCCUUAACUGCGGAGUUCUGAUGGGAUCCGGUGCAUUAGUGCUGGUAUGAUCGCAUGUGUUACUACAUGCAAUGUAAUCGUAUCUAUUCUUUUUUAAAGACUUUAUGAUCCAUUUGCCGUGGGUCCCACCAGCUAUGUAGGAAUACUCUAUCUACUUUAUAAGAGCUUUGAUACAUGCAGAAUAUUGGAAAACAACGUCCGAACAUAUAAUUUCCCCCCCCCCCCCCGUAAUAUAGCAAAAAUCACGAAAAGGCCCGAAAAAGUACAUUUAGUUCAAAAUUUGGAGUAGAAAAAAAAACAAUAGAAGAAUUUCAUUUUCCUUCCUCAGUCAUCGGAGAGCUCUCUUUGGGCUUUCCAAAAAGGUAUCACAUGCCAAGUUUGGCCUCACAGUCUAAAAGUUAUAGAGUCAUACAUUUUUAACAAAACAAAAUAGAGAAAAACCGAAAAAAAGAGGGAUGCAACACGAGGACUUUCCGGGAGGUAAUCUAUCCUAGUACUACUCUCGCCCAAGCACCCUUAACUGCGGAGUUCUGAUGGGAUCCGGUGCAGUAGUGCUGGUAUGAUUGCAUGUGUUACUACAUGCAAUGUAAUCGUAUCUAUUCUUUUUUAAAGACUUUAUGAUCCAUUUGCCGUGAGUCCCACCAGCUAUGUAGGAAUAUUCUAUCUUCUUUAUAAGAGCUUUGAUACAUGCAAAAUACUGGAAAACAGUGUCCGAACAUAUAAUUUUCCCCCCGUAAUAUAGCAAAGAUCACGAAAAGGCCCGAAAAAGUACAUUUAGUUCAAAAUUUGGAGUAGAAAAAAAAACAAUAGAAGAAUUCCAUUUUCCUUCCUCAAUCAUCGGAGAGCUCUCUUUGGGCUUUCCGAAAAGGUAUCUCAUGCCAAGUUUGGCCUCACGAACUAAAAGUUAUAGAGUCAUACAUUUUUAACAAAACAAAAUAGAGAAAAACCGAAAAAAGAGGGAUGCAACACAAGGACUUUCCAGGAGGUCACCCAUCCUAGUACUACUCUCGCCCAAGCACCCUUAACUGCGGAGUUCUGAUGGGAUCCGGUGCAUUAGUGCUGGUAUGAUCGCAUGUGUUACUACAUGCAAUGUAAUCGUAUCUAUUCUUUUUUAAAGAUUUUAUGAUCCAUUUGCCGUGGGUCCCACCAGCUAUGUAGGAAUACCCUAUCUUCUUUAUAAGAGCUUUGAUACAUACAAAAUAUUGGAUCACAAUGUCAGAACAUAUAAUUUUCCCCCCUUAAUAUAGCAAAGAUCACUAAAAGGCCCGAAAAAAUACAUUUAGUUCAAAAUUUGGAGUAGAAAAAAAAACAAUAAAAGAAUUCCAUUUUCCUUCCUCAGUUAUCGGAGAACUCUCUUUGGGCUUUCCGAAAAGGUAUCACAUGCCAAGUUUGGCCUCACGGUCUAAAAGAUAUAGAGUCAUACAUUAUUAACAAAACAAAAUAGAGAAAAACCGAAAAAAAUAGGGAUGCAACACGAGGACUAUCCUGGAGGUCACCCAUCCUAGUACUAAUCUCGCCCAACCACCCUUAACUGCGUAGUUCUGAUGGGAUCCGAUGCAUUAGUGCUGGUAUGAUCGCAUUUGUUACUAUAUGCAAUAUAAUCGUAUCUAUUCUUUUUUAAAGACUUUAUGAUCCAUUUGCCGUGGGUCCCACCAGCUAUGUAGGAUACCCUAUCUUCAUAAUAAGAGCUUUGAUAAAUGCAAAAUAUUGGAAAACAAUGUCCGAACAUAUAAUUUCCCCCCCCCCCCCCGGUAAUAUAGCAAAGAUCACGAAAUAGCCCAAAAAAGUACAUUUAGGUCAAAAUUUGAGUAGAAAAAAAACAAAUAGAGGAAUUCCAUUUUCCGUCCUCAUUCAUCGGAGAGCUCUCUUUCGGCUUUCCGAAAAGGUAUCACAUGCCAAGUUUGGCCUCACGGUCUAAAAGUUAUAGAGUCAUACAUUUUAAACAAAACAAAAUAGAGAAAAACCGAAAAAAAGAAGGAUGCAACACGAGGACUUUCCGGGAGGUCACCCAUCCUAGUACUACUCUCGCCCAAGCACCCUUAACUGCGGAGUUCUGAUGGGAUCAGGUGCAUUAGUGCUGGUAUGAUCGCAUGUGGUACUACAUGCAAUGUAAUCGUAUAUAUUCUUUUUUAAAGACUUUAUGAUCCAUUUGCCGUGGGUCCCACCAGCUAUGUAGGAAUACCCUAUCUUCUUUAUAAGAGCUUUGAUACAUGCAAAAUAUUUGAAAACAAUGUCCGAACAUAUAAUUUUCCCCCCGUUAUAUAGCAAAGAUCACGAAAAGGCCCGAAAAAGUACAUUUAGUUCAAAAUUUGGAGUAGAAAAAAAGACAAUAGAAGAAUUUCAUUUUCCUUCCUCAGUAAUCGGAGAGCUCUCUUUGGGCUUUCCGAAAAGGUAUCACAUGCCAAGUUUGGCUUCACGGUAUAAAAGUUAUAGAGUCAUACAUUUUUAACAAAAAAAAACUAGAAAAACAGAAAAAAAGAGGGAUGCAAUACGAGGACUUUCCAGGAGGUCACCCAUCCUAGUACAACUCUCGCCGAAGCACGCUUAACUGCGGUGUUCAGAUGGGAUCUGGUGCAUUAGUGCUGGUAUGAUGGCAUUUGUUACUACAUGCAAUGCAAUCGUAUCUAUUCUUUUGUAAAGACUUUAUGAUCCAUUUGCCGUGGGUUCCACCAGCUAUGUAGGAAUACCCUAUCUUGUUUAUAAGAGAUUUGAUACAUGCAAAAUAUUCGAACACAAUGUCCGAACAUAUAAUUUUUGCCCCGUAAUAUAGCAAAGAUCACGAAAAGGCCCGAAAAAGUACAUUAAGGUCAAAAUUUGGAGUAGAAAAAAAACACAAUAGAAGUAUUCCAUUGUCCUUCGUCAUUCAUCGAAGAGCUCUCUUUGGGCUUUUCGAAAUGAUAUCAUAUGCCAAGUUUGGCCUCACGGUCUAAAAUUUAUAGAGUCAUACAUUUUUAACAAAACAAAAAGAGAAAAACCGAAAAAAAGAGGGAUGCAACACGAGGACUUUCCUGGAGGUCACCCAUCCUAGUACUACUCUCGCCCAAGCACCCUUAACUGCGUAGUUCUGAUGGGAUCCGAUGCAUUAGUGCUGGUAUGAUCGAAUCUGUUACUACAUGUAAUGCAAUCAUAUAUAUUCUUUUUUGAAGACUUUAUGAUCCAUUUGCCGUAGGUCCCACCAGCUAUGUAGGAAUACCCUAUCUCGUUUAUAAGAGCUUUGAUACAUGCAAAAUAUUCGAAAACAAUGUCCGAACAUAUAAUGUUUGCCCCAAAAUAUAGCAAAGACCACGAAAAUGCCAUAAAAAGUACAUUAAGGUCAAAAUUUGGAGUAGGAAAAAAAAUCAAUAGGAGAAUUCCAUUUUCCUUCCUCAUUCAUCGGAGAGCUCUCUUUGGGCAUUCCAAAAAGGUAUGACAUGCCAAGUUUGGCCUCACGGUCUAAAAGUUAUAGAGUAAUACAUUUUUAACAAAAAAAAAAGAGAANAAACCGAAAAAAAGAGGGAUGCAACACGAAGACUUUUCUGGAGGUCAUCCAUCCUAGUACUACUCUCCCCCAAGCACGCUUAACUGUGGUGUUCUGAUAGGAUCAAGUGCAUUAGUGCUGGUAUGAUCGCAUCAGUUACUACAUGCAAUGCAAUCAUAUAUAUNNNNNNNNNNNNNNNNNNNNNNNNNNNNNNNNNNNNNNNNNNNNNNNNNNAAAGUCAAAAUUUGGAGUAGAAAAAAACCCAAUAGAAGUAUUCCAUUCUCCUUCGUCAUUCAUCGGAGAGCUCUCUUUAGGCUUUCCGAAAAGAUAUCACAUGCCAAGUUUGGCCUCACGGUUUAAAAGUUAUAGAGUCAUAGAUUUUUAACAAAACAAAAAGAGAAAAACCGAAAAAAAUUGGGAUGCAACACGAGGACUUUCCUGGAGGUCACCCAUCCUAGUACUACUCUCGCCCAAGCACCCUUAACUGCGUAGUUCUGAUGGGAUCCGAUGCUNUAGUGCUGGUAUGAUCGCAUCUGUUACUACAUGCAAUGUAAUCGUAUCUAUUCUUUNUUAAAGACUUUAUGAUCCAUUUGCCGUGGGUCCCACCAGCUAUGUAGGAAUACCCUAUCUUCUNUAUAAGAGCNUUUGAUAAAUGCANAAUAUUGGAAACCAAUGUCCGAACAUAUAAUUUCGCCCCCGUAAUAUAGCANAGAUCACGAAAAAGCCCAAAAAAGUUCAUUUAGGUCAAAAUUUGAGCAGAAGAAAAAGAAAUAGAAGAAUUCCAUUUUCCUUCCUCAUUUAUUGGAGAGCUCUCUUUGGGCUUUCCGAAAAGGUAUCACAUGCCAAGUUUGGCCUCACGGUCUAAAAGUUAUAGAGUCAUACAUUUUUAACAAAAUGAAAUAGAGAAAAACCGAAAAAAAGAGGGAUGUAACACGAGGACUUUCCGGGAGGUAAUCUAUCCUACUACUACUCUCGGCCAAGCACCCUUAACUGCGGAGUUCUAAUGGGAUCCGGUGCAUUAGUGCUGGUAUGAUCGCAUGUGUUACUACAUGCAAUGUAAUCGUAUCUAUUCUUUUUUAAAGACUUUAUGAUCCAUUUGCCGUGGGUCCCACCAGCUAUGUAGGAAUACCCUAUCUUCUUUAUAAGAGCUUUGAUACAUGCAAAAUAUAUGAAAAAAACGUCCGAACAUAUAAUUUUCCCCCCGUAAUAUAGCAAAGAUCAUGAAAAGGCCCAAAAAAGUACAUUAAUGUCAAAAUUUGGCGUAGAAAAAAAACCAAUAGACAUAUUCCAUUGUCCUUCGUCAUUCAUUGAAGAGCUCUCUUUGGGCUUUCCGAAAAGGUAUCACAUGCCAAGUUUGGCCUCACGGUCUAAAAGUUAUAGAGUCAUACAUUUUUAACAAUACAAAAUAGAGAAAAACCGAAAAAAAGAGGGAUGCAACACGAGGACUUUCCGGGAGGUAAUCCAUCCUAGUACUACUCUCGCCCAAGCACCCUUAACUGCGGAGUUCUGAUGGGACCCGGUGCAUUAGUGCUGGUAUGAUCGCAUCUGUUACUAUAUGCAAUGUAAUCGUAUCUAUUCUUUUUUAAAGACUUUAUGAUCCAUUUGCCGUGGGUCCCACCAGCUAUGUAGGAAUACCCUAUCUUCUUUAUAAGAGCUUUGAUAUAUGCAAAAUAUUGGAACACCAUGUCCGAACAUAUAAUUUUUCCCGUGUAAUAUAGCAAAGAUCAAGAAAAAGAAAAAAAAGUACAUUUAGGUCAAAAUUUGAGUAGAAAAAAACAAAUAGAAGAAUUCCAUUUUCCUUCCUCAUUCAGCUGAGAGCUCUCUUUGGGCUUUCCGAAAAGGUAUCAUAUGCCAAGUUUGGCCUCACAGUGUAAAAGUUAUAGAGUCUAACAUUUUUAACAAAACAAAAUAGAGAAAAACCAAAAAAAGAGGGAUGCAACACGAGGACUUUCUGGGAGGUCACCCAUCCUAGUACUACUCUCGCCCAAGCACCCUUAACUGCGGAGUUCUGAUGGGAUCCGGUGCAUUAGUGCUGGUAUGAUCGCAUGUGUUACUACAUGCAAUGUAAUCCUAUCUAUUCUUUCUUAAAGACUUUAUGAUCCAUUUGCCGUGAGUCCCACCAGCUAUGUAGGAAUACCCUAUCUUCUUUAUAAGAGCUUUGAUACAUGCAAAAUAUUGGAAAACAAUGUCCGAACAUAUAGUUUUCCCCCGUAAUAUAGCAAAGAUCACGAAAAGGCCCGAAAAAGUACAUUUAGUUCAAAAUUGGGAGUAGAAAAAAAAAACAAUAGAAGAAUUCCAUUUUACUUCCUCAGUCAUCGGAGAGCUCUCUUUGGGCUUUCCGAAAAGGUAUCACAUGCCCAGUUUGGCCUCACGGUCUAAAAGUUAUAAAGUCAUACAUUUUUAACAAAAAAAAAAGAGAAAAACCGAAAAAAAGAGGGAUGCAAUACGAGGACUUUCCACGAGGUCACCCAUCCUAGUACAACUCUCGCCAAAGCAUGCUUAACUGCGGAGUUUAGAUGGGAUCUGGUGCAUUAGUGCUGGUAUGAUCGCAUCUGUUACUACAUGCAAUGCAAUCGUAUCUAUUCUUAUUUAAAGACUUUAUCAUCCAUUUGCCAUGGGUCCCACCUGUAGGAAUACCCAAUCUUGUUUAUAAGAGCUUUGAUACAUGCAAAAUAUUCGAAAACAACGUCCGAACAUAUAAUUUUCGCCCCGUAAUAUAGCAAAGAUCACGAAAAGGCCCGAAAAAGUACAUUAAGGUCAAAAUUUGGAAUAGAAAAAAAAACCAAAAGAAGUAUUCCAUUGUCCUUUGUCAUUCAUCGAAGAGCUCUCUUUGGGCUUUCCGAAAAGGUAUCGCAAGCCAAGUUUGGCCUCACGGUUUAAAAGUUAUAAAGUCAUACAUUUUUAACAAAAAAAAAAAGAGAAAAAACCGAAAAAAAGAGGGAUGCAACACGAGGACUUUUCUGGAGGUCACCCAUCCUAGUACUACUCUCGCCCGAUCACCCUUAACUGCGUAGUUUUGAUGGGAUUCGAUGCAUUAGUGCUGGUAUGAUCGCAUCUGUUACUACAUGCAAUGUAAUCGUAUCUAUUCUUUUUUAAAGACUUUAUGAUCCAUUUGCCGUGGGUCCCACCAGCUAUGUAGGAAUACCCUAUCUUCUUUAUAAGAGCUUUGAUAUAUGCAAAAUAGUGGAAAACCAUGUCCGAACAUAUAAUUUUUCCCCUGUAAUAUAGCAAAGAUCAAGAAAAAGCCAAAAAAAGUAUAUUUAGGUCAAAAUUUGGAGUAGAAAAAAAAACAAUAGAAGAAUUCCAUUUUCCUUCCUCAGUCAUCGGAGAGCUCUCUUUCGGCUUUCCGAAAAGGUAUCAAAUGCCAAGUUUGGCCUCACGGUCUAAAAGUUAUAGAGUCAUACAUUUUUAACAAUACAAAGUAGAGAAAACCGGAAAAAAGAGGGAUGCAACAUGAGGACUUUCCGGGAGGUAAUCCAUCCUAGUACAACUCUUGCCCAAGCACCCUUAACUGCGGAGUUCUGAUGGAAUCCGGUGCAUUAGUGCUGGUAUGAUCGCAUGUGUUACUACAUGNNNNNNNNNNNNNNNNNNNNNNNNNNNNNNNNNNNNNNNNNNNNNNNNNNCCAAAAAGGUAUCACAUGCCAAGUUUGGCCUCNCGGUCUAAAAGUUAUAGAGUCAUACAUUUUUAACAAACCAAAAUAGAGAAAACCGGAAAAAAGAGGGAUGCAACACGAGGACUUUCCGGGAGGUCACCCAUCCUAGUACUACUUUCGCCCAAGCACCCUUAACUGCGGAGUUCUGAUGGGAUCCGGUGCAUUAGUGCUGGUAUGAUCGCAUGUGUUACUACAUGCAAUGUAAUCAUAUUUCUUGUUAUUUAAAGAUUUUAUGAUCCAUUUGCCGUGGGUCCCACCAUCUAUGUAGGAAUACCUUAUCUUCUUUAUAGGAGCUUUGAUACAUGCAAAAUAUUGGAAAACAAUAUCCGAACAUAUAUCUUUCCCCCCGUAAUAUAGCAAAGAUCGCGAAAAGGCCCGAAAAAGUACAUUUAGGUCAAAAUUUGGAGAGGAAAAAAAAAGCAAUAGAAGAAUUCCAUUUUCCUUCCUCAGUCAUCGGAGAGCUCUCUUUGGGCUUUCCGAAAAGGUAUCACAUGCCAAGUUUGGCCUCAUGGUCUAAAAGUUAUAGAGCCAUACAUUUUUAACAAAACAAAAUAGAGAAAAACCAAAAAAAGAGAGGGAUGCAACACGAGGACUUUCCGGGAGGUCACCCAUCCUAGUACUACUCUCGCCCAAGCACCCUUAACUGCGGAGUUCUGAUGGGAUCCAGUGCAUUAGUGCUGGUAUGAUCGCAUGUGUUACUACAUGCAAUGUAAUCGUAUCUAUUCUUUUUUAAAGAUUAUAUGAUCCAUUUGCCGUGGGUCCCACCAGCUAUGUAGGAAUACCCUAUCUUCUUUAUAAGAGCUUUGAUACAUGCAAAAUAUUGGAAAACAAUGUCCGAACAUAUAAUUUUCCCCCCGUAAUAUAGCAAAGAUCACGAAAAGGCCCAAAAAAGUACAUUUAGGUCAAAAUUUGGAGUUGAAAAAAAACAAAAAGAAGAAUUCCAUUUUCCUUCCUCAUUCAUUGGAGAGCUCUCUUUGGGCUUUCCGAAAAGGUAUCACAUGCCAUGUUUAGCCUCACGGUCUAAAAGUUAUAGAGUCAUACAUUUUUAACAAAACAAAAUAGAGAAAAACCAAAAAAACGAGGGAUGCAACACGAGGACUUUCUGGGAAGUCACCCAUCCUAGUACUACUCUCGCCCAAGCACCCUUAACUGCGGAGUUCUGAUGGGAUCCGGUGCAUUAGUGCUGGUAUGAUCGCAUGUGUUACUACAUGCAAUGUAAUCGUAUCUAUUGCUUUUAAAGACUUUAUGAUCCAUUUGCCGUGGGUCCCACCAGCUAUGUAGGAAUACCCUAUCUUCUUUAUAAGAGUUUUCAUACAUGCAAAAUAUUGGAAAACAAUGUCCGAACAUAUAAUUUUCCCCCCGUAAUAUAGCAAAGAUCACGAAAAGGCCCAAAAAAGUACAUUUAGUUCAAAAUUUGGAGUAGAAAAAAAAAUAAUAGAAAAUUUCCAAUUUCCUUCUUCAUUCAUCGGAGAGCUCUCUUUGGGCUUUCCGAAAAGGUAUCACAUGCCAAGUUUGGCCUCACGGUCUAAAAGUUAUAAAGUCAUACAUUUUUAACAAAACAAAAUAGAGAAAAACGGAAAAAGAGGGAUGCAACACGUGGACUUUCCGGGAGGUCACCCAUCCUAGUACUACUCUCGUCCAAGGACCCUUAACUGCGGAGUUCUGUUGGGAUCCGUUGCAUUAGUGCUGGUAUGAUCGCAUGUGUUACUACAUGCAAUGUAAUCGUAUCUAUUCUUUUUUAAAGACUUUAUGAUCCAUUUGCCGUGGGUCCCACCAACUAUGUAGGAAUACCCUAUCUUCUUUAUAAGAGCUUUGAUACAUGCAAAAUAUUGGAAAACAAUGUCCGAACACAUAAUUUUUCCCCCAUAAUAUAACAAAGAUCACGAAAAGGCCCGAAAUAGUACAUUUAGUUCAAAAUUUGGAGUAGAAAAAAAACCAGUUUAAGAAUUCCAUUUUCCUUCCUCAUUCAUCGGAGAGCUCUCUUUGGACUUUCCGAAAAGGUAUCACAUGCCAAGUUUGGCCUCACGGUCUAAAAGUUAUAGAGUCAUACAUUUUUAACAAAACAAAAUAGAGAAAAACAGAAAAAAGAGGGAUGCAACACGAGGACUUUCCGGGAGGUCACCCAUCCUAGUACUACUCUCGCCCAAGCACCCUUAACUGCAGAGUUCUGCUGGGAUCCGGUGCAUUAGUGCUGGUAUGAUCGCAUCUGUUACUACAUGCAAUGUAAUCGUAUCUAUUCUUUUUUAAAGCUUUUAUGAUCCAUUUGCCGUGGGUCCCACCAGCUAUGUAGGAAUACCCUAUCUUCUUUAUAAGAGCUUUGAUACAUGCAAAAUAUUGGAAAACAAUGUCCGAACAUAUAAUUUCCCCCCUCGUAAUAUAGCAAAGAUCACAAAAAGGCUCGAAAAAGUACAUUUAGUUCAAAAUUUGGAGUAGAAAAAAACCAACAGAAAAAUUCCAAUUUCCUCCCUCAUUCAUCGGAGAGCUCUCUUUGGGCUUUCCAAAAAGGUAUCACAUGCCAAGUUUGGCCUCACGGUCUAAAAGUUAUAGAGUCAUACAUUUUUAACAAAACAAAAUAGAGAAAAACGGAAAAAAGAGGGAUGCAACACGAGGACUUUCCGGGAGGUCACCCAUCCUAGUACUACUCUCGUCCAAGGACCCUUAACUGCGAAGUUCUGAUGGGAUCCGUUGCAUUAGUGCUGGUAUGAUCGCAUGUGUUACUACAUGCAAUGUAAUCGUAUCUAUUCUUUUUUAAAGACUUUAUGAUCCAUUUGCCGUGGGUCCCACCAGCUAUAUAGGAAAACCCAAUCUUCUUUAUAAGAGCUUUGAUACAUGCAAAAUAUUGGAAAACAAUGUCCGAACAUAUAAUUUUCCCCCAUAAUAUAGCAAAGAUCACGAAAAGGCCCGAAAAAGUACAUUUAGUUCAAAAUUUGGAGUAGAAAAAAAGACAGUAAAAGAAUUCCAUUUUCCUUCCUCAGUGAUCGGAGAGCUCUCUUUGGACUUUCCGAAAAGGUAUCACAUGCCAAGUUUGGCCUCACGGUCUAAAAGUUAUAGAGUCAUACAUUUUUAACAAAACAAAAUAGAGAAAAACGGAAAAAAGAGGGAUGCAACACGAGGACUUUCCGGGAGGUCACCCAUCCUAGUACUACUUUCGCCCAAGCACCCUUAACUGCGGAGUUCUGAUGGGAUCCGGUGCAUUAGUGCUGGUAUGAUCGCAUGUGUUACUACAUGCAAUGUAAUCAUAUUUCUUGUUAUUUAAAGAUUUUAUGAUCCAUUUGCCGUGGGUCCCACCAUCUAUGUAGGAAUACCUUAUCUUCUUUAUAGGAGCUUUGAUACAUGCAAAAUAUUGGAAAACAAUAUCCGAACAUAUAUCUUUCCCCCCGUAAUAUAGCAAAGAUCGCGAAAAGGCCCGAAAAAGUACAUUUAGGUCAAAAUUUGGAGAAGAAAAAAAAAGCAAUAGAAGAAUUCCAUUUUCCUUCCUCAGUCAUCGGAGAGCUCUCUUUGGGCUUUCCGAAAAGGUAUCACAUGCCAAGUUUGGCCUCAUGGUCUAAAAGUUAUAGAGCCAUACAUUUUUAACAAAACAAAAUAGAGAAAAACCAAAAAAAGAGAGGGAUGCAACACGAGGACUUUCCGGGAGGUCACCCAUCCUAGUACUACUCUCGCCCAAGCACCCUUAACUGCGGAGUUCUGAUGGGAUCCAGUGCAUUAGUGCUGGUAUGAUCGCAUGUGUUACUACAUGCAAUGUAAUCGUAUCUAUUCUUUUUUAAAGAUUAUAUGAUCCAUUUGCCGUGGGUCCCACCAGCUAUGUAUGAAUACCCUAUCUUCUUUAUAAGAGCUUUGAUACAUGCAAAAUAUUGGAAAACAAUGUCCGAACAUAUAAUUUUCCCCCCGUAAUAUAGCAAAGAUCACGAAAAGGCCCAAAAAAGUACAUUUAGGUCAAAAUUUGGAGUUGAAAAAAAACAAAAAGAAGAAUUCCAUUUUCCUUCCUCAUUCAUUGGAGAGCUCUCUUUGGGCUUUCCGAAAAGGUAUCACAUGCCAUGUUUAGCCUCACGGUCUAAAAGUUAUAGAGUCAUACAUUUUUAACAAAACAAAAUAGAGAAAAACCAAAAAAACGAGGGAUGCAACACGAGGACUUUCUGGGAAGUCACCUAUCCUAGUACUACUCUCGCCCAAGCACCCUUAACUGCGGAGUUCUGAUGGGAUCCGGUGCAUUAGUGCUGGUAUGAUCGCAUGUGUUACUACAUGCAAUGUAAUCGUAUCUAUUGCUUUUAAAGACUUUAUGAUCCAUUUGCCGUGGGUCCCACCAGCUAUGUAGGAAUACCCUAUCUUCUUUAUAAGAGUUUUCAUACAUGCAAAAUAUUGGAAAACAAUGUCCGAACAUAUAAUUUUCCCCCCGUAUAUAGCAAAGAUCACGAAAAGGCCCAAAAAAGUCCUUUAAGGUCAAAAUUUGAAGUUGAAAAAAAACAAAAAGAAAAAUUCCAUUUUCCUUCCUCAUUCAUUGAAAAGCUCUCUUUGGGCUUUCCGAAAAGGUAUCACAUGCCAUGUUUAGCCUCACGGUCUAAAAGUUAUAGAGUCAUACAUUUUUAACAAAACAAAAUAGAGAAAAACCAAAAAAACGAGGGAUGCAACACGAGGACUUUCUGGGAAGUCACCUAUCCUAGUACUACUCUCGCCCAAGCACCCUUAACUGCGGAGUUCUGAUGGGAUCCGGUGCAUUAGUGCUGGUAUGAUCGCAUGUGUUACUACAUGCAAUGUAAUCGUAUCUAUUGCUUUUAAAGACUUUAUGAUCCAUUUGCCGUGGGUCCCACCAGCUAUGUAGGAAUACCCUAUCUUCUUUAUAAGAGUUUUCAUACAUGCAAAAUAUUGGAAAACAAUGUCCGAACAUAUAAUUUUCCCCCCGUAAUAUAGCAAAGAUCACGAAAAGGCCCAAAAAAGUACAUUUAGUUCAAAAUUUGGAGUAGAAAAAAAAACAAUAGAAAAUUUCCAAUUUCCUUCUUCAUUCAUCGGAGAGCUCUCUUUGGGCUUUCCGAAAAGGUAUCACAUGCCAAGUUUGGCCUCACGGUCUAAAAGUUAUAAAGUCAUACAUUUUUAACAAAACAAAAUAGAGAAAAACGGAAAAAGAGGGAUGCAACACGUGGACUUUCCGGGAGGUCACCCAUCCUAGUACUACUCUCGUCCAAGGACCCUUAACUGCGGAGUUCUGUUGGGAUCCGUUGCAUUAGUGCUGGUAUGAUCGCAUGUGUUACUACAUGCAAUGUAAUCGUAUCUAUUCUUUUUUAAAGACUUUAUGAUCCAUUUGCCGUGGGUCCCACCAACUAUGUAGGAAUACCCUAUCUUCUUUAUAAGAGCUUUGAUACAUGCAAAAUAUUGGAAAACAAUGUCCGAACAUAUAAUUUUUCCCCCAUAAUAUAACAAAGAUCACGAAAAGGCCCGAAAAAGUACAUUUAGUUCAAAAUUUGGAGUAGAAAAAAACCAGUUUAAGAAUUCCAUUUUCCUUCCUCAUUCAUCGGAGAGCUCUCUUUGGACUUUCCGAAAAGGUAUCACAUGCCAAGUUUGGCCUCACGGUCUAAAAGUUAUAGAGUCAUACAUUUUUAACAAAACAAAAUAGAGAAAAACAGAAAAAAGAGGGAUGCAACACGAGGACUUUCCGGGAGGUCACCCAUCCUAGUACUACUCUCGCCCAAGCACCCUUAACUACAGAGUUCUGCUGGGAUCCGGUGCAUUAGUGCUGGUAUGAUCGCAUCUGUUACUACAUGCAAUGUAAUCGUAUCUAUUCUUUUUUAAAGCUUUUAUGAUCCAUUUGCCGUGGGUCCCACCAGCUAUGUAGGAAUACCCUAUCUUCUUUAUAAGAGCUUUGAUACAUGCAAAAUAUUGGAAAACAAUGUCCGAACAUAUAAUUUCCCCCCUCGUAAUAUAGCAAAGAUCACAAAAAGGCUCGAAAAAGUACAUUUAGGUCAAAAUUUGGAGUAGAAAAAAAAACAAUAGAAGAAUUCCAUUUUCCUUCCUCAGUCAUUGGAGAGAUCUCUUUGGGCUUUGCGAAAAGGUAUCACAUGCCAAGUUUGGCCUCACGGUCUAAAAGUUAUAAAGUCAUACGUUUUUAGCAAAAAAAAAAGAGAAAAACCGAAAAAAAGAGGGAUGCAACACGAGGUCACCCAUUCUAGUACUACUCUCGCCCAAGCACCCUUAACUGCGUAGUUCUGAUGGGAUCUGAGGCAUUAGUGCUUGUAUGAUCGCAUCUGUUACUACAUGCAAUGUAAUCGUAAAUAUUCUUUUUUAAAGACUUUAUUAUCCAUUUGCCGUGGGUCCAACCAGCUAUGUAGGGAUACCCUAUCUUCUUUAUAAGAGCUUUGACACAUGCAAAAUAUUGGAAAAGAAUGUCCGAACAUAUUCUUUUCCCCCCGUAAUAUAGCAAAGAUCACGAAAAGGCCCGAAAAUGUAUAUUAAGUUCAAAAUUUGGAGUAGAAAAAAAAAACAAUAGAUGAAUUCCAUUUUCCUUCCUCAUUCAUUGGAGAGCUCUCUUUGGGCUUUCCGAAAAGGUAUGACAUUUCAAGUUUGGCCUCAUGGUCUCAAAGUUAUAAAGUCAUACAUUUUUCACAAAAAAAAAAAAAAGAAAAACCAAAAAAAAAAAGAGGGAUGUAACACGAGGACUUUUUUGGGAGGUCACCCAUCCUAGUACUACUCUCGCCCAAGCACGCUUAACUGCGGAGUUCUGAUGGGAUCCAGUUCAUUAGUGCUGGUAUGAUCGCAUGUGUUACUAUAUGCAAUGUAAUCGUAUCUAUUCUUUUUUAAUGACUUUAUGAUCCAUUUGCUGUGAGUCCCACCAGCUAUGUAGGAAUACCCUAUCUUCUCUAUAAGAGCUUUGAUACAUGCAAAAUAUUGGAAAACAAUGUCCGAACAUAUAGUUUUCCCCCCGUAAUAUAGCAAAGAUCACGAAAAGGCCCGAAAAGGUACAUUUAGUUCAAAAUUUGGAGUAGAAGAAAAAACAAUAGAAGAAUUCCAUUUCCCUUCCUCAGUCAUCGGAGAGCUCUCUUUGGGCUUUCCAAAAAGGUAUCACAUGCCAAGUUUGGCCUCACGGUCUAAAAGUUAUAGAGUCAUACAUUUUUAACAAUACAAAAUAGAGAAAAACCGAAAAAAAAGAGGGAUGCAACACGAGGACUUUCCGGGAGGUAAUCCAUCCUAGUACUACUCUCGCCCAAGCACCCUUAACUGCGGAGUUCUGAUGGGAUCCGAUGCAUUAGUGCUGGUAUGAUCGCAUGUGUUACUACAUGCAAUGUAAUCGUAUCUAUUCUUUUUUAAAGACUUUAUGAUCCAUUUGCCGUGGGUCCCACCAGCUAUGUAGGAUUAGCCUAUCUUGUUUAUAAGAGCUUUGAUACAUGCAAAAUAUUGGAAACCAAUGUCCAAACAUAUAAUUUUCACCCCGUAAUAUAGCAAAGAUCACGAAAAGUCCCGAAAAAGUACAUUUAGGUCAAAAUUUGGAAUAGAAAAAAAAAAAAUAGGAGUAUUCCAUUUUCCUUCCUCAUUCAUCGGAGAGCUCUCUUUGAGCUUUCUGAAAAGGUAUCACAUGCCAAGUUUGGCCUCACGGUCUAAAAGUUAUAGAGUCAUACAUUUUUAAAAAUACAAAAUAGAGAAAAACCGAAGAAAAGAGGGAUGCAACACGAGGACUUUCCGGGAGGUAAUCCAUCCUAGUACUACUCUCGCCCAAGCACCCUUAACUGCGAAGUUCUAAUGGAAUCCGGUACAUUAGUGCUGGUAUGAUCGCAUCUGUUACUAUAUGCAAUGUAAUCGUAUCUAUUCUUUUUUAAAGACUUUAUGAUCCAUUUGCCGUGGGUCUCACCAGCUAUGUAGGAAUACCCUAUCUUCUUUAUAAGAGCUUUGAUAUAUGCAAAAUAUUGGAACACCAUGUCCGAACAUAUAAUUUUUCCCGUGUAAUAUAGCAAAGAUCAAGAAAAAGCCAAAAAAGUACAUUUAGGUCAAAAUUUGAGUAGAAAAAAACAAAUAGAAGAAUUCUAUAUUCCUUCCUCAUUCGUCGGAGAGCUCUCUUUGGGCUUUCCGAAAAGGUAUCAUAUGCCAAGUUUGGCCUCGCGGUCUAAAAGUUACGGAGUCUAACAUUUUUAACAAAACAAAAUAGAGAAAAACCGAAAAAAGAGGGAUGCAACACGAGGACUUUCCGGGAGGUCACCCAUCCUAGUACUACUCUCGCCCAAGCACCCUUAACUGCGGAGUUCUGAUGGGAUCCGGUGCAUUAGUGCUGGUAUGAUCGCAUGUGUUACUACAUGCAAUGUAAUCGUAUCUAUUCUUUCUUAAAGACUUUAUGAUCCAUUUGCCGUGAGUCCCACCAGCUAUGUAGGAAUACCCUAUCUUCUUUAUAAGAGCUUUGAUACAUGCAAAAUAUUGGAAAACAAUGUCCGAACAUAUAGUUUUCCCCCCGUAAUAUAGCAAAGAUCACGAAAAGGCCCGAAAAAGUACAUUUAGUUCAAAAUUUGGAGUAGAAAAAAAAACAAUAGAAGAAUUCCAUUUUCCUUCCUCAUUCAUCGGAGAGCUCUCUUUGGGCUUUCCGAAAAAGUAUCACAUGCCAAGUUUGGCCUCACGGUCUAAACGUUAUAGAGUCAUACAUUUUUAACAAUACAAAAUAGAGAAAAACCGAAAAAAGAGGGAUGCUACACGAAGACUUUCCGGGAGGUAAUCCAUCCUAGUACUACUCUUGCCCAAGCACCCUUAACUGCGGAGUUCUGAUGGAAUCUGGUGCAUUAGUGCUGGUAUGAUCGCAUGUGUUACUACAUGCAAUGUAAUCGUAUCUAUUCUUUUUUAAAGACUUUAUGAUCCAUUUGCCGUGGGUCCCACCAGCUAUGUAGGAAUACCCUAUUUUCUUUAUAAGAGCUUUGAUACAUGCAAAAUAUAUGAAAAAAACGUUCGAACAUAUAAUUUUCCCCCCGUAAUAUAGCAAAGAUCACGAAAAGGCUCGAAAAAUUACAUUUAGUUCAAAAUUUUUAGUAGAAAAAACCCAAUAGAAGAAUUCCAUUUUCCUUCCUCAGUCAUCGGAGAGCUCUCUUUGGGCUUUCCGAAAAGGUAUCACAUGCCAAGUUUGGCCUCACGGUCUAAAAGUUAUAGAGUCAUACAUUUUUAACAAAACAAAAUUGAGAAAAACCGAAAAAAAGAGGGAUGCAACACGAGGACUCUCCAAAAGGUAACCCAUCUUAGUACUACUCUCGCCCAAGCACCCUUAACUGCGGAGUUCUGAUGGGACCCGGUGCAUUUGUGCUGGUAUGAUCGCAUGUGUCACUACAUGCAAUGUAAUCGUAUCUAUUCUUUUUUAAAGACUUUAUGAUCCAUUUGCAGUGGGUCCUACCAGCUAUGUAGGAAUACCCUACCUUCUUUAUAAGAGCUUUCAUACAUGCAUAAUAUUGGAAAACAAUGUCCGAAGAUAUAAUUUUCCCCCCAUAAUAUAGCAAAGAUCACGAAAAGGCCCGAAAAAGUACAUUAUGUUCAAAAUUUGGAGUCGAAAAAAAACCAAUAGAAGAAUUCCAUUUUACUUCCUUAGUCAUCGGAGAGCUCUCUUUGGGCUUUCCGAAAAGGUAUCACAUGCCAAGUUUGGCCUCACGGUCUAAAAGUUAUAGAGUCAUACAUUUUUAACAAAACAAAAUAGAGAAAAACGGGAAAAAAGAGGGAUGUAACACGAGGACAUUCCGGGAGGUCACCCAUCCUAGUACUACUCUUGCCCAAGCACCCUUAACUGCGGAGUUCUUAUGGGAUCCGGUGCAUUAGUGUUGGUAUGAUCGCAUGUGUUACUACAUGCAAUGUAAUCGUAUCUAUUCUUUUUAAAGACUUUAUGAUCCAUUUGCCGUGGGUCCCACCAGCUAUGUAGGAAUACCCUAUCUUCUUUAUAAGAGCUUUGAUACAUGUAAAAUAUUGGAAAACAAUGUCCGAAGAUAUAAUUUUCCCCCGUAAUAUAGCAAAGAUCACGAAAAGGCCCGAAAAUGUACAUUAAGUUCAAAAUUUGGAGUAGAAAAAAAAAACAAUAGAAGAAUUCCAUUUUCCUUCCUCAUUCAUCGGAGAGCUCUCUUUGGGCUUUCCGAAAAGGUAUGACAUUCCAAGUUUGGCCUCAUGGUCUCAAAUUUAUAAAGUCAUACAUUUUUCACAAAAAAAAAAUAAAGAAAAACCAAAAAAAAAAAAGAGGGAUGUAACACGAGGACUUUUUUGGGAGGUCACCCAUCCUAGUACUACUCUCGCCCAAGCACGCUUAACUGCGGAGUUCUGAUGGGAUCCGGUUCAUUAGUGCUGGUAUGAUCACAUGUGUUACUACAUGCAAUGUAAUCGUAUCUAUUCUUUUUUAAAGACUUUAUGAUCCAUUUGCCGUGAGUCCCACCAGCUAUGUAGGAAUACCCUAUCUUCUCUAUAAGAGCUUUGAUACAUGCAAAAUAUUGGAAAACAAUGUCCGAACAUAUAGUUUUCCCCCCGUAAUAUAGCAAAGAUCACGAAAAGGCCCGAAAAAGUACAUUUAGUUCAAAAUUUGGAGUAGAAAAAAAAACAAUAAAAGAAUUUCAUUUCCCUUCCUCAGUCAUCGGAGAGCUCUCUUUGGGCUUUCCAAAAAGGUAUCACAUGCCAAGUUUGGCCUCACGGUCUAAAAGUUAUAGAGUCAUACAUUUUUAACAAUACAAAAUAGAGAAAAACCGAAAAAAAAGAGGGAUGCAACACGAGGACUUUCCGGGAGGUAAUCAAUCCUAGUACUACUCUAGCCCAAGCACCCUUAACUGCGGAGUUCUAAUGGAAUCCAGUGCAUUAGUGCGGGUAUGAUCGCAUGUGUUACUACAUGCAAUGUAAUCGUAUCUAUUCUUUUUUAAAGACUUUAUGAUCCAUUUGCCGUGGGUCCCACCAGCUAUGUAGGAAUACACUAUCUUCUUUAUAAGAGCUUUGAUACAUGCAAAAUAUUGGAAAAAAACGUCCGAACAUAUAAUUUUCCCCACGUAAUAUAGCAAAGAUCACGAAAAUGCCCCAAAAAGUACAUUUAGUUCAAAAUUUGGAGUAGAAAAAAAAACAAUAGAAGAAUUACAUUUUCCUUCCUCACUCAUCGGAGAGCUCUCUUUGGGCUUUUCGAAAAGGUACCACAUGCCAAGUUUGGCCUCACGGUCUAAAAGUUAUAGAGUCAUACAUUUUUAACAAAAUAAAAUUGAGAAAAACCGAAAAAAAGAGGGAUGCAACACGAGGACUCUCCAGAAGGUAACCCAUCUUAGUACUACUCUCGCUCUUGCACCCUUAACUAUGGAGUUCUGAUGGGACCCGGUGCAUUAGUGCUGGUAUGAUCGCAUCUGUUACUAUAUGCAAUGUAAUCGUAUCUAUUCUUUUUUAAAGACUUUAUGAUCCAUUUGCCGUGGGUCCCACCAGCUAUGUAGGAAUACCCUAUCUUCUUUAUAAGAGCUUUGAUAUAUGCAAAAUAUUGGAUUACCAUGUCCGAACAUAUAAUUUUUCCCGUGUAAUAUAGCAAAGAUCAAGAAAAAGCCAAAAAAGUACAUUUAGGUCAAAAUUUGAGUAGAAAAAAACAAAUAGAAGAAUUCCAUUUUCCUUCCUCAUUCACCGUAGAGCUCUCAUUGGGCUUUCCGAAAAGGUAUCAUAUGCCAAGUUUGGCCUCACGGUCUAAAAGUUAUAGAGUCUAACAUUCUUAACAAAACAAAAUAGAGAAAAACCGAAAAAAGAGGGAUGCAACACGAGGACUUUCCGGGAGGUCACCCAUCCUAGUACUACUCUCGCCCAAGGACCCUUAACUGCGGAGUUCUGAUGGGAUCCGUUGCAUUAGUGCUGGUAUGAUCGCAUGUGUUACUACAUGCAAUGUAAUCGUAUCUAUUCUUUCUUAAAGACUUUAUGAUCCAUUUGCCGUGCGUCCCACCAGCUAUGUAGGAAUACCCUAUCUUCUUUAUAAGAGCUUUGAUACAUGCAAAAUAUUGGAAAACAAUGUCCGAACAUAUAGUUUUCCCCCCGUAAUAUAGCAAAGAUCACGAAAAGGCCCGAAAAAGUACAUUUAGUUCAAAAUUUGGAGUAGAAAAAAAAACAAUAGAAGAAUUCCAUUUUCCUUCCUCAGUCAUCGGAGAGCUCUCUUUGGGCUUUCCGAAAAGGUAUCACAUGCCAAGUUUGGCCUCACGGUCUAAACGUUAUAGAGUCAUACAUUUUUAACAAUACAAAAUAGAGAAAAACCGAAAAAAAGAGGGAUGCAACACGAAGACUUUCCGGGAGGUAAUCCAUCCUAGUACUACUCUUGCCAAAGCACCCUUAACUGCGGAGUUCUGAUGGAAUCUGGUGCAUUAGUGCUGGUAUGAUCGCAUGUGUUACUACAUGCAAUGUAAUCGUAUCUAUUCUUUUUUAAAGACUUUAUGAUCCAUUUGCCGUGGGUCCCACCAGCUAUGUACGAAUACCCUAUCUUCUUUAUAAGAGCUUUGAUACAUGCAAAAUAUAUGAAAAAAACGUCCGAACAUAUAAUUUUCCCCCCGUAAUAUAGCAAAGAUCAUGAAAAGGCCCAAAAAAGUACAUUAAGGUCAAAAUUUGGCGUAGAAAAAAAACCAAUAGACAUAUUCCAUUGGCCUUCGUCAUUCAUUGGAGAGCUCUCUUUGGGCUUUCCGAAAAGGUAUCACAUGCCAAGUUUGGCCUCACGGUCUAAAAGUUAUAGAGUCAUACAUUUUUAACAAUACAAAAUAGAGAAAAACCGAAAAAAAGAGGGAUGCAACACGAGGACUUUCCGGGAGGUAAUCCAUCCUAGUACUACUCUCGCCCAAGCACCCUUAACUGCGGAGUUCUAAUGGAAUCCGGUGCAUUAGUGCUGGUAUGAUCGCAUCUGUUACUAUAUGCAAUGUAAUCGUAUCUAUUCUUUUUUAAAGACUUUAUGAUCCAUUUGCCGUGGGUCCCACCAGCUAUGUAGGAAUACCCUAUCUUCUUUAUAAGAGCUUUGAUAUAUGCAAAAUAUUGGAUUACCAUGUCCGAACAUAUAAUUUUUCCCGUGUAAUAUAGCAAAGAUCAAGAAAAAGCCAAAAAAGUACAUUUAGGUCAAAAUUUGAGUAGAAAAAAACAAAUAGAAGAAUUCCAUUUUCCUUCCUCAUUCACCGCAGAGCUCUCUUUGGGCUUUCCGAAAAGGUAUCAUAUGCCAAGUUUGGCCUCACGGUCUAAAAGUUAUAGAGUCUAACAUUUUUAACAAAACAAAAUAGAGAAAAACCGAAAAAAGAGGGAUGCAACACGAGGACUUUCCGGGAGGUCACCCAUCCUAGUACUACUCUCGCCCAAGGACCCUUAACUGCGGAGUUCUGAUGGGAUCCGUUGCAUUAGUGCUGGUAUGAUCGCAUGUGUUACUACAUGCAAUGUAAUCGUAUCUAUUCUUUCUUAAAGACUUUAUGAUCCAUUUGCCGUGCGUCCCACCAGCUAUGUAGGAAUACCCUAUCUUCUUUAUAAGAGCUUUGAUACAUGCAAAAUAUUGGAAAACAAUGUCCGAACAUAUAGUUUUCCCCCCGUAAUAUAGCAAAGAUCACGAAAAGGCCCGAAAAAGUACAUUUAGUUCAAAAUUUGGAGUAGAAAAAAAAACAAUAGAAGAAUUCCAUUUUCCUUCCUCAGUCAUCGGAGAGCUCUCUUUGGGCUUUCCGAAAAGGUNNNNNNNNNNNNNNNNNNNNNNNNNNNNNNNNNNNNNNNNNNNNNNNNNNGAGAAAAACCGAAAAAAGAGGGAUGCAACACGAGGACUUUCCGGGAGGUCACCCAUCCUAGUACUACUCUCGCCCAAGGACCCUUAACUGCGGAGUUCUGAUGGGAUCCGUUGCAUUAGUGCUGGUAUGAUCGCAUGUGUUACUACAUGCAAUGUAAUCGUAUCUAUUCUUUCUUAAAGACUUUAUGAUCCAUUUGCCGUGCGUCCCACCAGCUAUGUAGGAAUACCCUAUCUUCUUUAUAAGAGCUUUGAUACAUGCAAAAUAUUGGAAAACAAUGUCCGAACAUAUAGUUUUCCCCCCGUAAUAUAGCAAAGAUCACGAAAAGGCCCGAAAAAGUACAUUUAGUUCAAAAUUUGGAGUAGAAAAAAAAACAAUAGAAGAAUUCCAUUUUCCUUCCUCAGUCAUCGGAGAGCUCUCUUAGGGCUUUCCGAAAAGGUAUCACAUGCCAAGUUUGGCCUCACGGUAUAAACGUUAUAGAGUCAUACAUUUUUAACAAUACAAAAUAGAGAAAAACCGAAAAAAAGAGGGAUGCAACACGAAGACUUUCCGGGAGGUAAUCCAUCCUAGUACUACUCUUGCCAAAGCACCCUUAACUGCGGAGUUCUGAUGGAAUCUGGUGCAUUAGUGCUGGUAUGAUCGCAUGUGUUACUACAUGCAAUGUAAUCGUAUCUAUUCUUUUUUAAAGACUUUAUGAUCCAUUUGCCGUGGGUCCCACCAGCUAUGUACGAAUACCCUAUCUUCUUUAUAAGAGCUUUGAUACAUGCAAAAUAUAUGAAAAAAACGUCCGAACAUAUAAUUUUCCCCCCGUAAUAUAGCAAAGAUCAUGAAAAGGCCCAAAAAAGUACAUUAAGGUCAAAAUUUGGCGUAGAAAAAAAACCAAUAGACAUAUUCCAUUGGCCUUCGUCAUUCAUUGGAGAGCUCUCUUUGGGCUUUCCGAAAAGGUAUCACAUGCCAAGUUUGGCCUCACGGUCUAAAAGUUAUAGAGUCAUACAUUUUUAACAAUACAAAAUAGAGAAAAACCGAAAAAAAGAGGGAUGCAACACGAGGACUUUCCGGGAGGUAAUCCAUCCUAGUACUACUCUCGCCCAAGCACCCUUAACUGCGGAGUUCUAAUGGAAUCCGGUGCAUUAGUGCUGGUAUGAUCGCAUCUGUUACUAUAUGCAAUGUAAUCGUAUCUAUUCUUUUUUAAAGACUUUAUGAUCCAUUUGCCGUGGGUCCCACCAGCUAUGUAGGAAUACCCUAUCUUCUUUAUAAGAGCUUUGAUAUAUGCAAAAUAUUGGAUUACCAUGUCCGAACAUAUAAUUUUUCCCGUGUAAUAUAGCAAAGAUCAAGAAAAAGCCAAAAAAGUACAUUUAGGUCAAAAUUUGAGUAGAAAAAAACAAAUAGAAGAAUUCCAUUUUCCUUCCUCAUUCACCGCAGAGCUCUCUUUGGGCUUUCCGAAAAGGUAUCAUAUGCCAAGUUUGGCCUCACGGUCUAAAAGUUAUAGAGUCUAACAUUUUUAACAAAACAAAAUAGAGAAAAACCGAAAAAAGAGGGAUGCAACACGAGGACUUUCCGGGAGGUCACCCAUCCUAGUACUACUCUCGCCCAAGGACCCUUAACUGCGGAGUUCUGAUGGGAUCCGUUGCAUUAGUGCUGGUAUGAUCGCAUGUGUUACUACAUGCAAUGUAAUCGUAUCUAUUCUUUCUUAAAGACUUUAUGAUCCAUUUGCCGUGCGUCCCACCAGCUAUGUAGGAAUACCCUAUCUUCUUUAUAAGAGCUUUGAUACAUGCAAAAUAUUGGAAAACAAUGUCCGAACAUAUAGUUUUCCCCCCGUAAUAUAGCAAAGAUCACGAAAAGGCCCGAAAAAGUACAUUUAGUUCAAAAUUUGGAGUAGAAAAAAAAACAAUAGAAGAAUUCCAUUUUCCUUCCUCAGUCAUCGGAGAGCUCUCUUUGGGCUUUCCGAAAAGGUAUCACAUGCCAAGUUUGGCCUCACGGUCUAAACGUUAUAGAGUCAUACAUUUUUAACAAUACAAAAUAGAGAAAAACCGAAAAAAAGAGGGAUGCAACACGAAGACUUUCCGGGAGGUAAUCCAUCCUAGUACUACUCUUGCCAAAGCACCCUUAACUGCGGAGUUCUGAUGGAAUCUGGUGCAUUAGUGCUGGUAUGAUCGCAUGUGUUACUACAUGCAAUGUAAUCGUAUCUAUACUUUUUUAAAGACUUUAUGAUCCAUUUGCCGUGGGUCCCACCAGCUAUGUACGAAUACCCUAUCUUCUUUAUAAGAGCUUUGAUACAUGCAAAAUAUAUGAAAAAAACGUCCGAACAUAUAAUUUUCCCCCCGUAAUAUAGCAAAGAUCACGAAAAGGCUCGAAAAAUUACAUUUAGUUCAAAAUUUGGAGUAGAAAAACCCCAAUAGAAGAAUUCCAUUUUACUUCCUUAGUCAUCGGAGAGCUCUCUUUGGGCUUUCCGAAAAGGUAUCACAUGCCAAGUUUGGCCUCACGGUCUAAAAGUUAUAGAGUCAUACAUUUUUAACAAAACAUAAUAGAGAAAAACGGGAAAAAGAGGGAUGUAACACGAGGACUUUCCGGGAGGUCACCCAUCCUAGUACUACUCUUGCCCAAGCACCCUUAACUGCGGAGUUCUGAUGGGAUCCGGUGCAUUAGUGUUGGUAUGAUCGCAUGUGUUACUACAUGCAAUGUAAUCGUAUCUAUUCUUUUUAAAGACUUUAUGAUCCAUUUGCCGUGGGUCCCACCAGCUAUGUAGGAAUACCCUAUCUUCUUUAUAAGAGCUUUGAUACAUGCAAAAUAUUGGAAAACAAUGUCCGAACAUAUUAUUUUCCCCCCGUAAUAUAGCAAAGAUCACGAAAAGGCCCGAAAAUGUACAUUAAGUUCAAAAUUUGGAGUAGAAAAAAAAAACAAUAGAAGAAUUCCAUUUUCCUUCCUCAUUCAUCGGAGAGCUCUCUUUGGGCUUUCCGAAAAGGUAUAACAUUCCAAGUUUGGCCUCAUGGUCUCAAAGUUAUAAAGUCAUACAUUUUUCACAAAAAAAAAUAAAGAAAAACAAAAAAAAAAAAGAGGGAUGUAACACGAGGACUUUUUUGGGAGGUCACCCAUCCUAGUACUACUCUCGCCCAAGCACCCUUAACUGCGGAGUUCUGAUGGGAUCCGUUGCAUUAGUGCUGGUAUGAUCGCAUGUGUUACUACAUGCAAUGUAAUCGUAUCUAUUCUUUCUUAAAGACUUUAUGAUCCAUUUGCCGUGAGUCCCACCAGCUAUGUAGGAACACCCUAUCUUCUUUAUAAGAGCUUUGAUACAUGCAAAAUAUUGGAAAAAAACGUCCGAACAUAUAAUUUUCCCCACGUAAUAUAGCAAAGAUCACGAAAAGGCCCCAAAAAGUACAUUUAGUUCAAAAUUUGGAGUAGAAAAAAAAACAAUAGAAGAAUUCCAUUUUCCUUCCUCAGUCAUCGGAGAGCUCUCUUUGGGCUUUCCGAAAAGGUAUCACAUGCCAAGUUUGGCCUCACGGUCUAAACGUUAUAGAGUCAUACAUUUUUAACAAUACAAAAUAGAGAAAAACCGAAAAAAAGAGGGAUGCAACACGAAGACUUUCCGGGAGGUAAUCCAUCCUAGUACUACUCUUUCCAAAGCACCCUUAACUGCGGAGUUCUGAUGGAAUCUGGUGCAUUAGUGCUGGUAUGAUCGCAUGUGUUACUACAUGCAAUGUAAUCGUAUCUAUUCUUUUUUAAAGACUUUAUGAUCCAUUUGCCGUGGGUCCCACCAGCUAUGUACGAAUACCCUAUCUUCUUUAUAAGAGCUUUGAUACAUGCAAAAUAUAUGAAAAAAACGUCCGAACAUAUAAUUUUCCCCCCGUAAUAUAGCAAAGAUCACGAAAAGGCUCGAAAAAUUACAUUUAGUUCAAAAUUUGGAGUAGAAAAACCCCUAUAGAAGAAUUCCAUUUUCCUUCCUCAGUCAUCGGAGAGCUCUCUUUGGGCUUUCCGAAAAGGUAUCACAUGCCAAGUUUGGCCUCACAGUCUAAAAGUUAUAGAGUCAUACAUUUUUAACAAAACAAAAUUGAGAAAAACCGAAAAAAAGAGGGAUGCAACACGAGGACUCUCCAGAAGGUAACCCAUCUUAGUACUACUCUCGCCCAAGCACCCUUAACUGCGGAGUUCUGAUGGGACCCGGUGCAUUAGUGCUGGUAUGAUCGCAUGUGUUACUACAUGCAAUGUAAUCGUAUCUGUUCUUUUUUAAAGACUUUAUGAUCCAUUUGCCGUGGGUCCUACCAGCUAUGUAGGAAUACCCUACCUUCUUUAUAAGAGUUUUGAUACAUGCAUAAUAUUGGAAAACAAUGUCCGAAGAUAUAAUUUUCCCCCCGUAAUAUAGCAAAGAUCACGAAAAGGCCCGGAAGAGUACAUUAAGUUCAAAAUUUGGAGUAUAAAAAAAACCAAUAGAAGAAUUCCAUUUUACUUCCUUAGUCAUCGGAGAGCUCUCUUUGGGCUUUCCGAAAAGGUAUCACAUGCCAAGUUUGGCCUCACGGUCUAAAAGUUAUAGAGUCAAACAUUUUAAACAAAACAUAAUAGAGAAAAACGGGAAAAAAGAGGGAUGUAACACGAGGACUUUCCGGGAGGUCACCCAUCCUAGUACUACUCUUGCCCAAGCACCCUUAACUGCGGAGUUCUGAUGGGAUCCGGUGCAUUAGUGUUGGUAUGAUCGCAUGUGUUACUACAUGCAAUGUAAUCGUAUCUAUUCUUUUUAAAGACUUUAUGAUCCAUUUGCCGUGGGUCCCACCAGCUAUGUAGGAAUACCCUAUCUUCUUUAUAAGAGCUUUGAUACAUGCAAAAUAUUGGAAAACAAUGUCCGAACAUAUUAUUUUCCCCCCGUAAUAUAGCAAAGAUCACGAAAAGGCCCGAAAAUGUACAUUAAGUUCAAAAUUUGGAGUAGAAAAAAAAAACAAUAGAAGAAUUCCAUUUUCCUUCCUCAUUCAUCGGAGAGCUCUCUUUGGGCUUUCCGAAAAGGUAUAACAUUCCAAGUUUGGCCUCAUGGUCUCAAAGUUAUAAAGACAUACAUUUUUCACAAAAAAAAAUAAAGAAAAACCAAAAAAAAAAAAGAGGAAUGUAACACGAGGACUUUUUUGGGAGGUCACCCAUCCUAGUACUACUCUCGCCCAAGCACCCUUAACUGCGGAGUUCUGAUGGGAUCCGUUGCAUUAGUGCUGGUAUGAUCGCAUGUGUUACUACAUGCAAUGUAAUCGUAUCUAUUCUUUCUUAAAGACUUUAUGAUCCAUUUGCCGUGAGUCCCACCAGCUAUGUAGGAAUACCCUAUCUUCUUUAUAAGAGCUUUGAUACAUGCAAAAUAUUGGAAAAAAACGUCCGAACAUAUAGUUUUCCCCCCGUAAUAUAGUAAAGAUCACGAAAAGGCUCGAAAAAGUACAUUUAGUUCAAAAUUUGGAGUAGAAAAAAAAACAUUAGUAGAAUUCCAUUUCCCUUCCUCAGUCAUCGGAGAGCUCUCUCUGGGCUUUCCAAAAAGGUAUCACAUGCCAAGUUUGGCCUCACGGUCUAAAAGUUAUAGAGUCAUACAUUUUUAACAAUACAAAAUAGAGAAAAACCGAAAAAAAAGAGGGAUGCAACACGAGGACUUUCCGGGAGGUAAUCCAUCCUAGUACUACUCUCGCCUAAGCACCCUUAACUGCGGAGUUCUAAUGGAAUCCAGUGCAUUAGUGCGGGUAUGAUCGCAUGUGUUACUACAUGCAAUGUAAUCGUAUCUAUUCUUUUUUAAAGACUUUAUGAUCCAUUUGCCGUGGGUCCCACCAGCUAUGUAGGAAUACACUAUCUUCUUUAUAAGAGCUUUGAUAGAGGCAAAAUAUUGGAAAAAAACGUCCGAACAUAUAAUUUUCCCCACGUAAUAUAGCAAAGAUCACGAAAAUGCCCCAAAAAGUACAUUUAGUUCAAAAUUUGGAGUAGAAAAAAAAACAAUAGAAGAAUUACAUUUUCCUUCCUCACUCAUCGGAGAGCUCUCUUUGGGCUUUCCGAAAAGGUAUCACAUGCCAAGUUUGGUCUCACGGUCUAAGAGUUAUAGAGUCAUACAUUUUUAACAAUACAAAAUAGAGAAAAACCGAAAAAAAGAGGGAUGCAACACGAAGACUUUCCGGGAGGUAAUCCAUCCUAGUACUACUCUUGCCCAAGCACCCUUAACUGUGGAGUUCUGAUGGAAUCUGGUGCAUUAGUGCUGAUAUGAUCGCAUGUGUUACUACAUGCAAUGUAAUCGUAUCUAUUCUUUUUUAAAGACUUUAUGAUCCAUUUGCCGUGGGUCCCACCAGCUAUGUAGGAAUACCCUAUCUUCUUUAUAAGAGCUUUGAUACAUGCAAAAUAUAUGAAAAAAACGUCCGAACAUAUAAUUUUCCCCCCGUAAUAUAGCAAAGAUCACGAAAAGGCUCGAAAAAUUACAUUUAGUUCAAAAGUCCCCCGUAUGAUGUCAUUUGUUACUACAUGCAAUGCAAUCAUAUCUAUUCUUAUUUAAAGACUUUAUGAUCCAUUUGUCGUGGGUCCCACCUGUAGGAAUACCCUAUCUUGUUUAUAAAAGAUUUGAUACAUGCAAAAUACUCGAAAACAAUGUCCGAACAUAUAAUUUUCACCCCGUAAUAUAGCAAAGAUCACGAAAAGGCCCGAAAAAGUACAUUAAAGUCAAAAUUUGGAGUAGAAAAAAACCCAAUAGAAGUAUUCCAUUCUCCUUCGUCAUUCAUCGGAGAGCUCUCUUUAGGCUUUCCGAAAAGAUAUCACAUGCCAAGUUUGGCCUCACGGUUUAAAAGUUAUAGAGUCAUAGAUUUUUAACAAAACAAAAAGAGAAAAACCGAAAAAAAUUGGGAUGCAACACGAGGACUUUCCUGGAGGUCACCCAUCCUAGUACUACUCUCGCCCAAGCACCCUUAACUGCGUAGUUCUGAUGGGAUCCGAUGCUUUAGUGCUGGUAUGAUCGCAUCUGUUACUACAUGCAAUGUAAUCGUAUCUAUUCUUUUUUAAAGACUUUAUGAUCCAUUUGCCGUGGGUCCCACCAGCUAUGUAGGAAUACCCUAUCUUCUUUAUAAGAGCUUUGAUAAAUGCAAAAUAUUGGAAACCAAUGUCCGAACAUAUAAUUUCGCCCCCGUAAUAUAGCAAAGAUCACGAAAAAGCCCAAAAAAGUUCAUUUAGGUCAAAAUUUGAGCAGAAGAAAAAGAAAUAGAAGAAUUCCAUUUUCCUUCCUCAUUUAUUGGAGAGCUCUCUUUGGGCUUUCCGAAAAGGUAUCACAUGCCAAGUUUGGCCUCACGGUCUAAAAGUUAUAGAGUCAUACAUUUUUAACAAAAUGAAAUAGAGAAAAACCGAAAAAAAGAGGGAUGUAACACGAGGACUUUCCGGGAGGUAAUCUAUCCUACUACUACUCUCGGCCAAGCACCCUUAACUGCGGAGUUCUAAUGGGAUCCGGUGCAUUAGUGCUGGUAUGAUCGCAUGUGUUACUACAUGCAAUGUAAUCGUAUCUAUUCUUUUUUAAAGACUUUAUGAUCCAUUUGCCGUGGGUCCCACCAGCUAUGUAGGAAUACNNNNNNNNNNNNNNNNNNNNNNNNNNNNNNNNNNNNNNNNNNNNNNNNNNAUAUAAUGUUUGCCCCAAAAUAUAGCANAGACCACGAAAAUGCCAUAAAAAGUACAUUAAGGUCAAAAUUUGGAGUAGGAAAAAAAAUCAAUAGGAGAAUUCCAUUUUCCUUCCUCAUUCAUUGGAGAGCUCUCUUUGGGCAUUCCAAAAAGGUAUCACAUGCCAAGUUUGGCCUCACGGUCUAAAAGUUAUAGAGUAAUACAUUUUUAACAAAAAAAAAAGAGAAAAACCGAAAAAAAGAGGGAUGCAACACGAAGACUUUUCUGGAGGUCACCCAUCCUAGUACUACUCUCCCCCAAGCACGCUUAACUGUGGUGUUCUGAUAGGAUCAAGUGCAUUAGUGCUGGUAUGAUCGCAUCAGUUACUACAUGCAAUGCAAUCAUAUAUAUUCUUUUUUGAAGACUUUAUGAUCCAUUGUCGUAGGUCCCACCAGCUAUGUAGGAAUACCCUUUCUUGUUUAUAAGAGCUUUGAUACAUGCAAAAUAUUCGAAAACAAUGUCCGAACAUAUAAUUUUUGUCCCGUAAUAUAGCAAAGAUCACGAAAAGGCCAGAAAAAAUACAUUUCGGUCAAAAUUUGGAGUAGAAAAAAAGCCCUUCCUCAUUCAUUGGACAGCUCUCUUUGGGCUUUCCGAAAAGGUAUCACAUGCCAAGUUUGGCCUCACGGUCUAAACCUUAUAGACUCAUACAUUUUUCACAAAAAAAAGAAGAGAAAAGCCAAAAAAAAAGAGUGAUUAAACACGAGGACUUUCCUGGAGGUCACCCAUCCUAGUACUACUCUCGCCCAAGCACGCUUAACUGCGAAGUUCUGAUGGGAUCUGGUGCAUUAGUGCUGGUAUGAUCGCAUCUGUUACUACAUGCAAUGAAAUCGUAUCUAUUCUUUUUUGAAGAUUUUAUGAUUCAUUUACCGUGGGUCCCACCAGCUAUGUAGGAAUAACCUAUCUUAUUUAUAAGAUCUUUGAUACAUGCAAAAUAUUGGAAAACAAUGUCCGAACAUAUAAUGUUCGCCCCAAAAUAUAGCAAAGACCACAAAAAUGCCAUAAAAAGUACAUUAAGGUCAAAAUUUGGAGUAGGAAAAAAACCAAUAAGAGAAUUCCAUUUUCCUUCCCUCAUUCAUCGGAGAUCUCUCUUUGGGCAUUCCAAAAAGGUAUCACAUGCCAAGUUUGGCCUCACGGUCUAAAAGUUAUAGAGUAAUACAUUUUUAACAAAAAAAAAAGAGAAAAACCGAAAAAAAGAGGGAUGCAACACGAAGACUUUUCUGGAGGUCACCCAUCCUAGUACUACUCUCCCCCAAGCACGCUUAACUGUGGUGUUCUGAUAGGAUCAAGUGCAUUAGUGCUGGUAUGAUCGCAUCAGUUACUACAUGUAAUGCAAUCAUAUAUAUUCUUUUUUGAAGACUUUAUGAUCCAUUUGCCGUAGGUCCCACCAGCUAUGUAGGAAUACCCUAUCUCGUUUAUAAGAGCUUUGAUACAUGCAAAAUAUUCGAAAACAAUGUCCGAACAUAUAAUGUUUGCCCCAAAAUAUAGCAAAGACCACGAAAAUGCCAUAAAAAGUACAUUAAGGUCAAAAUUUGGAGUAGGAAAAAAAAUCAAUAGGAGAAUUCCAUUUUCCUUCCUCAUUCAUCGGAGAGCUCUCUUUGGGCAUUCCAAAAAGGUAUGACAUGCCAAGUUUGGCCUCACGGUCUAAAAGUUAUAGAGUAAUACAUUUUUAACAAAAAAAAAAGAGAAAAACCGAAAAAAAGAGGGAUGCAACACGAAGACUUUUCUGGAGGUCAUCCAUCCUAGUACUACUCUCCCCCAAGCACGCUUAACUGUGGUGUUCUGAUAGGAUCAAGUGCAUUAGUGCUGGUAUGAUCGCAUCAGUUACUACAUGCAAUGCAAUCAUAUAUAUUCUUUUUUGAAGACGUUAUGAUCCAUUUGCCGUAGGUCCCACCAGCUAUGUAGGAAUACCCUAUCUUGUUUAUAAGAGCUUUGAUACAUGCAAAAUAUUCGAAAACAAUGUCCGAACAUAUAAUUUUUGUCCCGUAAUAUAGCAAAGAUCACGAAAAGGCCAGAAAAAAUACAUUUUGGUCAAAAUUUGGAGUAGAAAAAAAACCCUUCCUCAUUCAUUGGACAGCUCUCUUUGGGCUUUCCGAAAAGGUAUCACAUGCCAAGUUUGGCCUCACGGUCUAAAAGUUAUAGAGUCAUACAUUUUUCACAAAAAAAAGAAGAGAAAAACCAAAAAAAAGAGUGAUGAAACACGAGGACUUUCCUGGAGGUCACCCAUCCUAGUACUACUCUCGCCCAAGCACGCUUCACUGCGAAGUUCUGAUGGGAUCUGGUGCAUUAGUGCUGGUAUGAUCGCAUCUGUUACUACAUGCAAUGCAAUCAUAUCUAUUCUUUUUUGAAGAUUUUAUGAUUCAUUUACCGUGGGUCCCACCAGCUAUGUAGGAAUAACCUAUCUUAUUUAUAAGAGCUUUGAUACAUGCAAAAUAUUGGAAAACAAUGUCCGAACAUAUAAUGUUCGCCCCAAAAUAUAGCAAAGACAACAAAAAUGCCAUAAAAAGAAAAUUAAGGUCAAAAUUUUGAGUAGGAAAAAAAUCAAUAAGAGAAUUCCAUUUUCCUUCCCUCAUUCAUCGGAGAUCUCUCUUUGGGCAUUCCAAAAAGGUAUCACAUGCCAAGUUUGGCCUCACGGUCUAAAAGUUAUAGAGUAAUACAUUUUUAACAAAAAAAGAAGAGAAAAACCGAAAAAAAGAGGGAUGCAACACGAAGACUUUUCUGGAGGUCACCCAUCCUAGUACUACUCUCCCCCAAGCACGCUUAACUGUGGUGUUCUGAUAGGAUCAAGUGCAUUAGUGCUGGUAUGAUCGCAUCAGUUACUACAUGUAAUGCAAUCAUAUAUAUUCUUUUUUGAAGACUUUAUGAUCCAUUUGCCGUACGUCCCACCAGCUAUGUAGGAAUACCCUAUCUCGUUUAUUAGAGCUUUGAUACAUGCAAAAUAUUCGAAAACAAUGUCCGAACAUAUAAUGUUUGCCCCAAAAUAUAGAAAAGACCACGAAAAUGCCAUAAAAAGUACAUUAAGGUCAAAAUUUGGAGUAGGAAAAAAAAUCAAUAGGAGAAUUCCAUUUUCCUUCCUCAUUCAUCGGAGAGCUCUCUUUGGGCAUUCCAUAAAGGUAUCACAUGCCAAGUUUGGCCUCACGGUCUAAAAGUUAUAGAGUAAUACAUUUUUAACAAAAAAAAAAGAGAAAAACCGAAAAAAAGAGGGAUGCAACACGAAGACUUUUCUGGAGGUCACCCAUCCUAGUACUACUCUCCCACAAGCACGCUUAACUGUGGUGUUCUGAUAGGAUCAAGUGCAUUAGUGCUGGUAUGAUCGCAUCAGUUACUACAUGUAAUGCAAUCAUAUAUAUUCUUUUUUGAAGACUUUAUGAUCCAUUUGCCGUAGGUCCCACCAGUUAUGUAGGAAUACCCUAUCUCGUUUAUAAGAGCUUUGAUACAUGCAAAAUAUUCGAAAACAAUGUCCGAACAUAUAAUGUUUGCCCCAAAAUAUAGCAAAGACCACGAAAAUGCCAUAAAAAGUACAUUAAGGUCAAAAUUUGGAGUAGGAAAAAAAAUCAAUAGGAGAAUUCCAUUUUCCUUCCUCAUUCAUGGGAGAGCUCUCUUUGGGCAUUCCAAAAAGGUAUCACAUGCCAAGUUUGGCCUCACGGUCUAAAAGUUAUAGAGUAAUACAUUUUUAACAAAAAAAAAAGAGAAAAACCGAAAAAAAGAGGGAUGCAACACGAAGACUUUUCUGGAGGUCACCCAUCCUAGUACUACUCUCCCCCAAGCACGCUUAACUGUGGUGUUCUGAUAGGAUCAAGUGCAUUAGUGCUGGUAUGAUCGCAUCAGUUACUACAUGCAAUGCAAUCAUAUAUAUUCUUUUUUGAAGACGUUAUGAUCCAUUUGCCGUAGGUCCCACCAGCUAUGUAGGAAUACCCUAUCCUGUUUAUAAGAGCUUUGAUAUAUGCAAAAUAUUCAAAAACAAUGUCCGAACAUAUAAUUUUUGUCCCGUAAUAUAGCAAAGAUCACGAAAAGGCCAGAAAAAAUAAAUUUCGGUCAAAAUUUGGAGUAGAAAAAAAACCCUUCCUCAUUCAUUGGACAGCUCUCUUUGGGCUUUCCGAAAAGGUAUCACAUGCCAAGUUUGGCCUCACGGUCUAAACCUUAUAGACUCAUACAUUUUUUACAAAAAAAAGAAGAGAAAAACCAAAAAAAAGAGUGAUUAAACACGAGGACUUUCCUGGAGGUCACCCAUCCUAGUACUACUCUCGCCCAAGCACGCUUAACUGCGAAGUUCUUAUGGGAUCUGGUGCAUUAGUGCUGGUAUGAUCGCAUCUGUUACUACAUGCAAUGCAAUUGUAUCUAUUCUUUUUUGAAGAUUUUAUGAUUCAUUUACCGUGGGUCCCACCAGCUAUGUAGGAAUAACCUAUCUGAUUUAUAAAAGCUUUGAUACAUGCAAAAUAUUCGAAAACAAUGUCCGAACAUAUAAUGUUCGCCCCAAAAUAUAGCAAAGACCGUAAAAAUGCCAUAAAAAGUACAUUAAGGUCAAAAUUUGGAGUAGGAAAAAAAAUCAAUAGGAGAAUUCCAUUUUCCUUCCCUCAUUCAUCGAAGAGCUCUCUUUGGGCAUUCCAAAAAGGUAUCACAUGCCAAGUUUGGCCUCACGGUCUAAAAGUUAUAGAGUAUUACAUUUUUAACAAAAAAAAAAGAGAAAAACCGAUAAAAAGAGGGAUGCAACACGAAGACUUUUCUGGAGGUCACCAAUCCUAGUACUACUCUCCCCCAAGCACGCUUAACUGUGGUGUUCUGAUAGGAUCAAGUGCAUUAGUGCUGGUAUGAUCGCAUCAGUUACUACAUGCAAUGCAAUCAUAUAUAUUCUGUUUUGAAGACUUUAUGAUCCAUUUGUCGUAGGUCCCACCAGCUAUGUAGGAAUACCCUUUCUUGUUUAUAAGAGCUUUGAUACAUGCAAAAUAUUCGAAAACAAUGUCCGAACAUAUAAUUUUUGUCCCGUAAUAUAGCAAAGAUCACGAAAAGGCCAGAAAAAAUACAUUUCGGUCAAAAUUUGGAGUAGAAAAAAAGCCCUUCCUCAUUCAUUGGACAGCUCUCUUUGGGCUUUCCGAAAAGGUAUCACAUGCCAAGUUUGGCCUCACGGUCUAAACCUUAUAGACUCAUACAUUUUUCACAAAAAAAAGAAGAGAAAAACCAAAAAAAAAGAGUGAUUAAACACGAGGACUUUCCUGGAGGUCACCCAUCCUAGUACUACUCUCGCCCAAGCACGCUUAACUGCGAAGUUCUGAUGGGAUCUGGUGCAUUAGUGCUGGUAUGAUCGCAUCUGUUACUACAUGCAAUGAAAUCGUAUCUAUUCUUUUUUGAAGAUUUUAUGAUUCAUUUACCGUGGGUCCCACCAGCUAUGUAGGAAUAACCUAUCUCGUUUAUAAGAGCUUUGAUACAUGCAAAAUAUUCGAAAACAAUGUCCGAACAUAUAAUGUUUGCCCCAAAAUAUAGAAAAGACCACGAAAAUGCCAUAAAAAGUACAUUAAGGUCAAAAUUUGGAGUAGGAAAAAAAAUCAAUAGGAGAAUUCCAUUUUCCUUCCUCAUUCAUCGGAGAGCUCUCUUUGGGCAUUCCAUAAAGGUAUCACAUGCCAAGUUUGGCCUCACGGUCUAAAAGUUAUAGAGUAAUACAUUUUUAACAAAAAAAAAAGAGAAAAACCGAAAAAAAGAGGGAUGCAACACGAAGACUUUUCUGGAGGUCACCCAUCCUAGUACUACUCUCCCACAAGCACGCUUAACUGUGGUGUUCUGAUAGGAUCAAGUGCAUUAGUGCUGGUAUGAUCGCAUCAGUUACUACAUGUAAUGCAAUCAUAUAUAUUCUUUUUUGAAGACUUUAUGAUCCAUUUGCCGUAGGUCCCACCAGUUAUGUAGGAAUACCCUAUCUCGUUUAUAAGAGCUUUGAUACAUGCAAAAUAUUCGAAAACAAUGUCCGAACAUAUAAUGUUUGCCCCAAAAUAUAGCAAAGACCACGAAAAUGCCAUAAAAAGUACAUUAAGGUCAAAAUUUGGAGUAGGAAAAAAAAUCAAUAGGAGAAUUCCAUUUUCCUUCCUCAUUCAUGGGAGAGCUCUCUUUGGGCAUUCCAAAAAGGUAUCACAUGCCAAGUUUGGCCUCACGGUCUAAAAGUUAUAGAGUAAUACAUUUUUAACAAAAAAAAAAGAGAAAAACCGAAAAGAAGAGGGAUGCAACACGAAGACUUUUCUGGAGGUCAUCCAUCCUAGUACUACUCUCGCCCAAGCACACUUAACUGCGGUGUUCUGAUAGGAUCAAGUGCAUUAGUGCUGGUAUGAUCGCAUCAGUUACUACAUGCAAUGCAAUCUUAUAUAUUCUUUUUUGAAGACUUUAUGAUCCAUUUGCCGUCGGUCCCACCAGCUAUGUAGGAAUACCCUAUCUUGUUUAUAAGAGCUUUGAUAUAUGCAAAAUAUUCAAAAAUAAUGUCCGAACAUAUAAUUUUUGUCCCGUAAUAUAGCAAAGAUCACGAAAAGGCCAGAAAAAAUAAAUUUCGGUCAAAAUUUGGAGUAGAAAAAAAACCCUUCCUCAUUCAUUGGACAGCUCUCUUUGGGCUUUCCGAAAAGGUAUCACAUGCCAAGUUUGGCCUCACGGUCUAAACCUUAUAGACUCAUACAUUUUUUACAAAAAAAAGAAGAGAAAAACCAAAAAAAAGAGUGAUUAAACACGAGGACUUUCCUGGAGGUCACCCAUCCUAGUACUACUUUCGCCCAAGCACGCUUAACUGCGAAGUUCUUAUGGGAUCUGGUGCAUUAGUGCUGGUAUGAUCGCAUCUGUUACUACAUGCAAUGCAAUUGUAUCUAUUCUUUUUUGAAGAUUUUAUGAUUCAUUUACCGUGGGUCCCACCAGCUAUGUAGGAAUAACCUAUCUGAUUUAUAAAAGCUUUGAUACAUGCAAAAUAUUCGAAAACAAUGUCCGAACAUAUAAUGUUCGCCCCAAAAUAUAGCAAAGACCGUAAAAAUGCCAUAAAAAGUACAUUAAGGUCAAAAUUUGGAGUAGGAAAAAAAUCAAUAGGAGAAUUCCAUUUUCCUUCCCUCAUUCAUCGGAGAGCUCUCUUUGGGCAUUCCAAAAAGGUAUCACAUGCCAAGUUUGGCCUCACGGUCUAAAAGUUAUAGAGUAUUACAUUUUUAACAAAAAAAAAAGAGAAAAGCCGAUAAAAAGAGGGAUGCUACACGAAGACUUUUCUGGAGGUCACCAAUCCUAGUACUACUCUCCCCCAAGCACGCUUAACUGUGGUGUUCUGAUAGGAUCAAGUGCAUUAGUGCUGGUAUGAUCGCAUCAGUUACUACAUGCAAUGCAAUCAUAUAUAUUCUGUUUUGAAGACUUUAUGAUCCAUUUGUCGUAGGUCCCACCAGCUAUGUAGGAAUACCCUUUCUUGUUUAUAAGAGCUUUGAUACAUGCAAAAUAUUCGAAAACAAUGUCCGAACAUAUAAUUUUUGUCCCGUAAUAUAGCAAAGAUCACGAAAAGGCCAGAAAAAAUACAUUUCGGUCAAAAUUUGGAGUAGAAAAAAAGCCCUUCCUCAUUCAUUGGACAGCUCUCUUUGGGCUUUCCGAAAAGGUAUCACAUGCCAAGUUUGGCCUCACGGUCUAAACCUUAUAGACUCAUACAUUUUUCACAAAAAAAAGAAGAGAAAAACCAAAAAAAAAGAGUGAUUAAACACGAGGACUUUCCUGGAGGUCACCCAUCCUAGUAAUACUCUCGCCCAAGCACGCUUAACUGCGAAGUUCUGAUGGGAUCUGGUGCAUUAGUGCUGGUAUGAUCGCAUCUAUUACUACAUGCAAUGAAAUCGUAUCUAUUCUUUUUUGAAGAUUUUAUGAUUCAUUUACCGUGGGUCCCACCAGCUAUGUAGGAAUAACCUAUCUUAUUUAUAAGAUCUUUGAUACAUGCAAAAUAUUGGAAAACAAUGUCCGAACAUAUAAUGUUCGCCCCAAAAUAUAGCAAAGACCACAAAAAUGCCAUAAAAAGUACAUUAAGGUCAAAAUUUGGAGUAGGAAAAAAACCAAUAAGAGAAUUCCAUUUUCCUUCCCUCAUUCAUCGGAGAUCUCUCUUUGGGCAUUCCAAAAAGGUAUCACAUGCCAAGUUUGGCCUCACGGUCUAAAAGUUAUAGAGUAAUACAUUUUUAACAAAAAAAAAAAGAGAAAAACCGAAAAAAAGAGGGAUGCAACACGAAGACUUUUCUGGAGGUCACCCAUCCUAGUACUACUCUCCCCCAAGCACGCUUAACUGUGGUGUUCUGAUAGGAUCAAGUGCAUUAGUGCUGGUAUGAUCGCAUCAGUUACUACAUGUAAUGCAAUCAUAUAUAUUCUUUUUUGAAGACUUUAUGAUCCAUGUGCCGUAGGUCCCACCAGCUAUGUAGGAAUACCCUAUCUCAUUUAUAAGAGCUUUGAUACAUGCAAAAUAUUCGAAAACAAUGUCCGAACAUAUAAUGUUUGCCCCAAAAUAUAGCAAAGACCACGAAAAUGCCAUAAAAAGUACAUUAAGGUCAAAAUUUGGAGUAGGAAAAAAAAUCAAUAGGAGAAUUCCAUUUUCCUUCCUCAUUCAUCGGAGAGCUCUCUUUGGGCAUUCCAAAAAGGUAUCACAUGGCAAGUUUGGCCUCACGGUCUAAAAGUUAUAGAGUAAUACAUUUUUAACAAAAAAAAAAGAGAAAAACCGAAAAAAAGAGGGAUGCAACACGAAGACUUUUCUGGAGGUCACCCAUCCUAGUACUACUCUCCCCCAAGCACGCUUAACUGUGGUGUUCUGAUAGGAUCAAGUGCAUUAGUGCUGGUAUGAUCGCAUCAGUUACUACAUGCAAUGCAAUCAUAUAUAUUCUUUUUUGAAGACGUUAUGAUCCAUUUGCCGUAGGUCCCACCAGCUAUGUAGGAACACCCUAUCUUGUUUAUAAGAGCUUUGAUACAUGCAAAAUAUUCGAAAACAAUGUCCGAACAUAUAAUUUUUGUCCCGUAAUAUAGCAAAGAUCACGAAAAGGCCAGAAAAAAUACAUUUCGGUCAAAAUUUGGAGUAGAAAAAAAACCCUUCCUCAUUCAUUGGACAGCUCUCUUUGGGCUUUCCGAAAAGGUAUCACAUGCCAAGUUUGGCCUCACGGUCUAAAAGUUAUAGAGUCAUACAUUUUUCACAAAAAAAGCAAGAGAAAAACAAAAAAAAAGAGUGAUGAAACACGAGGACUUUCCUGGAGGUCACCCAUCCUAGUACUACUCUCGCCCAAGCACGCUUAACUGCGAAGUUCUGAUGGGAUCUGGUGCAUUAGUGCUGGUAUGAUCGCAUCUGUUACUACAUGCAAUGCAAUCGUAUAUAUUCUUUUUUGAAGACUUUAUGAUCCAUUUGUCGUAGGUCCCACCAGUUAUGUAGGAAUACCCUAUCUCGUUUAUAAGAGCUUUGAUACAUGCAAAAUAUUCGAAAACAAUGUCCGAACAUAUAAUGUUUGCCCCAAAAUAUAGCAAAGACCACGAAAAUGCCAUAAAAAGUACAUUAAGGUCAAAAUUUGGAGUAGGAAAAAAAAUCAAUAGGAGAAUUCCAUUUUCCUUCCUCAUUCAUUGGAGAGCUCUCUUUGGGCAUUCCAAAAAGGUAUCACAUGCCAAGUUUGGCCUCACGGUCUAAAAGUUAUAGAGUAAUACAUUUUUAACAAAAAAAAAAGAGAAAAACCGAAAAAAAGAGNNNNNNNNNNNNNNNNNNNNNNNNNNNNNNNNNNNNNNNNNNNNNNNNNNUCAUACAUUUUUAACAAAACAAAUAGAGAAAAACCGAAAAAAAGAAUGAUACAACACAAGGACUUUCCGGGAGGUCACCCAUCCUAAUACUAUUCUCGCCCAAGCAAGCUUAACUGCAGAGUAUUGAUGGGAUCUGAUGCAUAAGGGCUGAUAUGAUCGCAUCCGUUACUACAAGCAAUGCAAUCGUAUCUAUUCGUUUUUGAAGACUUUAUGAUCCAUUUGCCGUGGGUCCCACCAGCUAUGUAGGAAUACCCUAUCUUGUUUAUAAGAGCUUUGAUACAUGCAAAAAAUUGGAAAACAAUGUCUGAACAUAUAAUUUUUGUCCCGUAAUAUAGCAAAGAUCACGAAAAGGAUAGAAAAAGUACAUUAAGGUCAAAAUUUUGAGUAGAAAAAAAAUCAAUAGAAGGAUUCCAAUUUCCUUCCUCAUUCAUAUAGCUCUCUUUGGGCUUUCCGAAAAGGUAUCACAUGCAAAGUUUGGCCUCGCGGUCUAAAAGUUAUAGAGGUAUACAUUUUUACCAAAAAAAAGAGGGAUUCAACACGAGGACUUUCUGGGAGGUCACUCAUCCUAUUACUACUCUCGCCCAAGCACACUUAACUGCGGAGUUCUGAUAGGAUCCAGUGCAUUAGUGCGGGUAUGAUCACAUCCGUUACUACAUGCAAUGCAAUCGUAUAUAUUUUUUUUGAAGACUUUAUGAUCCAUUUGCCGUGGGUCUCACCAGCUAUGUAGGAAUACCCUAUCUUGUUUGUAAGAGCUUUGAUACAUGCAAAAUAUUCGAAAACAAUGUCAGAACGUAUGCUUUUUGCCCCGUAAUAUAGCAUAGAUCAUGAAAAGGCCAGAAAAAGUACAUUAAGGUCAAAAUUUUGAGUAGAAAAAAAAACAAUAGAAAAAUUCCAUUGUCCUUCCUCAUUCAUCGGAGAGUUCUCUUUGGGCUUUCCGAAAAGGUAUCACAUGCCAAGUUUGGCCUCACGGUCUAAAACUUAUAGAAUCAUACAUUCUUAACAAAAAAAAAAGAGAAAAACCGAAAAAAAGAAGAAUGCAACACAAGGACUUUCCAUGAGGUCAACCAUCCUAGUACUACUCUCGCCCAAUCACGCUUAACUGCAGAGUUUUGAUGGGAUCCGGUGCAUUAGUGCUGGUAUGAUCGCAUCUGUUACUACAUGCAAUGCAAUCGUAUCUAUUCUUUUUUGAAGACUUUAUGAUCCAUUUGUCGUGGGUCCCACCAACUAUGUAAGAAUACCCUAUCUUGUUUAUAAGAGCUUUGAUACAUGCAAAAUAUUCGAAAACAAUGUCAGAACGUAUGCUUUUUGCCCCGUAAUAUAGCAUAGAUCAUGAAAAGGCCAGAAAAAGUACAUUAAGGUCAAAAUUUUGAGUAGAAAAAAAAACAAUAGAAAAAUUCCAUUGUCCUUCCUCAUUCAUCGGAGAGUUCUCUUUGGGCUUUCCGAAAAGGUAUCACAUGCCAAGUUUGGCCUCACGGUCUAAAAUUUAUAGAGUCAUACAUUUUUAACAAAAAAAAAAGAGAAAAACCGAAAAAAGAGGGAUGGAACACAAGGACUUUCCGGGAGGUCACCCAUUCUAGUACUACUCUCACCCAAGCGCGCUUAACUGUGGAGUUCUGAUGGGAUCCAGUGCAUUAGUGAUGGUAUGAUCGCAUCCGUUACUACAUGCAAUGCAAUAAUAUCUUUUCUUCUUGAAGACUUUAUGAUCCAUUUGUCGUGGGUCCCACCAGCUAUGUAGGAAUACCCUAUCUUGUUUAUAAGAGCUUUGAUACAUGCAAAAUAUUCAAAAACAAUGUCCGAACAUAUAAUUUUCGCCCCGUAAUAUAGCAAAGAUCGCGAAAACGCCAAAAGAGUACAUUAAGGUCAAAAUUUGGAGUAGAAAAAAAACCCAAUAGAAGAAUUCCAUUUUCCUUCAUCAUUCACCAGAGAGCUCUCUUUUGGCUUUUUGAAAAGGUAUCACAUGCCAAGUUUGGCCUCACGGUCUAAAAGUUAUAGAGUCAUUCAUUUUAAAAAAAAAAAUAGAGAAAAACCAAAAAAAAAAAGAGGGAUGAAACACGAGGACUUUCCGGGAGGUCACCCAUCCUAGUACUACUCUCGCCCAAGCACACUUAACUGCGGAGUUCUUAUGGGAUCUGGUGCAUUAGUGCUGCUAUGAUCGCAUCCGUUACUACAUGCAAUGCAAUCGUAUCUAUUCUUUUUUGAAGACUUUAUGAUCCAUUUGCUGUGGGUCCUGAUAUGUCUAUAAUUUACAUCUUUUCAGUGUCCAUUCAUCACCGUUUUGAGUCCAGUUUUGUAUCAUUCAUCGCUGUUUUAUAUCAUUUCUCAUCAUUCUUGCAUACUUUGCAUGAUUAGGAUAGUUUUGCAUACAUAUUGCAUUUCUAAGUUGUUUUCAGGUGAUUUGGAGCUGUUUGCGAGCAAAUUGGAAGAAACGAGCCAGAACCAGAAGACAUACUCGACCACCAGGUCGUGUGCAUCCAGCACCAUACUCGACCCCCUGGUCGAGUGACUUUGGAGCCAUUCUUCCCAUCUACUCGACCCCCUAGUCGAGUAUCCUCAGCUCAGGCUACUCGAUGACGCCAUCGACCCCCUGGUCGAGUAUCACUUCGCCACACCACCUGACCACACUCGGCCAUUCACUCUACCAAGUUAGUCGACCCCCUGGUCGAGUAUCAUCACUCACCACCAUCACCAUCACUCGACCGGACACUCGAUCACGUCUUCACAGUCUACUCAAAUCCGCACUCAACCAGACAAGCUGAGCACAAGGAAGAGAAGAGGAGAAGACAAAGUGUUUGGAAGCGGCCUGGACCUCCAUCGGAUCACAAAGCCCAUCUCGGCCCAUUAUCACUCUAUUGGUCGGGCGAUUAGGUUAUUGGCCCGUCUACUAUCAUUUUGUUUUGUAUAAAUAGAUGUCUUAGGGUUCUUUCCUGAGACAUCUAGUCGACAUUGAGUUUUUGUUUCAGUUUUAUUUUCUAUUUUACUCUUCUGCGCCGCUUUUGCUUCUACAACCUAUAAUUCGAGAUUUUUCCAAGUUAUUCAGAUUCUGCAUUUGAUUUUAUCUAUCAUCCUGUUUCUCUACUCUUUAUCUCUUUACUUAUGCAAUAUUAUCAUUUAUCUGCGUUUAUGUCUUUGAGCAUGUUGUCUGAGUAGUGACAUAGAAUUCUUAGGGAUGGGAUAGAGUAGUUGUGGAAUCCGUAGUCUGUAGAAUGGUUAAGUUUUAGAAUUGAUUGAAUCCCUUCAGGACUAGUUGCGUUUACUGCUUAUUUCUUUCUGAUCAACUGGAAUUCGAUCCCAAGCAUUCUCGCACCCAGAAGGUGUUCGAUGGAAUGCUUGAUCCACUAGUUCCUGAGAUAUUCGUCUCUAUCCCAAGGGAUUGGGCGUUUAGAGCGUUUAUUGACUUUAUCAGUCUGUUCUUAUUGCCUGCAUAGUUAGAUUGCGUUAAUGGGAAUUAGUCUGGGCUAGCUUUGCUUGAGGAUUUCUAUCACAGAAGUGAAUUGAUUUGUUGUUGAACCUAUUGUCUAGGGAUAGCUUGAUUGCGCUUGUUAACCAUUCGAAUAUGCUAGGAUAUGAUAAGGUCUGACCCUAUCGAAGACAAGAAAAAGACUAAGAGUGAUAAAAUAACAAGAUAAUAGGAAAUGCACCUUGAACGGCGGAGAGUGUAGAUGAGAGAGAGAAUUUCAAGAUUAAUGUUGUUGAUUGUUUAUUUUGAUAACAAAACCCUAAAAGGGAAGGUUCCUUAAAUAGCAUCUACUGAGACUCAAUACAAAACGCAGCAUUUCGAUAACCCAAAAGUAAAACGACACAGUUGGCGAGCUGUCUUUCUGUGCCGAGCUGGCGAGCUGUCUUUCUGUGCCUUAGCCACUUUUAAAUAGAAGCUUCCUCAGGAACUUCUCACGAGCUCUGCCUUUCCUUCCAUUUGAUUUCGCCCUUCUUCUCACACCAGCCAACGUCACCUGUAACCUAUCAAUGCUCCCGCGCAGAAGACUGACCUUGUCCUCAAGGUCGAAGUCCGGGUACUGCUGCACCAAAGUGAGGAGCGGCUCCCAAGUUGAUUCCAAGGUUGAUAAUCCAGACCACUGUACCAGCACCUCUGGUCCUGAAUUUGUGUUGCUCUGUCGGAUAUCUAGCAGCUUCUCAGGUCCUGUGUUCCAUUCCAGUGUGGGUGAUAGUAUCUUGGGAAGUUCCUGCGGGGUGAAUGACGGAGGUACAGCCCUUUUCAGUUGAGAGACAUGGAACACCGGGUGAAUUGUGCUGUGUUCGGGUAGUUGGAGCUUGUAAGCGACCUGACCUAUGCGGUGCAGCACUUUAAAUGGACCGAAGUAGCGCUGGGACAGCUUUUCAUUCUUCCUAUGAGCCACAGAACUUUGCCUAUAAGGACGCAGCUUCAAGUAAACCCAUUCAUCAAUUUCAAACGCUACAUCACGUCGACUUUUAUCAGCAGCCUUUUUCAUUUGAGCUUGAGCUAUCUCCAAGUUCUCUCUUAAUUCAACCAGCAUUCCAUCCUUAUCCUUAAGUAACUCCUCUACAUUCGCAUUAUUGGUUGGAAUAUCGCCAUACCUGAGCAGAACUGGUGGUUCUCUACCAUAGACUGCUUGAAAGGGAGUGGUUUUGGUGGCUGAAUGGUACGAGGUGUUGUACCAGUAUUCUGCCCAAGGUAACCACUGAAACCACGAUGUAGGCCUCCUCCCUGCAAAGCAUCGCAAAUAAGACUCAAGACAUCUGUUAACAACCUCGGUCUGCCCAUCAGUUUGUGGGUGAUAGGCUGUACUCUUCUGUAGCCCCGUGCCCUGCAGCUUAAACAACUCAGACCAGAAUCCGCUCAGGAAAAUCCUGUCCCUGUCCGAAACCAGUGUGUUUGGGAAGCCAUGUAGCUUGACUACAUCUCUUAUGAAGGCCUCAACUACAGUCUUGGCAGUGAAUGGAUGUUUAAGUGGAAUGAAAUGACUAUACUUACUUAAUCUAUCCACCACUACCAAUAUACAGUUAAACCUGUUAGAGCUUGGCAACCCUUCUACAAAGUCCAAGCUGACAUCACUCCAAAUCUGUUGUGGAAUAGGGAGAGGUGAUAGUAAACCGGCUGGAGAGAGGGUAGAGUAUUUAUUCUCUUGACAGAUUUGGCAUCCCUUGAUGUAGUUAACCACGUCUUUCCGCAACCCUCUCCAGUAUACUUCACUUGUGAGUCGUUUGAAUGUCUUAAGGGCACCUUCAUGACCUCCAAUAGGACUGGUGUGGAACUUCUCUAGCAUCUUUGGAAUGAAGGGAGAUCCUACAGGAAUUACCAAACAGCCUUUUCUGUAAAUCAAGCCAUCUGCCACAGUGAAGUCAGAAUCAUGGUGGUCCCCUUGUGCCCAGUUCUUAAGUAUCUGGCUCAACUCAUGAUCCUGCUGAAUUUCUGCCUUUAGUGCAGUCAAGUCGAUAGUAGGAGGACCAGUUAUAGUGAGCUGUGAGAGAGCCUCAGUUGGAGGUCUCCUUGAGAGUGCAUCAGCUACCUUAUUGUCAACUCCUGGUUUAUAUUCGAUCCUAUACUUCAGUCCACUCAACUUAGACGCCCAUCUCUGCUGUAUUGUGGACACCGACUUCUGUUCCAACAAAUGUCUGAGGCUGCGUUGAUCUGUCUUGAUAAUGAAUUCUUUACUUGAUAGGUAAUGCUUCCACUUUGUGACAGCUUUCACUAUGGCUAACAGUUCACGUUCAUAAACUGACCUUAUUCUGCCUUGACUGGAGAAGGCUUGGCUGAGAAAUGCAAUAAGCCUCUUAUUCUGUGACAGUACUGCUCCAAUCCCCAUCCCUGAUGCAUCCGUUUCCACAGUAAACUCCUGCUGGAAAUCUGGUAACACUAGCACAGGUAGUGCUGAAACAGCUGCUUUGAGAGCCUGAAAUGCAGAAGUAGCUGCCUCAUUCCAAUCAAAACUGUUCUUUUUUAACUGAUCUCUGAGUGGUCUGGCGAUUUGGCCGUAAUUCUUGACAAAUCGGCGAUAGUAGCCAGUGAAUCCUAGGAAGCCUCUUAACUCAGUCACAGAUUUAGGUAAAGGCCACUGGAGCAUUGCUUCCACCUUUUCUGGAUCUGUUGCGACUCCUUGCUCAGAGAUAAUGUGUCCCAAAUAUGAGAUCCUAGUGCUUCCAAAUGUGCACUUUUUAAAAUUGGCAUAGAACUGAUGAAGAUGCAGUAGCUGUAAGACGGUUUCCAAAUGCUUCAAAUGUGUCUUCAUAUCAGGACUAUAAACUAGUAUAUCAUCGAAGAAAACCAAGACGAACUUUCGCAAGUAUGGCCUGAAUAGGUCAUUCAUGACGCUUUGAAAGGUGGAGGGGGCGUUGGUCAAGCCAAAUGGCAUUACCAGAAAUUCAUAAUGGCCCUCAUGUGUCUUGAAGGCAGUCUUCUCCACAUCACUCAGUUUCAUCCUUAUCUGGAAAUAGCCUGAUUUAAGAUCCAACUUUGAAAACACUGUGGCUCCUUUCAGUUCAUCCAAUAGCUCUUCUAUAACAGGAAUCGGAUACUUAUCGGGUAUUGUAGCUUCAUUCAAUGCUCGAUAAUCAACGCAGAAGCGCCAUCCUCCAUCUUUCUUUUUCACUAGGAGAACUGGACUUGAAUAUGGACUCACGCUAGGUCUUAUAAUCUGAGCAUUCAACAUUUCACGCACAAGCUUCUCUAUCUCAUUCUUUUGAGCAAAAGAAUACCUGUAUGGUCGGAUAUUGACUGGUGAAGACCCUUCUUGUAAGGUAAUGGCGUGUUCUCUGUUGCGAACUGGUGGCAAUAGCUGUGGAGUUUGAAAAACCCCUUGGUACUGAUCCAAAAGCCUCUGGAUUGCAGGCUGCAAGGCUGUUUGCUCUUCCUGUUUCUUGCUUUCAAACAAAGAUGCUAGUUCCAAGAGAUAUGCAGUUCCAGUGUAUUUGAUAACUCUUUCCAUAGACCUCAUCGAAAUUUGUCCUCUACAUAGAUCCGGGUCGCCGUAUAAGGAUACCCAUGUGCGACCUAUCUGCCAACUGAUCCUCAAAUCUCUCCAGUUGGCUCUUGUUUCUCCUAGUCCUGCCAACCAAGAAAAUCCCAGAACCAAAUCCAAAUCUCCCAAGUCAAAUAAGUAGUAGUCUUGUACAAACUCAAUUCCUUGGACCUCUAGUGGUAUAUCGACACACUUCCCACUACUUUUGAUGAUUCUGCCUCCACCAACUUUAACUCCAAAACUGCGAGUUUGAGUCACUAACCAUCCUUUCUCUCUUACCAAAGCCUCACUAAUGAAGUUGCAAGUUGCUCCUGAAUCAACCAAUAACACCACUUUGGUGUUGCCAAUGUAUCCCCUCAUUUUCAUUGACUGCUCUUGAGACUCAUCAUUCAAGGAGCUGAGUGUCAUUACCUUGAAACCUUCUGCAGGUUCUGGAUCCCCUUCUUCUUCUGUCAGUGGUUCAUUCAACUCUUCAAUUAGAGGACUCUCCUCUUCAACCUCUUCUGUUAUGGCUAGACCCUUGAGCUUUUGUGGUUUGCAUUUAUGGCCUUGAAACCAUCUAUCUCCACAGUAGCGGCACGGGUUUGAGUUCCUGGCUUCCCCACUGCCUGAAGCACGAGUUGUAUCCCUACUAGGAAUGAAGGGUUGUCUCGUUGGAGCACGGUCUACCACUCUAGAUCCUGUGGAGACCUGAUUGUUGAAUGGAGCUGUGUUGGUUCUAGCUUGAUUUCGCACUUGGUAACUAACAGCAUUCCGCUCUUGUGACUCAAUGAGUUUAGCUAUCUCAACAAUAUCUGCAAGAUUCACUGGCCUACAGCGAACUACCUGGUCUCGAAGACUUCUUCUCAGUCCAUUGAGGAAUGCAGAUUCCAAUAUGUCAGAUGUGACAUGGGGUAAGUCGACUGUGAGCUCUUCAAAACGUUCUCUGUAUUCCUCCACGGUUCCUGUUUGUCUCACGUUGAGGAGAUGAUCCACAGCAGAACUGCCUCUGCUUGGUCGAAAACGUAACAUGAACUUUUCUUGAAAUUCCCUCCAGGUAUAGAUUUGUUCUCUGUCCUUAGAGCAGCGCCACCAUGUAACUGAUGCUCCUGUUAAACAAGACACAGCCUUUUCCAGUUUUUCUUCCUCUAGGGUGCGAUUGGAUAAGAAGCACUGUUCUAGCCGGAACAACCAAUCGUCGGCAUUGCCUCCUUCAUAAGCCGGAUAAUCCACAGUCCUACGCGGGGCUGCUUCAAACCGAGGUUGAUGUGGCGCAGAUUGAGGCGGAAACGUUUGUGUUUGGAAGGUUGGAGUAGUCUGAAACCCCGUGGAAGGAUUAGAUGGAAAACCUGAAGAUGAUGGAAGACCCGUGGAGGCAUUCAGCUGAAACCCUGGUGGUUCUAAUGGUGACGAGUGAAAGCGACGCGGUUCGAAGGGUGAAGCUGGAAGUCGAGGUAUCUCUGAAGUCGACGCCUGGUAUCGCGACUGGUCAAAGAGUAAGGGCCGAGGGUGUGUGUCCCGUUGAUUUGUGCCGGAAAACAGAGUCUCUCUGUUCUGUACCUCCAAGUGUUGAGGAUGAGAGGUGUAGACUGGUAACGCCGGAGCUGGAGAAGAAAAACGGACUCCUCUAUUCGGUCCUUCCAGAUGUUGUGGGUANNNNNNNNNNNNNNNNNNNNNNNNNNNNNNNNNNNNNNNNNNNNNNNNNNNNNNNNNNNNNNNNNNNNNNNNNNNNNNNNNNNNNNNNNNNNNNNNNNNNAGCUCUCUUUGGGCUUUCCGAAAAGGUAUCACAUGCCAAGUUUGGCUUCACGGUCUAAACCUUAUAGACUCAUACAUUUUUCACAAAAAAAAGAAGAGAAAAACAAAAAAAAAGAGUGAUUAAACACGAGGACUUUCCUGGAGGUCACCCAUCCUAGUACUACUCUCGCCCAAGCACUCUUAACUGCGAAGUUCUGAUGGGAUCUGGUGCAUUAGUGCUGGUAUGAACGCAUCUGUUACUACAUGCAAUGCAAUCGUAUGUAUUCUUUUUUGAAGAUUUUAUGAUUCAUUUACCGUGGGUCCCACCAGCUAUGUAGGAAUAACCUAUCUUAUUUAUAAAAGCUUUGAUACAUGCAAAAUAUUCGAAAACAAUGUCCGAACAUAUAAUGUUCGCCCCAAAAUAUAGCAAAGACCACAAAAAUGCCAUAAAAAGUACAUUAAGGUCAAAAUUUGGAGUAGGAAAAAAAUCAAUAGGAGAAUUCCAUUUUCCUUCCCUCAUUCAUCGGAGAGCUCUCUUUGGGCAUUCCAAAAAGGUAUCACAUGCCAAGUUUGGCCUCACGGUCUAAAAGUUAUAGAGUAUUACAUUUUUAACAAAAAAAAAAAGAGAAAAACCGAAAAAAAGAGGGAUGCAACACGAAGACUUUUCUGGAGGUCACCCAUCCUAGUACUACUCUCCCCCAAGCACGCUUAACUGUGGUGUUCUGAUAGGAUCAAGUGCAUUAGUGCUGGUAUGAUCGCAUCAGUUACUACAUGCAAUGCAAUCAUAUAUAUUCUUUUUUGAAGACUUUAUGAUCCAUUUGCCGUAGGUCCCACCAGCUAUGUAGGAAUACCCUAUCUUGUUUAUAAGAGCUUUGAUACAUGCAAAAUAUUCGAAAACAAUGUCCGAACAUAUAAUUUUUGUCCCGUAAUAUAGCAAAGAUCACGAAAAGGUCAGAAAAAAUAUAUUUCGGUCAAAAUUUGGAGUAGAAAAAAAGCCCUUCCUCAUUCAUUGGACAGCUCUCUUUGGGCUUUCCGAAAAGGUAUCACAUGCCAAGUUUGGCCUCACGGUCUAAACCUUAUAGACUCAUACAUUUUUCAUAAAAAAAAGAAGAGAAAAACAAAAAAAAAAAGAGUGAUUAAACACGAGGACUUUCCUGGAGGUCACCCAUCCUAGUACUACUCUCGCCCAAGCACGCUUAACUACGAAGUUCCGAUGGGAUCUGAUGCAUUAGUGCUGGUAUGAUCGCAUCUGUUACUACAUGCAAUGCAAUCGUAUCUAUUCUUUUUUGAAGAUUUUAUGAUUCAUUUACUGUGGGUCCCACCAGCUAUGUAGGAAUAACCUAUCUUAUUUAUAAAAGCUUUGAUACAUGCAAAAUAUUGGAAAACAAUGUCCGAACAUAUAAUGUUCGCCCCAAAAUAUAGCAAAGACCACAAAAAUGCCAUAAAAAGUACAUUAAGGUCAAAAUUUGGAGUAGGAAAAAAAUCAAUAGGAGAAUUCCAUUUUCCUUCCCUCAUUCAUCGGAGAGCUCUCUUUGGGCAUUCCAAAAAGGUAUCACAUGCCAAGUUUGGCCUCACGGUCUAAAAGUUAUAGAGUAAUACAUUUUUAACAAAAAAAAAAAAGAAAAAAACCGAAAACAAAGAGGGAUGCAACACGAAGACUUUCCUGGAGGUCACCCAUCCUAGUACUACUCUCACCCAAGCACACUUAACUGUGGUGUUCUGAUAGGAUCAAGUGCAUUAGUGCUGGUAUGAUCGCAUCAGUUACUACAUGCAAUGCAAUCGUAUCUAUUAUUUUUUGAAGACUUUAUGAUCCAUUUGCCGUGGGUCCCACCAGCUAUGUAGGAAUACCCUAUCUUGUUUAUAAGAGCUUUGAUACAUCCAAAAUAUUCGAAAACAAUGUUGGAACGUAUAAGUUUUGCCCAGUAAUAUAGCAAAGAUCACGAAAAGGCCACAAAAAGUACAUUAAGGUAAAAAUUUAGAGUAGGAAACAAAAACAAUAGGAGAAUUCCAUUUUCCUUCCUCAAUCAUCGGAGAGUUCUUUUUGGGCUUUCCAAAAAGGUAUCACAUGCCAAGUUUGGCCUCACGGUCUAAAAGUUAUAGAGUAAUACAUUUUUAACAAAAAAAAAAAGAAAAAAACCGAAAACAAAGAGGGAUGCAACACGAAGACUUUCCUGGAGGUCACCUAUCCUAGUACUACUCUCGCCCAAGCACACUUAACUGUGGUGUUCUGAUAGGAUCAAGUGCAUUAGUGCUGGUAUGAUCGCAUCAGUUACUACAUGCAAUGCAAUCGUAUCUAUUAUUUUUUGAAGACUUUAUGAUCCAUUUGCCGUGGGUCCCACCAGCUAUGUAGGAAUACCCAAUCUUGUUUAUAAGAGCUUUGAUACAUCCAAAAUAUUCGAAAACAAUGUUGGAACGUAUAAGUUUUGCCCAGUAAUAUAGCAAAGAUCACGAAAAGGCCACAAAAAGUACAUUAAGGUAAAAAUUUAGAGUAGGAAACAAAAACAAUAGGAGAAUUCCAUUUUCCUUCCUCAAUCAUCGGAGAGUUCUUUUUGGGCUUUCCAAAAAGGUAUCACAUGCCAAGUUUGGCCUCACGGUCUAAAAGUUAUAGAGUCAUACAUUUUUAACAAAAAAGAGGGAUUUAACACGAGGACUUUCCGAGAGGUAACCCAUCCUAGUAGUACACUCGCCCAAGCACCCUUAACUACGGAGUUCUAAUGGGAUACGGUGCAUUAGUGCUCGUAUGAUCGCAUGUGUUACUACAUGCAAUGUAAUCGUAUCUAUUCUUUUUUAAAGACUUUAUGAUCCAUUUGCCGUGGGUCCCACCAGCUAUGUAGGAAUAUCCUAUAUUCUUUAUAAGAGCUUUGAUACAUGCAAAAUAUUCGAAAACAAUGUCCGAACAUAUAAUUUCCCCCCCGUAAUAUAGCAAAGAUCACGAAAAGGCCCAAAAAAGUACAUUAAGUUUAAAAUUUGGAGUAGAAAAAAAACCAAUAGAAAAAUUCCAUUUUCCUUCCUCAGUCAUCGAAGAGCUCUCUUUGGGCUUUCUGAAAAGGUAUCACAUGCCAAGUUUGGCCUCACGGUCUAAAAGUUAUAGAGUCAUACAUUUUUAACAAAACAAAAAGAGAAAAACCGAAAAAAACAGGGAUGCAACACGAGGACUUUCCUGGAGGUCUCCCAUCCUAGUACUACUCUCGCCCAAGCACCCUUAACUGCGUAGUUCUGAUGGGAUCCGAUGCAUUAGUGCUGGUAUGAUCGCAUCUGUUACUACAUGCAAUGUAAUCGUAUCUAUUCUUUUUUAAAGACUUUAUGAUCCAUUUGCCGUGGGUCCCACCAGCUAUGUAGGAAUACCCUAUCUUCUUAAUAAGAGCCUUGAUAAAUGCAAAAUAUUGGAAAACAAUGUCCGAACAUAUAAUGCCCCCCCCCCCGUAAUAUAGCAAAGAUCACGAAAAUGCCCAAAAAAGUACAUUUAGGUCAAAAUUUGAGUAGAAAAAAAAACAAUAGAAGAAUUCCAUUUUCCUUCCUCAUUUAUCGGAGAGCUCUCUUUGGGCUUUCCGAAAAGGUAUCACAUGACAAGUUUGGCCUCACGGUCUAAAAGAUAUAGAGUCAUACAUUAUUAACAAAACAAAAUAGAGAAAAACCGAAAAAAAAGAGGGAUGCAACGCGAGGACUUUCCGGGAGGUAAUCUAUCCUAGUACUACUCUCGCCCAAGCACCCUUACCUGCGGAGUUCUGAUGGGAUCCGGUGCAGUAGUGCUGGUAUGAUCGCAUGUGUUACUACAUGCAAUGCAAUCAUAUAUAUUCUUUUUUGAAGACUUUAUGAUCCAUUUGCCGUAGGUCCCACCAGCUAUGUAGGAAUACCCUAUCUUGUUUAUAAGAGCUUUGAUACAUGCAAAAUAUUCGAAAACAAUGUCCGAACAUAUAAUUUUUGUCCCGUAAUAUAGCAAAGAUCACGAAAAGGCCAGAAAAAAUACAUUUCGGUCAAAAUUUGGAGUAGAAAAAAACCCCUUCCUCAUUCAUUGGACAGCUCUCUUUGGGCUUUCCGAAAAGGUAUCACAUGCCAAGUUUGGUCUCACGGUUUAAAAGUUAUAGAGUCAUACAUUUUUCACAAAAAAAAGAAGAGAAAAAACAAAAAAAAGAGUGAUGAAACACGAGGACUUUCCUAGAGGUCACCCAUCCUAGUACUACUCUCGCCCAAGCACGCGUAACUGCGAAGUUCUGAUGGGAUCUGGUGCAUUAGUGCUGGUAUGAUCGCAUCUGUUACUACAUGCAAUGCAAUCGUAUCUAUUCUUUUUUGAAGAUUUUAUGAUCCAUUUGCAGUGGGUCCCACCAGCUAUGUAGGAAUACCCUAUCUUGUUUAUAAGAGCUUUGAUACAUGCAAAAUCUUCGAAAACAAUGUCCGAACAUAUAAUUUUCGCCCCGUAAUAUAGCAAAGAUCACGAAAAUGCCAAAAUAGUACAUUAAGGUCAAAAUUUGGAGUAGGAAAAAAAACCCUUCAUCAUUCAUUGGAGAGCUCUCUCUGGGCUUUCCGAAAAGGUAUCACAUGCCAAGUUUGGCCUCACGGUCUAAAAGUUAUAAAGUCAUACAUUUUUAACAAAAAAAAAAGAGAAAAACCGAAAAAAAGAGUUAUGUAACACGAGGACUUUCCUGGAGGUCACCCGUCCUAGUACUACUCUCGCCCAAACACGCUUAACUGUGGUGUUCUGAUAGGAUCAAGUGCAUUAGUGCUGGUAUGAUCGCAUCAGUUACUACAUGCAAUGCAAUCAUAUAUAUUCUUUUUUGAAAACUUUAUGAUCCAUUUGCCGUAGGUCCCACCAGCUAUGUCGGAAUACCCUAUCUUGUUUAUAAGAGCUUUGAUACAUGCAAAAUAUUCGAAAACAAUGUCCGAACAUAUAAUUUUUGUCCCGUAAUAUAGCAAAGAUCACGAAAAGGCCAAAAAAAAUACAUUUCGGUCAAAAUUUGGAGUAGAAAAAAACCCCUUCCUCAUUCAUUCGACAACUCUCUUUGGGCUUUCCGAAAAGGUAUCACAUGCCAAGUUUGGUCUCACGGUCUAAAAGUUAUAGAGUCAUACAUUUUUCACAAAAAAAAGAAGAGAAAAAACCAAAAAANAGAGUGAUGAAACACGAGGACUUUCCUGGAGGUCACUCAUGCUAGUACUACUCUCGCCCAAGCACGCUUAACUGCGAAGUUCUGAUGGGAUCNNNNNNNNNNNNNNNNNNNNNNNNNNNNNNNNNNNNNNNNNNNNNNNNNNNNNNNNNNNNNNNNNNNNNNNNNNNNNNNNNNNNNNNNNNNNNNNNNNNNUUAUGAUCCAUUUGCCGUGGGUCCCACCAGCUAUGUAGGAAUACCCUAUCUUCUUUAUAAGAGCUUUGAUACAUGGAAAAUAUUGGAAAACAAUGUCCGAACAUAUAAUUUCCCCCCCGUAAUAUAGCAAAGAUCACGAAAAGGCCCGAAAAAGUACAUUUAGUUUAAAAUUUGGAGUAGAAAAAAAAACAAUAGAAAAAAUCCAAUUUCCUCCCUCGUUCAUCGGAGAGCUCUCUUUGGGCUUUCCAAAAAGGUAUCACAAGACAAGUUUGGCCUCACCGUCUAAAAGUUAUAGAGUCAUACAUUUUUAACAAAACAAAAUAGAGAAAAACGGAAAAAAGAGGGAUGCAACAUGAGGACUUUCCGGGAGGUCACCCAUCCUAGUACUACUCUCGUCCAAGGACCCUUAACUGCGAAGUUCUGAUGGGAUCCGUUGCAUUAGUGCUGGUAUGAUCGCAUGUGUUACUACAUGCAAUGUAAUCGUAUCUAUUCUUUUUUAAAGACUUUAUGAUCCAUUUGCCGUGGGUCCCACCAGCUAUGUAGGAAAACCCAAUCUUCUUUAUAAGAGCUUUGAUACAUGCAAAAUAUUGGAAAACAAUGUCCGAACAUAUAAUUUUCCCCCAUAAUAUAGCAAAGAUCACGAAAAGGCCCGAAAAAGUACAUUUAGUUCAAAAUUUGGAGUAGAAAAAAAGGCAGUAAAAGAAUUCCAUUUUCCUUCCUCAGUGAUCGGAGAGCUCUCUUUGGACUUUCCGAAAAGGUAUCACAUGCCAAGUUUGGCCUCACGGUCUAAAAGUUAUAGAGUCAUACAUUUUUAACAAAACAAAAUAGAGAAAAACGGAAAAAAGAGGGAUGCAACACGAGGACUUUCCGGGAGGUCACCCAUCCUAGUACUACUUUCGCCCAAGCACCCUUAACUGCGGAGUUCUGAUGGGAUCCGGUGCAUUAGUGCUGGUAUGAUCGCAUGUGUUACUACAUGCAAUGUAAUCAUAUUUCUUGUUAUUUAAAGAUUUUAUGAUCCAUUUGCCGUGGGUCCCACCAGCUAUGUAGGAAUACCUUAUCUUCUUUAUAGGAGCUUUGAUACAUGCAAAAUAUUGGAAAACAAUAUCCGAACAUAUAUCUUUCCCCCCGUAAUAUAGCAAAGAUCGCGAAAAGGCCCGAAAAAGUACAUUUAGGUCAAAAUUUGGAGUAGAAAAAAAAAGCAAUAGAAGAAUUCCAUUUUCCUUCCUCAGUCAUCGGAGAGCUCUCUUUGGGCUUUCCGAAAAGGUAUCACAUGCCAAGUUUGGCCUCAUGGUCUAAAAGUUAUAGAGCCAUACAUUUUUAACAAAACAAAAUAGAGAAAAACCAAAAAAAGAGAGGGAUGCAACACGAGGACUUUCCGGGAGGUCACCCAUCCUAGUACUACUCUCGCCCAAGCACCCUUAACUGCGGAGUUCUGAUGGGAUCCAGUGCAUUAGUGCUGGUAUGAUCGCAUGUGUUACUACAUGCAAUGUAAUCGUAUCUAUUCUUUUUUAAAGAUUAUAUGAUCCAUUUGCCGUGGGUCCCACCAGCUAUGUAGGAAUACCCUAUCUUCUUUAUAAGAGCUUUGAUACAUGCAAAAUAUUGGAAAACAAUGUCCGAACAUAUAAUUUUCCCCCCGUAAUAUAGCAAAGAUCACGAAAAGGCCCAAAAAAGUACAUUUAGGUCAAAAUUUGGAGUUGAAAAAAAACAAAAAGAAGAAUUCCAUUUUCCUUCCUCAUUCAUUGGAGAGCUCUCUUUGGGCUUUCCGAAAAGGUAUCACAUGCCAUGUUUAGCCUCACGGUCUAAAAGUUAUAGAGUCAUACAUUUUUAACAAAACAAAAUAGAGAAAAACCAAAAAAACGAGGGAUGCAACACGAGGACUUUCUGGGAAGUCACCUAUCCUAGUACUACUCUCGCCCAAGCACCCUUAACUGCGGAGUUCUGAUGGGAUCCGGUGCAUUAGUGCUGGUAUGAUUGCAUGUGUUACUACAUGCAAUGUAAUCGUAUCUAAUGCUUUUAAAGACUUUAUGAUCCAUUUGCCGUGGGUCCCCACAAGCUAAGUAGGAAUACCCUAUCUUCUUUAUAAGAGUUUUCAUACAUGCAAAAUAUGGAAAACAAUGUCCGAACAUAUAUUUUCCCCCCGUAAUAUAGCAAAGAUCACGAAAAGGCCCACAAAAAGUACAUUUAGUUCAAAAUUUGGAGUAGAAAAAAAAACAAUAGAAAAGUUCCAAUUUCNNNNNNNNNNNNNNNNNNNNNNNNNNNNNNNNNNNNNNNNNNNNNNNNNNGGGUCCCACCAGCUACGUAGGAAUACCCUAUCUUGUUUAUAAGAGCUUUGAUACAUGCAAAAUAUUCGAAAACAAUGUCCGAACAUAUAAUUUUCGUCCCGUAAUAUAGCAAAGAUCACAAAAAGGCCAGAAAGAGUACAUUUACGUCAAAAUUUGGAUAGAAAAAAAACGAAUAGAAGAAUUCCAUUUUGACUUCCUCAUUCAUCGGAAAGCUCUCUUUGGGCUUUCCGAAAAGGUAUCACAUGCCAAGUUUGGAAUCACGGUUUAAAAGUUAUAGAGUCAUACAUUUUUAACAAAAAAUAAAGAGAAAACCCGAAAAAUGAGGGAUGCAACACGAGGACUUUUCGGGAGGUCACCCAUCGUAGUACUACUCUCGCCCAAGCACGCUUAACUGUAGAGUUCUGAUGGGAUCCGGUUCAUUAUUGCUGGUAUGAUCGCAUCCGUUACUACAUGCAAUGCAAUCGUAUCUAUUCUUUUUUGAAGACUUUAUGAUCCAUUUGCCGUGGGUCCCACCAGCUAUGUUGGAAUACCCUAUCUUGUUUAUAAGAGCUUUGUUACAUGCAAAAUAUUCGAAAACAAUGUCCGAACAUAUAAUAUUUGCCCCGUAAUAUAGCAAAGAUCACGAAAAGGCCAGAAAACCUAUAUUAAGUUCAAAAUUUGGAGUAGAAAAAAACCAAUAGAAGAAUUCCAUUUUCCUUCCUCACUCAUCGGAGAGCUCUCUUUGGGGCUUUCCGAAAAGGUAUCACAUGCAAAGUUUGGCCUCACAGGCUAAAAGUUAUAGAGUCGUACAUUUUUAACAAAAAAAAAAAGAGAAAAGCCGAAAAAAAGAAGGAUGCAACACAAGGACUUUCCGGGAGGUCAGCCAUCCUAAUAUUACUCUCGCCCAAGCACGCUUAACUGUAGAGUUCUGAUGGGAUCCGGUGCAUUAGUGCUGGUAUGAUCGCAUCUGUUACUACAUGCAAUGCAAUCGUAUCUAUUCUUUUUUUAAGACUUUAUGAUCCAUUUACCGUGGGUCCCACCAGCUACGUAGGAAUAACCUAUCUUAUUUAUAAGAGCUUUGAUACAUGCAAAAUAUUCGAAAACAAUGUCCGAACAUAUAAUUUUCGUCCCGUAAUAUAGCAAAGAUCACAAAAAGGCCAGAAAGAGUACAUUAAGGUCAAAAUUUUGGAGUAGAAAAAAAAACCCUUCCUCAUUCAUUAAAGAGCUCUCUUUGGCAUUUCCGAAAAGGUGUCACAUGCCAAGUUCGGCCUCACGGUCUAAAAGUUAUAGAGUCAUACAUUGUUAACAAAAAAAAAGAGAAAAACCGAUUAAAAGAGUUAUGCAACACAAGGACUUUCCUGGAGGUCACCCGUCCUAGUACUACUCUCGCCCAAGCACGCUUAAAUGCGGAGUUCUGAUGGGAUCCGGUCCAUGAGUGGUGGUAUGAUCACAUCCGUUACUACAUGCAAUGCAAUCGUAUCUAUUAUUUUUUGAAGACUUUAUGAUCCAUUUGCCGUGGGUCCCACCAGCUAUGUAGGAAUACCCUAUCUUGUUUAUAAGAGCUUUGAUACAUCCAAAAUAUUCGAAAACAAUGUUGGAACGUAUAAGUUUCGCUCAGUAAUAUAGCAAAGAUCACGAAAAGGCCACAAAAAGUACAUUAAGGUAAAAAUUUAGAGUAGGAAAAAAAAACAAUAGGAGAAUUCCAUGUUCCUUCCUCAAUCAUCGGAGAGCUCUCUUUGGGCUUUCCAAAAAGGUAUCACAUGCCAAGUUUGGCCUCACGGUCUAAAAGUUAUAGAGUCAUACAUUUUUAACAAAAAAAAAUAGAGAAAAACCAAAAAAAAGAGGGAUGCAACACGAAGACUUUCCUGGAGGUCACCCAUCCUAGUACUACUCUCGCCCAAGCACGCUUAACUGCGGUGUUCUGAUAGGAUCAAGUGCAUUAGUGCUGGUAGGAUCGCAUUCGUUACUACAUGCAAUGCAAUUAUAUAUAUUCUUUUUUGAAGACUUUAUGAUCCAUUUGCGGUAGGUCCCACCAGCUAUGUAGGAAUACCCUAUCUUGCUUAUAAGAGUUUUGAUACAUGCAAAAAUAUUCGAAAACAAUGUCCGAACAUAUAAUUUUUGUCCCGUAAUAUAACAAAGAUCACGAAAAGGCCAAAAAUAGUACAUUUCGGUCAAAACAUGGAGCAGAAAAAAAACCCCUUCCUCAUUCAUCGGAGAGCUCUCAUUGGGCUUUCCGAAAAGAUAUCACAUGCAAAGUUUGGCCUCACGGUUUAAAAGUUAUAGAGUCAAAUAUUUUUAACAAAAAAAAGAGAGAAAAACCGAAAACAAAGAGGGAUGCAACACGAGGACUUUCCGGAAGGUCACCCAUCCUAGUACUACUCUAGCCCAAGCACGCUUAACCGCGGAGUUCUGAUAGGAUCCGGUGCAUUAGUGCUGGUAUGAUCGCAUCAGUUACUACAUGCAAUGCAAUCAUAUAUAUUUUUUUUGAAGACUUUAUGAUCCAUUUGCCGUGGGUCCCACCAGCUAUGUAGGAAUACCUAUCUUGUUUAUAAGAGCUUUGAUACAUGCAAAAUAUUUGAAAACAAUGUCCGAACGUAUAAUCUUCGUCCCGUAAUAUAGCAAAGAUCACGAAAAGGCCAGAAAAAGUACAUUAAGGUCAAAAUUUUGACUAGAAAAAAAAAACAAUAGAAAAAUUCCAUUGUCCUUCCUCAUUCAUCGGAGAGUUCUCUUUGGGCUUUCCGAAAAGGUAUCACAUGCCAAGUUUGGCCUCACGGUCUAAAACUUAUAGAAUCAUACAUUCUUAACAAAAAAAAAAAAAAAACCGAAAAAAAGAAGAAUGCAACACAAGGACUUUCCAGGAGGUCAACCAUCCUAGUAGUACUCUCGCCCAAUCACGCUUAACUGCAGAGUUCUGAUGGGAUCCGGUGCAUUAGUGCUGGUAUGAUCGCAUCUGUUACUACAUGCAAUGCAAUCGUAUCUAUUCUUUUUUGAAGACUUUAUGAUCCAUUUGCCGUGGGUCCCACCAGCUAUGUAGGAAUACCUUAUCUUGUUUAUAAGAGCUUUGAUACAUGCAAAAUAUUCGAAUACAAUGUCUGAACGUAUAACUUUCGCCCCGUAAUAUAGCGAAGAUCACGAAAAGGCCCGAAAAAGUACAUUAAGGUCAAAAUUUCGAGUAGAAAUAAAAACCAAUAGAAGAAUUCCAAUUUCCUUCCUCAUUCAUUGGAGAGCUCUCUUUGGGCUUUCCGAAAAGGUAUCACAUGCGAAGUUUCGCCUCACAAUCUAAAAGUUAUAUAGUCAUACAUUUUUAACAAAACAAAUAGAGAAAAACCGAAAAAAAGAAUGAUACAACACAACGACUUUCCCGGAGGUCACCCAUCCUAAUACUAUUCUCGCCCAAGCAAGCUUAACUGCAGAGUAUUGAUGGGAUCUGAUGCAUAAGUGCUGAUAUGAUCGCAUCCGUUACUACAUGCAAUGCAAUCGUAUCUAUUCGUUUUUGAAGACUUUAUGAUCCAUUUGCCGUGGGUCCCACCAGCUAUGUAGGAAUACCCUAUCUUGUUUAUAAGAGCUUUGAUACAUGCAAAAAAUUGGAAAACAAUGUCUGAACAUAUAAUUUUUGUCCCGUAAUAUAGCAAAGAUCACGAAAAGGAUAGAAAAAGUACAUUAAGGUCAAAAUUUUGAGUAGAAAAAAAAUCAAUAGAAGGAUUCCAAUUUCCUUGCUCAUUCAUAUAGCUCUCUUUGGGCUUUCCGAAAAGGUAUCACAUGCAAAGUUUGGCCUCGCGGUCUAAAAGUUAUAGAGGUAUACUUUUUUACCAAAAAAAAAGAAGAAAAAAACCAAAAAAAAGAGGGAUUCAACACGAGGACUUUCUGGGAGGUCACUCAUCCUAUUACUACUCUCGCCCAAGCACGCUUAACUGCGGAGUUCUGAUAGGAUCCAGUGCAUUAGUGCGGGUAUGAUCACAUCCGUUACUACAUGCAAUGCAAUCGUAUAUAUUUUUUUUGAAGACUUUAUGAUCCAUUUGCCGUGGGUCUCACCAGCUAUAUAGGAAUACCCUAUCUUGUUUAUAAGAGCUUUGAUACAUGCAAAAUAUUUGAAAACAAUGUCCGAACGUAUAAUCUUCGUCCCGUAAUAUAGCAAAGAUCACUAAAAGGCUAGAAAAAGUACAUUAAGAUCAAAAUUUUGAGUAGAAAAAUAAACAAUAGAAAAAUUCCAUUGUCCUUCCUCAUUCAUCGGAGAGUUCUCUUUGGGCUUUCCGAAAAGGUAUCACAUGCCAAGUUUGGCCUCACGGUCUAAAACUUAUAGAAUCAUACAUUCUUAACAAAAAAAAAAGAGAAAAACCGAAAAAAAGAAGAAUUUAACACAAGGACUUUCCAGGAGGUCAACCAUCCUAGUAGUACUCUCGCCCAAUCACGCUUAACUGCAGAGUUCUGAUGGGAUCCGGUGCAUUAGUGCUGGUAUGAUCGCAUCUGUUACUACAUGCAAUGCAAUCGUAUCUGUUACUACAUGCAAUGCAAUCGUAUCUGUUACUACAUGCAAUGCAAUCGUAUCUAUUCUUUUUUGAAGACUUUAUGAUCCAUUUGCCGUGGGUCCCACCAGCUAUGUAGGAAUACCCUAUCUUGUUUAUAAGAGCUUUGAUACAUGCAAAAUAUUCGAAUACAAUGUCUAAACGUAUAAGUUUCGCCCCGUAAUAUAGCGAAGAUCACGAAAAGGCCCGAAAAAGUACAUUAAGGUCAAAAUUUGGAGUAGAAAUAAAAACCAAUAGAAGAAUUCCAAUUUCCUUCCUCAUUCAUUGGAGAGCUCUCUUUGGGCUUUCCGAAAAGGUAUCACAUGCGAAGUUUGGCCUCACAAUCUAAAAGUUAUAUAGUCAUACAUUUUUAACAAAACAAAUAGAGAAAAACCGAAAAAAAGAAUGAUACAACACAAGGACUUUCCGGGAGGUCACCCAUCCUAAUACUAUUCUCGCCCAAGCAAGCUUAACUGCAGAGUAUUGAUGGGAUCUGAUGCAUAAGGGCUGAUAUGAUCGCAUCCGUUACUACAAGCAAUGCAAUCGUAUCUAUUCGUUUUUGAAGACUUUAUGAUCCAUUUGCCGUGGGUCCCACCAGCUAUGUAGGAAUACCCUAUCUUGUUUAUAAGAGCUUUGAUACAUGCAAAAAAUUGGAAAACAAUGUCUGAACAUAUAAUUUUUGUCCCGUAAUAUAGCAAAGAUCACGAAAAGGAUAGAAAAAGUACAUUAAGGUCAAAAUUUUGAGUAGAAAAAAAAUCAAUAGAAGGAUUCCAAUUUCCUUCCUCAUUCAUAUAGCUCUCUUUGGGCUUUCCGAAAAGGUAUCACAUGCAAAGUUUGGCCCCGCGGUCUAAAAGUUAUAGAGGUAUACAUUUUUACCAAAAAAAAGAGGGAUUCAACACGAGGACUUUUUUNNNNNNNNNNNNNNNNNNNNNNNNNNNNNNNNNNNNNNNNNNNNNNNNNNUGCUGGUAUGAUCGCAUCAGUUACUACAUGCAAUGCAAUCAUAUAUAUUCUUUUUUGAAGACUUUAUGAUCCAUUUGCCGUAGGUCCCACCAGCUAUGUAGGAAUACCCUAUCUUGUUUAUAAGAGCUUUGAUACAUGCAAAAUAUUCGAAAACAAUGUCCGAACAUAUAAUUUUUGUCCCGUAAUAUAGCAAAGAUCACGAAAAGGCCAGAAAAAAUACAUUUCGGUCAAAAUUUGGAGUAGAAAAAAAGCCCUUCCUCAUUCAUUGGACAGCUCUCUUUGGGCUUUCCGAAAAGGUAUCACAUGCCAAGUUUGGCCUCACGGUCUAAACCUUAUAGACUCAUACAUUUUUCACAAAAAAAAGAAGAGAAAAACCAAAAAAAAGAGUGAUUAAACACGAGGAUUUUCCUGGAGGUCACCCAUCCUAGUACUACUCUCGCCCAAGCACGCUUAACUGCGAAGGUCUGAUGGGAUAUGGUGCAUUAGUGCUGGUAUGAUCGCAUCUGUUACUACAUGCAAUGCAAUCGUAUCUAUUCUUUUUUGAAGAUUUGAUGAUUCAUUUACCGUGGGUCCCACCAGCUAUGUAGGAAUAACCUAUCUUAUUUAUAAAAGCUUUGAUACAUGCAAAAUAUUCGAAAACAAUGUCCGAACAUAUAAUGUUCGCCCCAAAAUAUAGCAAAGACCACAAAAAUGCCAUAAAAAGUACAUUAAGGUCAAAAUUUGGAGUAGGAAAAAAAUCAAUAGGAGAAUUCCAUUUUCCUUCCCUCAUUCAUCAGAGAGCUCUCUUUGGGCAUUCCAAAAAGGUAUCACAUGCCAAGUUUGGCCUCACGGUCUAAAAGUUAUAGAGUAUUACAUUUUUAACAAAAAAAAAAGGGAAAAACCGAAAAAGAGGGAUGCAACACGAAGACUUUUCUGGAGGUCACCCAUUCUAGUACUACUCUCCCCCAAGCACGCUUAACUGUGGUGUUCUAAUAGGAUCAAGUGCAUUAGUGCUGGUAUGAUCGCAUCAGUUACUACAUGCAAUGCAAUCAUAUAUAUUCUUUUUUGAAGACUUUAUGAUCCAUUUGCCGUAGGUCCCACCAGCUAUGUAGGAAUACCCUAUCUUGUUUAUAAGAGCUUUGAUACAUGCAAAAUAUUCGAAAACAAUGUCCGAACAUAUAAUUUUUGUCCCGUAAUAUAGCAAAGAUCACGAAAAGGCCAGAAAAAAUACAUUUCGGUCAAAAUUUGGAGUAGAAAAAAAGCCCUUCCUCAUUCAUUGGACAGCUCUCUUUGGGCUUUCCGAAAAGGUAUCAUAUGCCAAGUUUGGCCUCACGGUCUAAACCUUAUAGACUCAUACAUUUUUCACAAAAAAAAGAAGAGAAAAACCAAAAAAAAGAGUGAUUAAACACGAGGACUUUCCUGGAGGUCAUCCAUCCUAGUACUACUCUCGCCCAAGCACGCUUAAUUGCGAAGUUCUGAUGGGAUCUGGUGCAUUAGUGCUGGUAUGAUCGCAUAUGUUACUACAUGCAAUGCAAUCGUAUCUAUUCUUUUUUGAAGAUUUUAUGAUUCAUUUACCGUGGGUACCACCAGCUAUGUAGGAAUAACCUAUCUUAUUUAUAAGAGCUUUGAUACAUGCAAAAUAUUCGAAAACAAUGUCCGAACAUAUAAUUUUUGUCCCGUAAUAUAGCAAAGAUCACGAAAAGGCCAGAAAAAAUACAUUUCGGUCAAAAUUUGGAGUAGAAAAAAACCCUUCCUCAUUCAUUGGACAGCUCUGUUUGAGCUUUCCGAAAAGGUAUCACAUGCCAAGUUUGGCCUCACGGUCUAAAAGUUAUAGAGUCAUACAUUUUUCACAAAAAAAAGAAGAGAAAAACCAAAAAAAAGAGUGAUGAAACACGAGGACUUUCCUGGAGGUCACCCAUCCUAGUACUACUCUCGCCCAAGCACGCGUAACUGCGAAGUUCUGAUGGGAUCUGGUGCAUUAGUGCUGGUAUGAUCGCAUCUGUUACUACAUGCAAUGCAAUCGUAUCUAUUCUUUUUUGAAGAUUUUAUGAUUCAUUUACCGUGGGUCCCACCAGCUAUGUAGGAAUAACCUAUCUUAUUUAUAAGAGCUUUGAUACAUGCAAAAUAUUGGAAAACAAUGUCCGAACAUAUAAUGUUCGCCCCAAAAUAUAGCAAAGACAACAAAAAUCCCAUAAAAAGUACAUUAAGGUCAAAAUUUGGAGUAGGAAAAAAAUCAAUAAGAGAAUUCCAUUUUCCUUCCCUCAUUCAUCGGAGAGGUCUCUUUGGGCAUUCCAAAAAGGUAUCACAUGCCAAGUUUGGCCUCACGGUCUAAAAGUUAUAGAGUAAUACAUUUUUAACAAAAAAAAAAGAGAAAAACCGAAAAAAAGAGGGAUGCAACACGAAGACUUUUCUGGAGGUCACCCAUCCUAGUACUACUCUCCCAAAGCACGCUUAACUGUGGUGUUCUGAUAGGAUCAAGUGCAUUAGUGCGGGUAUGAUCGCAUCAGUUACUACAUGCAAUGCAAUCAUAUAUAUUCUUUUUUGAAGACUUUAUGAUCCAUUUGCCGUAGGUCCCACCAGCUAUGUAGGAAUACCCUAUCUUGUUUAUAAGAGCUUUGAUACAUGCAAAAUAUUCGAAAACAAUGUCCGAACAUAUAAUUUUUGUCCCGUAAUAUAGCAAAGAUCACGAAAAGGCCAGGAAAAAUACAUUUCGGUCAAAAUUUGGAGUAGAAAAAAAACCCUUCCUCAUUCAUUGGACAGCUCUCUUUGGGCUUUCCGAAAAGGUAUCACAUGCCAAGUUUGGCCUCACGGUCUAAAAGUUAUAGAUUCAUACAUUUUUCACAAAAAAAAGAAGAGAAAAACCAAAAAAAAGAGGGAUGAAACACGAGGACUUUCCCAGAGGUCACCCAUCCUAGUACUACUCUCGCCCAAGCACGCUUAACUGCGAAGUUCUGAUGGGAUCUGGUGCAUUAGUGCUGGUAUGAUCGCAUCUGUUACUACAUGCAAUGCAAUCGUAUCUAUUCUUUUUUGAAGAUUUUAUGAUUCAUUUACCGUGGGUCCCACCAGCUAUGUAGGAAAACCUAUCUUAUUUAUAAGAUCUUUGAUACAUGCAAAAUAUUGGAAAACAAUGUCCGAACAUAUAAUGUUCGCCCCAAAAUAUAGCGAAGACCACAAAAAUGCCAUAAAAAGUACAUUAAGGUCAAAAUUUGGAGUAGGAAAAAAAUCAAUAGGAGAAUUCCAUUUUCCUUCCCUCAUUCAUCGGAGAGCUCUCUUUGGGCAUUCCAAAAAGGUAUCACAUGCCAAGUUUGGCCUCACGGUCUAAAAGUUAUAGAAUAUUACAUUUUUAACAAAAAAAAAGAGAAAAACCAAAAAAAAGAGGGAUGCAACACGAGGACUUUUCUGGAGGUCACCCAUCCUACUACUACUCUCGCCCAAGCACACUUAACUGCGGUGUUCUGAUAGGAUCAAGUGCAUUAGUGCUGGUAUGAUCGCAUCAGUUACUACAUGCAAUGCAAUCAUAUAUAUUCUUUUUUGAAGACUUUAUGAUCCAUUUGCCGUAGGUCCCACCAGCUAUGUAGGAAUACCCUAUCUUGUUUAUAAGAGCUUUGAUACAUGCAAAAUAUUCGAAAACAAUGUCCGAACAUAUAAUUUUUGUCCCGUAAUAUAGCAAAGAUCACGAAAAGGCCAGAAAAAAUACAUUUUGGUCAAAAUUUGGAGUAGAAAAAAAGCCCUUCCUCAUUCAUUGGACAGCUCUCUUUGGGCUUUCCGAAAAGGUAUCACAUGCCAAGUUUGGCCUCACGGUCUAAACCUUAUAGACUCAUACAUUUUUCACAAAAAAAAGAAGAGAAAAACCAAAAAAAAGAGUGAUUAAACACGAGGAUUUUCCUGGAGGUCACCCAUCCUAGUACUACUCUCGCCCAAGCACGCUUAACUGCGAAGGUCUGAUGGGAUAUGGUGCAUUAGUGCUGGUAUGAUCGCAUCUGUUACUACAUGCAAUGCAAUCGUAUCUAUUCUUUUUUGAAGAUUUGAUGAUUCAUUUACCGUGGGUCCCACCAGCUAUGUAGGAAUAACCUAUCUUAUUUAUAAAAGCUUUGAUACAUGCAAAAUAUUCGAAAACAAUGUCCGAACAUAUAAUGUUCGCCCCAAAAUAUAGCAAAGAUCACAAAAAUGCCAUAAAAAGUACAUUAAGGUCAAAAUUUGGAGUAGGAAAAAAAUCAAUAGGAGAAUUCCAUUUUCCUUCCCUCAUUCAUCGGAGAGCUCUCUUUGGGCAUUCCAAAAAGGUAUCACAUGCCAAGUUUGGCCUCACGGUCUAAAAGUUAUAGAGUAUUACAUUUUUAACAAAAAAAAAAGGGAAAAACCGAAAAAGAGGGAUGCAACACGAAGACUUUUCUGGAGGUCACCCAUCCUAGUACUACUCUCCCCCAAGCACGCUUAACUGUGGUGUUCUAAUAGGAUCAUGUGCAUUAGUGCUGGUAUGAUCGCAUCAGUUACUACAUGCAAUGCAAUCAUAUAUAUUCUUUUUUGAAGACUUUAUGAUCCAUUUGCCGUAGGUCCCACCAGCUAUGUAGGAAUACCCUAUCUUGUUUAUAAGAGCUUUGAUACAUGCAAAAUAUUCGAAAACAAUGUCCGAACAUAUAAUUUUUGUCCCGUAAUAUAGCAAAGAUCACGAAAAGGCCAGAAAAAAUACAUUUCGGUCAAAAUUUGGAGUAGAAAAAAAGCCCUUCCUCAUUCAUUGGACAGCUCUCUUUGGGCUUUCCGAAAAGGUAUCAUAUGCCAAGUUUGGCCUCACGGUCUAAACCUUAUAGACUCAUACAUUUUUCACAAAAAAAAGAAGAGAAAAACCAAAAAAAAGAGUGAUUAAACACGAGGACUUUCUUGGAGGUCAUCCAUCCUAGUACUACUCUCGCCCAAGCACGCUUAACUGCGAAGUUCUGAUGGGAUCUGGUGCAUUAGUGCUGGUAUGAUCGCAUCUGUUACUACAUGCAAUGCAAUCGUAUCUAUUCUUUUUUGAAGAUUUUAUGAUUCAUUUACCGUGGGUACCACCAGCUAUGUAGGAAUAACCUAUCUUAUUUAUAAGAGCUUUGAUACAUGCAAAAUAUUCGAAAACAAUGUCCGAACAUAUAAUUUUUGUCCCGUAAUAUAGCAAAGAUCACGAAAAGGCCAGAAAAAAUACAUUUUGGUCAAAAUUUGGAGUAGAAAAAAACCCUUCCUCAUUCAUUGGACAGCUCUGUUUGAGCUUUCCGAAAAGGUAUCACAUGCCAAGUUUGGCCUCACGGUCUAAAAGUUAUAGAGUCAUACAUUUUUCACAAAAAAAAAGAAGAGAAAAACCAAAAAAAAGAGUGAUGAAACACGAGGACUUUCCUGGAGGUCACCCAUCCUAGUACUACUCUCGCCCAAGCACGCGUAACUACGAAGUUCUGAUGGGAUCUGGUGCAUUAGUGCUGGUAUGAUCGCAUCUGUUACUACAUGCAAUGCAAUCGUAUCUAUUCUUUUUUGAAGAUUUUAUGAUUCAUUUACCGUGGGUCCCACCAGCUAUGUAGGAAUAACCUAUCUUAUUUAUAAGAGCUUUGAUACAUGCAAAAUAUUGGAAAACAAUGUCCGAACAUAUAAUGUUCGCCCCAAAAUAUAGCAAAGACAACAAAAAUGCCAUAAAAAGUACAUUAAGGUCAAAAUUUGGAGUAGGAAAAAAAUCAAUAAGAGAAUUCCAUUUUCCUUCCCUCAUUCAUCGGAGAGCUCUCUUUGGGCAUUCCAAAAAGGUAUCACAUGCCAAGUUUGGCCUCACGGUCUAAAAGUUAUAGAGUAGUACAUUUUUAACAAAAAAAAAAGAGAGAAACCGAAAAAAAGAGGGAUGCAACACGAAGACUUUUCUGGAGGUCACCCAUCCUAGUACUACUCUCCCAAAGCACGCUUAACUGUGGUGUUCUGAUAGGAUCAAGUGCAUUAGUGCGGGUAUGAUCGCAUCAGUUACUACAUGCAAUGCAAUCAUAUAUAUUCUUUUUUGAAGACUUUAUGAUCCAUUUGCCGUAGGUCCCACCAGCUAUGUAGGAAUACCCUAUCUUGUUUAUAAGAGCUUUGAUACAUGCAAAAUAUUCGAAAACAAUGUCCGAACAUAUAAUUUUUGUCCCGUAAUAUAGCAAAGAUCACGAAAAGGCCAGGAAAAAUACAUUUCGGUCAAAAUUUGGAGUAGAAAAAAAACCCUUCCUCAUUCAUUGGACAGCUCUCUUUGGGCUUUCCGAAAAGGUAUCACAUGCCAAGUUUGGCCUCACGGUCUAAAAGUUAUAGAUUCAUACAUUUUUCACAAAAAAAAGAAGAGAAAAACCAAAAAAAAGAGGGAUGAAACACGAGGACUUUCCCAGAGGUCACCCAUCCUAGUACUACUCUCGCCCAAGCACGCUUAACUGCGAAGUUCUGAUGGGAUCUGGUGCAUUAGUGCUGGUAUGAUCGCAUCUGUUACUACAUGCAAUGCAAUCGUAUCUAUUCUUUUUUGAAGAUUUUAUGAUUCAUUUACCGUGGGUCCCACCAGCUAUGUAGGAAAACCUAUCUUAUUUAUAAGAUCUUUGAUACAUGCAAAAUAUUGGAAAACAAUGUCCGAACAUAUAAUGUUCGCCCCAAAAUAUAGCGAAGACCACAAAAAUGCCAUAAAAAGUACAUUAAGGUCAAAAUUUGGAGUAGGAAAAAAAUCAAUAGGAGAAUUCCAUUUUCCUUCCCUCAUUCAUCGGAGAGCUCUCUUUGGGCAUUCCAAAAAGGUAUCACAUGCCAAGUUUGGCCUCACGGUCUAAAAGUUAUAGAAUAUUACAUUUUUAACAAAAAAAAAGAGAAAAACCGAAAAAAAGAGGGAUGCAACACGAAGACUUUUCUGGAGGUCACCCAUCCUACUACUACUCUCGCCCAAGCACACUUAACUGCGGUGUUCUGAUAGGAUCAAGUGCAUUAGUGCUGGUAUGAUCGCAUCAGUUACUACAUGCAAUACAAUCAUAUAUAUUCUUUUUUGAAGACUUUAUGAUCCAUUUGCCGUAGGUCCCACCAGCUAUGUAGGAAUACCUUAUCUUGUUUAUAAGAGCUUUGAUACAUGCAAAAUAUUCGAAAACAAUGUCCGAACAUAUAAUUUUUGUCCCGUAAUAUAGCAAAGAUCACGAAAAGGCCAGAAAAAAUACAUUUCGGUCAAAAUUUGGAGUAGAAAAAAAACCCUUCCUCAUUCAUUGGACAGCUCUCUUUGGGCUUUCCGAAAAGGUAUCACAUGCCAAGUUUGGCUUCACGGUCUAAACCUUAUAGACUCAUACAUUUUUCACAAAAAAAAGAAGAGAAAAACAAAAAAAAAGAGUGAUUAAACACGAGGACUUUCCUGGAGGUCACCCAUCCUAGUACUACUCUCGCCCAAGCACUCUUAACUGCGAAGUUCUGAUGGGAUCUGGUGCAUUAGUGCUGGUAUGAACGCAUCUGUUACUACAUGCAAUGCAAUCGUAUGUAUUCUUUUUUGAAGAUUUUAUGAUUCAUUUACCGUGGGUCCCACCAGCUAUGUAGGAAUAACCUAUCUUAUUUAUAAAAGCUUUGAUACAUGCAAAAUAUUCGAAAACAAUGUCCGAACAUAUAAUGUUCGCCCCAAAAUAUAGCAAAGACCACAAAAAUGCCAUAAAAAGUACAUUAAGGUCAAAAUUUGGAGUAGGAAAAAAAUCAAUAGGAGAAUUCCAUUUUCCUUCCCUCAUUCAUCGGAGAGCUCUCUUUGGGCAUUCCAAAAAGGUAUCACAUGCCAAGUUUGGCCUCACGGUCUAAAAGUUAUAGAGUAUUACAUUUUUAACAAAAAAAAAAAGAGAAAAACCGAAAAAAAGAGGGAUGCAACACGAAGACUUUUCUGGAGGUCACCCAUCCUAGUACUACUCUCCCCCAAGCACGCUUAACUGUGGUGUUCUGAUAGGAUCAAGUGCAUUAGUGCUGGUAUGAUCGCAUCAGUUACUACAUGCAAUGCAAUCAUAUAUAUUCUUUUUUGAAGACUUUAUGAUCCAUUUGCCGUAGGUCCCACCAGCUAUGUAGGAAUACCCUAUCUUGUUUAUAAGAGCUUUGAUACAUGCAAAAUAUUCGAAAACAAUGUCCGAACAUAUAAUUUUUGUCCCGUAAUAUAGCAAAGAUCACGAAAAGGUCAGAAAAAAUAUAUUUCGGUCAAAAUUUGGAGUAGAAAAAAAGCCCUUCCUCAUUCAUUGGACAGCUCUCUUUGGGCUUUCCGAAAAGGUAUCACAUGCCAAGUUUGGCCUCACGGUCUAAACCUUAUAGACUCAUACAUUUUUCAUAAAAAAAAGAAGAGAAAAACAAAAAAAAAAAGAGUGAUUAAACACGAGGACUUUCCUGGAGGUCACCCAUCCUAGUACUACUCUCGCCCAAGCACGCUUAACUACGAAGUUCCGAUGGGAUCUGAUGCAUUAGUGCUGGUAUGAUCGCAUCUGUUACUACAUGCAAUGCAAUCGUAUCUAUUCUUUUUUGAAGAUUUUAUGAUUCAUUUACUGUGGGUCCCACCAGCUAUGUAGGAAUAACCUAUCUUAUUUAUAAAAGCUUUGAUACAUGCAAAAUAUUGGAAAACAAUGUCCGAACAUAUAAUGUUCGCCCCAAAAUAUAGCAAAGACCACAAAAAUGCCAUAAAAAGUACAUUAAGGUCAAAAUUUGGAGUAGGAAAAAAAUCAAUAGGAGAAUUCCAUUUUCCUUCCCUCAUUCAUCGGAGAGCUCUCUUUGGGCAUUCCAAAAAGGUAUCACAUGCCAAGUUUGGCCUCACGGUCUAAAAGUUAUAGAGUAAUACAUUUUUAACAAAAAAAAAAAAGAAAAAAACCGAAAACAAAGAGGGAUGCAACACGAAGACUUUCCUGGAGGUCACCCAUCCUAGUACUACUCUCACCCAAGCACACNUUAACUGUGGUGUUCUGAUAGGAUCAAGUGCAUUAGUGCUGGUAUGAUCGCAUCAGUUACUACAUGCAAUGCAAUCNNNNNNNNNNNNNNNNNNNNNNNNNNNNNNNNNNNNNNNNNNNNNNNNNNCUCCUCAGUCAUCUUUGAGCUCUCUUUGGGCUUUCCGAAAAGGUAUCACAUGCCCAGUUUGGCCUCACGGUCUAAAAGUUAUAAAGUCAUACAUUUUUAACAAAAAAAAAAGAGAAAAACCGAAAAAAAGAGGGAUGCAAUACGAGGACUUUCCACGAGGUCACCCAUCCUAGUACAACUCUCGCCAAAGCAUGCUUAACUGCGGAGUUUAGAUGGGAUCUGGUGCAUUAGUGCUGGUAUGAUCGCAUCUGUUACUACAUGCAAUGCAAUCGUAUCUAUUCUUAUUUAAAGACUUUAUCAUCCAUUUGCCAUGGGUCCCACCUGUAGGAAUACCCAAUCUUGUUUAUAAGAGCUUUGAUACAUGCAAAAUAUUCGAAAACAACGUCCGAACAUAUAAUUUUCGCCCCGUAAUAUAGCAAAGAUCACGAAAAGGCCCGAAAAAGUACAUUAAGGUCAAAAUUUGGAAUAGAAAAAAAAACCAAAAGAAGUAUUCCAUUGUCCUUUGUCAUUCAUCGAAGAGCUCUCUUUGGGCUUUCCGAAAAGGUAUCGCAAGCCAAGUUUGGCCUCACGGUUUAAAAGUUAUAAAGUCAUACAUUUUUAACAAAAAAAAAAAGAGAAAAAACCGAAAAAAAGAGGGAUGCAACACGAGGACUUUUCUGGAGGUCACCCAUCCUAGUACUACUCUCGCCCGAUCACCCUUAACUGCGUAGUUUUGAUGGGAUUCGAUGCAUUAGUGCUGGUAUGAUCGCAUCUGUUACUACAUGCAAUGUAAUCGUAUCUAUUCUUUUUUAAAGACUUUAUGAUCCAUUUGCCGUGGGUCCCACCAGCUAUGUAGGAAUACCCUAUCUUCUUUAUAAGAGCUUUGAUAUAUGCAAAAUAGUGGAAAACCAUGUCCGAACAUAUAAUUUUUCCCCUGUAAUAUAGCAAAGAUCAAGAAAAAGCCAAAAAAAGUAUAUUUAGGUCAAAAUUUGGAGUAGAAAAAAAAACAAUAGAAGAAUUCCAUUUUCCUUCCUCAGUCAUCGGAGAGCUCUCUUUCGGCUUUCCGAAAAGGUAUCAAAUGCCAAGUUUGGCCUCACGGUCUAAAAGUUAUAGAGUCAUACAUUUUUAACAAUACAAAGUAGAGAAAACCGGAAAAAAGAGGGAUGCAACAUGAGGACUUUCCGGGAGGUAAUCCAUCCUAGUACAACUCUUGCCCAAGCACCCUUAACUGCGGAGUUCUGAUGGAAUCCGGUGCAUUAGUGCUGGUAUGAUCGCAUCUGUUACUACAUGCAAUGUAAUCGUAUCUAUUUUUUUUUAAAGACUUUAUGAUCCAUUUGCCGUGGGUCCCACCAGCUAUGUAGGAAUACCCUAUCUUCUUUAUAAGAGCUUUGAUACAUGCAAAAUAUAUGAAAAAACGUUCGAACAUAUAAUUUUUCCCCCCGUAAUAUAGCAAAGAUCACGAAAAGGCCCGAAAAAGUACAUUUAGUUCAAAAUUUGGAGUAGAAAAACCCAAUAGAAGAAUUCCAUUUUCCUUCGUCAUUCAUCGGAGAGCUCUCUUUGGGCUUUCCGAAAAGGUAUCACAUGCCAAGUUUGGCCUCACGGUCUAAAAGUUAUAGAGUCAUACAUUUUUAACAAAACAAAAUUGAGAAAAACCGAAAAAAGAGGGAUGCAACACGAGGACUCUCCAGAAGGUAACCCAUCUUAGUACUACUUUCGCCCAAGCACCCUUAACUGCGGAGUUCUGAUAGGACCCGGUGCAUUAGUGCUGGUAUGAUCGCAUGUGUUACUACAUGCAAUGUAAUCGUAUAUAUUCAUUUUUAAAGACUUUAUGAUCCAUUUGCCGUGGGUCCUACCAGCUAUGUAGAAAUACCCUAUCUUCUUUAUAAGAGCUUUCAUUCACGCAAAAUAAUGGAAAACAAUGUCCGAAGAUAUAAUUCCCCCCCCCCCCCCCCCGUAAUAUAGCAAAGAUCACGAAAAGGCCCGAAAAAGUACAUUAAGUUCAAAAUUUGGAGUAGAAAAAAAAACAAUAGAAGAAUUCCAUUUUCCUUCCUCAGUCAUCGGAGAGCUCUCUUUGGGCUUUCCGAAAAGGUAUCACAUGCCAAGUUUGGCCUCACGGUCUAAAGGUUAUAGAGUCAUACAUUUUUAACAAAAAAAAAUAGAAAAACAGAAAAAAGAGGGAUGCAAUACGAGGACUUUCCAGGAGGUCACCCAUCCUAGUACAACUCUCGCCGAAGCACGCUUAACUACGGUGUUCAGAUGGAAUCUGGUGCAUUAGUGCUGGUAUGAUGUCAUUUGUUACUACAUGCAAUGCAAUCAUAUCUAUUCUUAUUUAAAGACUUUAUGAUCCAUUUGCCGUGGGUCCCACCUGUAGGAAUACCCUAUCUUGUUUAUAAAAGAUUUGAUACAUGCAAAAUACUCGAAAACAAUGUCCGAACAUAUAAUUUUCACCCCGUAAUAUAGCAAAGAUCACGAAAAGGCCCGAAAAAGUACAUUAAAGUCAAAAUUUGGAGUAGAAAAAAACCCAAUAGAAGUAUUCCAUUCUCCUUCGUCAUUCAUCGGAGAGCUCUCUUUAGGCUUUCCGAAAAGAUAUCACAUGCCAAGUUUGGCCUCACGGUUUAAAAGUUAUAGAGUCAUAGAUUUUUAACAAAACAAAAAGAGAAAAACCGAAAAAAAAUUGGGAUGCAACACGAGGACUUUCCUGGAGGUCACCCAUCCUAGUACUACUCUUGCCCAAGCACCCUUAACUGCGUAGUUCUGAUGGGAUCCGAUGCUUUAGGGCUGGUAUGAUCGCAUCUGUUACUACAUGCAAUGUAAUCGUAUCUAUUCUUUUUUAAAGACUUUAUGAUCCAUUUGCCGUGGGUCCCACCAGCUAUGUAGGAAUACCCUAUCUUCUUUAUAAGAGCUUUGAUAAAUGCAAAAUAUUGGAAAGCAAUGUCCGAACAUAUAAUUUCGCCCCCGUAAUAUAGCAAAGAUCACGAAAAAGCCCAAAAAAGUUCAUUUAGGUCAAAAUUUGAGCAGAAGAAAAAGAAAUAGAAGAAUUCCAUUUUCCUUCCUCAUUUAUUGGAGAGCUCUCUUUGGGCUUUCCGAAAAGGUAUCACAUGCCAAGUUUGGCCUCACGGUCUAAAAGUUAUAGAGUCAUACAGUUUUAACAAAAUGAAAUAGAGAAAAACCGAAAAAAAGAGGGAUGUAACACGAGGACUUUCCGGGAGGUAAUCUAUCCUACUACUACUCUCGGCCAAGCACCCUUAACUGCGGAGUUCUAAUGGGAUCCGGUGCAUUAGUGCUAGUAUGAUCGCAUGUGUUACUACAUGCAAUGUAAUCGUAUCUAUUCUUUUUUAAAGACUUUAUGAUCCAUUUGCCGUGGGUCCCACCAGCUAUGUAGGAAUACCCUAUCUUCUUUAUAAGAGCUUUGAUACAUGCAAAAUAUAUGAAAAAAACGUCCGAACAUAUAAUUUUCCCCCCGUAAUAUAGCAAAGAUCAUGAAAAGGCCCAAAAAAGUACAUUAAUGUCAAAAUUUGGCGUAGAAAAAAAACCAAUAGACAUAUUCCAUUGUCCUUCAUCAUUCAUUGAAGAGCUCUCUUUGGGCUUUCCGAAAAGGUAUCACAUGCCAAGUUUGGCCUCACGGUCUAAAAGUUAUAGAGUCAUACAUUUUUAACAAUACAAAAUAGAGAAAAACCGAAAAAAAGAGGGAUGCAACACGAGGACUUUCCGGGAGGUAAUCCAUCCUAGUACUACUCUCGCCCAAGCACCCUUAACUGCGGAGUUCUGAUGGGACCCGGUGCAUUAGUGCUGGUAUGAUCGCAUCUGUUACUAUAUGCAAUGUAAUCGUAUCUAUUCUUUUUUAAAGACUUUAUGAUCCAUUUGCCGUGGGUCCCACCAGCUAUGUAGGAAUACCCUAUCUUCUUUAUAAGAGCUUUGAUAUAUGCAAAAUAUUGGAACACCAUGUCCGAACAUAUAAUUUUUCCCGUGUAAUAUAGCAAAGAUCAAGAAAAAGACAAAAGAGUACAUUUAGGUCAAAAUUUGAGUAGAAAAAAACAAAUAGAAGAAUUCCAUUUUCCUUCCUCAUUCAGCUGAGAGCUCUCUUUGGGCUUUCCGAAAAGGUAUCAUAUGCCAAGUUUGGCCUCACAGUGUAAAAGUUAUAGAGUCUAACAUUUUUAACAAAACAAAAUAGAGAAAAACCAAAAAAAGAGGGAUGCAACACGAGGACUUUCUGGGAGGUCACCCAUCCUAGUACUACUCUCGCCCAAGCACCCUUAACUGCGGAGUUCUGAUGGGAUCCGGUGCAUUAGUGCAGGUAUGAUCGCAUGUGUUACUACAUGCAAUGUAAUCCUAUCUAUUCUUUCUUAAAGACUUUAUGAUCCAUUUGCCGUGAGUCCCACCAGCUAUGUAGGAAUACCCUAUCUUCUUUAUAAGAGCUUUGAUACAUGCAAAAUAUUGGAAAACAAUAUCCGAACAUAUAGUUUUCCCCCCGUAAUAUAGCAAAGAUCACGAAAAGGCCCGAAAAAGUACAUUUAGUUCAAAAUUGGGAGUAGAAAAAAAAACAAUAGAAGAAUUCCAUUUUACUUCCUCAGUCAUCGGAGAGCUCUCUUUGGGCUUUCCGAAAAGGUAUCACAUGCCCAGUUUGGCCUCACGGUCUAAAAGUUAUAAAGUCAUACAUUUUUAACAAAAACAAAAGAGAAAAACCGAAAAAAAAGAGGGAUGCAAUACGAGGACUUUCCACGAGGUCACCCAUCCUAGUACAACUCUCGCCGAAGCAUGCUUAACUGCGGAGUUUAGAUGGGAUCUGGUGCAUUAGUGCUGGUAUGAUCGCAUCUGUUACUACAUGCAAUGCAAUCGUAUCUAUUCUUAUUUAAAGACUUUAUCAUCCAUUUGCCAUGGGUCCCACCUGUAGGAAUACCCAAUCUUGUUUAUAAGAGCUUUGAUACAUGCAAAAUAUUCGAAAACAACGUCCGAACAUAUAAUUUUCGCCCCGUAAUAUAGCAAAGAUCACGAAAAGGCCCGAAAAAGUACAUUAAGGUCAAAAUUUGGAAUAGAAAAAAAAACCAAUAGAAGUAUUCCAUUGUCCUUUGUCAUUCAUCGAAGAGCUCUCUUUGGGCUUUCCGAAAAGGUAUCGCAAGCCAAGUUUGGCCUCACGGUUUAAAAGUUAUAAAGUCAUACAUUUUUAACAAAAAAAAAAAGAGAAAAAACCGAAAAAAAGAGGGAUGCAACACGAGGACUUUUCUGGAGGUCACCCAUCCUAAUACUUCUCUCGCCCGAUCACCCUUAACUACGUAGUUUUGAUGGGAUUCGAUGCAUUAGUGCUGGUAUGAUCGCAUCUGUUACUACAUGCAAUGUAAUCGUAUCUAUUCUUUUUUAAAGACUUUAUGAUCCAUUUGCCGUGGGUCCCACCAGCUAUGUAGGAAUACCCUAUCUUCUUUAUAAGAGCUUUGAUAUAUGCAAAAUAUUGGAAAACCAUGUCCGAACAUAUAAUUUUUCCCCUGUAAUAUAGCAAAGAUCAAGAAAAAGCCAAAAAAGUAUAUUUAGGUCAAAAUUUGGAGUAGAAAAAAAAACAAUAGAAGAAUUCCAUUUUCCUUCCUCAGUCAUCGGAGAGCUCUCUUUGGGCUUUCCGAAAAGGUAUCAAAUGCCAAGUUUGGCCUCACGGUCUAAAAGUUAUAGAGUCAUACAUUUUUAACAAUACAAAGUAGAGAAAACCGGAAAAAAGAGGGAUGCAACAUGAGGACUUUCCGGGAGGUAAUCCAUCCUAGUACAACUCUUGCCCAAGCACCCUUAACUGCGGAGUUCUGAUGGAAUCCGGUGCAUUAGUGCUGGUAUGAUCGCAUGUGUUACUACAUGCAAUGUAAUCGUAUCUAUUCUUUUUUAAAGACUUUAUGAUCCAUUUGCCGUGGGUCCCACCAGCUAUGUAGGAAUACCCUAUCUUCUUUAUAAGAGCUUUGAUACAUGCAAAAUAUAUGAAAAAACGUUCGAACAUAUAAUUUUUCCCCCCGUAAUAUAGCAAAGAUCACGAAAAGGCCCGAAAAAGUACAUUUAGUUCAAAAUUUGGAGUAGAAAAACCCAAUAGAAGAAUUCCAUUUUCCUUCGUCAUUCAUCGGAGAGCUCUCUUUGGGCUUUCCGAAAAGGUAUCACAUGCCAAGUUUGGCCUCACGGUCUAAACGUUAUAGAGUCAUACAUUUUUAACAAAACAAAAUUGAGAAAAACCGAAAAAAAGAGGGAUGCAACACGAGGACUCUCCAGAAGGUAACCCAUCUUAGUACUACUUUCGCCCAAGCACCCUUAACUGCGGAGUUCUGAUAGGACCCGGUGCAUUAGUGCUGGUAUGAUCGCAUGUGUUACUACAUGCAAUGUAAUCGUAUAUAUUCAUUUUUAAAGACUUUAUGAUCCAUUUGCCGUGGGUCCUACCAGCUAUGUAGAAAUACCCUAUCUUCUUUAUAAGAGCUUUCAUUCACGCAAAAUAAUGGAAAACAAUGUCCGAAGAUAUAAUUUCCCCCCCCCCCCGUAAUAUAGCAAAGAUCACGAAAAGGCCCGAAAAAGUACAUUAAGUUCAAAAUUUGGAGUAGAAAAAAAAACAAUAGAAGAAUUCCAUUUUCCUUCCUCAGUCAUCGGAGAGCUCUCUUUGGGCUUUCCGAAAAGGUAUCACAUGCCAAGCUUGGCCUCACGGUCUAAAGGUUAUAGAGUCAUACAUUUUUAACAAAAAAAAAAUAGAAAAACAGAAAAAAGAGGGAUGCAAUACGAGGACUUUCCAGGAGGUCACCCAUCCUAGUACAACUCUCGCCGAAGCACGCUUAACUACGGUGUUCAGAUGGAAUCUGGUGCAUUAGUGCUGGUAUGAUGUCAUUUGUUACUACAUGCAAUGCAAUCAUAUCUAUUCUUAUUUAAAGACUUUAUGAUCCAUUUGCCGUGGGUCCCACCUGUAGGAAUACCCUAUCUUGUUUAUAAAAGAUUUGAUACAUGCAAAAUACUCGAAAACAAUGUCCGAACAUAUAAUUUUCACCCCGUAAUAUAGCAAAGAUCACGAAAAGGCCCGAAAAAGUACAUUAAAGUCAAAAUUUGGAGUAGAAAAAAACCCAAUAGAAGUAUUCCAUUCUCCUUCGUCAUUCAUCGGAGAGCUCUCUUUAGGCUUUCCGAAAAGAUAUCACAUGCCAAGUUUGGCCUCACGGUUUAAAAGUUAUAGAGUCAUAGAUUUUUAACAAAACAAAAAGAGAAAAACCGAAAAAAAUUGGGAUGCAACACGAGGACUUUCCUGGAGGUCACCCAUCCUAGUACUACUCUCGCCCAAGCACCCUUAACUGCGUAGUUCUGAUGGGAUCCGAUGCUUUAGUGCUGGUAUGAUCGCAUCUGUUACUACAUGCAAUGUAAUCGUAUCUAUUCUUUUUUAAAGACUUUAUGAUCCAUUUGCCGUGGGUCCCACCAGCUAUGUAGGAAUACCCUAUCUUCUUUAUAAGAGCUUUGAUAAAUGCAAAAUAUUGGAAACCAAUGUCCGAACAUAUAAUUUCGCCCCCGUAAUAUAGCAAAGAUCACGAAAAAGCCCAAAAAAGUUCAUUUAGGUCAAAAUUUGAGCAGAAGAAAAAGAAAUAGAAGAAUUCCAUUUUCCUUCCUCAUUUAUUGGAGAGCUCUCUUUGGGCUUUCCGAAAAGGUAUCACAUGCCAAGUUUGGCCUCACGGUCUAAAAGUUAUAGAGUCAUACAUUUUUAACAAAAUGAAAUAGAGAAAAACCGAAAAAAAGAGGGAUGUAACACGAGGACUUUCCGGGAGGUAAUCUAUCCUACUACUACUCUCGGCCAAGCACCCUUAACUGCGGAGUUCUAAUGGGAUCCGGUGCAUUAGUGCUGGUAUGAUCGCAUGUGUUACUACAUGCAAUGUAAUCGUAUCUAUUCUUUUUUAAAGACUUUAUGAUCCAUUUGCCGUGGGUCCCACCAGCUAUGUAGGAAUACCCUAUUUUCUUUAUAAGAGCUUUGAUACAUGCAAAAUAUUGGAAAACAAUGUCCGAACAUAUUAUUUUCCCCCCGUAAUAUAGCAAAGAUCACGAAAAGGCCCGAAAAAGUACAUUUAGUUCAAAAUGUGGAGUAGAAAAAAAAACAAUAGAAGAAUUCCAUUUUCCUUCGUCAUUCAUCGGAGAGCUCUCUUUAGGCUUUCCGAAAAGGUAUCACAUGCCAAGUUUGGCCUCACGGUCUAAAAGUUAUAGAAUCAUACAUUUUUAACAAAACAAAAUAGAGAAAAACCGAAAAAGAGGGAUUUAACACGAGGACUUUCCGAGAGGUAACCCAUCCUAGUACUACUCUCGUCCAAGCACCCUUAACUGCGGAGUUCUGAUGGGAUCCGGUGUAUUAGUGCUGGUAUGAUCGCAUGUGUUACUACAUGCAAUGUAAUCGUAUCUAUUCUUUUUUAAAGACUUUAUAAUCCAUUUGCCGUGGGUCCCACCAGCUAUGUAGGAAUACCCUAUUUUCUUUAUAAGAGCUUUGAUACAUGCAAAAUAUUAGAAAACAAUGUCCGAACAUAUUAUUUUCCCCCCGUUAUAUAGCAAAGAUCACGAAAAGGCCCGAAAAAGUACAUUUAGUUCAAAAUUUGGAGUAGAAAAAAAAACAAUAGAAGAAUUCCAUUUUCCUUCGUCAUUCAUCGGAGAGCUCUCUUUAGGCUUUCCGAAAAGGUAUCACAUGCCAAGUUUGGCCUCACGGUCUAAAAGUUAUAGAGUCAUACAUUUUUAACAAAACAAAAUAGAGAAAAACCGAAAAAAGAGGGAUUUAACACGAGGACUUUCUGAGAGGUAACCCAUCCGAGUACUACACUCGCCCAAGCACCCUUAACUACGGAGUUCUGAUGGGAUACGGUGCAUUAGUGCUGGUUUGAUCGCAUCUGUUACUACAUGCAAUGUAAUCGUAUCUAUUCUUUUUUAAAGACUUUAUGAUCCAUUUGCCGUGGGUGCCACCAACUAUGUAGGAUUAUCCUAUAUUCUUUAUAAGAGCUUUGAUACAUGAAAAAUAUUCGAAAACAAUGUCCGAACAUAUAAUUUCCACCCGUAAUAUAGCAAAGAUCACGAAAAGGCCCAAAAAAGUACAUUAAGUUUAAAAUUUGGAGUAGAAAAAAAACCAAUAGAAGAAUUCCAUUUUCCUUCCUCAGUCAUCGGAGAGCUCUCUUUGGGCUUUCCGAAAAGGUAUCACAUGCCAAGUUUGACCUCACGGUCUAAAGGUUAUAGAGUCAUACAUUUUUAACAAAAAAAAAUAGAAAAACAGGAAAAAAGAGGGAUGCAAUACGAGGACUUUCCAGGAGGUCACCCAUCCUAGUACAACUCUCGCCGAAGCACGCUUAACUGCGGUGUUCAGAUGGGAUCUGGUGCAUUAGUGCUCGUAUGAUGGCAUUUGUUACUACAUGCAAUGCAAUCGUAUCUACUCUUAUUUAAAGACUUUAUGAUCCAUUUGCCGUGGGUGCCACCAACUAUGUAGGAUUAUCCUAUAUUCUUUAUAAGAGCUUUGAUACAUGCAAAAUAUUCGAAAGCAAUGUCCGAACAUAUAAUUUCCCCCCCGUAAUAUAGCAAAGAUCACGAAAAGGCCCGAAAAAGUACAUUUAGUUCAAAAUUUGGAGUAGAAAAAAAAACAAUAGAAGAAUUCCAUUUUCCUUCGUCAUUCAUCGGAGAGCUCUCUUUAGGCUUUCCGAAAAGGUAUCACAUGCCAAGUUUGGCCUCACGGUCUAAAAGUUAUAGAGUCAUACAUUUUCAACAAAACAAAAUAGAGAAACACCGAAAAAAGAGGGAUUUAACACGAGGACUUUCCGAGAGGUAACCCAUCCUAGUACUACUCUCGUCCAAGCACCCUUAACUGCGGAGUUCUGAUGGGAUCCGGUGCAUUAGUGCUGGUAUGAUCGCAUGUGUUACUACAUGCAAUGUAAUCAUAUCUAUUCUUUUUUUAAAGACUUUAUGAUUCAUUUGCCGUGGGUCCCACCAGCUAUGUAGGAAUACCCUAUUUUCUUUAUAACAGCUUUGAUACAUGCAAAAUAUUGGAAAACAAUGUCCGAACAUAUUAUUUUCCUCCCGUAAUAUAGCAAAGAUCACGAAAAGGCCCGAAAAAGUACAUUUAGUUCAAAAUUUGGAGUAGAAAAAAAAACAAUAGAAGAAUUCCAUUUUCCUUCGUCAUUCAUCGGAGAGCUCUCUUUAGGCUUUCCGAAAAGGUAUCACAUGCCAAGUUUGGCCUCACGGUCUAAAAGUAUAGAGUCAUACAUUUUUAAAAAAACAAAAUAGAGAAAAACCGAAAAAAGAGGGAUUUAACACGAGGACUUUCCGAGAGGUAACCCAUCCUAGUACUACUCUCGUCCAAGCACCCUUAACUGCGGAGUUCUAAUGGGAUCUGGUGCAUUAGUGCUGGUAUGAUCGCAUGUGUUACUACAUGCAAUGUAAUCGUAUCUAUUCUUUUUUAAAGACUUUAUGAUCCAUUUGCCGUGGGUCCCACCAGCUAUGUAGGAAUACCCUAUUUUCUUUAUAAGAGCUUUGAUACAUGCAAAAUAUUGGAAAACAAUGUCCGAACAUAUUAUUUUCCCCCCGUUAUAUAGCAAAGAUCACGAAAAGGCCCGAAAAAGUACAUUUAGUUCAAAAUUUGGAGUAGAAAGAAAAACAAUAGAAGAAUUCCAUUUUCCUUCGUCAUUCAUCUGAGAGCUCUCUUUAGGCUUUCCGAAAAGGUAUCACAUGCCAAGUUUGGCCUCACGGUCUAAAAGUUAUAGAGUCAUACAUUUUUAACAAAACAAAAUAGAGAAAAACCGAAAAAGAGGGAUUUAAGACGAGGACUUUCUGAGAGGUAACCCAUCCGAGUACUACACUCGCCCAAGCACCCUUAACUACGGAGUUCUGAUGGGAUACGGUGCAUUAGUGCUGGUUUGAUCGCAUGUGUUACUACAUGCAAUGUAAUCGUAUCUAUUCUUUUUUAAAGACUUUAUGAUCCAUUUGCCGUGGGUGCCACCAACUAUGUAGGAUUAUCCUAUAUUCUUUAUAAGAUCUUUGAUACUUGCAAAAUAUUCGAAAAAAAUGUCCGAACAUAUAAUUUCCCCCCCGUAAUAUAGCAAAGAUCACGAAAAGGCCCAAAAAAGUACAUUAAGUUUAAAAUUUGGAGUAGAAAAAAAACCAAUAGAAGAAUUCCAUUUUCCUUCCUCAGUCAUCGGAGAGCUCUCUUUGGGCUUUCCGAAAAGUUAUCACAUGCCAAGUUUGACCUCACGGUCUAAAGGUUAUAGAGUCAUACAUUUUUAACAAAAAAAAAUAGAAAAACAGGAAAAAAGAGGGAUGCAAUACGAGGACUUUCCAGCAGGUCACCCAUCCUAGUACAACUCUCGCCAAAGCACGCUUAACUGCGGUGUUCAGAUGGGAUCUGGUGCAUUAGUGCUUGUAUGAUGGCAUUUGUUACUACAUGCAAUGCAAUCGUAUCGAUUCUUAUUUAAAGACUUUAUGAUCCAUUUGUCGUGGGUGCCACCUGUAGGAAUACCCUAUCUUGUUUAUAAGAGAUUUGAUACAUGCAAAAUAUUCGAAAACAAUGUCCGAACAUAUAAUUUUUGCCCCGUAAUAUAGAAAAGAUCACAAAAAAGUCCAAAAAAGUACAUUUAGGUCAAAAUUUGAGCAGAAAAAAAAGAAAUAGAAGAAUUCCAUUUUCCUUCGUCAUUCAUCGGAGAGCUCUCUUUAGGCUUUCCGAAAAGAUAUCACAUGCCAAGUUUGGCCUCACGGUCUAAAAGUUAUAGAGUCAUACAUUUUUCACAAAACAAAAAGAGAAAAACCGAAAAAAAUAGGGAUGCAACACGAGGACUUUCCUGGAGGUCACCCAUCCUAGUACUAAUCUCGCCCAAGCACCCUUAACUGCGUAGUUCUGAUGGGAUCCGAUGCAUUAGUCCUGGUAUGAUCGCAUCUGUUACUAUAUGCAAUAUAAUCGUAUCUAUUCUUUUUUAAAGACUUUAUGAUCCAUUUGCCGUGGGUCCCACCAGCUAUGUAGGAUACCCUAUCUUCAUAAUAAGAGCUUUGAUAAAUGCAAAAUAUUGGAAAACAAUGUCCGAACAUAUAAUUUCCCCCCCCCCCCCCGUAAUAUAGCAAAGAUCACGAAAAAGCCCAAAAAAGUACAUUUAGGUCAAAAUUUGAGUAGAAAAAAAAACAAAUAGAGGAAUUCCAUUUUCCGUCCUCAUUCAUCGGAGAGCUCUCUUUCGGCUUUCCGAAAAGGUAUCACAUGCCAAGUUUGGCCUCACGGUCUAAAAGUUAUAGAGUCAUACAUUUUUAACAAAACAAAAUAGAGAAAAACCGAAAAAAAGAAGGAUGCAACACGAGGACUUCCCGGGAGGUCACCCAUCCUAGUACUACUCUCGCCUAAGCACCCUUAACUGCGGAGUUCUGAUGGGAUCAGGUGCAUUAGUGCUGGUAUGAUCGCAUGUGGUACUACAUGCAAUGUAAUCGUAUCUAUUCCUUUUGAAAGACUUUAUGAUCCAUUUGCCGUGGGUCCCACCAGCUAUGUAGGAAUACCCUAUCUUCUUUAUAAGAGCUUUGAUACAUGCAAAAUAUUUGAAAACAAUGUCCGAACAUAUAAUUUUCCCCCCGUUAUAUAGCAAAGAUCACGAAAAGGCCCAAAAAAGUACAAUUAGUUCAAAAUUUGGAGUAGAAAAAAAAACAAUAGAAGAAUUCCAUUUUCCUUCCUCAGUCAUCGGAGAGCUCUCUUUGGGCUUUCCAAAAAGGUAUCACAUGCCAAGUUUGGCCUCACAGUCUAAAAGUUAUAGAGUCAUACAUUUUUAACAAAACAAAAUAGAGAAAAACCGAAAAAAAGAGGGAUGCAACACGAGGACUUUCCGGGAGGUAACCCAUCCUAGUACUACUCUCGCCCAAGCACCCUUAACUGCGGAGUUUUGAUGGGAUCCGGUGCAUUAGUGUUGGUAUGAUCGCAUGUGUUACUACAUGCAAUGUAAUCGUAUCUAUUCCUUUUGAAAGACUUUAUGAUCCAUUUGCCGUGGGUCCCACCAGCUAUGUAGGAAUACCCUAUCUUCUUUAUAAGAGCUUUGAUACAUACAAAAUAUUGGAUCACAAUGUCAUAACAUAUAAUUUUCCCCCCUUAAUAUAGCAAAGAUCACGAAAAGGCCCGAAAAAAUACAUUUAGUUCAAAAUUUGGAGUAGAAAAAAAAAAUAUAAGAAUUCCAUUUUCCUUCCUCUGUUAUCGGAGAGCUCUCUUUGGGCUUUCCGAAAAGGUAUCACAUGCCAAGUUUGGCCUCACGGUCUAAAAGAUAUAAAGUCAUACAUUAUUAACAAAACAAAAUAGAGAAAAACCGAAAAAAAGAAGGAUGCAACACGAGGACUUUCCGGGAGGUAAUCUAUCCUAGUACUACUCUCGCCCAAGCACCCUUAACUGCGGAGUUCUGAUGGGAUCCGGUGCAUUAGUGUUGGUAUGAUCGCAUGUGUUACUACAUGCAAUGUAACCGUAUCUAUUCUUUUUUAAAGACUUUAUGAUCCAUUUGCCGUGGGUCCCACCAGCUAUGUAGGAAUAUUCUAUCUUCUUUAUAAGAGCUUUGAUACAUGCAAAAUAUUGGAAAACAACGUCCGAACAUAUAAUUUCCCCCCCCCCCCGUAAUAUAGCAAAAAUCACGAAAAGGCCCGAAAAAGUACAUUUAGUUCAAAAUUUGCAGUAGAAAAAAAAACAAUAGAAGAAUUUCAUUUUCCUUCCUCAGUCAUCGGAGAGCUCUCUUUGGGCUUUCCAAAAAGGUAUCACAUGCCAAGUUUGGCCUCACAGUCUAAAAGUUAUAGAGUCAUACAUUUUUAACAAAACAAAAUAGAGAAAAACCGAAAAAAGAGGGAUGCAACACGAGGACUUUCCCGGAGGUAAUCUAUCCUAGUACUACUCUCGCCCAAGCACCCUUAACUGCGGAGUUCUGAUGGGAUCCGGUGCAGUAGUGCUGGUAUGAUCGCAUGUGUUACUACAUGCAAUGUAAUCGUAUCUAUUCUUUUUUAAAGACUUUAUGAUCCAUUUGCCGUGAGUCCCACCAGCUAUGUAGGAAUAUUCUAUCUUCUUUAUAAGAGCUUUGAUACAUGCAAAAUACUGGAAAACAAUGUCCGAACAUAUAAUUUUCCCCACGUAAUAUAGCAAAGAUCACGAAAAGGCCCGAAAAAGUACAUUUAGUUCAAAAUUUGGAGUAGAAAAAAAAACAAUAGAAGAAUUUCAUUUUCCUUCCCUAGUCAUCGGAGAGCUCUCUUUGGGCUUUCCAAAAAGGUAUCACAUGCCAAGUUUGGCCUCACAGUCUAAAAGUUAUAGAGUCAUACAUUUUUAACAAAACAAAAUAGAGAAAAACCGAAAAAAAAGAGGGAUGCAACACGAGGACUUUCUGGGAGGUAAUCUAUCCUAGUACUACUCUCGCCCAAGCACCCUUAACUGCGGAGUUCUGAUGGGAUCCGGUGCAGUAGUGCUGGUAUGAUCGCAUGUGUUACUACAUGCAAUGUAAUCGUAUCUAUUCUUUUUUAAAGACUUUAUGAUCCAUUUGCCGUGAGUCCCACCAGCUAUGUAGGAAUAUUCUAUCUUCUUUAUAAGAGCUUUGAUACAUGCAAAAUACUGGAAAACAAUGUCCGAACAUAUAAUUUUCCCCCCGUAAUAUAGCAAAGAUCACGAAAAGGCCCAGAAAAGUACAUUUAGUUCAAAAUUUGGAGUAGAAAAAAAAACAAUAGAAGAAUUCCAUUUUCCUUCCUCAAUCAUCGGAGAGCUCUCUUUGGGCUUUCCGAAAAGGUAUCUCAUGCCAAGUUUGGCCUCACGAACUAAAAGUUAUAGAGUCAUACAUUUUUAACAAAACAAAAUAGAGAAAAACCGAAAAAAGAGGGAUGCAACACAAGGACUUUCCGGGAGGUCACCCAUCCUAGUACUACUCUCGCCCAAGCACCCUUAACUGCGGAGUUCUGAUGGGAUCCAGUGCAUUAGUGCUGGUAUGAUCGCAUGUGUUACUACAUGCAAUGUAAUCGUAUCUAUUCUUUUUUAAAGAUUUUAUGAUCCAUUUGCCGUGGGUCCCACCAGCUAUGUAGGAAUACCCUAUCUUCUUUAUAAGAGCUUUGAUACAUACAAAAUAUUGGAUCACAAUGUCAGAACAUAUAAUUUUCCCCCCUUAAUAUAGCAAAGUUCACUAAAAGGCCCGAAAAAAUACAUUUAGUUCAAAAUUUGGAGUAGAAAAAAAAACAAUAGAAGAAUUUCAUUUUCCUUCCUCAGUCAUCGGAGAGCUCUCUUUGGGCUUUCCAAAAAGGUAUCACAUGCCAAGUUUGGCCUCACAGUCUAAAAGUUAUAGAGUCAUACAUUUUUAACAAAACAAAAUAGAGAAAAACCGAAAAAAGAGGGAUGCAACACGAGGACUUUCCCGGAGGUAAUCUAUCCUAGUACUACUCUCGCCCAAGCACCCUUAACUGCGGAGUUCUGAUGGGAUCCGGUGCAGUAGUGCUGGUAUGAUCGCAUGUGUUACUACAUGCAAUGUAAUCGUAUCUAUUCUUUUUUAAAGACUUUAUGAUCCAUUUGCCGUGAGUCCCACCAGCUAUGUAGGAAUAUUCUAUCUUCUUUAUAAGAGCUUUGAUACAUGCAAAAUACUGGAAAACAAUGUCCGAACAUAUAAUUUUCCCCACGUAAUAUAGCAAAGAUCACGAAAAGGCCCGAAAAAGUACAUUUAGUUCAAAAUUUGGAGUAGAAAAAAAAACAAUAGAAGAAUUUCAUUUUCCUUCCUCAGUCAUCGGAGAGCUCUCUUUGGGCUUUCCAAAAAGGUAUCACAUGCCAAGUUUGGCCUCACAGUCUAAAAGUUAUAGAGUCAUACAUUUUUAACAAAACAAAAUAGAGAAAAACCGAAAAAAAAGAGGGAUGCAACACGAGGACUUUCUGGGAGGUAAUCUAUCCUAGUACUACUCUCGCCCAAGCACCCUUAACUGCGGAGUUCUGAUGGGAUCCGGUGCAGUAGUGCUGGUAUGAUCGCAUGUGUUACUACAUGCAAUGUAAUCGUAUCUAUUCUUUUUUAAAGACUUUAUGAUCCAUUUGCCGUGAGUCCCACCAGCUAUGUAGGAAUAUUCUAUCUUCUUUAUAAGAUCUUUGAUACAUGCAAAAUACUGGAAAACAAUGUCCGAACAUAUAAUUUUCCCCCCGUAAUAUAGCAAAGAUCACGAAAAGGCCCAGAAAAGUACAUUUAGUUCAAAAUUUGGAGUAGAAAAAAAAACAAUAGAAGAAUUCCAUUUUCCUUCCUCAAUCAUCGGAGAGCUCUCUUUGGGCUUUCCGAAAAGGUAUCUCAUGCCAAGUUUGGCCUCACGAACUAAAAGUUAUAGAGUCAUACAUUUUUAACAAAACAAAAUAGAGAAAAACCGAAAAAAGAGGGAUGCAACACAAGGACUUUCCGGGAGGUCACCCAUCCUAGUACUACUCUCGCCCAAGCACCCUUAACUGCGGAGUUCUGAUGGGAUCCAGUGCAUUAGUGCUGGUAUGAUCGCAUGUGUUACUACAUGCAAUGUAAUCGUAUCUAUUCUUUUUUAAAGAUUUUAUGAUCCAUUUGCCGUGGGUCCCACCAGCUAUGUAGGAAUACCCUAUCUUCUUUAUAAGAGCUUUGAUACAUACAAAAUAUUGGAUCACAAUGUCAGAACAUAUAAUUUUCCCCCCUUAAUAUAGCAAAGUUCACUAAAAGGCCCGAAAAAAUACAUUUAGUUCAAAAUUUGGAGUAGAAAAAAAAACAAUAGAAGAAUUUCAUUUUCCUUCCUCAGUCAUCGGAGAGCUCUCUUUGGGCUUUCCAAAAAGGUAUCACAUGCCAAGUUUGGCCUCACAGUCUAAAAGUUAUAGAGUCAUACAUUUUUAACAAAACAAAAUAGAGAAAAACCGAAAAAAAGAGGGAUGCAACACGAGGACUUUCUGGGAGGUAAUCUAUCCUAGUACUACUCUCGCCCAAGCACCCUUAACUGCGGAGUUCUGAUGGGAUCCGGUGCAGUAGUGCUGGUAUGAUCGCAUGUGUUACUACAUGCAAUGUAAUCGUAUCUAUUCUUUUUUAAAGACUUUAUGAUCCAUUUGCCGUGAGUCCCACCAGCUAUGUAGGAAUAUUCUAUCUUCUUUAUAAGAGCUUUGAUACAUGCAAAAUACUGGAAAACAAUGUCCGAACAUAUAAUUUUCCCCCCGUAAUAUAGCAAAGAUCACGAAAAGGCCCGAAAAAGUACAUUUAGUUCAAAAUUUGGAGUAGAAAAAAAAACAAUAGAAGAAUUCCAUUUUCCUUCCUCAAUCAUCGGAGAGCUCUCUUUGGGCUUUCCGAAAAGGUAUCUCAUGCCAAGUUUGGCCUCACGAACUAAAAGUUAUAGAGUCAUACAUUUUUAACAAAACAAAAUAGAGAAAAACCGAAAAAAGAGGGAUGCAACACAAGGACUUUCCGGGAGGUCACCCAUCCUAGUACUACUCUCGCCCAAGCACCCUUAACUGCGGAGUUCUGAUGGGAUCCAGUGCAUUAGUGCUGGUAUGAUCGCAUGUGUUACUACAUGCAAUGUAAUCGUAUCUAUUCUUUUUUAAAGAUUUUAUGAUCCAUUUGCCGUGGGUCCCACCAGCUAUGUAGGAAUACCCUAUCUUCUUUAUAAGAGCUUUGAUACAUACAAAAUAUUGGAUCACAAUGUCAGAACAUAUAAUUUUCCCCCCUUAAUAUAGCAAAGUUCACUAAAAGGCCCGAAAAAAUACAUUUAGUUCAAAAUUUGGAGUAGAAAAAAAAACAAUAGAAGAAUUUCAUUUUCCUUCCUCAGUCAUCGGAGAGCUCUCUUUGGGCUUUCCAAAAAGGUAUCACAUGCCAAGUUUGGCCUCACAGUCUAAAAGUUAUAGAGUCAUACAUUUUUAACAAAACAAAAUAGAGAAAAACCGAAAAAAAGAGGGAUGCAACACGAGGACUUUCUGGGAGGUAAUCUAUCCUAGUACUACUCUCGCCCAAGCACCCUUAACUGCGGAGUUCUGAUGGGAUCCGGUGCAGUAGUGCUGGUAUGAUCGCAUGUGUUACUACAUGCAAUGUAAUCGUAUCUAUUCUUUUUUAAAGACUUUAUGAUCCAUUUGCCGUGAGUCCCACCAGCUAUGUAGGAAUAUUCUAUCUUCUUUAUAAGAGCUUUGAUACAUGCAAAAUACUGGAAAACAAUGUCCGAACAUAUAAUUUUCCCCCCGUAAUAUAGCAAAGAUCACGAAAAGGCCCGAAAAAGUACAUUUAGUUCAAAAUUUGGAGUAGAAAAAAAAACAAUAGAAGAAUUCCAUUUUCCUUCCUCAAUCAUCGGAGAGCUCUCUUUGGGCUUUCCGAAAAGGUAUCUCAUGCCAAGUUUGGCCUCACGAACUAAAAGUUAUAGAGUCAUACAUUUUUAACAAAACAAAAUAGAGAAAAACCGAAAAAAGAGGGAUGCAACACAAGGACUUUCCGGGAGGUCACCCAUCCUAGUACUACUCUCGCCCAAGCACCCUUAACUGCGGAGUUCUGAUGGGAUCCGGUGCAUUAGUGCUGGUAUGAUCGCCCGUGUUACUACAUGCAAUGCAAUCGUAUCUAUUCUUUUUUAAAGAUUUUAUGAUCCAUUUGCCGUGGGUCCCACCAGCUAUGUAGGAAUACCCUAUCUUCUUUAUAAGAGGUUUGAUACAUACAAAAUAUUGGAUCACAAUGUCAGAACAUAUAAUUUUCCCCCCUUAAUAUAGCAAAGAUCACUAAAAGGCCCGAAAAAAUACAUUUAGUUCAAAAUUUGGAGUAGAAAAAAAAACAAUAGAAGAAUUCCAUUUUCCUUCCUCAGUUAUCGGAGAACUCUCUUUGGGCUUUCCGAAAAGGUAUCACAUGCCAAGUUUGGCCUCACGGUCUAAAAGAUAUAGAGUCAUACAUUAUUAACAAAACAAAAUAGAGAAAAACCGAAAAAAAGAAGGAUGCAACACGAGGACUUUGCGGGAGGUAAUCUAUCCUAGUACUACUCUCGCCCAAGCACCCUUAACUGCGGAGUUCUGAUGGGAUCCGGUGCAUUAGUGCUGGUAUGAUCGCAUGUGUUACUACAUGCAAUGUAAUCGUAUCUAUUCUUUUUUAAAGACUUUAUGAUCCAUUUGCCGUGGGUCCNNNNNNNNNNNNNNNNNNNNNNNNNNNNNNNNNNNNNNNNNNNNNNNNNNACAUGCCAAGUUUGGCCUUACGGUCUAAAAGUUAUAGAGUAAUACANUUUUUAACAAAAAAAAAAGAAAAAAACCGAAAACAAAGAGGGAUGCAACACGAAGACUUUCCUGGAGGUCACCCAUCCUAGUACUACUCUCGCCCAAGCACACUUAACUGCGGUGUUCUGAUAGGAUCAAGUGCAUUAGUGCUGGUAUGAUCGCAUCAGUUACUACAUGCAAUGCAAUCAUAUAUAUUCUUUUUUGAAGACUUUAUGAUCCAUUUGCCGUAGGUCCCACCAGCUAUGUAGGAAUACCCUAUCUCGUUUAUAAGAGCUUUGAUACAUGCAAAAUAUUCGAAAACAAUGUCCGAACAUAUAAUUUUUGUCCCGUAAUAUAGCAAAGAUCGCGAAAAGGCCAUAAAAAAUACAUUUCGGUCAAAAUUUGGAGUAGAAAAAAAACCCUUCCUCAUUCAUUGGACAGCUCUCUUUGGGCUUUCCGAAAAGGUAUCACAUGCCAAGUUUGGCCUCACGGUCUAAACCUUAUAGACUCAUACAUUUUUCACAAAAAAAAGAAGAGAAAAACCAAAAAAAAGAGUGAUUAAACACGAGGACUUUCCUGGAGGUCACCCAUCCUAGUACUACUCUCGCCCAAGCACGCUUAACUGCGAAGUUCUGAUGGGAUCUGGUGCAUUAGUGCUGGUAUGAUCGCAUCUGUUACUACAUGCAAUGCAAUCGUAUUUAUUCUUUUUUGAAGAUUUUAUGAUUCAUUUACCGUGGGUCCCACCAGCUAUGUAGGAAUAACCUAUCUUAUUUAUAAAAGCUUUGAUACAUGCAAAAUAUUAGAAAACAAUGUCCGAACAUAUAAUGUUCGCCCCAAAAUAUAGCAAAGACCACAAAAAUGCCAUAAAAAGUACAUUAAGGUCAAAAUUUGGAGUAGGAAAAAAAUCAAUAGGAGAAUUCCAUUUUCCUUCCUUCAUUCAUCGGAGAGCUCUCUUUGGGCAUUCCAAAAAGGUAUCACAUGCCAAGUUUGGCCUCACGGUCUAAAAGUUAUAGAGUAAUACAUUUUUAACAAAAAAAAAAGAAAAAAACCGAAAACAAAGAGGGAUGCAACACGAAGACUUUCCUGGAGGUCACCCAUCCUAGUACUACUCUCGCCCAAGCACACUUAACUGCGGUGUUCUGAUAGGAUCAAGUGCAUUAGUGCUGGUAUGAUCGCAUCAGUUACUACAUGCAAUGCAAUCAUAUAUAUUCUUUUUUGAAGACUUUAUGAUCCAUUUGCCGUAGGUCCCACCAGCUAUGUAGGAAUACCCUAUCUCGUUUAUAAGAGCUUUGAUACAUGCAAAAUAUUCGAAAACAAUGUCCGAACAUAUAAUUUUUGUCCCGUAAUAUAGCAAAGAUCACGAAAAGGCCAGAAAAAAUACAUUUCGGUCAAAAUUUGGAGUAGAAAAAAAACCCUUCCUCAUUCAUUGGACAGCUCUUUUUGGGCUUUCCGAAAAGGUAUCACAUGCCAAGUUUGGCCUCACGGUCUAAACCUUAUAGACUCAUACAUUUUUCACAAAAAAAAGAAGAGAAAAACCAAAAAAAAGAGUGAUUAAACACGAGGACUUUCCUGGAGGUCACCCAUCCUAGUACUACUCUCGCCCAAGCACGCUUAACUGCGAAGUUCUGAUGGGAUCUGGUGCAUUAGUGCUGGUAUGAUCGCAUCUGUUACUACAUGCAAUGCAAUCGUAUCUAUUCUUUUUUGAAGAUUUUAUGAUUCAUUUACCGUGGGUCCCACCAGCUAUGUAGGAAUAACCUAUCUUAUUUAUAAAAGCUUUGAUACAUGCAAAAUAUUCGAAAACAAUGUCCGAACAUAUAAUGUUCGCCCCAAAAUAUAGCAAAGACCACAAAAAUGCCAUAAAAAGUACAUUAAGGUCAAAAUUUGGAGUAGGAAAAAAAUCAAUAGGAGAAUUCCAUUUUCCUUCCCUCAUUCAUCGGAGAGCUCUCUUUGGGCAUUCCAAAAAGGUAUCACAUGCCAAGUUUGGCCUCACGGUCUAAAAGUUAUAGAGUAAUACAUUUUUAACAAAAACAAAAGAAAAAAACCGAAAACAAAGAGGGAUGCAACACGAAGACUUUCCUGGAGGUCACCCAUCCUAGUACUACUCUCGCCCAAGUACACUUAACUGCGGUGUUCUGAUAGGAUCAAGUGCAUUAGUGCUGGUAUGAUCGCAUCAGUUACUACAUGCAAUGCAAUCAUAUAUAUUCUUUUUUGAAGACUUUAUGAUCCAUUUGCCGUAGGUCCCACCAGCUAUGUAGGAAUACCCUAUCUUGUUUAUAAGAGCUUUCAUACAUGCAAAAUAUUCAAAAACAAUGUCCGAACAUAUAAUUUUUGUCCCGUAAUAUAGCAAAGAUCACGAAAAGGCCAGAAAAAAUACAUUUCGGUCAAAAUUUGGAGUAGAAAAAAAACCCUUCCUCAUUCAUUGGACAGCUCUCUUUGGGCUUUCUGAAAAGGUAUCACAUGCCAAGUUUGGCCUCACGGUCUAAACCUUAUAGACUCAUACAUUUUUCACAAAAAAAAGAAGAGAAAAACCAAAAAAAAGAGUGAUUAAACACGAGGACUUUCCUGGAGGUCACCCAUCCUAGUACUACUCUCGCCCAAGCACGCUUCACUGCGAAGUUCUGAUGGGAUCUGGUGCAUUAGUGCUGGUAUGAUCGCAUCUGUUACUACAUGCAAUGCAAUCGUAUCUAUUCUUUUUUGAAGAUUUUAUGAUUCAUUUACCGUGGGUCCCACCAGAUAGGAAUAACCUAUCUUAUUUAUAAAAGCUUUGAUACAUGCAAAAUAUUCGAAAACAAUGUCCGAACAUAUAAUGUUCGCCCCAAAAUAUAGCAAAGACCACAAAAAUGCAAUAAAAAGUACAUUAAGGUCAAAAUUUGGAGUAGGAAAAAAAUCAAUAGGAGAAUUCCAUUUUCCUUCCCUCAUUUAUCGGAGAGCUCUCUUUGGGCAUUCCAAAAAGGUAUCACAUGCCAAGUUUGGCCUCACGGUCUAAAAGUUAUAGAGUAAUACAUUUUUAACAAAACAAAAAAGAAAAAAACCGAAAACAAAGAGGGAUGCAACACGAAGACUUUCCUGGAGGUCACCCAUCCUAGUACUACUCUCGCCCAAGCACACUUAACUGCGGUGUUCUGAUAGGAUCAAGUGCAUUAGUGCUGGUAUGAUCGCAUCAGUUACUACAUGCAAUGCAAUCAUAUAUAUUCUUUUUUGAAGACUUUAUGAUCCAUUUGCCGUAGGUCCCACCAGCUAUGUAGGAAUACCCUAUCUUGUUUAUAAGAGCUUUGAUACAUGCAAAAUAUACGAAAACAAUGUCCGAACAUAUAAUUUUUGUCCCGUAAUAUAGCAAAAAGGCCAGAAAAAAUACAUUUCGGUCAAAAUUUGGAGUAGAAAAAAAACCCUUCCUCAUUCAUUGGACAGCUCUCUUUGGGCUUUCCGAAAAGGUAUCACAUGCCAAGUUUGGCCUCACGGUCUAAACCUUAUAGGCUCAUACAUUUUUCACAAAAAAAAGAAAAGAAAAACCAAAAAAAAGAGUGAUUAAACACGAGGACUUUCCGGGAGGUCACCCAUCCUAGUACUACUCUCGCCGAAGCACGCUUAACUGCGAAGUUCUGAUGGGAUCUGGUGCAUUAGUGCUGGUAUGAUCGCAUCUGUUACUACAUGCAAUGCAAUCGUAUCUAUUCUUUUUUGAAGAUUUUAUGAUUCAUUUACCGUGGGUCCCACCAGCUAUGUAGGAAUAACCUAUCUUAUUUAUAAAAGCUUUGAUACAUGCAAAAUAUUCGAAAACAAUGUCCGAACAUAUAAUGUUCGCCCCAAAAUAUAGCAAAGACCACAAAAAUGCCAUAAAAAGUACAUUAAGGUCAAAAUUUGGAGUAGGAAAAAAAUCAAUAGGAGAAUUCCAUUUUCCUUCCCUCAUUCAUCGGAGAGCUCUCUUUGGGCAUUCCAAAAAGGUAUCACAUGCCAAGUUUGGCCUCACGGUCUAANAGUUAUAGAGUAAUACAUUUUUAACAAAAAAAAAAGAAAAAAACCGAAAACAAAGAGGGAUGCAACACGAAGACUUUCCUGGAGGUCACCCAUCCUAGUACUACUCUCGCCCAAGUACACUUAACUGCGGUGUUCUGAUAGGAUCAAGUGCAUUAGUGCUGGUAUGAUCGCAUCAGUUACUACAUGCAAUGCAAUCAUAUAUAUUCUUUUUUGAAGACUUUAUGAUCCAUUUGCCGUAGGUCCCACCAGCUAUGUAGGAAUACCCUAUCUUGUUUAUAAGAGCUUUGAUACAUGCAAAAUAUUCGAAAACAAUGUCCGAACAUAUAAUUUUUGUCCCGUAAUAUAGCAAAGAUCACGAAAAGGCCAGAAAAAAUACAUUUCGGUCAAAAUUUGGAGUAGAAAAAAAGCCCUUCCUCAUUCAUUGGACAGCUCUCUUUGGGCUUUCCGAAAAGGUAUCACAUGCCAAGUUUGGCCUCACGGUCUAAACCUUAUAGACUCAUACAUUUUUCACAAAAAAAAGAAGAGAAAAACCAAAAAAAAGAGUGAUUAAACACGAGGAUUUUCCUGGAGGUCACCCAUCCUAGUACUACUCUCGCCCAAGCACGCUUAACUGCGAANNNNNNNNNNNNNNNNNNNNNNNNNNNNNNNNNNNNNNNNNNNNNNNNNNGUGUUACUACAUGCAAUGUAAUCGUAUCUAUUCUUUUUUAAAGACUUUAUGAUCCAUUUGCCGUGGGUCCCACCAGCUAUGUAGGAAUAUCCUAUAUUCUUUAUAAGAGCUUUGAUACAUGCAAAAUAUUCGAAAACAAUGUCCGAACAUAUAAUUUCCCCCCCGUAAUAUAGCAAAGAUCACGAAAAGGCCCAAAAAAGUACAUUAAGUUUAAAAUUUGGAGUAGAAAAAAAACCAAUAGAAAAAUUCCAUUUUCCUUCCUCAGUCAUCGAAGAGCUCUCUUUGGGCUUUCUGAAAAGGUAUCACAUGCCAAGUUUGGCCUCACGGUCUAAAAGUUAUAGAGUCAUACAUUUUUAACAAAACAAAAAGAGAAAAACCGAAAAAAACAGGGAUGCAACACGAGGACUUUCCUGGAGGUCUCCCAUCCUAGUACUACUCUCGCCCAAGCACCCUUAACUGCGUAGUUCUGAUGGGAUCCGAUGCAUUAGUGCUGGUAUGAUCGCAUCUGUUACUACAUGCAAUGUAAUCGUAUCUAUUCUUUUUUAAAGACNUUUAUGAUCCAUUUGCCGUGGGUCCCACCAGCUAUGUAGGAAUACCCUAUCUUCUUAAUAAGAGCCUUGAUAAAUGCAAAAUAUUGGAAAACAAUGUCCGAACAUAUAAUGCCCCCCCCCCCGUAAUAUAGCAAAGAUCACGAAAAUGCCCAAAAAAGUACAUUUAGGUCAAAAUUUGAGUAGAAAAAAAAACAAUAGAAGAAUUCCAUUUUCCUUCCUCAUUUAUCGGAGAGCUCUCUUUGGGCUUUCCGAAAAGGUAUCACAUGACAAGUUUGGCCUCACGGUCUAAAAGAUAUAGAGUCAUACAUUAUUAACAAAACAAAAUAGAGAAAAACCGAAAAAAAAGAGGGAUGCAACGCGAGGACUUUCCGGGAGGUAAUCUAUCCUAGUACUACUCUCGCCCAAGCACCCUUACCUGCGGAGUUCUGAUGGGAUCCGGUGCAGUAGUGCUGGUAUGAUCGCAUGUGUUACUACAUGCAAUGCAAUCAUAUAUAUUCUUUUUUGAAGACUUUAUGAUCCAUUUGCCGUAGGUCCCACCAGCUAUGUAGGAAUACCCUAUCUUGUUUAUAAGAGCUUUGAUACAUGCAAAAUAUUCGAAAACAAUGUCCGAACAUAUAAUUUUUGUCCCGUAAUAUAGCAAAGAUCACGAAAAGGCCAGAAAAAAUACAUUUCGGUCAAAAUUUGGAGUAGAAAAAAACCCCUUCCUCAUUCAUUGGACAGCUCUCUUUGGGCUUUCCGAAAAGGUAUCACAUGCCAAGUUUGGUCUCACGGUUUAAAAGUUAUAGAGUCAUACAUUUUUCACAAAAAAAAGAAGAGAAAAAACAAAAAAAAGAGUGAUGAAACACGAGGACUUUCCUAGAGGUCACCCAUCCUAGUACUACUCUCGCCCAAGCACGCGUAACUGCGAAGUUCUGAUGGGAUCUGGUGCAUUAGUGCUGGUAUGAUCGCAUCUGUUACUACAUGCAAUGCAAUCGUAUCUAUUCUUUUUUGAAGAUUUUAUGAUCCAUUUGCAGUGGGUCCCACCAGCUAUGUAGGAAUACCCUAUCUUGUUUAUAAGAGCUUUGAUACAUGCAAAAUCUUCGAAAACAAUGUCCGAACAUAUAAUUUUCGCCCCGUAAUAUAGCAAAGAUCACGAAAAUGCCAAAAUAGUACAUUAAGGUCAAAAUUUGGAGUAGGAAAAAAAACCCUUCAUCAUUCAUUGGAGAGCUCUCUCUGGGCUUUCCGAAAAGGUAUCACAUGCCAAGUUUGGCCUCACGGUCUAAAAGUUAUAAAGUCAUACAUUUUUAACAAAAAAAAAAGAGAAAAACCGAAAAAAAGAGUUAUGUAACACGAGGACUUUCCUGGAGGUCACCCGUCCUAGUACUACUCUCGCCCAAACACGCUUAACUGUGGUGUUCUGAUAGGAUCAAGUGCAUUAGUGCUGGUAUGAUCGCAUCAGUUACUACAUGCAAUGCAAUCAUAUAUAUUCUUUUUUGAAAACUUUAUGAUCCAUUUGCCGUAGGUCCCACCAGCUAUGUCGGAAUACCCUAUCUUGUUUAUAAGAGCUUUGAUACAUGCAAAAUAUUCGAAAACAAUGUCCGAACAUAUAAUUUUUGUCCCGUAAUAUAGCAAAGAUCACGAAAAGGCCAAAAAAAAUACAUUUCGGUCAAAAUUUGGAGUAGAAAAAAACCCCUUCCUCAUUCAUUCGACAACUCUCUUUGGGCUUUCCGAAAAGGUAUCACAUGCCAAGUUUGGUCUCACGGUCUAAAAGUUAUAGAGUCAUACAUUUUUCACAAAAAAAAGAAGAGAAAAAACCAAAAAAAGAGUGAUGAAACACGAGGACUUUCCUGGAGGUCACUCAUGCUAGUACUACUCUCGCCCAAGCACGCUUAACUGCGAAGUUCUGAUGGGAUCUGGUGCAUUGGUGAUGGUAUGAUCGCAUCUGUUACUACAUGCAAUGCAAUCGUAUCUAUUUUUUUUUGAAGAUUUUAUGAUCCAUUUGCAGUGUGUCCCACCAGCUAUGUAGGAAUACCCUAUCUUGUUUAUAAGAGCUUUGAUACAUGCAAAAUAUUCGAAAACAAUGUCCGAACAUAUAAUUUUUGUCCCGUAAUAUAGCAAAGAUCACGAAAAGACCAGAAAAAAUACAUUUCGGUCAAAAUUUGGAGUAGAAAAAAAACCCUUCCUCAUUCAUUGGACAGCUCUCUUUGGGCUUUCCGAAAAGGUAUCACAUGCCAAGUUUGGUCUCACGGUUUAAAAGUUAUAGAGUCAUACAUUUUUCACAAAAAAAAGAAGAGAAAAAACAAAAAAAAGAGUGAUGAACCACGAGGACUUUCCUGGAGGUCACCCAUCCUAGUACUACUCUCGCCCAAGCACGCGUAACUGCGAAGUUCUGAUGGGAUCUGGUGCAUUAGUGCUGGUAUGAUCACAUCUGUUACUACAUGCAAUGCAAUCGUAUCUAUUCUUUUUUGAAGAUUUUAUGAUCCAUUUGCAGUGGGUCCCACCAGCUAUGUAGGAAUACCCUAUCUUGUUUAUAAGAGCUUUGAUACAUGCAAAAUCUUCGAAAACAAUGUCCGAACAUAUAAUUUUCGCCCCGUAAUAUAGCAAAGAUCACGAAAAUGCCAAAAUAGUACAUUUAGGUCAAAAUUUGGAGUAGGAAAAAAAAACCUUCAUCAUUCAUUGGAUAGCUCUCUCUGGGCUUUUCGAAAAGGUAUCACAUGCCAAGUUUGGCCUCACGGUCUAAAAGUUAUAAAGUCAUACAUUUUUAACAAAAAAAAAAGAGAAAAACCGAAAAAAAGAGUUAUGAACCACGAGGACUUUCCUGGAGGUCACCCGUCCUAGUACUACUCUCGCCCAAACACGCUUAACUGCGGUGUUCUGAUAGGAUCAAGUGCAUUAGUGCUGGUAUGAUCGCAUCAGUUACUACAUGCAAUGCAAUCAUAUAUAUUCUUUUUUGAAGACUUUAUGAUCCAUUUGCCGUAGGUCCCACCAGCUAUGUAGGAAUACCCUAUCUUGUUUAUAAGAGCUUUGAUACAUGCAAAAUAUUCGAAAACAAUGUCCGAACAUAUAAUUUUUGUCCCGUAAUAUAGCAAAGAUCACGAAAAGGCCAAAAAAAAUACAUUUCGGUCAAAAUUUGGAGUAGAAAAAAACCCCUUCCUCAUUCAUUGGACAGCUCUCUUUGGGCUUUCCGAAAAGGUAUCACAUGCCAAGUUUGGUCUCACGGUCUAAAAGUUAUAGAGUCAUACAUUUUUCAGAAAAAAAAGAAGAGAAAAAACCAAAAAAAGAGUGAUGAAACACGAGGACUUUCUUGGAGGCCACCCAUCCUAGUACUACUCUCGCCCAAGCACGCUUAACUGCGAAGUUCUGAUGGGAUCUGGUGCAUUAGUGAUGGUAUGAUCGCAUCUGUUACUACAUGCAAUGCAAUCGUAUCUAUUCUUUUUUGAAGAUUUUAUGAUCCAUUUGCAGUGGGUCCCACCAGCUAUGUAGGAAUACCCUAUCUUGUUUAUAAGAGCUUUGAUACAUGCAAAAUAUUCGAAAACAAUGUCCGAACAUAUAAUUUUCGCCCCGUAAUAUAGCAAAGAUCACGAAAAUGCCGAAAUAGUACAUUAAGGUCAAAAUUUGGAGUAGGAAAAAAAAACCUUCCUCAUUCAUUGGAGAGCUCUCUUUGGGUUUUCCGAAAAGGUAUCACAUGCCAAGUUUGGCCUCACGGUCUAAAAGUUAUAAAGUCAUACAUUUUUAACAAAAAAAAAAAGAGAAAAACCGAAAAAAAGAGUUAUGCAACACGAGGACUUUCCUGGAGGUCACCCGUCCUAGUACUACUCUCGCCCAAACACGCUUAACUACGGUGUUCUGAUAGGAUCAAGUGCAUUAGUGCUGGUAUGAUCGCAUCAGUUACUACAUGCAAUGCAAUCAUAUAUAUUCUUUUUUGAAGACUUCAUGAUCCAUUUGCCGUAGGUCCCACCAGCUAUGUAGGAAUACCCUAUCUUGUUUAUAAGAGCUUUGAUACAUGCAAAAUAUUCGAAAACAAUGUCCGAACAUAUAAUUUUUGUCCCGUAAUAUAGCAAAGAUCACGAAAAGGCCAGAAAAAAUAAAUUUCGGUCAAAAUUUAGAGUAGAAAAAAACCCCUUCCUCAUUCAUUGGACAACUCUCUUUGGGCUUUCCGAAAAGGUAUCACAUGCCAAGUUUGGCCUCACGGUCUAAAAGUUAUAGAGUCAUACAUUUUUCACAAAAAAAAGAAGAGAAAAACCAAAAAAAAGAGUGAUGAAACACGAGGACUUUCCUGGAGGUCACCCAUCCUAGUACUACUCUCGCCCAAGCACGCUUAACGGCGGUGUUCUGAUAGGAUCAAUUACAUUUGUGCUGGUAUGAUCGCAUCAGUUACUACAUGCAAUGCGAUCAUAUAUAUUCUUUUUUGAAGACUUUACAAUCCAUUUGUCGUAGGUCCCACCAGCUAUGUAGGAAUCCCCUAUCUUGUUUAUAAGAGCUUUGAUACAUGCAAAAUAUUCGAAAACAAUGUUCGAACAUAUAAUUUUUCGCCCCGUAAUAUAGCAAAGAUCACGAAAAGGCCAGAAAAAGUACAUUUAGGUCAAAAUUUGGAGUAGAAAAAACCCCCCCUUCCUCAUUCAUUGGAGAGCUCUCUUUGGGCUUUCCGGAAAGGUAUCACAUGCCAAGUUUGGCCUCACGGUCUAAACCUUAUAGACUCAUACAUUUUUAACAAAAAAAAGAAGAGAAAAAACGAAAAAAAGAAGGAUACAACACGAGGACUUUCCGAGAGGUUACCCAUCUUCGUACUACUCUCGCACAAGUACGCUUAACUGCGGAGUUCUGAUGGGAUCUGGUGCAUUAGUGCUGGUAUGAUCGCAUCUGUUAUUACAUGCAAUGCAAUCGUAUCUAUUCUUUUUUCAAGACUUUAUGAUCCAUUUGCCGUGGGUCCCACCAGCUACGUAGGAAUACCCUAUCUUGUUUAUAAGAGCUUUGAUACAUGCAAAAUAUUCGAAAACAAUGUCCGAACAUAUAAUUUUCGUCCCGUAAUAUAGCAAAGAUCACAAAAAGGCCAGAAAGAGUACAUUUACGUCAAAAUUUGGAUAGAAAAAAAACAAAUAGAAGAAUUCCAUUUUGACUUCCUCAUUCAUCGGAAAGCUCUCUUUGGGCUUUCCGAAAAGGUAUCACAUGCCAAGUUUGGAAUCACGGUUUAAAAGUUAUAGAGUCAUACAUUUUUAACAAAAAAUAAAGAGAAAACCCGAAAAAUGAGGGAUGCAACACGAGGACUUUUCGGGAGGUCACCCAUCGUAGUACUACUCUCGCCCAAGCACGCUUAACUGUAGAGUUCUGAUGGGAUCCGGUUCAUUAUUGCUGGUAUGAUCGCAUCCGUUACUACAUGCAAUGCAAUCGUAUCUAUUCUUUUUUGAAGACUUUAUGAUCCAUUUGCCGUGGGUCCCACCAGCUAUGUUGGAAUACCCUAUCUUGUUUAUAAGAGCUUUGUUACAUGCAAAAUAUUCGAAAACAAUGUCCGAACAUAUAAUAUUUGCCCCGUAAUAUAGCAAAGAUCACGAAAAGGCCAGAAAACCUAUAUUAAGUUCAAAAUUUGGAGUAGAAAAAAACCAAUAGAAGAAUUCCAUUUUCCUUCCUCACUCAUCGGAGAGCUCUCUUUGGGGCUUUCCGAAAAGGUAUCACAUGCAAAGUUUGGCCUCACAGGCUAAAAGUUAUAGAGUCGUACAUUUUUAACAAAAAAAAAAAGAGAAAAGCCGAAAAAAAGAAGGAUGCAACACAAGGACUUUCCGGGAGGUCAGCCAUCCUAAUAUUACUCUCGCCCAAGCACGCUUAACUGUAGAGUUCUGAUGGGAUCCGGUGCAUUAGUGCUGGUAUGAUCGCAUCUGUUACUACAUGCAAUGCAAUCGUAUCUAUUCUUUUUUUAAGACUUUAUGAUCCAUUUACCGUGGGUCCCACCAGCUACGUAGGAAUAACCUAUCUUAUUUAUAAGAGCUUUGAUACAUGCAAAAUAUUCGAAAACAAUGUCCGAACAUAUAAUUUUCGUCCCGUAAUAUAGCAAAGAUCACAAAAAGGCCAGAAAGAGUACAUUAAGGUCAAAAUUUUGGAGUAGAAAAAAAAACCCUUCCUCAUUCAUUAAAGAGCUCUCUUUGGCAUUUCCGAAAAGGUGUCACAUGCCAAGUUCGGCCUCACGGUCUAAAAGUUAUAGAGUCAUACAUUGUUAACAAAAAAAAAGAGAAAAACCGAUUAAAAGAGUUAUGCAACACAAGGACUUUCCUGGAGGUCACCCGUCCUAGUACUACUCUCGCCCAAGCACGCUUAAAUGCGGAGUUCUGAUGGGAUCCGGUCCAUGAGUGGUGGUAUGAUCACAUCCGUUACUACAUGCAAUGCAAUCGUAUCUAUUAUUUUUUGAAGACUUUAUGAUCCAUUUGCCGUGGGUCCCACCAGCUAUGUAGGAAUACCCUAUCUUGUUUAUAAGAGCUUUGAUACAUCCAAAAUAUUCGAAAACAAUGUUGGAACGUAUAAGUUUCGCUCAGUAAUAUAGCAAAGAUCACGAAAAGGCCACAAAAAGUACAUUAAGGUAAAAAUUUAGAGUAGGAAAAAAAAACAAUAGGAGAAUUCCAUGUUCCUUCCUCAAUCAUCGGAGAGCUCUCUUUGGGCUUUCCAAAAAGGUAUCACAUGCCAAGUUUGGCCUCACGGUCUAAAAGUUAUAGAGUCAUACAUUUUUAACAAAAAAAAAUAGAGAAAAACCAAAAAAAAGAGGGAUGCAACACGAAGACUUUCCUGGAGGUCACCCAUCCUAGUACUACUCUCGCCCAAGCACGCUUAACUGCGGUGUUCUGAUAGGAUCAAGUGCAUUAGUGCUGGUAGGAUCGCAUUCGUUACUACAUGCAAUGCAAUUAUAUAUAUUCUUUUUUGAAGACUUUAUGAUCCAUUUGCGGUAGGUCCCACCAGCUAUGUAGGAAUACCCUAUCUUGCUUAUAAGAGUUUUGAUACAUGCAAAAAUAUUCGAAAACAAUGUCCGAACAUAUAAUUUUUGUCCCGUAAUAUAACAAAGAUCACGAAAAGGCCAAAAAUAGUACAUUUCGGUCAAAACAUGGAGCAGAAAAAAAACCCCUUCCUCAUUCAUCGGAGAGCUCUCAUUGGGCUUUCCGAAAAGAUAUCACAUGCAAAGUUUGGCCUCACGGUUUAAAAGUUAUAGAGUCAAAUAUUUUUAACAAAAAAAAGAGAGAAAAACCGAAAACAAAGAGGGAUGCAACACGAGGACUUUCCGGAAGGUCACCCAUCCUAGUACUACUCUAGCCCAAGCACGCUUAACCGCGGAGUUCUGAUAGGAUCCGGUGCAUUAGUGCUGGUAUGAUCGCAUCAGUUACUACAUGCAAUGCAAUCAUAUAUAUUUUUUUUGAAGACUUUAUGAUCCAUUUGCCGUGGGUCCCACCAGCUAUGUAGGAAUACCUAUCUUGUUUAUAAGAGCUUUGAUACAUGCAAAAUAUUUGAAAACAAUGUCCGAACGUAUAAUCUUCGUCCCGUAAUAUAGCAAAGAUCACGAAAAGGCCAGAAAAAGUACAUUAAGGUCAAAAUUUUGACUAGAAAAAAAAAACAAUAGAAAAAUUCCAUUGUCCUUCCUCAUUCAUCGGAGAGUUCUCUUUGGGCUUUCCGAAAAGGUAUCACAUGCCAAGUUUGGCCUCACGGUCUAAAACUUAUAGAAUCAUACAUUCUUAACAAAAAAAAAAAAAAAACCGAAAAAAAGAAGAAUGCAACACAAGGACUUUCCAGGAGGUCAACCAUCCUAGUAGUACUCUCGCCCAAUCACGCUUAACUGCAGAGUUCUGAUGGGAUCCGGUGCAUUAGUGCUGGUAUGAUCGCAUCUGUUACUACAUGCAAUGCAAUCGUAUCUAUUCUUUUUUGAAGACUUUAUGAUCCAUUUGCCGUGGGUCCCACCAGCUAUGUAGGAAUACCUUAUCUUGUUUAUAAGAGCUUUGAUACAUGCAAAAUAUUCGAAUACAAUGUCUGAACGUAUAACUUUCGCNCCGUAAUAUAGCGAAGAUCACGAAAAGGCCCGAAAAAGUACAUUAAGGUCAAAAUUUCGAGUAGAAAUAAAAACCAAUAGAAGAAUUCCAAUUUCCUUCCUCAUUCAUUGGAGAGCUCUCUUUGGGCUUUCCGAAAAGGUAUCACAUGCGAAGUUUCGCCUCACAAUCUAAAAGUUAUAUAGUCAUACAUUUUUAACAAAACAAAUAGAGAAAAACCGAAAAAAAGAAUGAUACAACACAACGACUUUCCCGGAGGUCACCCAUCCUAAUACUAUUCUCGCCCAAGCAAGCUUAACUGCAGAGUAUUGAUGGGAUCUGAUGCAUAAGUGCUGAUAUGAUCGCAUCCGUUACUACAUGCAAAUGCAAUCGUAUCUAUUCGUUUUUGAAGACUUUAUGAUCCAUUUGCCGUGGGUCCCACCAGCUAUGUAGGAAUACCCUAUCUUGUUUAUAAGAGCUUUGAUACAUGCAAAAAAUUGGAAAACAAUGUCUGAACAUAUAAUUUUUGUCCCGUAAUAUAGCAAAGAUCACGAAAAGGAUAGAAAAAGUACAUUAAGGUCAAAAUUUUGAGUAGAAAAAAAAUCAAUAGAAGGAUUCCAAUUUCCUUGCUCAUUCAUAUAGCUCUNNNNNNNNNNNNNNNNNNNNNNNNNNNNNNNNNNNNNNNNNNNNNNNNNNNNNNNNNNNNNNNNNNNNNNNNNNNNNNNNNNNNNNNNNNNNNNNNNNNNNNNNNNNNNNNNNNNNNNNNNNNNNNNNNNNNNNNNNNNNNNNNNNNNNNNNNNNNNNNNNNNNNNNNNNNNNNNNNNNNNNNNNNNNNNNNNNNNNNNNNNNNNNNNNNNNNNNNNNNNNNNNNNNNNNNNNNNNNNNNNNNNNNNNNNNNNNNNNNNNNNNNNNNNNNNNNNNNNNNNNNNNNNNNNNNNNNNNNNNNNNNNNNNNNNNNNNNNNNNNNNNNNNNNNNNNNNNNNNNNNNNNNNNNNNNNNNNNNNNNNNNNNNNNNNNNNNNNNNNNNNNNNNNNNNNNNNNNNNNNNNNNNNNNNNNNNNNNNNNNNNNNNNNNNNNNNNNNNNNNNNNNNNNNNNNNNNNNNNNNNNNNNNNNNNNNNNNNNNNNNNNNNNNNNNNNNNNNNNNNNNNNNNNNNNNNNNNNNNNNNNNNNNNNNNNNNNNNNNNNNNNNNNNNNNNNNNNNNNNNNNNNNNNNNNNNNNNNNNNNNNNNNNNNNNNNNNNNNNNNNNNNNNNNNNNNNNNNNNNNNNNNNNNNNNNNNNNNNNNNNNNNNNNNNNNNNNNNNNNNNNNNNNNNNNNNNNNNNNNNNNNNNNNNNNNNNNNNNNNNNNNNNNNNNNNNNNNNNNNNNNNNNNNNNNNNNNNNNNNNNNNNNNNNNNNNNNNNNNNNNNNNNNNNNNNNNNNNNNNNNNNNNNNNNNNNNNNNNNNNNNNNNNNNNNNNNNNNNNNNNNNNNNNNNNNNNNNNNNNNNNNNNNNNNNNNNNNNNNNNNNNNNNNNNNNNNNNNNNNNNNNNNNNNNNNNNNNNNNNNNNNNNNNNNNNNNNNNNNNNNNNNNNNNNNNNNNNNNNNNNNNNNNNNNNNNNNNNNNNNNNNNNNNNNNNNNNNNNNNNNNNNNNNNNNNNNNNNNNNNGAAUUCUUUUUUUGUUUUUUUUCUACUAUAAAUUUUGACCUUAUUGUACUUUUUUGGGACUUUUCAUGAUCUUUGUUAUAUUACAGGGCGAAAAUUAUAUGUUCAGACAUUGUUUUCGAAUAUUUUGCAUGUAUCAAAGCUCUUAUAAACAAGAUAGGGUAUUCCUACAUAGCUGGUGGGACCCACGGCAAAUGGAACAUAAAGUCUUCAAAAAAGAAUCGAUACGAUUGCAUUGCAUGUAGUAAUGGAUGCUACCAUACCAGCACUAAUGCACCGGAUCCCAUCAGAACUCCGCAGUUAAGCGUGCUCGGGCAAGAUUAGUACUAGUAUGGGUGACCUCCCGGAAAGUCUUCGUGUUGC
rnacentral:lncRNA from 1 species